AUGAACAGUGAAAACAAUCAAUUACCGUUAAUUAUCACUGAAAUGGAAAAAAGUACGGGCGAAGUUAUACAGCUGAUCCCCAACUCGAAACAAAGCAUCCAACCUAAAUCGCUUCUGCGACUGGGUGUAUUUGUUCCGACCCUGAAAGAUGGCUCUGAUUCCAUGUCCAGAGGACAUCACAUCGACGCCACCAGGGAGUUGUGCAGAAUGUCCUCUCUCUCCGGAGAAGGUUACGAGAAGAUCAGCAUUUUCGGCCCGCGCCUUGAUAUGGAUACUGAUUUUAAGGUCUGGUUAGGGAUUGUGGAUUCACUGACCAAUAAGUACCUGGAAAAGGACGGCACUGUACGAAUGAAUUUCAUUGAUUUUGCAUGCAGCUGCGGACUGGCGACAAAGCGUGUCGACUCCCGGUUACGCAAGCGAUUCAGUGACUCUCUGACGCGAAUUCAGCAUACGCAUUUCCAGUUUAUAAAGCCGUCUUCGGUUGAAGGCAAAAAAAUCAAAAUUGAUAUGAGUCUGGUCUCUACCUCUUACUAUGAUGAGGGAACCGAUGAGGUCAUCAUCAGGCCAAACCCGGACCUGAACACCCUCUACCAGGUCGAUGGUAAAACCAGGCUAUACCUUAAAAUUCUGAAAACCCUGGCACGAAAAGAGUCAGCACAGGCGCUGUACCUGUACCUUGUGGAGUUACCGGAUAACUUCUAUCGCAUUGGCUUUGACCGACUAAGGGAACGGCUGCAACUCACUGCACACAAAGGCUCUCAGAAUGCCACCAUCAAACGGGCACUGGAGCAACUGGAAGAAGCUGGCUUCCUGAAGUAUUCGAUCGAGAAAUCCCGUGGCGAUUAUGUGCUUGUCAUUCUAAACAGAAAUAAGAAAAUAGCCUGACUACUCCCGCUCUUAGCUGGCUACCACAUACAUCCCUUCUUCUCGUGCCCCCCGCACAGAUCUGAUAUCAGGUGGCAAUCAGCCACCAGCGUUGAUACCCGUGGGCGUUACAGGCCCGGUUUACCCGCCAGCGAUGAUACCCGUGGCCGCUUCAGGCCCCGUUUACCCGCCAGCGAUGAUACCCGUGGGCGAUGCAGAACCGGUUUACCCGCCAGCGGUGAUACCCGUGGGCGUUACAGGCCCGGUUUACCCGCCAGCGAUGAUAUCCGUGGCCGCUGCAGAGCCGGUUUACCCGCCAGCGAUGAUAUCCGUGGCCGCUGCAGAGCCGGUUUACCCGUCAACGAUGAUAUCUGCGGCCGAUGCAGAACCGGUUUACCCGCCAGCGGUGAUAUCCAUGGGUGUUACAGGCCCCGUUUACCCGCCAGCGGUGAUACCCGUGGGCGUUACAGGCCCCGUUUACCCGCCAGCGGUGAUACCCGUGGGCGUUACAGGCCCCAUUUACCCGCCAGCGGUGAUAACUUUAGGUUAAGUACUUGACAGAAAGGGGGGAAAUGUCUGAGCGACCGUUUUACUUGUUCCGGUCAUUGAGGAGAAACCAGUCAUGAAAAGCCUGUUUGUCAUCAAAGCCAGGCAUGUUAUGGAUAGACAUGUUCCAGUUGAUUAUUUUGACGAUGAACCCUAUGAAUGCCAGUUCAGCAUCAUUCAGUUCACCAUCACCUCUUUUACGUAAAAAAAAGUCGUACCAACGUUCGUAAGCCGGGACAUUGAUAGAUUCUGAAGCCUCAAGCAGGCGUGGGAUAAAAUAUACCAGCUCAUCAAACGCUUUACUUCCUGGAGGUAUAUCGGCACGGCUUAAGCUACAGAGAAGGUUUAUAGUGCACCUUAAAUGAUGCCACUGCAGAGACGGUGACGACGGUAAUACAUUCAUGCUUAUCGGCAAUUCAUGCGGGAUCAGCGCAAGAAGCUGAUUACCGCUGCUGGUGAACUCCCUCUUGUACUGGUGUAAGGCUUCAGGCUUAACCCUUUUCAUCAUUGGAUGGUAGAUCCAUUUUUUCGCUUCCUCAGAAACGAAAAGUAACUUUUCUACCGCAUCCAUCAGCUUUAUGCCUUCUCCCUUCUCCCGGUAUGGAGCGACGAUGCUUUCUAUUCGAACCGCGUCUAUCUCAACCAGCGCCAGCUGGCCGGUCUGGGCUAACAGGUCUGGAUUUGGCUGGAUGUCCUCAGCGGUAUCAUUGAUGAAGAUCCCGAUAGUUGUGUCAUUACACUGUCCGAUAAGGUCAGCAUUCAGCCCGCAUACAAUCCCACCAGCGGUGAUGUUUUUCAGUGUGACAACACCUUUUUCCUUACCGUGCAAAAGGUGUGGAAGAGCCAGGAAUUUUUUCUCCUGUAUCUUCAUCUGAAUGUAUUUUUUGAAAUGUUGUAAGGUCAGUUCACUGCAAACGCCUUUAACAUCCGUGGAGUGGCUGAAAUGCCAUUUUUUACUUUGUCCCUGUCUGGCUAUCAGUGACGUGCCACAGAUGAGGCAAAUACAGUUGCACGAAAGACCAUUUUCAACACUGGCAAUAUCAACAAUUUGAUUGGUGUCCUUAUCAAAACCAAAUGGGAUCCACUUUCGUGCAUUGCGUUUCAUGUUGGCUCCUCGUUUUAUGCAGAUAAAAUAUUCUACAUCAACUGGUUUACUCAAACCGGAGAUAACAUGAUUAACUAAAGAAUUAUUUAAAUAUCAUCAGGGAUUAGACUCCAUACAGAAGCAGGUAUUUUGUCAUAUAUUUUUUUCAUAUAAAUUUCAGCUCUUCGGUGGUCAUACGCACCAUUCAGACUGGUAAUUUCGUUUAUUGCGCCGCCUUCAUCAUUUAAUUUAUCCAGGAUACGUUCGAAAACUUUAUCAAGGGUUUCUGUUGUGCUGCAUUUUCUGAACUUCAGAAGAUAAACUUCUCUGAGGUUGCUUUCAGCUUUAGGGCUUUUCAACAACGUUGCUCCAGGACAUGUUUAGAACUCUCAAUAUGCUCGAAACAAUAAAUGAAUCCCCACAGACUGGCAAGUCAGGUAUUUAUGGUUUUUUGUGAUUGUUCCUGGCUUUGAACAAAAAUACUGUUAGUAUACUGUUUAUAAAACCAGUACUGUUAAAAGACAUGAGAUCUUCCAUGACAGAUAAAACUAAGCUGAUAGCCCUUUCUCGUCCCGAUGACAUGAGCGCACUGGAUGCGCUUAAGCUGUUACGUUUCCGACGCUACAACACGGCAAGAAGCCAGUUAAGGACCACCCGUGUCUGGUCGUCAUGGUGUGCCAAAAAUGGCCUGACGCCCUUCCCUGUGACGGCUGUUGAUGUUGAGCGUUAUAUCAACGGGCUGAAUGGUUCCGUCAAAAUGGCGACCAUUUCUCAUUUCAUUGCGUGCCUUUCGAGUGUUAACGGGAGCCUCGGGUUCCCUGACUUCCGCAACGUUCUUAUUAAGGCGCUUGUCCAGGUCUGGCGGGCGCGGGAAAAUGAGAAAAAAGUGAUUACCGGUCAGGCGCUCCCCUUUAUGGUUGCAGACCUUAAUAUACUCCGUCGGGCCCUUCAGAAGAGCGACGACAUCAGGGAUAUCCGCGAUCUGGCUAUGAUCUGGGUUGGUUUUGAAACGCUGCUGCGCAACGUGGAAAUCCGGAGGAUUAAAACCGGUGACCUCAAAUGGCAAAAUGACAAUGACUGUUACCUUCUGGAUGUAAUGCGGACCAAAACAAGCCUGUCGAGCAACCUGACGUUUCAACUUUCGCCACAGUGCAGCCGACACGUCAGGCGACUGAUUGAAACGGUGGAGUAUACGGAUACAGAAACCUUCGGGAACCGUUACCUGUUUCAACCUGUCAACGUCCAUACAAACCGGUAUUUUCCGGCCACCAGCAGUAAGCUGUCCAGAGGCAAAUCUAUAGAUAACAUGCUCCUGAAGGCUGGCUUCAAUCAGUCGUUGCUCACUCAGCUGCAGAAGGACUCACAGGUCACACGAGAGGAUGUCGGUAUUCUGUCCUCCAAUUCACUGAACCAGGCAUUUUCGCGCCUGUGGGAUAUAGCCGGUAAAGUGGGUGAUAACCGGCAGUCUGGCCGGUACAUUAAGUGGACAGGGCACAGUGUGCGAGUCGGGGGGGCUAUUGAACUGUUCAGGGACGGAUACACUCUGGAGAAAAUUACGGAGAUGGGGAACUGGUCUGAUCCGAAAAUGGUUUUCCGGUAUAUCAGGGCAUACCUUGCCAGUGAAAAAGCCAUGGUGAGCUUUAUGCGCAAUCAUCUUGACGAUAUAUAACCAUAGCCCGGGGAUGCCUGUAAACAGGUGUUAACGUGCUAUGGGGUUAAUGAAACGUCGUUAAAUAUUAAUCUCCUUUAAACCGGUUAAUACAAAAUUACCUUUUUCAGAUAGAGUGUCGAAGUCAUUCAGACUGAACUCAUGGGUAUGAAACCAGACAACACGACACGUAGGACAGGUAACCGGUAAUUCAUCUUCGCCUAUUUUCUCGCAAUUAUGGAUAAUUUCACCCUGCUCAUUCCUGUCGAUAUUAUAACCACUUGUGCAGAGUGUUUCAUACCCAUGUGCACCUGUGACAAUAUGAGUGGCUGUUCUUUCUUUAACCUCUCCAUUUAUUUUUAUCUGUUCGCGGGUGGUAAUUGUUCGUUUAUUGUUCACUGUGCCUCCUGAACGAAUGUGGUAAUAUUAUGAUACUAAUCUUGUAUUAACUCUUUCUUCGGUCGGGGAAACGCCUCAGGAAGGACCACGCGAUCAAGAAAUUUAAAAAGCUCAUCACCUUUCAGAAACGUUCUUGAACGGAGUUCAUUUACCAUAUCGUUGUGUACCGAGCGAUUAAUGUCAAAAAAAAGAUCAAGCAUUAACUGCUGCUCCGCUUUGAGAGCUAUCAAUUUACUCUCAUUAUGCUCUACCUGUUCUUUCGUUUUUGGAUGCAUGUGAUAUAUGCCACGGGUAAGGUUAGACAGAUAAGAGUCUGCUGUUUUCAACCAUCGGGCAUGAUCAUUGGAGCUCCCUAAUGAUUCAUGACCGGUAUGUGAGCGUUCCCCGGCAUUCCCGGCCAACAGUAACAGCAUGAACCAUUCAGCCAUUGUUUUUUCAUCAAGGUUAUGAGGCUUUAAGCCAUCCUGUACAUAACCCAGUGAGCCCGAAUUAUCCGCUUUAGCCUUAGCCACGACCAAAAGAUUUGAUGGGUACUCAUCAAAAGCAGCGUAUACCAUCGCAUGACCCGCUUCAUGUGCGGCGAUAAAUAACCGGUCCUGAACCGUAACCCUGGUCGUUACAGGAGUGCCGUAAGAAUAGUUGCCAUGAUCAUGCCGCAAGGGAUUGCAAUAUGAUAUGCCGGUUUUCGAACAGGUUAAAAUAAAUUGAGUGAGAGCAAUGACAAAUAACACACUAAUAGCCAGGUUCGGUGUAUCGAUGAGCUUGUCACCGAAAAUGCCAAUGGCAGACAGAACAGCAAUAUACGCGGUAGACCCGUAUAACAAUGAGGGGUAUGUGUUCGGGGAAAGAUAUAAUGGAUAAAUAAGUAUACAGAAAAGUCCACUAAUCAUAACAAAUUUCUGGACUAACACCGCGUCAUAGUGUUCUGGGGUGCGGAAUAAAUGCAGAGACACCCACAUUAUUAAGCUGCAUGCUCCCAGCCGUCCUGUUUCCUUCAGUAUGCGGCCGUAAGGAAGAAAGACAAAGAAAUGCCUUAACUGUCUCCAGAAUCGCUUCUGGCGAGUUUCACGAAGAAAAUUUUCAAAUAAUUUCAUUAUUUAUCGCUUUUGCUCUGCCUUUUCGGUUUUCCGUUGUUUUUUCAUUCUCCGUUUUUCCUUGAUACCCGCCAGGGUGUAAAGAACAACUGAAGCAAUGAAAUUUACCAGCGCAGCAAAUUCUACCCCCAGAUGAAUCACUGCCGGUGUGAUGGGUAAGAAUAAAGCCACAAGAAGCAGAAUAAAUGAAAUGAUACACCGUAAGGCCUUCCCUUCCCUACCGUCACCCUGAUUAUUAUGGUUCGCACCGGCACCGAUUUUGCUUGUCAAAAAAUUCAGGCCGUACGCACACAGGGCGGUUACGACCAUGAAAAUUGCAUAAUUCAUUAUUCCUCCUGGGGUUUUAAUCUCAGCCUGACCACAUUGACCAGUUUCUUAAUGCCGUCCUCGCCUGGAACAAACACAUAGCGAUACCUCGGCCAUGUAGUGUGAGUAAAAACCUCACCAGCUGUUUUCAUAUCAAGUGGCAAGAAUCUUUCUGUCAUGCUCUCUGGUAAUUUAUCUACGGAGAUCAUCCCUUUCCUGAAACUUUUAACCAUCAGAGCAAGCGGGGUUUUGCAAUUUUUAUUACUCAUGGUUUCUGUGUAACGGAUCAUCCCUCCCAUCGUGACCUGAACUUUACCGAGUUCACAAUCAAACAAUGGCAUCACAGGCCAGAAAGGAAUUUCAAGACUCGUGCUGGUCAGAGCUUGUUCGUAGCCCUGCUCACUGGUUUCCACCGUUGUGUUAAGUCCCGGGAACAGAGCAUGCAUAAACCGGAUGACCUUGACCACCCCGGGUGUACUGGCUUUGCGCUGAUAGAUAUCAGGCAACCACGGCGAUGUACUGGCCCAUAAGGUAGUUGAGGCAUAGACCUGUUUCUCCAUAUGCCACAGAAGGGAGGGAUCCGACAGAAAAUGAUGGACUGUAAGCAACUCAGCCAGGAAUCUGUCUUCACUCGGUUGUGUCAUGGCAUGUUUAAAACUGAUCUGAACCCGGAAACGUUCCUUAGCGUUCAGAAACGAUAUUCCGCGACUGACCGCAACCUCGUAUCGCCUGUUGGCCGGGUCCGCAUGACAAAUACCGGUUAAAAUCCGGUUCAUGCCAACUCCUUAAUCACUUCUACCAGCCCGAUGCGGGGCAGGACAGAACGAUAUUUUUCUUCAAAAUUCCCGCGCUUCUGCCUUUCACCUUUUUCGUAAUCUUUUAACGGGUUAAAGCGGCCCGGUUCACUGAACAAAAUUAAAGGUAAAGGUGCCCGGAAGUUAAGUUUGUACGGUCCGGACAGGUCAUCAGGAUCAUCAGGGCUGGUGUACCGGAUAUUGACGUUAACAGCAGGAAAGUUACUUUCCCGAAUGAAACGAAACUUCCUCAGCUGCUCAUCUUCAUGACAGGCCUCUUCAUUGAGCGCUGACAACAUCAUGAUUUCCUCAAUGCGCUCCUGCUUCAGUCGCUUAACAUCCUGUAAUGUCAGACUGAUAUCGGGCUUUAAUUCCGUUAGUUCCCUGCGUAAGCGAUCAAUAACCGUUUCCAGACGAGUGAACUUAUGAACGACCGGAAUUUGCCAGGUGAAACCGAGAGUGCGAAUUUUCUGAGUCACUAUGCGGAUGUUACGUGAUACCUGCAGGGUUACCAGCCACGGGCAGACCUGAUGCAGUAUUUCUGACCGGGUGUCCUUAUAUUGAGUGAUACCUUUGACCACAUCAGCGAAGUUGUCACGAAGGCGGUUGAUUUCACCCACCAGCUCAGUCACCAGGUCAUGGUUGUUGUUGACUACAAUAUACCCGGGAUAUUUACGGGUGAUUUUAGUUGAAUAAGGUUCAUUUUUGGCCUGGCUUUUAUCAACCCGCUGCUGCCGGUAGAUAUCUACCAGGGUAUCGAGAUCGGGCUCCGAGUGAGACACUUUAAUAUACUGUGGCGGGUCAUAUUCCUCCACGCUACGUGGCUCCGGGAGCGAAGCAAGGUAAGUUGACCCGAUAUCGCUGUCCCGGAGCAAACUGUGCAGAUCAUCGAGUUUGCGUAGUUGCUCUUCAUUGUAAUGUGCGAAGUCAGUAUUCAUAUCUUCUCCCGUUUCAGGUGACCAACGUUGGACGGUAGACGCUAAAUGAACUCAGGUAAAGUCUUAAACGUGAGCCACACCGGAAGCCGACGUCCGUCCUGACACACCCGAAUCAACCGGUAUCGAGUUUUCUCCAUUGACACAAGCCAGUAACCAGCAGGGACAGGCCGGUUAAUCGUUAUCAGCUUCAGUCCGUAAAACCCACACGAAAUUAACAUGCGCCCGUCGUGCUCCCUGAAAAUGAAACUGAAGGAGGGAUAAAGCAGCCAGAAUGCCGUCAGGUAAAUGUACCAGGUAUAAGGGACCGUUAGCUGCAGGAUUUCAUAGUUACGCACCGUCGCUGUAAUGAGUCCAAGGCUUAAUAUUGCCCCUAUACCUGCAUAGAGUUUAAACGAUGGACUUUCGUAGUUCUUCCAGGUAAUGCUUCCAAUACGGUGCACUUUACACAUCGUCUUGCCUCACUGAAAUUGUAUUUGGCCUUUCAUACGGGGAAUAAUUUCCUUCUCCCACAAAGACCUGGAAUUGCCAUGCCCCCCCUGAAGUUGCAUAGCACAGACUCUGUUAAAAACGGAUAUCUCUUUCCUGAUUGCCUGGGUUUGACGAUCCGUGAGUACAAUGUAUUCCGGUACCAGUUGCAUGACACCGUUCAUCAUUUCAGCCUUCAUUAUUCCUGGGCCAUCUUUUUUUUCAGCCUCAUCGGUUUCCUUCACAUUGAAUCCAAAUGAACAAAGAAGCUGACCCUGGGCCUUAGGCCCCAUCUGGACACCCCGGCUGUCGACCGUAAAACGAACGAUCGCGUGGUCCCCCCCUUCAUCACUGGUUAUGUUUCUUACCAACAUGCUGAUUGGAGUCAUAUGUAACCAGCUGUAGAUUCCCAAAACAAUUUCUUCUUUUAAAAUCAUAUUCAAUUUGUCGGUUCUCUUUUUCUCAUUAAUGAAUAUGAAAACAUAAAAAACGGCUCUGUAAAGCCCUAAUCUGUCGAAAGCAGAGGUUUUGUAUUUUUUAAUUUGUACUCAAUAAAAAUUCCGGCCGCAUCAGCUGUUGUUAUUUCAGACAAUAUGGCGUCAAUGAUUUCAGGCUCAGUGAUGUUAUUAAAUCCCAGCUUACGGACCAUUUCUUUGACGCGCUCAAAACGUCGAGCCGUGACGGUAUCGAUGACAAAACUAUUUACUGGUACGUCAUCAGAUACGACAGGCAUCUCAGUUAGUUUCAUGUUCUUUCUCCAGAUCCGGGAUGUAAGCAAAAUUGAACGCAAUGGCUUUUUCCGGGGAAUCACCCGCAAUGAGCUUUAACCAUGAGUAAGAGUCGUGCUGGCUCAGAAAAAUAACAAGAUAACCUUUGUCUGCACCGUUGCGCUCUUUGAUAAACUUUAUCUCUUUAUCCAUUCCGAAGCCCAUUGGUCCGUGUAUGACACACGAUUGCUCAGGAAGCAUCGAACUGAACAUGGAUAUAACGACAUCUCUUAGCUCUAAAUUUUCGUGGGCAAUGAAAGCUACCUUUUUACCUUCGUUAACCGAAGCUACAAUGCUUUUCACACUUGAUUUCACGUUAUAGCGAUAGACAAUCAAGCGGAGGCGAGUCAUGCAGAGGCAAAUAAUACCCGCGCAGCUGACCAGAGCGCCGUACACUGACCCCUCUAUAAACCAGUUUAGGCCCCCAACAACCAGUAGCCCCAAAAAAGUAACUAUGCUCAGAAUGAAAAUAAAAAAGUUAAUUUUGUGGUCUUUAGGGUACCAGGUAGAUGCAACGGCCAUGAUAGCCAUUGCGCCGACUAAUGCAUACAUUGAAAGGUCAUACGGGUUACUCAUCAACAGUCUCGCAAUCGUGACCAGGGCAACCCCUGAUAGUUGAAAAAUUAGGACAUUCCUGGGGAGUUAUAAGUCGCUCACCGGCCUCAUAACGCUUUUGUAAGUCCAUACGUAAAGCUUCUGCGUUGUCACUCCCCAGGAGAUAGAGAAGUAACUCGUCAUCGGCCAAAAGUAACUUUUCCAGGUCGUAGCAUUCGUGUUUGUAGUCCAUCAUCCCUCCUUGAAACUAUUAAAUCACAGAGAAAAGGUUAACUUUCUGGACUAAAGACCUAAAAUUGCGCAUUAGCGAUAAAUUUUUGAUAAAAAAAAAGCGCAUAAAAUAUGCGCUCUUUUUUAUAGACAACAAUGGGUAAUUAAUUCAUACAGAGCAUGUGAUUCUUAACUCUUUCUAUGAAGUUACUCAUUGAGGGAAGGUUUAACUCGUCCCCUAUGCGUUGACAGUCAAAAAGCGACUGUGCAGGGGAAUAGUUAAAUCCUUUAUUAUUGACAAACUCUAAAAUCUCUUUCAGAUAGGAGUUUUUGCUACCGGCACUGAAGGAGUUGAGUAAAGGCCCGCGAUCUAAAAGUUCACCAGCUGCUUUUUUCGACAAGCUAAUGCUUUGCUUGCUUAUGAUCUUACAAUGAUAGUAAUCAAAGUUAUCACUUCCUUCCCAGUCAAGAUACUUAGAAGAGUGAAACUCCGAAAGCAAAAGCAACAUUGUGCCAUGAUCGCGAACAACAUAUAAAAAUUCGAAAUUACCAUUCAUCAACGCUUGUUUAACUAAGCGCAAAUCAAUCUCUAUGUCGUAGUCAUACCACGGAUUGUUAACGAGGGAAGCUGAAUGCUUCAGAAUGAAGUCUUCUUUUACCCAGUUAAAAACCGCUUCGAUAUCAAAAUCAUAAUAAAAGUUCAUAGUGGGCUCUCCUUAAUAAAAAAGAGAGAGAGCCCCCACAGGGAGAACUCUCCCUGUAUGGGUUAUGAAAUUAGUUAAUCAGGUCAAAAAAUCUUUCUUCCAGUCUGGCCGGGAAAGCUUCAUGACCCUUGAGCAUCAAUACAUCAUUCCAGUCGACACCUUUUGCACCAUCAGGAAUGUCCAGUUCAGGUAAAUGAACAUUAACGCAGACUUUCGCAUCAGGAUACCGUUCAGCAAGUAAGGGCUCCAUACGGCUCUUAAGAACACGUGCAGCGAACUCACCAGCUUGCUUACCGGUUUUGGGGUUAAGCCGAUCUUUAUCUGCCCAAAUCGAUAACUCAAUGAAUUGGCAAUCAGAAGGUGGCAUUAAAUGCUCUGGUAUUUCCAGCAUUUCCAUAAACGUUGAACUUGAAGAUGCCCAGCACGGAAUUGAGGUCGCCUCUGUGACAGAUAACGCAUUCUCAAUACCUUCACUAAUACCCAAAAACCAUGACUUUGAUUCUUCACAGUAAGUAGGCUUAAAUAACUGCAUCGAACCACCAUUCAUCUGGUAGACCGGUUUCAUUAUUAAUUUAGGAAAUUGAACAUCAGCUUUUUUAUGUCCAUCAUCAGUUAGAUGGGUUUUAUGGAUGGUGCAGUUGCGACCAUACUUGUCGUUAAAGAUAGUAACCAUCGUUGGGUGAAAACUAGCUGGUUUAUUAUCACCAGGCCAGUAACGCAUUUUAGCAUUUACCCCCAAACUGGCUGGUAGUUUUGUGAGCAUCCUUUUUAUUCCGCGCCCUGAUAGAUAACGAGCAACUAAUGAAUCGGGUGUCACAAAUUUCGUGUACUUAUAAACAGCUUCUAACUUGUUUAUGCGACUAAGUCUUUCUUCCUCUCCAAUAUCUGAAAAGGAUUGAGCCUUUUUCUCAUAAAGAACAAUGUUAACACGGUCGGCUUCAUUUAACUUUCUAUCCUUGGAAACUCCAAUCAUAUCUAGAAUGUCUUUUGCAGCCUGCGUUUUACUAAAGUUUUUAAGUUCAGCAAUUAAAUCGAUGCCAUCAAUGAAAGCAUUAUGUGGAUAAUCCUCAUGAAUAGCAUGAACACUUUCUAGGGUCCUAUCUUUAAAUCUGAAUUUCGUUUUGCCACCACCAGUAAACGGGCAUUUGACAGAACGCGGUGCUUUUUCCAAAGCCUCCUGAAACUCAGGAUAGUACGUUAAUACAUUACGCCAACCACCCAGCUGCUGCACAUGAGAUUUGACUAGGUCAAAGGUAUCUUGUGCGUGCUGCAUAGGGGAUUUAGCCGAUGAAUUAUAAUUUGUAGAAUGACUCAUAAUACUCUCCUAGCUGACAUUGUGGGUUUCACAAUGCCUACUGCAAUGCAGAUAACAUUGAGAAACCCACAACGCAGAAUGAAGAUGUGCCACGAGGUGGCACAAUCAUUUAUAAGACUUCGAAACCAUUAGAACGAUAUUUAUUCACCAGUCUUUCAACCGCUGAAUCCAUCGCUUCGGAGUUAGCUUCUGAAAAUUUAGUAUCACGUACUAAACGUUCUACUGGCAUAAUUCCAUCAACAACUUCACCUUCAGUGAUGUAUACCUUGGUUCCAAACAUCCCACUGUCUAAUUGACGAGAGUCAACACGUACACGUUUAAUAUAUUUAUUACCUUUCAUAUGUUUGCUCCUUAAAAGGCGAGCAAACAUACCCAGGCGGGUAUAUAAGCCCGCAGGGGAAGAUAAUUAAAUUUAAAUAAGGCUUCUGAUUAGAUCUCGAUACAAAGAGUUCAAUUCAGAAAUAUCGUUUAUUUUUUGAAAAUAAACUCCAUCAAAGCCUUGAGGUUUACUUAUGCCAUAACCGACACAAACGAUUUCUAUGCCAUGUUUUUUAGCAUUUUUAACAGCUGCACAAACUUCCUCUACUGUGUCUGAUGGAUCACCAUCAGUAGCAAUAAAGAUAACUUUUCGCGAAAAAUUCAAACGAUUGAAAUAUUCAACACACGAAUUAAUCGCUUUGGCAGUUGGUGUAUAUAAUCCGCUAGAGACAUUUUCAUAAUUAGAAAAGCUUGCAGAUACUGUUUUAUUAAAAGAUUUAAUAACAUCAAUACAAUCUACUUGUUGAACUGGAUACACAAUAUCAGCAACAUCAAUAUUGUUUACCGUUUCACAAGCCAGGGUAAAAGCAAGGUUUGCGUUUAAAGCUAAAACAGAUACAUCACACAUAGAUGCAGAGAUAUCACGAAGGUUAAUUACACCGACAUCAGACCUCUUGUAUCCUUCCCCGCUUUUCCUAAACACAGAUGUGGCACCCAUUGGGACUUCAACAAGCUUUCUAUCAUGAAGACGAACUCCGCGAUCGCUUAGCCUGUUGUUACGCCGUACAUUCUGUUUAUUCAAAGAAGAAAGUAACUUUCUUAGCUCACGAGAGUUAUCCCGUGCGUUGUUAUAGUCCUCUUCGGUGAGCGAGAUAAAACCAAAUCGAAAACCGAAGUGUUUUACAUCAGCAUCGCUGAAACUAGAUGCCAUUUGGCAAAUAGCUCGUUUAAUAGAUUCAUGAAAAUCAUGGGAAUUAUCCUGUUCAAAAUCUGUAUCCAGGUAAUUAUCAAGAUCUUCAAUAGCCUUUCUUAGCUGUGCCGGUGAGAAACUUGGUGUUGAACGUGAAGAAGAAUCAGAGUCAUCAGAGUCGUCUGACUUAUCAGAGUCAUCAGAGUCAUCAGAGUCGUCAGAAUCAUCAGAGUCGUCAGAAUCAUCAUAGUCAUCAGAAUCAUCAGAAUCAUCAGAGUCAUCAGAGUCAUCAGAGUCGUCAGAAUCAUCAGAGUCGUCAGAAUCAUCAGAGUCGCCAGAAUCAUCAGAGUCAACAGAGUCAUCAGAGUCAUCAGAGUCAUCAGAUUUGUUCUGCUCCUCUUUAUCUUUUAGAUCAUCACGUAACUUUUCAAAUUCUUCAUGUAGUUUUAAUCCUAACUCGCACGCCAUAAGAGUUGAAUUAACUCCAGUAGCUUCGAGAAUUAAAGAAUCAAACCUGUCUUUCAUGUCGAACAGAACAGUAUCAGCAAGUGCAAAAAAAUCAUUCAGAAUCUCAGGAAUACCAUCUUGCCCAAGUUGAUUAACACGAAGUUUGUUUAAGAUAUACAUUUCAAUGUAUGAAACGAUAUUUGAACCAUCACCAGUCAUACAUCCGUCACUAACCAUAAAUGAAUACAUUUCUGCCAGCAUGGUUUUUGAAAGCCGAAAGAAAUUUCCAGUUUUCUCUUCCAUCUGAAUGUCUUCAAAAAGAUUAAUGCAGCGAUGAAGUCUUUUAAGCUUAAUUAGCGCUAUUCUUUCAUCAUUUUUUGAUGAAAAACUAGGGUUGCCAUCAGGUAGAAUACUUUCGAAACCAGGUUGUUUUGAUAAAUAUUCAUUUCUAAAAUUUUCAUACGUUUCAAGUUCAGUAUAACGAUUAUGACCACCUUCAUGACAUAUCCAGCCGCUACAUAACUUCCAGUAUUUGUCAUUACUAAAGUCACCAUUUGGUAAAAAAAUAGCCUUUGUCUUCAUGUUAAUGCGUGGUGUUGUAUUUGGCCCAAGAAAAUGAACAUUGAGAUCAGGAUCAGCACCAAUAACACGAGCCAUAUUAUCUACAGCUAACUUACUACGAACUGAGUUGUUAAGUUUAAUCGUCAUAUAGCACCCAUAAAAGUUAAUGGGCGCACCCAUGUGGGUUUGCCCACAAGGGAUUAGAAGGAAUCAAAAAUUCAAUGGAGUAGAGAAAGUUACUUUUUUCUGUACCGCAUCAGUAUUCGAGACCGGGGGUAAAGUAGAAGCCGGGGUAUUAGCCUGGGUUACUUUUGUAGCAAAAGGAUCAACAAAUUUGGAUCCAGUUUUAUUAGCUAAUUGGUCAUCUAAAUCGUUAAAACGAUUUUUGAUUUCGCUGAUAAAACUAGUCACAAGAUCGUCACCAUCCAUGAUUUUGUUCAAACGAUUAGUAUCACUUAACAGUAACAACCAUUCGCGGAACAAACUCAUAUGAAGUGGUGAAUCCAGAUUACCAGAAGGAAGAUGGUUUAGUACGCUUUGGAUAGAAUCCGCAAUUUUAGUUGCACGAUUAUCCAGAAACAUAAAACUCACAACCUUAUCUUUUAAAUUAGACAACUUUUCUACAAAAGCCUGGUCAAUCUUAGGCUUGGUGCAGGAAGCAUAAAUAGAUUCAGCAGUCAGAGCAAUAUCUUGAAUUAAUCCGACUGAAUAGCGAUCACCUAAAUCGUUUCCAUCAAUUGACAUUGGUGUAAAUGGAAUUGGGUGACUAAUCUGGAAAAGAAAUGAAUUUUCGAAAUCCUUUCUUGUCAUUCUUAAUUUCUCAAUUAAGUCUGCGAGUUUUGGACUUCUAUCUUUUUCCAUCUGAAUGUAAUAUUCAUAGUUAUCUAGAGCAUUCUGAAUUCCUUCCUUGAAAUAUUCGCGGACGGCUUCAACUUCAAUUAAAUACUCUUCCAGCUUAGAAGUUGGGAGUAUAUUCAUAGAGCUGAACGGAAUGCAGUAUUUACGUUUGAGUGUACUCAAUCGCGUGUGAACAGCGCUUUUAAAGUUCAACGCUUUAGUUGAAAUCCAUUGGACUUCGACCUUGCUCACACUCGACUGGUCUGAUACUUCAUCUUCAUCAAGAAACUGUCGUAUUUCAUCGGUUCUACGACGACCCUGACAACCUUCGACAUCUACCUUAAUAAUAACGGCACCAUCUUGUAACUCAGGAUUACGGUCGAUAAAAUCUUGAACAGAUUUACUGAUUUCAGAGGUAUCAGCAAUAGCAGUGAUUUUGACUUUAGCCAUGAUAUUUCUCCAGUAUAAACCGGAAAAAUAUCUCCCAGAGGGAAAUAUAUUUCCCGGUGGGGGUAGGUUAAAUUGUUUGUUUAAAAUAGGUAUCUAUUACAAUUGCGAAACUGAACGUGAUACUUCUUCCGGGUACAGUUGUUCAAGCAAAAUUUCAGCUCUACUACAUGCUUCAGAAGAUAACUUAGAAGUGAAUGCAAUUUUAAACCCAACAGAAAUUUCUUCAUCAAGGACUUUGGAGGUAGAAAUCCAUGAAAUCAAUUCACGAAUAUCCAUCACCAGUUCGUCAUCUUUGAGAUUGUUAAGUUCAAAAGCAACUUUUGCAAACAUUCUUAAACAUGAAGGUUUUAAAUCAGGAAAAUGGGCUUCGGCUGCACAAUACAUAGUUUGUUCAUCAGGUCGAAUCAUCGGCAAUAUUAAAAAACGCUUAAUAAAUGCAGAGUCCUGGGACUGUGAUGAAGCGAAACGCAUAUCCUCUCCACUCAUGUUGGUAUUAGCGGUACCGAUAAAACGGGUAAAGCGAUUUGCAUAAAUCAACUCGCCACCUUCUUUACCAGUUGCCCACGGUUUACGUUCAAGCGGCAUAUGAAGCUUAGCGGCCGUAUCUGGGUUUAUUUUAUCAAUCUCAUCAAGAAGAAUGAUAUGCCCAUCACGAUAGCCUUGCACAAGGUCACUAUAGACAUAAUGUGUAUUGCCAUUUUCUAACGUUCUCAUACCUUCAAGGUCAUCAACAGAUAAUUCAUUAUUAAUUUGCUUGAUGGUGAUAGGCCAGUUCAGCAUAUGGCUGAUAUAUAAUGCUAACUCCGUUUUACCAGAACCAGACUCUCCUUGCAGGCAGAUACCAGCAGUUACCUCAUUAUUUAAAAGUAACUUCACCGUACGGCGUAGGGUGAUCGGGUUCGGACGAUAUUUAAUGUUUAACGGAGCACGAUAAGGCGUAACUUUUUUGAAAAUGGGUAUAAAAUCAUUUUCGUUAAAGCAGUCUACAUUAAAAUGUUCGUUUGCACGGACAACAAUAUAUUCCUCCUCAUCCAUGUAUUCCUUUGCUUUGGUUAACUCAUGAGCUUUGAAAUAUUUAAUUUCUAAAUCAGAGUUUGCGUUCAAAGUCAGAACAUUAGCAUUGGUGUUAGCAGCAGUAGCGUGUGUCAUAUAUAACUCCAUUAGAUAUGUAUAAAAUUAAAUGUUUUUGAUAAUAGCUUUGGAAGUGCUGAAAAGUAAUCCGUAGUCAAAACCGUAUGCAUGAGAUAUGACCUUACAAGCAUCAGAAUGUAACCACAGAAUAUAAUCAACAGCUUCUGUUUUGAGAACGUAUGAAUCGGUACUUUGAUCCAGUGUCCAAGCGCCAUUUUCACUUAAAUAAUCAAGGAUAAGCAUUUGCUCGUCGAAAAUCUUUUUUAAGAUUUUCAAUCUGUCAGCUAUUGACCAUCGGAUUAUCAAUGAUCUCCUUGUGUCACAAUAUCUUUCAUCCAGGAAAUAUGUCCAUUUAAUCGGCCCUUUGAUGGGAUGAGAAAAUGUUAAGUUAUCAGUUUCCAAUGAUUUAAUAAGAUUUUGCAUUGACUCUCUUGUUCGUAUCUCAAGUAAAAGUCGCGACUUAAUAAAACUAAUAAUUUCAUCAGGGUCAUAUCCAAAACGAUGACACACAAUUUGAAAUUGUUUUGUACAAUACCAAUCUAACUCAAUUUUUAAUUUGGGAGUUAAAUAUCGAAACCCAUGGGCAUCAAUUUUAUAAACCAUAGACUGGUCUAUAUGGUACUGAACAGUUACAAACGAUGAUUCCAUUAUUUUGUAGAAGAACGUGGAGAUAUGUUCAUCGGACCAACUGAAAUCAUCGAGCUCUUGGUAGUUAUGGUACGAUACGUUGUUACCAUCAUCUUCAUCGAUUGAGCUUGACUCCACAGGUAUAUAUACCUUUUCCUUAACCUCUUCAUCUUCAAAUAAGAAUCUGAAACUAAGUUGGUUUUCAUUCACAAUCUUUUUAAAUUUACUACUUAAAUGCAUGAUAGGGUUCUCCAAAGGAGAAACCCAAAUGGGAUUUCUCCCAGUAGGGGGUAAAAAAUUAUUAACGUGUUAAGAACCGGGAACCGCCGAAACCUUCAAUAGGCUUAGGAGCUCUGUGAAUCAAUUUCUGGGCCUGGACUCUUACAACAGUCAAUUCACCAGAGUGAACUUUAUCCGUCACCAGACAACCAGAUAUCAUCAGGUUAUCGCCUCGUAUAAUCUCUUUAAACUCCUUAUCAUACAGGUCUUGAGGUAUUUUCACCUGAAUCGAUGAAACUACCAUUUCUAUUUUACCAUUUCUAUCCAUUUCCUGUUUGUUAUCCAGUAUUAGCAUAAUAGUGUCAUAUUCAGGACGAAUAAUAACCUUAUUAACUUCACCGGAUACGCAAACGGUAUUAAUGUGAUUUGUAUACAUAUUAGGUCUCUUUUAAAAAAGUAAAAAGAGACCCAGAAGGAGUCUCUUUUCUCCUUACGGAAAUGAAAUAACAAAACUAAAUAUUAAUGCAAUCAUCUUUAAUCACCUUCCCUUGAAACAAGAAAGGAAUUAAAAAAAACCAGAAUAACUAAAAAAAUUAUAAAGACUAACAGAGAUACCAUAUGCAAUAAGAGCACAAGCAGAACCUUUCAGUACUCUUGAAACUGUUACAUCAUAGAGUUUACCUGAGUCUUUAAGAUCGUCUUUCUUAGCUUCGAUCAUAACUUCAUUAUCUUGAUUCUUUUCCAUUGCUGCUCGGGCUUUCAAUUCAUCAUCUUUCAAUGAUGCUUCAAGCUUAAGCAGGCGAGGCAUUAAAUCAGCAACAACAAAAUCAAAACCAUUUACUUUGUGGAUCAUCAUUUCUUUGAAAGAUAAGUCAUAAUGCUUAUCCUUAAGGCCAAACUCCUGCAUCAAAGGCUUCAAUUUACCAUAAAGGUCAUUGAGGUCCUGAUGAGGGGAUUCAACAGUCUCAAUAAAGUGCUGACGUUUAUAAAAAACAUGCACCUCAUCUAAGACCAUUUCAAGCCAUUGACCCACUUUAACAGCUCCAAGCUUAAUCAGUUUUUCUUUACCGAAGUUAAGAUUUUCUGAUGUGAUGAUAGAGCUAAUAUUCAACUCAACAAAUUUUUUAUCUAGAGAUGACAAAAAAUCUUCGAGGUUUUUUUCACGCGGAAUAUCAGGAAACUCUUCAAGAAGUUGCUCAGCCUCAUCGAGGUCGAUCUCCUUAAUGAAUGCAUCACCAACAUUAACGCUAUAGAUUACAGAACGUUCACAACCAACUAAAUGCUUCAGUUUAGAACUUUCUUCAAGCGCUUUUAACUCGAUUACGCGGCUGACAGAUUCUGUCAUGUACCAGACGUAUGUCUUAUCGUUAUCAGAGCCCUUUUCUAAUUUAGAUAUAUCACUACCAGUAUUUGAUGGUGGGAUUUCUUCACCAUAAAAUGCUUUAGCAUGAGCCAUCAAAAUUGAGUCUUUAUCAAUUUUGUUAGCAGCCGGUCGUGAAGUUCUAGCAGUAGUGGAGCUUUUAGCACGAGUAGCAGCUGUAGCAUUAGAUUUAGCAGUAGAUUUAGCAGUAGUAGAAGUAGUCAUUUUAUAUACCUUUAAAUUUAGUGUUAAUUCAAUUGAACCGUGUUUACAGUUUUGUUGAAAUUGGCGAAUGCCGUCGUUUAUCACCCGGAAGCAACAAACCGCCUGAAUUUAUACUUUUCUGGCAUUAAAAAGUCCGUAGAAAGUCACUUUUAAAAAAGUAAUUAAGCUACGAGUUGUGGAAAUACAGAUGUGAGAAAUCGCACCAGCGCCACUUUUUUUUGGAAGAGGCUCUGGUGUCGAAACUCAAAAUUGAGCUAUCCAUUUAUGGAUAUCUUAGAAGAGAUAAAGGUAUUAAAAGUAAAUCUAUUGAGAAGUUUAUACAUCAUUCGUGUUUCAUUGUAAACACAAAUCUUCAUUACCCUCGAUAACUGCAUUUUCUUCUGAUAACUCAACAACUUUAGGGAACGACUCAGUUAUAAAUUCUGAUGGUUUGCCAUUCCAGGUAAUGUAAAGCUCUAGCUCUGCCCUGGUCAUCCCAACAAAAAACAAACGUCUCUCCUCUUCUAUUCCUUCCUCACCAAUAACCUUCGGUGAAGGUAUUUGAUCAUGGUUACAGUUAAUGAUGAUUACUUUUUUCCAUUCGAGUCCUUUUGAGCCAUGAAGCGUACAGAGGCAGAUCCCGUUUUGCUCUGUUUCACUGGUUUCCUUUUUACUUCCCAUGGUCAUUCCAGCUGCAAUAUUCAGCAUCUUGAGCCAUCCAUCUUUUAUGGCCCAUCGGUAACAGGACAUUAAAGAGAUACGGGUUACAGACGGGUCUCCUUUUGUAUUCGACAUCUUGUAACCGGCCAUCCCCAGCCAAUCUUUGAUUUUUUUAAAACGGUCUUCAAUUUCUUCUUUUAUCAGUGUAUCUGUCAUCAUCGAUACCAUGUGCUUAUGAAGCGUUUUUGUAAGAACAGAUACAUCAUGAGGGAGGUCAAUUUGUUGAAAAGUUACUUUUCUGGUGCUCAUGGUUUUCCAGACCAUAUCCAGAAUUUGCUCAUCCUCAUUGAAAAAGGACAGCACUCUUUUCAUCAGCCCAAUGUUGCCAGGCUGUCGGAAAAAGGAGAACAGGUGAAGGAUGUUACUUGGCUCUAACCCUUCCCAGAAUGAUUUACCCCCUAUCCUUGUUACAGGCAUUUCAAGGUAGCUUUCCAUCUUGUCUAGGGUUGUGUUGUUUCGGCUGAGGAUUGCCCAGUCAUGAGGGUUUCGCUCCACCAGCUCCUUAAUCACAUCGAAUUGGUCCUCAGCGUUAGCUGACCGUAUAAAAGUUACUUUCCCCUUAUCACCUUUUCUGCCAGAAACGAGGCUCUUCUCAUAACGGGCCUUGUUCUUCCUGAUAACGGUAUCUGCAUACUUGAGGAUCAGCGGAGCGCACCUGAAACAUUUUGUCAGGUGAAAAACGUUAGGGUUGUAUGCUUUGUCAAACUGACGAAAAAUCUUUACACCACCGGCAUCUCUGAAACUGUAGAUGGUCUGGUCAUCAUCUCCAACAAUCGUUGUGUUGAUUCCCCUCUUUGCAUGCUCAGAUAUCCAGGUAAAUUGAAUACUAUCGGUGUCCUGCACUUCAUCAACAAUCAGAUGCGUGAUGCUUAAUGGUCUCAUCUUGUCGGCACUCAACAUGCCCACUACAUACUUUGAUAGUGAGUUGAAGUCAGCAACAUUAUCCUUUUUGCAAAAGUUCAUGUACUCGUUGUAGAAGGCCACCUGUUCGCGUGUAUAUUUAAUCCUGAUAAUGUCUGGGUUCAGCUCACGACCAAUCCCGUCAAUGAAUGGCAUAAUGUCGUAGACACCUUCAUGGUAGUUAAGGUGUUUUUGAACUCGGGAAACCAUUGCCAUUUGCUUGUGACCAAUCAGCAGCCCACCGUUCCAGCCUGACUGGUUAACCAUUUUUUUUAUAAACCCGUGGAAAGUAUCUACCUCUAUCCUACUCAUAAACUUAGGCUCUAUCAUUUUCUGGAGGCUAUUUUUUAAUGAGUCUGUCGCUGCCCGGGUAAAGGUGACUAGAGAAACCCUUGCCAAAGGAUGGCGCUGAAAAAUGGACUUUGUACCUUCUUUCAUCGUGAAUGAUUUCCCACUUCCUGGGCAGGCUAUAACCAUAGUGUUUUUAUCCAUGUUUCGUAUAACACGGUCUUGUUCUUCAGUACUCGAUGCCAUCUUAGCUCCUAUAUUUCCAAGUGUUUAUCAUGACACAAUCAGGAGGAUUUUUUUGGGAAUAGUGUCUAUUUAAGAAGGUUGUCAAUUUUUAUUCAUUUUAAUGUUUGCUCAUCUGUAAUUAACUUGCACAUAAGAAGAUCAAUCUUAACUCAGUUCACUCUUAUAAACUCUCACUGUUUAUGACAAAAACAAAGCUGGAACAAAAAAUACCCCCUUGCACAAUGAAUUUUAUAUGGAAUAAUAAAAUUAAAUAAACCACUGGGACACUUAAAUGAAAAAGACACUGACCACUGUAUUGGCUUGCACACUUCUUGCAGGUUGUGCUACGCAACCAACCAGUCCGGAAAACCGCAUGUUUACUAAAAUGCAUGACGUCUACUGGCACUCAGAUCCUCAGAAAUCCCUAGCAGUAAACGCGUAUUCGUUGGCUGGGGUUCAGGUAAACGUCGAAGAAGCUGAGAAUGCCUCUGGAGGCGUCGAUGAGGGGCUUGCCUCUAAAAUGCUUUUGAACACGGCGACAGGAGCUAUCACCGGCGGACUCAAAGCUGGAAUUGGGAUGUUUACCGCAUCACUUUAUAGUGAAGCAGAUGCGGAAUACAUCCAGACCCCACAAUUUGUCGUUUUCGUGCCAAACCCAACUAAACUUCCAUACAAUGAUUCGGCACUUGUAAAAAAUGGGGCAAAAAUAAUUAUCGAUGCUAUCAAAGAUCAUCCUAAACUAAACAAUGCUACUUACUCACAACAAAUCAAAGCUCUUUCUGAAUGUACAAUAAGUAAGUCCUUUAUGGGGCCUUGGGAUACGUGUGAGACUAAAACUGAAGUACCGCAAUCUGGUAGUAAUGGAACAACCUUCUUUAAGUAUCAAGUAAUCCGUCCAGCCACUGGGUCAGAACUAGAUGAAUUACAUAUGAAAGCUGGUAAUUAUACAGUUAUACGAUAUGUCUACUUUAUGGUGAAGGGACUAUCUUUUGAUACCACUGGUUUCCCUGGGUUUACACUAAUGCCUCAAACACCAAAAACGGCCCCGGGCUAUGCAAGUGUAUCUAUAAAUGGCGGAGAAUAUUACUUUAUCAAGGGUGGUUUAGGAUAUAAAAAAUUCCCUUUAAAAAAAGGCAUUGAUUAAAAAUAUUAUAAUCUGACCGGGCUAUACCCGGUCAGAUGGUUAUUUGAUAAUAGCUCCGGUAAUAGGGUCCGUGUAAACUGAACCUACAUCGCAGAUUGCUGGUCUUGGUAAGUAUGAACAGUCAACAUUUUCUGCUUUCAAAGCCUGCGUAUUCUCUUCCCUAGCUUUUGUCAUGUUGACAUCACCACCCAUUGACUCUAAUGCUCUUUCAGAAGGUAACUGUGCAUUGUCGUUCUUAUAAGGACCCAUGUUAGCAACUGAGCUUUCUGUAAAUGUUGCAUAUUCAUCGGGGACCUCCCCUGCUACAACGGCAGACUCAAUAUACUCAGUCAUGUCUAUUUUAUCCCAGUCAAGUUGCUGAACCUGAGAUAUGGUUAACCCUACACAACCACUUUCUAUGGGAUUAAUACCUAAUUGAGGAUAAGCCUGCUGCAUUAUAACUCGCGAUAAUAACGAGUUGUAACAACACAUAUCAGUUGCUUUUUUAAUACAUUUCUUUGUGAAUCCAACGUUCAGAUAUUUAACACAACGGUCGGUAUCAAUUACAAAACAUGCUCCUUGAUUCUUGUGUAUUGAUGCCUCCAUUUCCUUUUGGUCACAGGCAAGAAGCAUUUCGAGAAGCAUUUUUGUUAUUUGAUAAGCUGUAUAAAUCCAACCAAUAACAUUCAAGGCCAACAUAAAGUUGGUAACAGCUGAGGAAAAAACAGCCUGCCCGGCUGCACUUGCUGUUUUAUCAAAAACAAAGUCCCUAAUUGCGUCGGGUAACAUGUCGUAAGCUUUAUUCAUUAACUGCUGUUUAAUUGCAGCGAGUCCUCCAGUCUGUAACCCGUCUUUGGUAAGCUCAGUUGCGGCUGCGGAACCACCCCCCUCUACUGUGGUUGAUCCAAUCAGUUUAGAAACGUUGCCUGUAACUGACUCAUACACUGACGUCAGGGGUUCGGUCACUCGUUGCCACAUUUGACCCACACUUGACGAUACUCCGGACGUCCAUUGCCCUACUGAAUUAGUCAUAGAGGCCCAGGUACCGGAUUCGCCUCCAGUCCAGGUCGUCAACUUAGCUGAGAUUUUACUCCAGUUUGUAUUUCUCAACAUGGUACCUGCCAGGAUAAUGGCUUCAAGCUUACCAGCUGCUCCUUCAGGAGCUUCGCAGCAGUCAGUUUUUGCGAGUCCAUUAACAAAACCUACAGAGCGACCGCACCAUUGCUUCUCACCAGAAAAAACAAUGCAGGAGUUUGAAUCAUUUGGGUCGCUGCACAUUGCGUCACCCUGCAUAUUCUGGACCAUGCUUGUGUAGGCAACAACUUUUCCAAAAUCUUUAUUUUCCUCAUUUGCACCAGUAUUACACGUACCACCAGAACAUGGGAUCAUACCUAUGCAAGUAUUAGACUCAUUAGUAAUAGUAACGGUUCUUGUUGUGCCUUCAUCGCAAGUCCAUUUUUGUUCAUACAUAUAGCAUUGAUUCGUGCCUUCAUCGAACCAUCCUUCUGCACACGAUUGUUUUGACAUCGAACACGACGAGUUUGUGGAGUAUUUGGAGCAUGCAUCUGGCAUGGUCUUUAUAUCAUCGUAGUUGUAACAGGCAUCAUUCCCAUCAGCAUCUUUCAAGAUAUUACCUGAUGCGUCAUACUGACAUAAUUUUUCUUUUCCUAGUGGGUCACAGAAAUAACCUUCUAGGUUUGUUUUCCAGGUUAUAUUGUUUGUGUCUCCGUCAUAAAGAGGUGACGCAUAUUGCAGAAUAGACUGUGGUAGUCGUUUUGUUCCAACAUCCAAAUCGUUAAAUCUAUCAAAGCGACAAAAUGAGUCUGUUUUUUUUACAGCUUCAUAGCACCCUGCUGGUUCUUGUAUGUGUUUGUCUUCAAGUUUAAUAUUUUCAAAUAUCAAUUCUACUUCAAAAUACCCUUCGCCUUUACCACCUACCCAUACAGUGGAUGACAUUUCAACUUCAUUGUCUGACUCAUCGUAUACUGAUUUUUUGACUUGUUCAGUAACAUCAAUAGGCUCUUGUAGUUUAUUUGAUGUUUUUCUCUCAAGACCAUUUCUUGGCGAACCAUAACCCGGAUCACGAUAUUCACCAUCUAUAUGUGCGAAAAUUUGGGUGUUAUCUAUUUUGACCUGCAUGUGAUCAUCCCAUUCUGCAGAAACUAUUUUGGCAGAUUUAAUGACAGCAUCCUGGUGAAAAUGAAGUGACAUACUAUUUUCAUGCACGCCCUCAUCAAAAUAGUCAUCACCAUGUCGUCCGAACCAGACUCUUAUACAAUUGUCACCACAUACGCUUAGGUCGCCAUUUCCUCCUGAAAUGUAUACAGGAACACUAAAUUCACGAGUUAUCGUACAACUGCUGUAAUUAUCCUUUUUAGGUGCAUUACAGUAAUACUCCUUAUAAUCUGGAGUGUGUUUGUCAAUUGUUGAAGUAGUUGUCUGCGUUGAGCAAUUCUGUAGCCACUGCCCUGUUCCGGCUGCUGCAUUGGCAAUCUCGCUUCUUCCACUCGUGAACAUAGGGUCAUUUGGUGAAAUAUUAGGUAUAGGAUUCGACUUGGUAGCAGACACCAGCGACCGGUAGGCCUGGCCGUCAUAGCUGUUUGCUGUAAAAAGCUGACUUUUCCUGUUUUUAAUAUCCUCUACAAACCCCUUCUCAUCCCCAUAACUGUCAUCUGCAUUAAACUGAACAUCAGCAUUAUUUUGCUCUGAACUGUACAUUUCAGCCGUAUUGGUGCCCGUUAUUCUGCCACCAGCAUUAGGGUUAGGUUUAAUUGAUAUACUUCCAUCUUCAUUCCUGGAAAGUAACUUUCCUCCAUUUUCAGUUCCAUUAAUUGUUAUGUUAUUCCCACUCAUCUUUGGAAGUGAAACUGUUCCUGCUAUAUCAGCUCCGUCUGUUUUUGCAAAGUUUAAUACAUCCUCAUUAGAAAACUGCUUACCACUGUACUUACUCAUAUCAACACUUGAAGAGCCAGUGUUGUCGUAUGAAUUCAGUUUCUCAGUGUAUGAACCCCCUUCACUACUCUUAUAUUUUUCCAGAAUAUUAUCUGUCGUAACCGUUGCGGUUCUGUUUGCAGCGGGGUUACUUAGGUCAAAGGUAUUUUCAAGACUCUCAUAUAUUUCGUUUGCGGCAUAAACCCUUGGGGUCAAUACCAUGUUUAUCAGGGUGACAUAAUAUGCCCAACUCAGUGUGUUAGUUAUUAUGGAUACGGAUAAAAUCAAAGAAAUAAUUUUUUUCAUAUGUUUUACCGUUAUCAAGGGAUAUAUCUAACGCAACAGUCAUUAUAUCUCCACAGCAUAUAUACGUAGUUAUUAACACCUAUUCGUUUACGCCCGCCUUUUCUAGUGGACCAGUCAUGGACUGAAUCACCUAAUCGAUGGCAACACUCAGGCCCUUCUGCUUCCGGAACGGGGUAUAACAUCGACAAACGAUAUUGCGAUCUUGGCAUGAAGUAACUAAAUCCUCGCUCACACAUCGCAUCCUUACCCAUCGUUUGCAUCAGCAUUCCUUGUCUGUGAAGUUUUGUUAUCAUUCGUUGUGUCAGCAAAGAUGAAACUCUGACUGAAUCGUCGUUCGCAAAUACGUGGCCCGUUAACGGAUAUAGAUUGCCAUCGCAUCCGGCGCAAAAGUGUGCACUCAAGUUAUCUGCCCCUGCAGUCACUUUGACGCAGUCUGCUGCACACCACAUAGAAGCAAUAGGGUUUGCAAACACUACAGCCUCUGGAUUCAGAACGAGCGUAAGAAGGUCAUUUUCCCAAAGAGGGUCUACCUCACUUAUAUAUGUCAGAGACGGAUCAAUGUAUGGCUCGGCCGUACAAUCCCCCAUGAUGAGAAGCUUUAGCAUGACCAGUAUCGGGAAUUCCCAUAAAUGAACAUCAUAAAACCCCGCUUCGUUACCACCUUUCGGUUUAUUGGUAGCGCCUUUGCCCAUAUCAAAACUCGAUGCCUGCAGGCUUACACCUUCGAGAACUGGUGAACACCACGGGGACUGAACUACUUCAACCAUUUUUACUGGUUGAAAGAACGAAAGCUGCCAGCCAACCUCAGGAACCCCGUUCUGGUCAGUACAGAAACAAACAGGUUCUGAAGGGGCUGCUCCUUCUGGUGCUUUACCUACUCCCAUAAUUCUCAUAGGGAAAAUACAGCUCCAGCAAAUAUUUUUGAUUAGCCCUUUCCAUACGCCAGCUGAUUGACAAAUACCACUACCGUUUUCAGCACCUAUUGCCAUACGAGGGAGCGCCAGAGAAAGCAUAAGGGCAGUAAAUGCGGGCAAAAGUAACUUUUUAAUCAUUCCGCAAUUCCUUUCUCUGAUUGUUUGUUUACGCGGGUAUAUUCACGCACAUCUGCCUGAGCAAAUUGCUGGACUUUAAAAUAGGCCCCUUCAACUGAAAUUAUUGAUGGUGUGGCUUUAAUGAGAAAACGAUUAAUGAUUUCAGGAUUAAUUUUGUACAUCUGGCCGUAAAAUUGACCCCGUAGCUCUUCAAGGUGUUUCCAGCCGUCAUCCCGUUUCAGACGAGUAAAGAUAGGCAUAACCUUACCUUCCCCAAAACGAUGCAUAAACUGUAUUUUUGCCCAGUCGAGCUGCUCAGAGCUCAUUGGAUCAAAGAUAAUCAUCGUCAGUUUUUGCGGGAACUGUGCGAGCGGGUUGCCUCGCUGCCCUGCUGCGGCCAGCAGGUUGCCCUGGUUGUCUUUGAUGUCCUGGUUAACCUGAAUAGUCGGGUCGAUGUACCAGAUUUUAUUUUCAUCAGUAACGGGAAGUGAUGCCAUCCACUGAUUGUUCCAGGUGUCUUUAAUGGCGUUUCUUUUUGCCGCCUCCCAGUCAUAUUUGCUGCUUCUUUCUUCGAGUUCCUGAAUAAUGCUUUUCUCUUUAACAGGGAAUGUUUGAGCUGUCACCGGGAAGGUCGUCCUGUCUGGAUCUUCCUCAAUCUGUUUCAUGAAAUAUUUAAUGUUAAUAGAACCACUGAUUUUGUAGGUCUUAUCAUCUUUUCUGUAAACCAUCGUAGGAACUUCUUUCACACCGUACUGGGUGAAGCUUUCUGGAUCGAGGGUUACUAACGGCUCUGUUUUAACUUUUGAAUUGGCGAUAUAGGCUUUCAAAACUACCUGCAUCUGAAUGAGGUUAUCUACCCCAUCUUUAAGUCCACGGAAAACAACACGUGCUUUAUUCUCAGAUGCCGUCUUUAUCAGGUCAUUUAAUACGUAGUCUGGCAUACUAAAUGAUGCAAAAAUUGUUAACCCGUUAUCUGUCGACAGCUCUUCAUUUCGGUUGUUAUCUAAUUUACGUUCGAAAUCCUGUGCCGUAAUACCCGACUUCCCAAACAUUUUUUCAACGUUAGAAGACUGGGUUCGCAUUGUCUGGUUUUUCGAAUUGUUGAUAGUGUCGGCUUCUUCUGCAUAGGCCUCAGUAGGCUGAUUCUUUUUAAUGUCCUGCGCUAUAUCACUCAUUGCAUUAGAUUCACGCAUCUUACCAGUGUGCUCUAUUACUGCACGAACACUGUCAGAAACCGAGCUGGGAUUGUAUCGAGGUGUACCGACAAUAGACUCCAUGCUUUGCGGUUUCGAAGGGUUAAUCGCGUCAUCUGCAUAUGACAGAGGGGUGGCUAAAAGGUAGCAAAAAAGUAACUUUUUAAGGCAUUCAGAAUACGGCAUAUGCUUUUCCUGUGAUUGUCGUUUCUGGUACUGUUCCCCAAAAACGGGAAUCCCAUGAGUAAUCGGUUUGGCCUACAACGAAAAUGUGACCUGCGGGAACCGUAAUUUCACGGUUCAAUGUCUGCGAGUCAAUCUGAUAUUUUUUGGCAAUACGUCUGCCGUCCACCGGGAAAAUACGUUCUCCGUUUUUGACGAAUGUUUCUGUAAUCUGGAUUUUGUCCCCACCUUUACCAGCAACGAUUUUUAUUACCUUAUCACCUGGUUUAAUGAAUCGAACAUCUCUGUCCAUGGUGAAGUUAAUCAUGUCCCCAAUUUCAUAACUCUUAUCAUGGUUAUCCACCAUGUAAUACUCAGCAGGAAUACAGCCGUACAGUAGCCCGUGGCCCAGGGUGAAGCGGGAAAAGAACAGGUGCGUUAAUACCGCUAUGAUCACAAGGUGCAGAAUAAGAGAUUUAUCUACUCUUAAAAAACCCCUUUGGUGCGGAGAAAGAUAUCUUAGGGACAUCAACAUAAGAUGGGUCCUGAUUGAUUAUUUCUGAAUAUUAUGCCCCAAAGAAAAAAACCAUUUUCUUAAUAACAGGAUGAUUUUAAUGAUUUACCCAAAAAAAAUAGCCCCUGUUUCAGGGGCUAUAGUUGUUAAGGGCUCAGGCUAGUUAUUCAGAGUAAUGUAGCUUGUCGCCGUAUCUCCGCUGUCGUCGUAUGCCGUGAUAGAAACCACCAGCUUACCUUUGUUUUGAGCCUUGGACAGUGUUGCAGUGCUUCCGAACACACCACGAACCUGUCCAUUUACCUUCCAGACAUAACUGGAAAUCUUACCGUCAGGGUCACUACAUUUCGAUGUAAAUGACCAGCUCAGCGGGGUCUCAGUGUAUGUCAGGUUACAGGUCGGCGGGGUGUUCGGUAUCACGUCAAAGUCUACCGUGACAACCCCUCUCUGGCCCUGCUUACUGACCACGUCCAUUUCAAGCUUAUAUGUGCCUUCCAUGAUGUUCUCAAACGUCUGUGACCAGUAGUUUUUCCCACCAUCAACAGGCUUACCAUUCAGCUUAAAGGUUACAUUAUCAAUUGAGUCUGCCGAGUGGGCCAGCUUCACACUUGACCUCAUGGACAGAUCCAACGGUGCCCUCAUAAACUUGCUGGAGUAUUUCGGGUUAACCGUUAUUUCCAUCGGGCUCUGUUCGUUCACGACGAAAGUAUAAUCAACCCGGGCCUCAUUAUUCCGGUUAUCCUUCAGGACAUAAGUGAGUGUAUGGGUACCUGAUUUUGUUACCUGGAAUACCUUGUUACCGUUAUUGUCGCUGGACAGCGUCAUCGCAUCUUUGUUGUACUGCCAGUCCUGGGUGAACACAACACCCGGAUAAGAUACAUCCACGUCAGAGACCGAUACAGCAAGCUCUGAGGGGAUCAUGGUGUAUUUCAGUUUUGUAUUCAGGCGCGGUUGCGGGAAUUUGUAUACCCAGGAUUUCACGCUGAUUUUACGUUUCGCAAUGGUCCUGUCCUGUGCCUCCGGCAUGUAGGCCUGAUAGGUAAAGGCUGCAUACCCACGGGCAUCUAACAUGUCUUCGGUCAGGACAGUAUCCAGCAGACCACCUUGUUUAAUGCUGCCAUCAGGGAGCACCCACUCCUCGACAACCUUAGCAUCAGAUGAAUACUCGAUAUUUGGGUUCGUAUAGGUACCCUGCAAAGUUACUUUUUUACCUACCUCAACCUGCGAGUUCCCAUCGACCCUAACAGACAAUUUCUUGUGCUUAAUGACGGUUACUCGGGCCCUGGUUUCUUUCCAUGCCGAUGUCCCGGCCAUAUCGUCGGUCUCGGUAUACCGUACUUUUGCAAAGAUAUAUUUUGGAACCUCAGAGGACGUGAUCAUGUAUUUCACGCCGCCCUCAGUCCAUUCCUCUCCAUCCUCGGACCACUGAACUUCAACUGCACUGCCCUGUACAUCUUCAUUGUUGUCAGUCAGUGUUACCGGGAUGCUGUGGCCCUCAAGAACCUUGCCCACUGAAAUAACCGGUUUCGGCUCUCUGUACGCAACGACUGUGAGAUUAUCGGUAUAGGAGACCUUACCGGUGUACUUGUUGGUCAGUUUGGCACGGUAAAGCCACUUACCAACCUCUUUUUGUUUAAUACUGACGCUUCGAAGACCCGUCAUAUCUUCAAUCGUGUUCCAGGUCGAACCAUUGUUACUGGAAAUCUGCCAUUCAGUUGGGCUCAGGGAAUCAUAAUCAUCGGUACUUUUCGUCCUGAAUGAAACCAUUGCCGACAGAGGAACACGGCCGACAAUAAGCGAUUUAGACAGACCACCUUCGAGGUCAGCCCCUUUAUAAACCCUUAUAUUGGUUGUUGACGUCUCACGUUUGAGAACAAAAUCUUCAAACGGGCUGCGAACCGUUGCAACGGCGAUAAUGCGGUGGCUACCCAGUGUCAGAUCAUCCAUGUUGAGCUCACCAGUCGCAAUCCCCUCAGAGUUGACGGCCAGAUUACCUGUCAGUGGUGUGCGCUCUGAUACCGAUACAUCUUUACCGGUUUCUUGAUCAGUCACCCAUUUGGAAGUGACUUUAUACACCACCACAUCCCAGUUACCCAUAGUGGAAGCAUCGUACAAUGUACAGUUACAACUGUUAUUCCAUUGCCCAAUGUUAACCGACACCGGCACCUUGAGGCUUGUCGCUGAUUUACGCUCUUCAACCUUCAUGUAGGCACGAAUACCGAAGUUAGGAACUGUAUAAACCUUAAGCACACUGGAUGAAUUUAUGCUGGCUUCAUUUUCAUAGGCCGCAUCGAUAUUGACAUUCGUUUGCGUCCACAAAGGUGCUGCCGGGACCUUUAUACGCUCAGAAUAAGUGACCGGUGUAUCACCCCCCGACUUAUUCUUGUAGGUUUUAGUUUUAGCGUCCUGGCCCUCUACCUUAGUCGUAAGGACAAUGUUUGCAGGAACUGAUUUUGCCAGUACCUUAGCAGCGUCCCCGCCAGUGAUGUAAACCAGAGCUGUAUUCUUACCGAGGGUAUCUACGGUUUUACUUAGUUUGUAGGAAAUCUCCGGUGCAAACGGUUCAACGGCAUUAAGCGUUUUACGGUUAUGGGUGGCUAGGGCUUUGGAGCCUUUUGUAUUAAUCACAUAGACGUUGUAGUCAAGGACGUUAUCGCCAACUUUAGAGAAGUAACCUGUCAGGCCUGGCGCCUUAGAUUUCGAGUAAAAUUCGAGACCUGAUGGAACGUUGUUCCACUGAACAUAACAGGCUGUGCCGUAAACGCCUGUACCGAACUGGCUCAGGAGCGCCUGUGCAUCUUCCUCAGUGGAGAAAAUCUUACAAGUAUUCCCUGAUAGCUGUGUAACCAGUGAGGUAUAAGGACGCACGUAACUGUAAAUUGUGGAUGCAGAGUCAAUGGACUUCAGCGUGAAAGUCAUCGGCAUAUAGGUGAAAUCGAUGUUAUACGUUUUCGAUAUACCGUUAACGUUCUCAGCCACAACCGUCAAAGUAUGGACUUUGUUUGUUUCGAGUGACGGCAUCGCCUGCAACCGGUAGAUCCCUUUGACGUUGGUCGGGCUGUAGGAAGCCAUGACAUUGUCAAUGACGACACUCUUGAUAUCGGCCACGCCCUCUUCACCCUGGAAUGCAGCAAUAACGAUUUCAUUCAGGAAGUAAACCUGAUCACGCUUAACAAGCUCUGCGCCCUCCUUAUAGACGGAAACAGAUGGCUCAUCAGAAAGAAUAAGUUUUGCUUCAGGCUCUGUGUAGUUCGAGUCGUUACCCGCUGUAUUCGAGACAGAAUACGUCGCAUUGUAAGACGCGCUAGCCAGAUCGCUUAUGUCAAAGAAAUAGACAAAUUUACCCGCAACUUCCUGGUACCCGGCAACCGGCUGAAGAGUUCGGCGGGAUGGUGAUGACCAGAUUUUGUUGAAGUUUAGCUCCGUACCAUCAUCUAAAGUAACUUUUGUGGUUGGAGAGAAACUACCAUCAGGUGCAAGUGUGAGCGACAUUGCAGCCGGUUUCCACCAGUCACUGGUAUCUGACCGGGCCGGUACCGAAACAGCGACAGCGAUCGUCUGGGGAGCAACGUAGAUAUCUUUAUCGCCGACUUUGAAUGCGCGAGCUUCUUUAGAAACGUUCCAGAAAGUGGUAUCUACCGCUGGAGCACGAUAAUCCCAGCUUAGUCUGACGUUAGACGUCACGGGUGGUGAGAAGUAAUUAUUGAAUGAAUUUAAGGUAACACCUACAUCCCUGGUGCCGAAAUCUGAACUUCCAUCGGUAAUACCCACACUGCCGGUCGUAAUGGUACAUUUUGAUGCACCAGCAGCAAUGGCGCAUGAGGUUCCGGAGCCGACAGAAGCGACCAUAUCAUAGUCACGCGGUUCGACGGUGAUAUCAAUAUUCGAGAGCGUUUCAUUUUUAAUGUAUGAAGUCAGCGAUAGACCGGUAGAGCCGUUGCUCAUUGAACCUUUUAUAGUUGAAAUCACAGGCGCGACUGGGGCAACAGUCUUGAAGAUGUACUCCCCUUCCCUGACGAUGACUUUUUCUCUUUCUGUCCCCGAGUAGUAGGCGAUUUGCCAGGGCAGUUUGAUAUCACCAGCUAUCGCAGGAAUACCUUUUAGAGAAAAUCCAUUGGCAACCGGCAUACCUGAGUUAUUAGGCAACCAUUCAAACACACAUUUAAGGCUACCAGUGGUACUUUUCACAUUGGGAUCAGAAGAAACGUCGCAACCAUCCGAAACCGGAAUGGCAGUCACCGUGCUUUGUUUUACGAAUGCAGUAUUUACAGCUGGGCUGGUCGAAAAUUUGACAUCAGGUAAUGACGUUUCCAGUGUUCCAGAAACCAUUAUCGAUUCUGCGUUUGAAAAAGCACUGAACACAGAACAGAACAUCAGCAAAGAGAUUUUGUUAAUUUUAGUCAUGGAACGCUCUGAACGUAGUUAUGCCAUAGUUGCACCUACUGUAUCCUAUGAACACAGUGUAUUUUCCCAAUUAAGAGAAGUGUUUUUUUUGAAAUUUCGUGAAAACUGAAAGGGGGACCCGAAAAAGUUACUUUUGAAAUUGCGCGUUGGCAUUAAGACGCAUACACGUUAAAAGCGUGUCAGAAGGAACACCAGGAUUUCGUGCCAGUAUGACGGACAGGAGGAAAAGACCUAACCGAAGGCAUGCGGCCGGUGCAAUGCUAAUUUUAUGUAUAAAGUUUGCAUCUCGUUCAUCCCUGUUAAUGGCUACGACUCCAGCCUCAAGCACUGCAGUGGGCUUGCCAUCAAAAGUAACUUUUACGUUUUUGUACACCUGCUUGUUCAGGUGCUUUGUUUUCUUAUCUUUAAGGACAGCGUCAUGAGUAAGGCGAAGGAAUGCCAUGCACAAGGUGAUCACUUCAUCGUCACUCAACUUUGUUGAAAAGACCUUUUGACCCGUCCAGUCAAAUGCACCCGGCUUGGAUUGUAGUGGUCCAGCCAGGAUUAGAUUGACAGCAUCAUUGGACUCAGAAAAAUUCAGCUCAAGCGCUGAUUUACCAGAAUUAAAAACCUUUUCAUUUCUGAACUUUUUUUGCGGAGAGUCAUAAGGAGUUAGAGUUUCCACCAGAUAUUUCCCUCACCUUCGUUAAUUAAAUCCUUAACCAGGCCAAUGUAGGUGUUUCCCCCAGAUUGCUUCAUCGCGAUGAUAUAAGCGCUGGUCUCAAGCAUUAGAUAAUUUCCCGAAGGCGCUCCGGGAGGAACCUCAUUAGCACUAAGGUUUUUAUUGUACUUUUUUUUAACGACCGAAGGGAUGUUGUUAAUCAUUAUUGUUUUUUCGUCAACAACCUGAAAAUUCAAACUGGUUUCAGCACCUGCCAGACUUACGGCAUGAACCGAAUCUUGCUUGAAACUCACCAGGUCCGGUUUAUUCAUAGUUACUAAAUAAAUACCUAGAAGAGUAAUGCAUGGAAUUAUGAAUAAACUAACUAUUUUAAUACUCACCUUCUUCAUCUUCAUCAUAUCCCCCGUGGGUCUGGCAAGCAGUAAUGUAAAGAAUCCUAAGCUGAUGUAGAAAAUUCUCUGCUGUUGCUCCACCUACAAAUGUUAUCAUUCUGUUGAUUCUGGUACCGGCAUCCUCAAGCUCAAACUCAGCGACUCCACAAUCUGACAUAAUAGUCAUAGUGUUUUCGUCUGGGUCAUCAUCAAGCGAAGGGGGGAUAAUAAUAGAUAGGAUAACAGUAUCUACUGGUGCUAUUUCCCAGUCGUGACCUUCACGUGCCAUAGGAAUUAUCUGAAUAAAAUACCCAUCCAGAAUCAAUGAAAGUGGAUUUCGCGUGCUAUCAGCAAAACCAAAUGUAUUGGCAGCUUCUUCGAAGUUUAAGCCAGAACGCUCAAUAAUCUUGAGAAGUUCCUGCUUUCGUACCCCAUGGUAAAUCAUGCCAUCUGUCAUCUGUAGUUACUCAUGUGCUUUGAUGGAUAGUGUGUUGCUAAAAAUCAUAUCAAAAACAGACUGCUCCUACCUUAACCAGAGCGAGUAAAAAAAUUUAACCUUCGCACUGACUCUAUAGGUUUAUCUAAUCUUAGCUUAACAUGUAAGCAACCAUCCCUCGAAGUUUUUAAACUCAAAAGCUCAACGUAAACGAGCUGAAACCAGCAAAUGGCACGUAUUAUUCACUUGUUCAACAAAAUCAUCAAUCCAAAGACACAUUUUUAAAUGCAACAAAAGUCACUUUUUUCAGAACUGGCCUAAUUUAACCCGUAUUAGAAACUGGGACUGGGAUUGAAUAGCGAGACCUUAAACUGAAGCAUUCAGGAAAUGCAUCGCUUUGAUUUUGAUGUACCGCCUUGUAAAACAACACGUUAAACUUACAUGACGAUACAAAACGUUAUGCUUUCUCUUCGGUUCUUUAUCGUUUGAUGUGCCAGUAAGAGAGCGAUUAAACCCUGACGGAGAAUGAAGGCAACGCACAAGGGGUCUGACCUCUGAUAACUUUUUAGCCACGCCUGUUUUCACUCUACUUAGUAAGGAUUCUCAUAAAUAGCUAAAAAAGUCACUUUUACAGAAAUCUGACUAUGUCAUGAAAAAAAAUAGUAAAAAAAGAGCAUUUUGGCUCGCUGGCGACCUCAUCUCCGCACGCAUAAAGGUAUGAUCUAGCAGAGGUGAUAAAUGACUAUUCUUUCAAAUCUAAGUAUUGACCUGAAUGAUUUCACUGGACGGAUUCUAAUCGUCAGUGACCUUUUUGGUCACUUUGAAUUAUUAAUCAAAGGGCUUUCAAAACUGACACGGCCCGGCGAUGAAGUGGUUAUUAUAACAACCGGUAAUUUAUUUGACUGGGGCCCGUCUGCCCCCCAACUGCUUGAAGCGGUUGUUUAUAAAAAAUUUGGUGACAGAAAAGUACACUUUUUCACGGUGGUAGGUUUUCAUGAAAUGCUUAUGACUGAUGCUAUCACUCAAAAGAACCUGAAAAGCUUCCGGUACUUUCCAGAUACGCAUACUCGUAAACACUGGAGAAGUUUAGGUGGUAGCUGGCAUGACUCAUACGAUCAAAUUUUGCUUGAGCGUGAUAUUUACAAAAUCGACUACCCACUGUUCAUCAAUCUCAAAACAAGGCUUGGUAAUUACAUAAUCGGCUCCUCCGAUAUCCCUCAGGAUGGCCGGGACUGGAGCGAUAUCAUAGCUACCUUAAACAAAAUGGAUAAUCAGAGUCUUCGAAUUAUGGCGAGCAACAUCACCAGAAGCCGGUAUUUCCUUGAAUCAGGAAAUUCAAUAGAAGGCAUAUCACUUGUCGUUUUAGGUGCGCAUCAACCCGAUCACAUAGGACAGAUUUUCAAAGGUGAGGCUGCAUUAGCUAAAUCCACUGUUUGUCUUUUCCCUAACAACUGGGAUGGGUUAUCAGCUGCACCACUGGACUUCAAAAUUCGAUUUAUUGACAUUACCGAAACAGAAUCCGGGAGUUGCUAUGAAUUUUAGAGCUUUAGCAUGUCUUUUCUUGUUGCUACCCACCGCAGGUAAUGUUAUGGCCGAUUCUCAGCUUCAGCUCAGUUCGGAUGUUAUUGUUGACCAGCACCAGGAAACCGUAAAAGGCAAAACGAGUUAUUUUAAGAAUAAAGUCGACGAUGCGAAAUACAUCCGGAUUAGCAAUCAGGCGGCAUCGUUCCCAUUAAUCCUUUCGCUACCAGAAGUUAAUUAUUCUGUCAUUGUUAAGAAUGGACACGCAACGUUGGCAUCUGAAGGCAAAGAUCUGAUUUGGGUAGAACCAGGCAGCUACGUUAUACUGCACAUUAAAGAAGGCGCGAAAUUCUAUGAUUUCAUUCCCGUGGUCUACAUCAUUGGGAAAGACACCCCCAAAGCUCUUACCGUUAUACCAGGUAAAGAAAUAAGCGCUGCAAAAUUGACAGAAAUAAUUGAUUAUAAAAAUUCUCCAGUGCAAAAAACACUGACCAGCAAAGACAAAGUAACUGGCUUAUCGGAUUUUAAAAACAUAAAGAAACUUAAAACAGGAUUUUAUAAAAUACAAGUCAAUCAAUUUACAUCCGUGAAUUUUGAUAAGGAAAUCUACAUAAUUUCACGAAACAAUAUGCUGGCAGGUUCGCAAUACUUCACUAGAAAACUGAUUGCCUAUCCACGCGAACAAAUAAUUAUAAGCAUUUCCGGAGAGACUCAUGUUAAAAAAUAGCCUGAUGCUUCUGGCCGCGUUAUUUCUUACCGCAUGUCAACAGUCACCGGGCUGGCAUAAAACGCUUCCUGCAAUAAGCUAUAGCCCUGUUAAAACUAUUGAUAUGCCCGGAAAAGUCUCAGGCAAUUAUACUGUCCGCGUAGUUAAUGCUGGAAUAGAAGUCUAUGUUCUAAUUGAAAAUGGUUAUAAUGAGUUUAUGACUGUCAACAAACUGUCAUUAUACGGUAAUCGAUGCGGGUAUGAGUCUCAAGAGGAGUUACUCAUUCCUCCCGCCUCAGUCAGUACCUAUAUGGUUCCUAACAUUGCAUUAUUAGGUCUGUGCUAUACAGAUGAUAUCAAGAUGAUUUUCGUAAACAAUAAAUUCAAUGGGUUAUCCAGGAAUAAAAAGGAUACACCUGUCCCUCUCGAAGUGUUGAUGCAGUUUAAACUUACUUCUGCAAAAGAAAAUGAGGAAUAUAAUGACGUUAUUUAUAGCUCGUGGAAUUAAGAAAAUAAGCGUAGCUGCAUUCGCUUUAGCAAUGACAACUGUCCCAACCUGGGCCUUUACCUACACCAUUGAUUCCAAUCCACAGGGUGCAGCGGUCAUUAAUGUGAUUACAAAGGAAAGAGUCGGUGUGACUCCCGUUAAAGUGGAGAUACCAGAUACGCAGGAAGGAAAGACUUUCGGUAUCCUGUAUAAAGACUACCGAAAUGUAGCCCUCAUGAUUUACAAACCAGCGCCAACAGCAGAGAGAGCCUUUACGAACAGUCCGCCGGUUGUGGUCACAAGCGCUCUUCCGGGAGAGUAUCCGUUAGGUGUAAAUAUCGAUGAAGCUCGGGAUAAAGUAGUUGUUGAUUUGCGGCCAGUAAUGUCACAACCAGUAAUCCUGCAAUAAAAAAGGGGCCUUAGCGCCCCUUUUCUUUUUAAGCUACCUGCCGUGUUUUCACACCUAACUGAAUCAGUUCUUCUUCGUAAACCCUGUCAAUUGCUUCCGCAUAUGUAUAUCCGUCACUAAUAAGGUCCCAGAUUUUGCGACGGUCUGCCGGGUCAGUUGUAAAACAAAGUUCCAUCUUACGGUCAACAUAAAGACGUACGAUUUGCUGUACAUUCUCAAAACGGAUCAUAAUCUCCGAAAAAACAAACUUUUCAGUCCUGAUCAACUUCAUUCUUUCGUACUCUGCUGAGGAUGCUGAAAUGUAUUUGUUCUUCUCCAUGGAAUCAAUCGCCUCUGGUGACUGCUUCAUGAUAAAUUUCCAUGGCGAGUUGUUGGCAAUUGCGAUACCAAUUGGAGACUUGUAGAAAUCUUCGAAGCUCUGUGUAAUACAGAUACCAGCACAGUUUGUUUUACGGAAACGACGCCAUGCUGCUUCAAGGAAUUUCGUAAAGAAAUUCACAGCAGCGUCAUCACCGUUACUUUCACCGAUAUAUUCCCACGCUUCAUCAAGAAUGAAUAACCGCCGACGUCCAUCCUUCUUAAUAAACAUAGCAUGUUGAGCAGCCUGAAUAAUCGACAUCAGCACAACCCACUGUAAAUGAGGGGUAGGUUUAAGCUCUUCCAGCUCAAGUACAAUAAACCGGCUAUCAAAAUCAAUUGGUGGCAAUGAUGUGGUGAACCUGCGCCCAUAAAUACCGUCCUCGCACCACGGCCCCAACUGCACACCAAUAUCUUUAAUCUCUUGUUUCGAGUGGUUUUUACACUUUAUGGCAAACCCGGUGACAGAUGGUAAAUAAUUAUCCUCAGGUGAUUUAGCCUCUUCUAUAAUUAGGCGAAGCAUUUCAGCUUCCUGGUAAUCUGUAAUAUUACCACUACUGGAUGCCAUCAAUUUAAUCUGAUUAAGAACCAUAAUAGUUUGUGAAAUCAGAUCCGAUUCCUUGUUUGUGUCAUCUUCCCCUUUCGCGAUUCCAUCCAGAUUUUCAUCACCAGUGUAUUUCUUAACCAUAAAAGCGAAUGGGUUAAGAGAAAAAGUAGCAUCAACGCCAAAAUCGAUAAACUGGGAAUCUUCAAACUGUUCAGCAAGACCCUGAUAUGAGCGACCUAUAUCGACGACAAACACCUGAGCGCCAUCUGGUGACGCAUUAAAUUUGCCAUUCAGAUCCAGCGGUGGAGCGAACUUGUCGGAAGUAAGUAUUUGACGCACAUCAUCAAAAUGGUAGAGCGGGUUUAUAUGCUCACCAGAACACAGAUAGUUAAGAAUAAUGUUGUUUGCUGCAAAUGAUUUACCUGCCCCGGAUGUUGCGCCUACGCAUACGUUGUAACUAGCAGAUGUUUCAAAAAUAUCAAUCAUGACCAGCUGCCCUUCGCGUGUUACAAAGGGUAUAACCGGAUUCGCAGAGUUUCCUUUCCACGGCCCGAAAAUAGGAGCUAAGUGAGCAGCGCCCGUGUUCGUCAUGACAUCUCCACGAUCCAUAUCUCUGAAUGUAGAUGGGUCAUUACAUAACGGUAAAACUGACAUUACGCCUGAGAAGCAAAUAUAACUGUCAUCUGCUACAAUUAUUUUUUUCUCACUGUAGUAGCUCAUCAGACUUUUUGCAGCCGUUUUCACUUUUUCCAGAGUGUUGUCCAUGACAAUAAAUGUCAUGUACGUCUGUAGUAAUUUUGCUUUAUCUUCCAGCUCUCUUGUCAAAGCCGAGUAAUCUUUAUCCAUAUCGGCGAGACGAGGUAGAUAUUUUAGGACAAUUGGAAUUUUUGACUGGUUAUCUGUAAUUGCCUUAUAACGCAGAUAUUCUUUCUGUAUUUUCUUUUGAUAUGGAAACUGGACGCAGUAAUUGAUAAUGAAUGGUGAAAAAAUGGUUUUACUUCCAGUCAUCCAGUCAACCACGAGCUCAUAAAUGGCCCCAAAAUUGACAUAUUCAGGAAAUUUAGUCAUAGACAGGUGCUUGAAAUAACGCUGAGCCGUUUCAUCACCAUCAGAGGUCAAUGAGGAAAAAUAAUCUUCCCCUACCUCAUACUUCCGGCCUGGAAUGUUGACCUGUUUGUUAAGUGGCAUUAAUGAACUGGAUUCAAGACCGCCAUAUUUCCAUCUGGAGUCUUUGCCUGGGUUCAAUAUUUUAUCAACGCUGUAUAACCACAUAUCAGCGUCACCUAUAAUUGGAGAAAGGGUUAACCCUUUCAGUUUUGCCAGAAGGUCUUUAAACAGUGCAUCGAGUCGCAUUGCUUCGGAUUCGCUUGGCGAGAAACCCUUAAUAGGUAUCCGCACGGUUACCCAUAAUUCGAAAUUCCUGAGCUUUAACUCAUCGGCCUGAGUGAUUUUUAUACCAUCAGCAACCUUCAACGGAUCAUAUUGGCUUUUCGUCAGAUAGUCGAGUGAGUAUACAGUCAGCAGGUCAGCUUUUUCGUUAUCCCGCCCCCCCAUUCUGUUACCGCGUCGGCGUAACCAUCGGGACAAUGAAGUAUUGACAUCAGGUAACGCUGUCAAUGUCAUUUGCAUAAUGGACUCAGCAGGGAAAUCCAUUUUAAACAGAUCCGUCAUCAGGUUUUGUUGGUUAUCAUAUAAUCCAGGUGACGGGUUGCAGACAAAAAAGAAGCCUACUGCAUUAUCUUCCAGCAAAAAAUAAGGCGCAUCCACCAUUCUGUCGACCACCGGAAUGAAGUGACCUAAGUUAUAUCUUUCCAGUUCUUUUGCGAGACGUGAGUUGUUCAUACUUUUUCCUUACAUUCCGUGGAACUCUAUAUACAUUCAUUGGAUCGGCUAGAAAGAACUACCGGUGACUCCGUUCGCCGUUACGCCUUUAGUGCUGCGUUGCUGCUGCUGCAUGUUGUUACGAGCGCUAUCCUGAACUUCCAGCGGCACAAUUCGGGCCGGGUUUUUCAAUGCUGAAUCACCAGCAACCCACGUUUGAGGUUUGACGUUGACAUAUACAUAACCAGGGAGGUUAAGUGCGUCGUUAUCGUCAGUGUAAGGUGCAAUAAGAACACGCAUGACCUUCCCUUGCCUUAACACGGCCAGAGGUUCCGGAGCGAUAACAGCCUGUCGGGUCCCCUGUACCUGAUACUGACGCUCCUGAUAUGAGCUCAGCGUUGGGUUUACAGGCUUACCGUCAAACUCUGAAUACAGGCCUUUACCUGCUGGUACCUGCUGUUGCGACACAUAACUUGCCGUUGUCAGUGGUUUCACCGGCUGGGGUGUUCCGGAGAACAACGGUUUAGGGCCAGUGCUAACCACUGGUUUUUGUGGGUACUGAACGCCUGGCGGUGGAGUUAAGGAUGUUGGAUACUUACUAUCCGCAAUAUCCUGCUUUCCCCCAUCACCUUCCUUUUUUAAAUACUUUAGAUCGUCGUGAUUGUUAGUGGCUUCCAUAAUUGCCCGGGGGCCCAUACACAGAACGCCUUUUUCAAUACCCGGGCAUGAGCUCUCAGAUUGACCGAUGCAACCAGAUAAAGUAGUCACCGCAGCAACAGACAUGAGUAAUUUCGUGAUGUUAUUCAUAUGUACGCCUUAUUUAUCAAAAGGGUUUUUAAGCAACGGUUGUAAAUUCAAUUUCAACCAUCCCUUAUAAUCAGUCGGUAAGCCAUUGCCCAAAAGUCCGUCUUCACGGAUCACAGAAGGCAUCCCCUGAACGUUAUAGACAGAGGCCAGAUAUAAACCAGUUACGAUUGGUUCUACUGAACAAUCUUUCAGGCUUUCAUGAGGGAUAAGACGGCUAUUUAUAUCCUGUGAUUUACCUAAUAACGACUGAAGAAUAUCGUAAUUAGAUACCUUCCCCGCUUUUACAGAACACCACAUUUGCUUAACACGUUUAGCCGCUUCGCCGGGACUCGGUAGGAUGACAAUAUCAAAACGCACUGCUUGCCUGUCUUCAUUCAUCUUUUUCAGGAAAUUAAUACAAUCAGCACAAUCAAGAGUAAUGAAGAUAACCGCCUGACGUUUAAGGGCAGGAUUACCGAACUGGAUAGUAAAGGCAUCCUCAGGCUUAAACGGUGCUUCGCUCAACGGCAGAAAGUAACUUUCCCGGAUAUCAGCUAUCGACUGUACCUGUUUUUUUCGGAGCACAUCGUAAGCCUUACCUUCUGAAAAAGAGUAACGGCCCGUAGUGGUAACUAGUGUGAGACCACUACGUUGAUCCUCAAACAAGAAAAUCCCACCAGUCGGUAAGUAGAUUGCAUCAGUUGGUUUGUAAGAACCAAGCUGGCUGACUAAUCCGCGUUGUGACUGAUUUAAAGCCAGUCCGUUGUCAGCAGCUGCACGGGUUAACGCGGCCGCGUCAGCAUCAUAUUUAUCAGAGGCAAUAGAAUGAGCUGAAUUGAGCAGUGCAAUAAACGCAAGUGAUUUGAAAAGUAACUUUUUCAUGAUUACUGCUUACCCUCAAAAUACUUAGGGUCUAUGCCAAAUUCAGUCAGCUCACUUUCAAGUUCGGACUCAUUUAUGUAAGCAACUUCACUUACUGUUGAUGGCCGCGUAAUGACGUAACUCAUAUCCAGAACAAGGAAAUCACGCGCCCUGUACAGCGCCAUAAGCUUGCGGAUAUAAGGAAGGUAGCCUUCAUUAUUUCCGUUAUGUGCCUUUAAAUACUGUUCGUUUAAUGCCGAAGGGUUAAGAACAGCAAUUUUCACACUGUCAUUAAACAGGCUGGUCCCCUUAUUAAGGUGCUUACCGAUAAACAGCCCAAUGCAUGUCAGGACAGCGGCAACUAUGAUGACUUUGACUGUCUUUUCGAUGAAUGAAUAUGAGACAGAAAAUGUCAUCUUUUUCUGUUCACUUUCAACUUCACUUUUUUCAAAAUCAGCGUCAUUUGUGUCAUCAUCUUUUCUUGGUUCAGUCAUGUUUAUUUCGCCGCUAAAUUGGUUGGAAUGGAUGCACCGUUAAGGACGACAAAAGUCGCAUUAAUACCCGGAGAAAGCUCUACAACCGGCCACUGCUGAUCAAUUAUGUGGGUAUACCAGUCUGUCAGCUUGUUUAAUCCUCCCGAGACCAUACCACUUGCGCUCACAGCGCCAAGAGCACCAAUGUUAGGUCCCUGGAAUUGUGCUUGUGAGUUAGGAUCGAUAUUCAGCUGACUAACUUUGCUUGGGCUCAGUCCCUGCGCCAGCGCGCUAAGGCCACCGGCUAAGGCACUACCCAUAAUAGCGUUACCGUUUCGGGAGAUAAGCGUACCUUUGAUACCGGCUUUUCCGUCGAUUUCACUAACUGCGUAUGCCUCCAGUUUGAUAUCAAAGCUUUUCCCUUUGGAAUUUACACAGCUCAGACUUGUUGUGCGGAUAUAGACUCGUUCAGAGGCCAUAUCUCCACGAGCGGUACCCAGGAGGUUACAAUCACGAAGAUCCAUUCUGUAGUUAUUGGGUAAGAAAACAUCGCGUUUAACCCUGAACGUUACUCCCAACGGUUCCUCCUGAGACGAUAAUGAUGUCGGCGCUUCCACACCUGUCACCAGAACUGCAUAAAGUUGGGAAGUAGCAGGCAAAUACUGGUCUUCAGAGCGUUUUGAGUGACGUGCAUUGCUAUCUAUUGGCUUAGUGCCAUCACCUGCCACGGCAGGCGCUCCGGCUUUAACAACUCGCUUUUGGUUAGCGUUCGUAAUGUUCUUUUCAACAAUUGGUGUCACUUCAAGGACACCGUUAUUGGCAGUGGUAAUGCUGUUACUGGUAAUUGUGCGCACCAGCUGGGUACGUUGAGGUGAGAUACCGCCUGCGACUGGUAUUUCCUGAUUGCGAUUUGCCACCGCAUCACCAUUAAGCUGAUAGGCUGGAUUUUGCUGCUGAUUGUCAUUGGCCUGCUGGCCUACGCGGUUAUCGAGGCUACGAUUACUUGCCGGGCCCUUACCAUUCUGCAUAUCUGAAAUUUGUUGGUUCAGCUGCUUAAGUUGCGCUUUUAGCUCACUUAUCUCACUGGAAUUUUCAGACUUAUAUUUCUCCAUCUGCUUAACCUGAUCCAACAUGGAUUGUUGGUCUUUACGGUUUUCCUGUUGAACAGUUUGCAGAAAACGCUUCUGUCCCUCUUCAUCCAUAUUGUGGAUAGAAGAAGUAUCCAGAAGGUUAGUAACUGGCUUAAUUUUUUUUGAUUUCUGGUUUGAAUCAUCUCCCCCCAUAAGCGUGAGAGUCGCCAUCACAAGAGCCCCAAAUGCUACGAUGAGUAGAAAAGCCAUUCGAAUGGCUUUAUUUUCUGCCCACAAUUCCUUCAGCUUCAAAGUUUUCAUUAUGUUGACCUUUAUUACCUGGAGGUAAAUAUCUCUUUACCCUCAAUGACCUGAUCUUUUCAUCUAUUUGCGGUACAGAGUAAGGAGGCUCAGCCCGUAAAUUUUUGAACACGUUAUUUUCAAGAUGCUCAUAGAACUGACUCUCACUCUCCAGUUCAAUUUGAGGGUUCUCUCUUGCUUGUUCAUGAGUCCUGGACCCAUCCGGCUCAGUUAGAGUGAUGAUUUUUUCAUCGGAUUUUUUACCCUUGCUUAAGUCAAUAUUUUUCUCACGAGCUAUAACUUCGUCAGAAAGCAAUAUGUCCGAGUCAUAAACCUUAAAAUCAUCAAAUUCAGGGAGUUCGGUUUCUUGCACUGUAUAUUCCGUGGGCAAAAUCUGAACCAGCUCAGAUCGUUCCUUUUGGACAUUUCCGAUAAAAAAACCAACGCCUAAACCAACACUGAACAAAAUGACCCAAGCGAAUACUGAAAAGUUACUUUUCUUUCUCAUUCAUUAAUCAGACUUGGCCGUUUAGUUACACGUGACUCUCGCUCCUGGUAGAGUUUGUCACGAAGAAUAUACAGCUCUGUUUUUUCACCAGGUUGCAAGAAUGCUUUAUCAAAAAUCGCAGUGGCAAUAACACCUGGCGUAAUGCAUUUUUGGUCAUCAACAACCGCUGGAUAAGUCAGGUUAUUUUGAACAAGAACGACAUCUACAAGUUCACGAGCACCGAUAAGGCGUUGACCAAGCUUCGCAUAAAAGUUAAAUCGGCAAGGUGAUUUUUCGUUAUUAGGGAUAACCGAGAGUUUAUCCAACUGAAGUGCAAAACCGGUUGGUACUUCACCAUUAGCAACCGGAUAAAGGAUAUCGAUGAUCCUCUGCUUACGAUCAUCCUGAGCAAUCGCUUUUUCGUCAAGCUCACCAGAUUGUGCUUGCUCCAGCAGCACUUUAUUCGUGUUGGAAGCUAUAUGGCGAUCACGUUCAAUAGCCAUGUUUUGCGUUAACUGAGUUUGAACACGAAUCAUGGCUCCGGGCACAUCUAUAGGAAUCAGCGUCAGGUUAUAAGUUGAUUCUGGCACCCCUUCUUCGGCCAGCAUAAUGCCUACAGGGGCAUCUUUUACUGUCGUAAUGAAGACACUGCCACCUUCAACAUAGAUAGUUGUAUCUUCUGAAGGUGCGGUUGUUGAAACACUUACGUUCUUAAAUGAAGUCUGGAUGCGGUUUUGUAAACCUAAUGAAACAGGAAGAACAAUAUUUCCCCCUGGAGGUACAGUAACGUUUUGCAUUGGUUGAUAACGCUUCUUAGCCUCAUUGACUGCCUUUUGACCAGGUCCUUCCGAGGGUGCAUUGUUCAUUAACGAAUCGGUCAUUGAACGAACAGCAGCAGAAGAAGCGCUAGUCUGGGAUAGCCCUGGAGCAGCAGGAAUAGCAGUAGUCGGGCGAUUUGGAUUAAUCGGUGGCUGGUUACUGUUUAUAGGAGGUUGGGUAACUGCCAAGGCUCCUGGCACUUGUUUAACGGCAUUGGUCACAAUAUCCAUUGCUUUGGCCGAGUCAGGCGGCUCAUCAAAGGCUUGGGUAUUUACUGCUGACGCAGGAAUACUGAACGGUUCAUCAGCAUGAACAACUGGAGCCAGCACGUUUAAUGUGAUUAGUAGUCCUAAAAGUUUUCUUUUCAUAUUAUUGGGCUUCUGCUUCGUUCUGUUGCUGGAUCAUGUCGGUAUUUUCAGUAAACUCUUUUUCCAAUACCUUCCCGUUAACUGUUACUUUUUUGAUAUUUGGGGUACCUGAAUACUGGUUCAGGUAAAGGAUUCGAGGCCGUCCGCUUUUGACGCUCAAAACCAUCUCAAAGGUCCAACGCUCAGAUUGUUCUUUAUCAGAAACGUUAAGGAAUUUCGUUUUACGGGUUCCCCAGACAUAAAGAACGUUAUCACCCGGAAGAAAGCUCACAUCCUCUGCAACAAAGGUCUGAUCAACUUUCCUCGCCAGCAUUAAAUCAGAGGCUUUUUUGAGCUCAGCUUCUAAAGCUGACUGCUUAGAUGCUGGAAACAUUUUUAAAAUAUAACCAGUAACGAAAUUCACGUUCUUGGGGUUUAUGUUGCCCAAUGUGGUUGCUAUAAAUAGGCCCCAUUGCGUCUUAUAUGACUCACUAGCUUUACUGCCAGCAACGGAUACUUCCUCAGUCAUAUCUGGAGGUAUAGCAAUGAUCUCUGUGGUUGAAAAAAAAACAACUUUGAUAACCAAGAGACCAGCAAUCACGGUCAAAAGUCCGUUGUUAAAAAUUAACUUUUUGUCCCGUUGAAUUAACUGGCUAUAGGUCAGUUCAGCACCCGUUUUUUUCCCUAUUUUGGGAGUUUCGAGCUCUUUUGAUAAAUUCAGGAUCGACUUAGGACGCUGCAUUUUGUCAGUGCUAUAACUUUCUGCCUUUUCAACCUGGACAUCAUCAGCCUCAUCAUCCUUUGAUUUAUCAGCUACCUUCUUCUUAGGCACAAACCUGAAGAAGUUCAUGACGUUUUCUAAAAGUGACUUUUUCUCGCUCAUUACUUCUCCGGGAUUAAUUUAGCUGUACAGCACUCGCAUAAAAGGGUCAGAAAAAUAUCGACUCUGGAAAACAGUUCUUCCCGGCAGAAAACCAUUCCACCAAAGUUUGUGUUUCAGUCUUCCCCGCACCGCGCUUUCCUUUGCUUUGUUGUAUGCAAUCCAGUAAACAACUGCGGUAACUGAUGCAAUGGACAUACAUUCAAAAAUAUUCCCGAACGCAAGAAGGCCCAUAACUACGCCGAUCUGCUUGGCAUCAAAAAACAAUAUCAGCAAAGGUAGAUUAAUCCGGUAUGGAAAUCGGUAUGUGUAAUUGUUAUCCAUUUACUUAGCACCAUUUCUGAACAUGGUCUCUAUUGUACAGGUAAUAAAAAGGGGACUUUCGUCCCCUAAUUGUUGUUUUGCGUUUUUAGCAAAAUUUAUUUUUACAGCGCAACACCUGCAUCCAGGAAACCGGAGAUGAUUUUUUCGCCAUUCGCAAGGAUCAUCAUCAUGAGGAAGGAAACCAGCGCCAGGCCUGGGUUCGGACGACCGAUAGAGAAAUAAAACGCAGAGAACAGCAUACACGCGGCCAGUGCUUUACCUGGCGCACCGCUUAAUGCUUCAGACAGCUGGGUCCAGAUUUCACCCAGAGCGCCAUCGUCACCGCCCGCUAGGGCAAUAGAGGAAAACAACGCAGCGCACAGCAGAGCUACAAAUACCUGGAACACUUUAUUGCUGACCAUAUUACGCAGGUUGUCAGACAGGGUGAAGGCAGCAGUACCGUUCAUAGCCAUAGAUUUCUGGAUCAUUGUGAAACUCCUGAAUGCAAAAAUUGGUUUAGGUUUUCUGGCGCUAACCAGCAAUUUGAGAAUACCCAGGGUUAAUUUUUAAUUUCGAAUCUAUAGAACAUUUUUUUUAUAAAAAAACGGGGAAAUGGCAGGACCCAUUAAAGUCACUUUUUCGCAAAGCUUAAAAAGUCAUCCUAUGGGUGAAAUAAAUCCUUUCUAUAUGGGCAUAGGUAACCACACAACCAAAGAUAACCACAUGAUUUUAUUGUGAUUAAUUUUCAACACCGACAUCUGUUCAAUUUUGCAUCCAAAAUCACCUUUUCGGUAUUAUGUUUCAAAAGGCACUUUCUGAAAUGGAAAAAUGCAUUUUUCGCGUUCAAAAAAGUCACUUUCGUGUUGUUACAACCCAAUCGAAUUGAGAAAAGUCACUUUUAACUCACCUUUGGUCGGGGGCUUAAACCCAACUUCUGUAAUUGCCUCAGUCAGGACAGCAACAAAAGUCACUUUUGUGGCUAACAAACAUAGACGUCAGAUAUCAGGUUUACUACCGGGAUACUAUAAUUGGUAGUUUUCAUGUAUUUUGGUCCGGUUUUCUCUGAAAAAUGCUCAAAAAAUUAAGAAAAUGGAGAAAAUUUGAAGAUUCUGUGUUCAAUAUAACUUAUUGAAUUUUGGUGUUUUCAUAUCACAAUCAGAGUAAUUAUCUGAAAGCAAGCGGUUGCAUCUACCUUAUCGGGAUAUAAUCUGCUAUAUAUGCCAAAAAAUGCAACCUUUCCCUCUUCACAACCUUCAUUUCAAAAUGUAAAUUUAGGAAUACUCUGAAGUGUGUCGUGAAUGGAAUAUCAUGAAAAUCAWGCUUAUUUCGGUUUUGGGUUUAGACCUUAAAAUUUCCUUAAAUAACAAUAUCUUAACCAUGAGCUGUAAUCUUGACGGUCUUAGUAUUUUCGUAACCCGUCGUAUUAUUCGCAACUCAAAACUGACCGAAUCAGAAAUUUUCGCAAAAAUCGAUUCGGAUUGGGUCAGUAAAAUUUUUGCUAUAAAUAUCAGGCAGAUAAAGAACGUCCUAGAAUCAAACGUUUCCGUAAUACCGGUACAGAGUCAACCUAAACAGGUUAGCGUAUUGGUUGACGAACACGUUCCAGCAUUCAAAAAUUUUUGAUUAAUAGUCUUCAAAUCUACAGGGUUAAUCGGAAUUAUUUCCAAUUCCAGCCAGCAAUGUCGUUUUCUAAUGUCAAAAAAAUACCCCCUUACCUGGCGAUCUUUUCCUGAUAGGAUAUGGAAUAUCUGAGGGGAGAUAUAUAUGUGGAUAACGACCAACAACGAAAUCAUUUGUGACACUGAGCCGAAUUCUGCCGGAUUUAUUGAAAUCCAGCGGCCCUGUCCGGACUGUCUAGGUUCUGGUAUUAAUUGCAAUCAUUGCUCUGGCACCGGCGUACUCCCUGCUGUAUUGGAAAAAGUUAUUCCUGUGUAUGAGUGGGCUGCCAAAAAUUCGCUAAAAUUUCCAUUUAUAUCACCUGAGCAGACCCUAAUUAGAAAGUGGCUGGAAAUCAGAUUAUCGACUUCCAAUCAGGGUAAAAAUCAUUUCCAUUCUUCACUGGUCCAGGUUUUGGAUAAAAGUAACUUUCCUACCAAAUUGCAAUAUAGGUGUCUGCGGCCAACUCAACAAGAACAUAAAACGGUUGCCAGCCUGACGGUCAGACCUUAUAACGCAAAAAUCGGGGCCUGUUUAAAUCUCGAUCUCACCGUUAGAAAAAUUGAGGUGCUAACUCGUAAGUUUUCUAUCGAGAGCUUUUCCUCAUUACUGUUGGAAACCACUGACCACCGGCAUUUUAUUGCCUAUGAUUCGAAUCCAUCCCGACAUAGUCCCGGGGAUAUUCUACGUUGCAACAUUCAGGUAGUUAAACGACUCUGGAUCAAUAAUAUGAGUAUAUUGCAGGUUAAAAUUGUCAAUACUUCACCUGGAGAUUUAUAAGUGGCUGACAACAGAAAUCCCUCAAGCUUUACAGAGGUACUUGUUACUCUUUAUGCUUCGAAAUAAUAAAUUGCCAGAGAUUCAGCUAUUGCAGGAUUUCUUUAGAAAAAACCACAAGUUAUCCUUAACCUGUGACCAGACUAAAGUUGAUUUCACUUCAAGUGAAAUCACUCCCCUGCUCUCUAAAGAUAAAAGUAACUUUUCUCAGGAUAAGGUCUUUUUGACAGGGCCGAUUAUGCAUGGCCGAUAUCAACCUUUGUGGUUUGCCAUUUUGCUGGACUUGAACGCAAGACAACCAACCGAACAAGGCCUUCAAUUCUGUUUUUCUCUUGGCGAACUGAUAGAAAAAACAGACAGAGUUUCAGAGGCUAUAGGUCUGCGUAAAAUUUGUUAUACCCCGGGUGAGGUUUUGUUCUUUUUGUUGAUGAUGAUUGAGUUCAGGAUAGAGAUACAAACAGAUAAUAUUCGUCAGACCUGCGCUGUAUUUUCAGAAAUCAGUCACAAUGUUGAUUGUGAUGCGGUCAACCGGGUUAGUUUUACUGUUAAUCCCAGGAUUGUCACGACUCUGUUGGGACUGACUAAUGCAGUAUCAGUUUUUCUGACAACGCUUUUUUUUGCCAAACGGCCCGAGGUUUUUGACCUUCACCAAAAGUUACUUUCGGAAAAAGAAGUCAAAUCCCUUUCCGAAAUCGCUCCAGCAACAUUUAAACACGUACAGUUACUAGGUCGAUUUGGAUUUAUCACUUACACAAAGAAAAGAAAAUUGUUUGAUAUUCAUAGUAUUAGCGUUUUUGUUGAGGGUGUUAGUCCAUUGUGAUUUUCAAAAAAAAGUAACUUUCGAAAAAAAUCGCUCACUAGCAGUUUUAACCACCUAGCGAGAAGUUUUUACAGAAAAUUACUGUAGAGUCUAAUUUCUGGGUUGAAUUGCUCAAAGGUCAUAAAAUGAAGAUAAAUAGAGAAGCUGAUUUUUUUAUCUCCACAGUACGGAGCGGUCGGACUGUCAAAAAUUUGCGUGAAUUUAGUGACGCAAACCCCGACAUUUGCCAUAAAGCAGUUAAUGGUCAGCCAUUUCUGAUUGAUCCCCGGGCAUUAGGAUUAGUGCCAAACUGGAACUGCCGUGAGAUGGGCCUGGGAGAGGCUUACUACCAACUACCUAAACCUUCUCAACAUAUACAGAAUCUGAAAGCCGCAUUUUUAAGCGGGGCCGAUAUUGAUCCUAUUACAGUUGUGAUUGUAGAAGGUCGGCCCUUAGUCCGUCAGGGGAACUGUCGUACACGAGCAGCCCUGCUAGCGCUAAAGGAAUCUGGUCUGCCGAUUCUAAUUAGAUUGAGGGAAUUUCAGGGAGACGAGAUCGAGCAGGAAUGGCAUUCAUUGGAUGGGGCGAAAUCAUUGCAGCUUUGUCCUGUUGGACGUGGAGUUGCCUAUAGCAGACUAGUUAAUGACGCCGGGAUGUCGGUAGACAUGGUAGCGCAGCGUGAGAAUAUUUCCGAAAUGGCCGUGAGGCAACUUAUUUCUCUUGCGACUAUCGAUGAUGAGCUGAAAAUUUUAAUUACUCAGGAAGUUAUUUCUUACACACUCUGUCUGGAAUUAAUUCGUGACCUGGGCGAAAAGGAAGCGCUGGAGAAAAUCCGGGGAGAAUUAAACGCAAAGCUCCAGGUCAUAGCUAAUUCAAAAGAGGGUGACUCACUUCCUCUGAAUGUUUCUGAAGUAAUGACUGCACCAAACUCUCGUAAAUCUGUCAGGAUCACUAAAAAAUCAUUGGGUUUUCAACCCAUCCCUCGUAAAUUAGCCCAGAAUCUUGCGGCCAGUUCUAAAGAGGUUUCAAAAAGGUUACGGGCCUCGCUUCCGGCUGAGUUUGAUCUUGAACAAUUUGGUCCGAACGAAAAAAUACCAAUUGAGCUCGACAAGCAUUUAAUUGAGCUGAUUUUACAGUCAGAAGCCUCAGUUCUAGAUCACGAGGUGAAACUUCAAAGGAAAACGACUAAGGGCAAACUUUCACAUUCGACUCAGGCAGCUGAUGUUGAGAACAAUACAAUACCUGCUUCUGAUGAAGCAACAAAUGAACCCUUGAACGAUCAACCUUCAAGCAAUCAGAAUAAAGAAUUUUCAUUGCUAAAUUUGCAUUCUGCUGUAUGAAAUGUGUUUACUGGGUAUCACUAAAUGCUGGAGGAUCUAACUAUGUCUGAUUUUAAAUGCGCUGAAAUGGAUGGCAUUCCCCCGUUUCCUGAAAAUGGCGAGCCUGUAGCUGUUACGGUCCCUCCUGUCAUCAUGAAUAAUUUUCCUCUUGCUGAUCCAGAAGAGGAUUGAGGUCUGCCGUAAUUUUUUCCCUUCAUAACUGCAGGGGUGAUGCAAUCACCCCAAAAUUCAAUACAUAUCAAUAAUCUAGCAAUCCUUCAUUUAAUAAACACUGGAUAAAUAUUAUAUUUUUAAAUUUUCUGAAUGUUUAUGACUAAUACUAAAAAUAUAACCCCACCCUUCUCUCUCAUGUUUUAAAAAUAGGGUCUAUACAAGGCGUUUUUAUUUGAUUUAAUGGUGUCAUCUACAAACGCUAGGGGGGGGAUUCAAUGAAACAUUCAAAUGAGCAAUGGUUUUCUGUUGACGGUCAGUUAAUUGAUGAAAAAUUUGUUUUCAAUAUUCAUGAGUUCAAUGGCUCCGCCCGGUAUGAAAAAAGUUAUUCAUGUUCAUAUUGUAAAGGGUCCGGCCGUCAUCGUUUGAGCUAUGCAAACUCUACUGGUGCAUGUACUUCCUGUAAAGGUACUGGUAAACAAGGCACCUUAAUUAAAGAAUGUUAUACCCUGAAAGAGCUUUUCAAAAAGAAUUAUUCAGCAGCUCAAAAAGUUGUAACUUCAACCACCUGGCGGCGGCAAAGGAUGGAUAAUUUAACUCCACUGGAGCAUAAAAUCAUAUCAGCAACUGAUAAAAAUCCAUUCCUUAAGAUUCUUACACUUACCAUUCAAAGCGGUCGUCAACUUUCUGCUAAACAAAUUGCAGUCGCUGAGCGAAUCCUUUCAGAAAUCCACUAACCCUCAAAUGCACAAUGUCACUGUCAAAAGAUGGUGACAUUUUUUUAUUUACUCCCCUUAUCGGGAAAACCCAAAAAUUUUGCAUGAUAUUAUUCUCAUAUAGACCUAUGAGUGUCUUUGAAAAGUUACUUUCGCGGCCUCCCUCAUAAAAAGGUUCAUUAUGAAUUUACCACUAUUCUUAAAUCGUACUGCUAUAGCUGUAGGCCUUACGUUGGCUUCCGGUGUGUUAUCCGUUGCGCACUCACGUGUAUACGAGUACACCUUUACCGAUAUUAACGGGGUCCAUAAAAGUGUCUCAGAAAGCGCCCCAUAUCUUAACCCCCAGGGCAAUUUUAACGCCCUUCUCAUUGGAGGGUUAGAUCAACAAAUCCGUAUCUCCGUUUCUCGCGAUGAAGAUAACAGCUCCAUUUAUAGCACUACAACCGGCAUCAUUACUGUUGAUGACCGAAUCUCGUCUUCAAGCGGCAAUAGUUUCUACGGUAAAUCUGUCACGAUCCCCCCUCUUAGUGAUGGCCGCUACACCAUCAAAUCCGAAAUUUUAGACUCAAAAUCAGCUGUGGUAUCAACAACAACUCACCCUGUUUUUAUUGAUACCGUGGGGCCUACGUCUGAUAACUUUUCGGUUCCAUGGGUACCAGGUUAUGACAUGGUGGUAUCAGGUUCUCGAUGGGAACUUGGACGUGGUCAGGAAUCUAUAAUUUACCUCGCUGUCAAAAACAUCAAUGAUUUGUCAGGUUUUGAUAAAGCGGUAGUUCAGAUCAUUAAACCCGGUGGCUCCGUAUACUCAAGUUAUACAAUGUCUUACGAUGAAGGCUCUAAAGGUGCAACAGCCCCUAUUACUAAAAGUGGCAUGAAUAAAGCUGACUGGAUGCCUGUUUCAGACGCUGAUACUGACUUUAAAUUUCGCGGCUUACUCUAUGAUAAAGCUGGCAACGUCUCUCAGGUUCCAGACCAGACCUUUGUAUUCGACUCAUCGCCGGGAGAAAGUGAAUUAUUUGCAGUAGAAGAUCCAACUGCUACAACAAGCGUCAUACCUGGUUUCGAAAAAGGAUAUGUUAAAUACACUGCUGGUAUGACUGUAGAUACAAACCCAGUUACUCUUAUUUAUAGAUUACCAAGGACAAAUUAUCGUGCAAAUAAUAAAGCGGGAUUAUCUUUUGGUUCCCUAUUAACUGAAUCUAAUGGUUACGUUUAUAUCAAGCAGACUAUUCCUGUUGGAACAUCAUUUGUUAUUCAUAACGGAUAUCAAUAUGGCGGAGGAAAUUCUUCAUAUAACGUUAAACUGGGAGAGAACGCUCCAAAAUCACCAGUAAUCAGAUCAAGACUAAUGACUUUCUCAACAGUAGGCAGUUUUGACUAUGGUCAGAAGCUUUUUAAAAAUGAAGAACUGCCUGGUGAAUAUCAAACUGCAUCUAUAACUGUUGACGCAAGGGAUUAUGUACAAUCUUUUUACAAUGCAACACAAGCAAGGGAAGUCUGCUCAAUACCCGUUGGAGAAACAACAUGCACUGGAACUUUUUCCUACAAAAUUAAUAAAGGAAAUGGUUACAUUGCGCAUUAUUUCUUAGUGCGCAGUCCUGAUAAGAAAUUAACUUCCGACCAAUUUGAAAUUAGAAGUAUUUGGAAUACAGAUUUAAUUCCAAAAAUUACAGGAUUUGAUUAUAGAGAAGCUAAUAAAUCUAUUCUGGUCUAUGUUACUCAACCUGGUAAUGGUAACUGGAGAGAAGUAUUGAGGUUAGCUAGUGUCGAACUUUUUGACACAUUAUCUGGAACGUCACUUUUAGCCGGUUCAAAAGUGGCAAUGUCAGGUGAUGAUUAUACCUAUGCCCUUGAUUUAUCGAAGUUACCAGAAGGGAAGUAUGAUCUUGCAUUCAGAGCAAAAGAUACAUUUAAUAAUACUUCCCAACUUCCUUUUAAGUCUAUUGUUGUGGAUAAAACGCCCCCUUCUCUCUCUAUCUCUUAUGAUGGCGCACCUCUAAUAUCUGAAAGUACGGUGUACGGAUUAGAAAACAUAUCAGUAUCUGUAACUGAUUCAUUGAGCGAAUCGAAGAUUUACCAAAUGGUUCUUCAAGGCGGACCUACAUCUGAUGAUGUUGAAUUAGGUUUUACUAAAAAUACGGAUGGAACCUAUACCCCACUCUAUCCAAGAUUAUUUCCGUCUCUCGAUGAAACAACAGAUAAAUACACCCUUUUAGUUAAAGCUAUAGAUGAUGCAGGUAACAUGUCAUCUAAAUCUAUCCGCUUUGCCUACUACCCUAAGAACCUUAUUGUUCUUGAUAAACUAAAUACCCUGGCAGUCAAUAAGGCGAUAAAAUUAUCUUCUGGUGAGCCAUUAGCCGUUCUUAAAGCAAGCCAGUUGCGUCGUAAUGAUGGUUCGCUUGCAAAAGGCGUCCAAACAGCACUAAUUACUGUAAGGGGUGAUUCAGCAUUCCCAAUUAGUGUUAUUGGCAAUGUUGUAGCCCCUGGAGAAACAAAGGAAAUUCAAAUAGAUUUAGGUGCUGUUGGAAACGAUGUAGUGAUCCCAAUAUUCCCUGGUAUUAAUGGUGUUGUUGGUUCAUCUGGAUUUAUAGUUGAAUUUCCGCAACUCAAAUAAACUUAUAUUCACUCAUAAAAACCAGUUCAUGUGACUGGUUUUUUUUAUUUUUAUUAACAGUUUUAUUUCAAUCCCUACCCUUUAAUCGCUUUAUGAUAACCGCUCAGGCCCUCCCCCUGUUCGCAGUCCUGCUUCGGGAGGCCGGGCGGCUUUCUGAUACCCCGGCAGGACAAAACAACCCCCUUGUUCGCAGUUCUGCUCCGGGUGGCCCAGCGGCUUUCUGAUACCCCGGCAGGACAAAACAACCCCCUUGUUCGCAGUUCUGCUUCGGGAGGCCCUGCGGCUUUCUGAUGCCCAGUAGGUCAACCCGACAUCUUUGUUAACUGCUUUGCUUCAAGUAGCCCUGUAGCUUUGUGAUCGCCCGGUGUGACAAAACAACCCCCUUGUUCGCAGUCCUGCUCCGGGAGCCCCAGCAGCUUCCUGAUAGCCAGUCACAUUAAAACAACCCCCUUGUUCGCAGUCCGGCUCCGGGUGGCCCAGCGGCUUUCUGAUACCCCGGCAGGACAAAACAACCCCCUUGUUCGCAAUGCUGCUUCGGGUGGCCCAGCUGCUUUCUGAUACCCCGGCAGGACAAAACAACCCCCUUGUUCGCAGUUCUGCUCCGGGUGGCCCUGCGGCUUCAUGACAACCCCACAGGGUAAAACAACCCCCUUGUUCGCAGUCCUGCUCCGCGUGGCCCAGCGGCUUUCUGAUACCCCGGCAGGAUAAAACAACCCCCUUGUUCGCAGUCCGGCUCCGGGUGGACCAGCAGCUUUCUGAUUGCCCGGCAGGACAAAACAACCCCCUUGUUCGCAUUGCUGCUUCGGGUGGCCCAGCGGCUUUCUGAUACCCCGGCAGGACAAAACAACCCCCCUGUUCGCAGUCAUGCUCCGGGUGGCCCAGCGGCUUUCUGAUACCCCGGCAGAGCAAAACAACCCCCUUGUUCGCAGUCCUGCUCCGGGUGGCACAGCGUAUUCCUGACAGACUGGCAUGACAAAACAACCCCCUUGUUCGCAGUCCGGCUCCGGGAGGCCAGGCGGAUUUCUGAUAUCCCGACAGAGUAAAACAACCCCCUUGUUCGCAGAUCUGCUCCGGGUGGCCGAGCGGCUUCAUGACAGCCAGACAAGACAAAACAACCCCCUUGUUCGCAGUUCUGCUCCGGGUAGCCCAGCGGCUUCAUGACAACCCGACAGGGUGAAACAACCCCCUUGUUCGCAGUCCGGCUUCGGGUGGCCCAGCGGCUUUCUGAUACCCUGACAAGACAAAACAACCCCCUUGUUCGCAGUGCUGCUACGAGUGGCCCAGCGGAUUCCUGAUACCCCGGCAUGACAAAACAACCCCCUUGUUCGCAGCCCGGCUUCGGGUGGACCAGCGGCUUUCUGAUACCCCGGCAGGGUAAAACAACCCCCUUGUUCGCAGUCAUGCUCCGGGUGGCCCAGCGGCUUUCUGAUACCCCGGCAGGGUAAAACAACCCCCUUGUUCGCAGUCAUGCUCCGGGUGGCCCAGCGGCUUUCUGAUACCCCGGCAGAGCAAAACAACCCCCUUGUUCGCAGUCCUGCUCCGGGGAAACUCUGCGGCUUUCUGAUGCCCAGUAGGUCGCCACCCUGUGUCUUGUACACAGUCAAUAUCAGGAAUGGACGAUGAGGGUUUGGGAGGGUAGGGGAGGGAGGGGGAGAAAUCGUGAUCAUUGGACAUGAAAAAAAGAUGCGUAAUUUUAAAUGUUAGGUAUAAGACCUAGCAUGAAAGCUGUAGAAUUUACCAAAUCGGAAUAUUUUUACAGUUAUUGAUUAUUUUCCUUUUAUAUCAAUAUUUUGAAUUUAGGUUGUACACAAGACGAACAAAUUGAAUUGUGCGCGAAAAGUUAUUUUGAGCGCUAAAUGCGUUAAAUGUGCAUUACAAUGCACUUUUAACUUGUAAUGCGCUCAAGCCUCAUUAAUAAUGUGAAAACUAACCUAAGGAGAUACCAUGAGCAUACUAGAUGAUAUUCGUACGAUCGGCCUGAAAAUGAAAAAUGAACAAGCAAGCCUUAAGGAAAUUAUCCUUGAGUCAAGCCGGGUAGAUGUUUCUGAUGAACAGGUCGAUGGAUUAGACCGUCUUAUCUAUAACCACUGUUUAAAUAAAAAAACUCUCUCUGAUUUCUUUGGUAAAUCAAGAAAUACAUUUAGUAGAAUUCUUUCCGAACUACAUGAGAAACAGGUAAUUGGGGAACCCAUUUUCCAGAACAAGAGUCACCUGUAUACCCGGUGGGAUGUGCAAAAAAUAAUUGAUGCAAUGGGCACAAUUCAAUAUCGCGAAAUGUAUUUACCGCGAGUCAUCGUGAUUGAGAACCACAAAGGUGGAACCGGUAAAAGUACAACAACAGUAACACUCGCUACCGCAGCUGCUUUGGAUCUUAAUCUAAAUGCAAGAAUCCUUGUAAUUGACCUGGACCCGCAAGGUUCAUUGGGUAAUAACCUUAUUCAUACCACUAGCGAUGAUAGUGUUUAUCUGACUAUUACCGACGUUUUGCUUAGUGAAAUUGAAGAUAAUGAUUUCACUCAGUAUAUAAAUCAAGGUUACACGGAAGAACAAAUAAUUGGGGCGAUGGCCUUUUCUACACAUUUACCUAACAUGGAUGUAAUAACAGCUUUCCCGACUGAUGACAGAUUUACUGACAAAUACUGGAGUCUGGAUAAGGAAGCAAGACUCAAGCUACUAACUCGGUUUCGCGAUGUAGUUAUCCCUGUAUUGAAAGAAAAGUACGAUCUCAUUUUUAUUGAUACACCACCGCAAGAUUCUCCAAUCAUUUGGUCAACAAAUGAGGCGGCUGACGCAAUUCUUGUUCCGAUUACACCCCGUGAAUAUGAUUUUGCUUCUACCACAAACUAUAUGAUUACUAUUUCAGACCGUCUGGCACAAUUGCCCUCCAAAGGCGAAAACAUUAAAUGGCUAAAUGUAUUGGCUGUGAAUGUAGAUGACAGAAGCCAGCAUGAGAUUCGUACUUUAAAUAAACUUGUAAGAACUGUACGUGACCGUUUCAUGACAACAAAUAUUAAACAUUCAGAAGCUUUCGUUGCAGCAGCUGAAAAAGGUCGCACUGUACUCGAUAUUAAAAAAUCAGAAGAGCUCUGUUCUUCAAAGCAGUAUGAUAUUGCGGAAAUGUCUGUUCAGUCUGUAUAUCAACAACUUAUCAAUGAGAUUAAAAGCUUUUCAGUUAGGGAGGACAGUGAAUAAUGAGUGAUGUUGAACGCGGUACGAGCAAAGACAAGUACUUGACCGGAAACGCAAAGCGUACAUUUGUUGAUCAAAAAAGCGGGCUUCCGCCUCUAAAAGCUCCUUCUGUACAAAAACGCCUAUUUACUCUGUCAAAUGGUCGUAAAGUAGAAGCUCGCUACGUAGUCGUUCCUGGUUCAGAAGUGGCAGAGAAGACGCUAGUUCAUGAGCUAAACCCUCGAAAUCAAGAGGCAAUUGACGACCUUUCAACAAGGGAAAUACUCCCCCUUAUAAAAGAAAAUGGGGUUACUACUGAAGCUAUUGCUGUAUACCGCGACGGUAAAUAUUACCUGAUUGAGGGUAGUCGGCGUCGUUAUUGCUGCAUCAAAUGUUUGGCAGACCUGCCGUUAUGGGCAUUUGAUGAAGAGGUAAGUCGUGAAGAUGUCGAUUGUAUUGUAAAUGCUGCACAAACAGCGAAAAGGUUCUCAUAUCGUGAAGUGGGUAUUAAGUACCUUCAAAUCAUGAAAAAUGAAGAGUUCAAAACCAAUGAGGAACUUGCUUCUUAUUUUAACAUUAGCGUUGAGUCGGUAAGAAAGAGAAUCCAGGCGGCUAAAGUUAACGAAGAACUAAUUAGAAUUUUCCCUGAUAGUGAAGGGAUACCUAAUACUUACUAUGGUAAAUUGGCUAAAAUUGAAAAAGUUGCUAUUGCCCAUAAAAUCCCUUUGUCAGAGCUAACAUCUGAAGUCGGGACAGAAGACAAUAAGAUCAUUAACGUUAAUGAUAUUGAGGAAGUCCAGAAAUCCAUUUUAGAUGGUUUGCAUUCAGUACUUACCAUUCUCUGUAAUGAUGCAAAUAAACCGCCUAAAUGGACUGUGUCAGAUAUUAUAGAUUUCGAAGAUAAGGAUACUUACGCACGUGUCAGGAAGAGCCAAGACGGUCAAAAAGUAAGUUUUGAGUUCAAGCGUAUAAGCCAGUCAACCAUUAAUGAAAUAGAACGUUUAAUUAAAGUUAGUAUUGGCAAAUCAAAAUAAUCAUAAAAUGGUAUGGUCAUGGCCCUUAGGGGUCAUGACUUUAUAAUCCAUUAAAAGCAAAGCAACCCCCUUGUUCGCAGUCCGGCCCCUUGACGCCCAUCGGCUUCAUGACAACCCGGCAGGGCAAAACAACCCCCUUGUUCGCAGUAACGCUAUGACCGGUCUGUGACACCUGAUGAAUGGUUUUUGAUUUACGCCCAUAUAAAUUAGGUUGUUAGUAGAGAAAAAAAUUUAUUCAUGCUGAUAAGAUUGGGAAAGGUGGCAGAUCUGGAUUGAGUAAUUUUUUAUUCGUAAAUCAACUGAACAGGUAGGAUAUGGGAGAAUUAUAUUUGCUGUUUGCUAAAGACAAAAAUGGCAUGUUAUAUGACACCUAUCAUGCCCGGCUAACAUCUGACAUUGAUUACUAUUGCACUCAAUGCGGACGUCGCAUUGAUUAUCAAAAAGAAGUUGAAAUUGGAGACUUCAAACAACAGCAUUUUUUUAAACACAGCGUGGCUGAUGAUAAAACUAUAGAGAUAUGUGAAGAAAGCUAUCUUAAUGAAGCUAUUAAAGAUAUCGCACAUAGUAUCCUAGCCACUGACGGCUUCAUUCAUGUGAGCCCAAUGUUUAAUAAAGGCCAGAUUCAAGCACCGAGUAAAAUUUUCGCACCUCAUAACGUCAUGAUUUCACAUGAUGACCUCAUAGGUUCCCAGCGAGUUGAUUUCAAAUGGACAAGUUCAAAAGGGAAAUGCAUGGGGUUAGUUUUCGUUGACCACAAUGAAGUCAUUGAAAACAAGGUGUAUGACGUGACCGAUUCAAAAGCCUUCAUUGCCGAAAUUAACCUUGCAAUACUUAAAAGUCAUCUACGUUCGAUGAUUAAAUCAAAACAUGGGAUGGAUACUGGAUUAAUCAACGCCAUAAAGGGAUUAUUAACCAAUAAAAAUAUAUAUAGCCGCUGGAUCAGUUGGGACGGUAAAAAAACGAAUUUUAGAAUGUCUCCAGCUUACUUUCGUACCUUCAACAACUACGGAUAUGACAGUUACAAAAACAUAGUUUCGCUGGAUGGUUUUUUUCAUCAUGAAAAUGAUUACAUUGACCAAAAUACAAAGUCCGUUUUGAAGAUGACAGGAAGGAAGUUUGAUUUUCAAGUUAAAGAAAUGACGUAUAAGUUCAGCCUGGAACGAGGAAGUUACUCCGAUACGUUCUAUGUCGUCAUCUAUGAGAAAGAAUGCGUUUUACUUGAUUAUGUACUCAAUUCUGUUCCAGCUAAUGACAAUACAUACAAUCAGAUUAAAGCUUUGUGUAUAAAGCUCAUUCGUAUGUAUGAAUCUGCCAUGCGUGGUUUAAGCCUUGCUGGUUAGGGCUGCGCCCGGCCUACUCACGAAUAAUCAGGGCCGUUUUCCGUCCAAAAAAAGCCUCCACCCCCUUUAAACUGGGGGAGGGGAGUAAUAAACAGCAAAAACGGAUCUGAUCAUGUCGAAAACGACGUUGAUCAUUUCUGGAAACCUCCCAGCAAAGCUGGUAUCUAUCGUCCUGAAGUGACGAUUAACGAAUCUAGAAAGUUACUUUCUUUGGUGGGGUAGGUCGGUGGUAGGAAAACGAUGGUGACUCCAGGGCUAAGGCCCUAAUCAGGUGUUAACCUAAUCAGGGCUUACUUAGUGAUAACUUAAUUACUGAAUUUGCGGAAAUUCGAUAAUGAAGUUGCUUUCGCCGGUAGAGCCGUUUUCCGCUGUAAAAAUUGGGACGGUUGAGUUUUCCCCGUUCCCAAGGUCUAUCUGAAUUUCUUUCGUCUCCCCAGGCUGGAUCACGUUCCCCAGAAUGUUAAUCGCAUAAUCGGCAUCCUUCCUGACCGUGAUAUUUGCUGUUUGUACGCCCUGCGCCAGUGAGCCAUCGUUACGACGCAGCUGGCCCGUACGCAUGACGGCCAGCGGUGUGUUAUCGCUGGUUUUGAGCGCUUUCACCACGCCUAAAGUUUUCAGCUUCUCAAGGGUCACGAGAUUUUUAGGGUAAUAGGCAAACUGAAUGCUUUUUUGUGUCGUGUUGCCUUUGGCAUCGGUAGCAAAAGCGGUCAGUGUAUAUUUGUCCGUAUCUGAAUCCAGGCUGGGGAAGAGGCGAGGGUAGUCUGGGGUAUAACUACCGUCCGAGUUCUGGUUAAAACCUAAGACAACGCUGUCAGACGCCGGUCCCCCUUUGAGCUCAAGCCGGACAAGGCUGGGGGCGGUUAACGCAUCAUUUAACGUUAUGCUGAUGUUCUCAAGCCCGUAAACGGUGGCUCCAGAGGACAGAGACGCAUUUUCAUAGUUGAAAUUCACCACAGGAGGCGUCUUGUCGUUAAUCAGGUUUAUGAAUGGUGACGAUGUUUCAUUGCUAAAGGUGUCCUUUGCCAGAAAGCUCAGGUUAUAUUUCCCUUCGGCCAGUUUGCUCAGGUCAAAACUGUAUGUGUAAUCCUCGCCAGAAAGGGCGGUCUGGGCACCAGAUAACAACUGUCCACCAGUAUCAGAAUCUAUCAGGGUAGCCGAUUUUAGUUGCAGCAGAUCGCGGAAUUUACCGCGUCCAGGUUGCGUUACAAAUAAAAGAACCUUUUUGUUUUCUUCCUGGUAACUGUAUCCAGUAAUUCUGGGUAGCAGGUCAGUAUUCCAGUGGUGCCUUUUUUCAAUAGAUACUGAUGAAAACGUUUUAUCGAAAUCAGUCAAUCUGAAGGAGUAGGUCGUAAUACCGUUCCCCGUUUUUGGGAUGGACCAGGAUACCGCACCGAUACACUCAGUUUCGCCAGCUGGUACCUGACAAAUCUCAGUAUUACCACUCAUCGCACGCUGAACGUAAUUCCGUGGUGAUGCCGUUAUCCUUACAGAGCUGAAUUUAACGGGCAGAUCUUUGGUAUUCCAAAGGUAGCUGCCUGCAUUCGUUUCGCCUUUUUUGUCUGAUGUUAACCAGGCCUCAGGUGCUGCCGGACUGACCGGAGCCUCACUCCCCAAAUUGAUAUCAUAGGAGAGUGAACCGCCGCCCCAUUGAUAGCCAUUAUGGAUAGUGUAAGUGACUUUAUAGGCGGUCUUCGCUGAUACAUAGCUGUACCCAUUAGCCUCGGAAAUUAUCGUUCCAAACUUCAAACCAGCUUUAUUGUAUUCCCUGCGGUUAUUCGAUGGCACCCGAUACACGAGUGUCAAAGGGUUCUGGUUUACAGUCAUUCCCGGCUUAUAAGCUAUGUAACCUUCACUAAAGCCUGGAACCACGCUCGUUUUAGACGUGGGGUCAUAUACGGCAAACAGUGUGUAUUCACCAAGAUCCGAGUCAAAUACAAACCUCUGGUCUGGCAAUGCUUUACGGUUUCCCGCUUUAUCAUAGAGCGUUACACGAAAGCGGUAUUCGACAUCAGCGUUUGAUACAGGCAUCCAGGCGGAACGACUAAAAUUACCUUUUGUCCACGGCACAGAUAGCGAUGCUGAACCACUGUCGUAAACCAUAUCAGUGAUGGAAUACACCGUAUCGUCAGGCUUGAUCACCUGGAUAGUCGCUUUAUCAAAACCGGUUGCAGCUUUGACAUUAUUCACAUUCAGGUAGAGUUUUGCUUCAGCCCCCUGGCCCAGUUCCCAGCGAUCACCAGUUAACACCAUGUCGUAUCCGGGUUUUUGGUCCACGCUCAGGUUAUCGGAUGAGGGGCCAGCAGUAUCAAUAAUAAAAUUGUGAGUCGUGCUGUCGAUAACCGCGUUUUGUGUAUUCAGGAUAUCCGAGGUUAUGACAUAACUCCCGUCACUCAAAGGCGGCAGUGUCACCGUUUUUCCGUAAAACUCUUCACCUGUAGAGGCCUUUAUACGGUCAUUGACCGUCACGCUAUCUGUAGUAAAGCUAUAUACACCAACAUUGUCUUUCUUUACCGUUACCUGAAUUUUGCGAUCGAGACCUGAUAUCAGCUUUACCUGAAUUUUUUCGUUCGUAUUCAGAACACCAGAAUCCGCGCUGACUGAUUUAUCCGUUCCGUAGAUAUCCGUGAUCGCAUACUCAUAGACACGAGCAUAUGAGGGGAGAGAAAGGGCGGUCAGUAUUAGCGUAGUCAGUAAUUUUAUUUUCAAUUUCAUAUCAAAUUAUUCCAGAAGAAUAUUGAAGGUUAUGCCAUGGCGAUAAUGAUUUUCUUUUUCUGAUUGCAUGCAUUUAACAGAGCCAUGAGGCAAGAAAAGCCACCAGCCCCACGUAACAGAGGCGGUGGCCGUCGAUAGUUAGUUAAGUUGCGGGAACUCGAUGAUGAAGUUACUUUGGCCUGUAGAGCCGUUAGCAGCCGGAAAAAUCGGUACAGUGGAAUUUGCGCCGGUUCCGAGGUCGAGCUGAAUUUCUUUUGUUUCCCCAGGUUGGAUCACCGUACCGAGAAUGUUGAUGGCGUACUCAGCAUCACUUCGGACCGUGAUAUUGGCUGUCUGGAUGCCUUGGGCAAGUGAACCAUCAUUACGUCGCAGCUGACCGGUUCGCAUGACGGCCAGCGGUGUGUUGUCGCUUGUUUUCAGCGCCUUCACCACACCCAGCGUUUUGAGUUUUUCCAGGGUCACGAGAUUUUUCGGAUAGUAGGCAAACUGAAUACUUUUCUGGGACGUGUUCCCUUUAGCAUCUGUAGCAUAGGCCGUGAGAGUGUAUUUAUCCGUCGACGCAUCCAGAGUCGGGAACAGACGUGGGUAAUCUGGUGUGUAGCUCCCGUCAGCAUUCUGGUUAAAGCCGAGGACAACACUGUCAGAUGCCGGUCCCCCUUUGAGCUCCAGACGGUCAAGAACUGGUUUGGUCAACGCAUCGUUAAGGUUAACGGCGAUAUUCUCCAGUCCAUAGACGGUCGUUCCGGAGGGGAGCGGGGCAUUCUCGUAGUUAAAGCUGAUUUCCGGAGGCGUCAUGUCAUGCACCAGCGUGAUGAAUGGCGACGUUGCCUCGUUUUCGAAAGUGUCUUUUGCCAGGAAGCCUAAAUUGUAUCGUCCUUCCGCCAGCUUACUCAGAUCAAACGUAUAGGUGUAAUCUUCACCCGAAAGCGCAAUUUUGGUUCCAUUAAGUACCUGCACGCCGGUAUCGGCAUUAAUCAGUUCAGCAGACUUGAGCUGGAGCUGGUCCCUGAAGUUGCCGUUACCGGGCUGCGUAACAAAUAACAGCACUUUUUUCUUAUCUUCCUGAUAGUCAUAGCCGGUGAUUUUAGGAAGAAGAUUGGUGUUCCAGUGGUUACGCCUUUCCGCAUUUAUUGAGGCUAGUGUUUUGUCCUCGUUAUACAUUCUAAAAGAAUAGGUCACGCUACCAUUACCACUUUGGGCAAUAGUCCAUGGUACCGGCCCGCUGCACUCAGUCUCGCCUGGCGGGAUCUGACAAAUUUCCAGGUUCCCUGUAAACGCUCUCUGGAGAUAGUUUCUCGCAGAGGUACGAACUCUCGCUGAAAUGAAUUUCACCGGCAGAUCGCUUGUCUUCCACAAGUAGUUAAAGGAAUUGAUUUCACCCUUUUUGUCCGUAGUGAGCCAGACGGUGGAAGGCGUUUCCGGACUUUCAGGGGUAUCCGGCCCGAGUUUCAGAUUGUAAGUCGCAGCAGCGCCACCCCACUGGUACCCGUUAUGGAUAUCGUAUCUGAUGUUAUACGGCGUUGUUGCGGCCACAUAGACGUAGCCGUUGGCUUCGGAGAUGAUGGUGCCAAAACUUAAACCCGCUUUGUUGUAUUUCCGGACGUUAUUCGUCGGUAGCCGGUAGACGAGGGUAAUCGGAUUUUGAUUAACCGUCAUACCUGCUUUAUACGCUACGUAUCCCGAGGUGAUCCCCGGCACCACGCUUGUCUGUGAUUCGGGAUCGCGUAUUGCAAAUAGGGUAAAUUCACCAAGCUGGUUGUCGAAAACAAAUUUCUGGUCAGGUAACACUUUACGUGAGCCUGCCUUGUCAUAAAGCGUCACCCUGAAACGAAAUUCAACGUCUGCAUCCGAUGUCGGCAUCCAGGAAGCCUUUUUCCUUUCACCUAAUGUCCAGGGAGCCGAAAGGGAAGAGGACCCACCAUCAUAAUCCAUGUCCGUGAUUGAAUAGACGCUGUUGUCCGGGUUGAUGACCUGUAGCGUUGCUUUAUCAAAACCGGUCGCGGCCUUAACGUUAUUCACGUUCACAUAUAAUUUUUGUUCAGCACCGAGGCCGAGCUCCCAGCGGUCUCCCUGUGUGACCAUUUCAUAGCCUGGUUUCUGAAUAAUGCUCAGAUUGUCUGAGGUUGGCCCAACACUAUCGAUGGUGAAAUCCUGAGUGGUUGAGUCGACCUGAAUAUCCUGUGUGUUAAGUAUUUCAGAGAUGACCUGAUAGGGACCAUCACUCAGGGGAGGAAGCGUGAUGAUUUUCCCGUAGAACUCUUCGCCCGUUGAGGCCUUAAUUCGAUCACUUACCUUAAUGCUAUCGGUGGUCGUGCCGUAGACCUCUGUACCGUCUUUCCUGACAGAUACGUGUACUUUGCGAUCGAGGCCGGAAAUCAGGCUUAGCUGAAUUUUUUCGUUAGUGUUAAGAAUACCGGUUUCCGCACUGACUGAUUUCUCAGCGCCAUAGAUAUCCUUAAUGGUGUACUCGUAGACCCGCGAAUACGAUGAAAAGGGGAGGGUCGCGAGGAUUAACGUUGUCAGCAGUUUUAUUUUGGUAUUCAUAUCAAAUCAUUCCCAGCAGGCUUGAAAUCAGAGUGAAGAAAGUUACUUUUCUCUCUCCCCGGCCGUCAUAUCCGCCGUGUCGUGUUUAUCCAGAAAUUACCGGCCACCAGCAGGGACCGGUAAUCGUGAGCCGCUAUUUAAUUUGCGGAAACUCAAUGAUGAAAUCGCUUUGCCCGGUAGCGCCGUUUGUCGCCGGGAAAAUUGGGACCGUGGCGUUUACACCAGCGCCGAGGUCUAUCUGGAUUUCUUUGGUUUCGCCUGGCUGAAUGACAGUACCCAGUAUGUUGAUCGCAUAAUCAGCGUCAGUCCUGAGCGUGAUGUUGGCCGUUUGUACGCCCUGAACCAGGGAGCCAUCGUUACGCCUCAGCUGCCCGGUACGCAUGACGGCCAGCGGUGUGUUGUCGCUGGUUUUCAGCGCCUUCACCACACCCAGCGUUUUGAGUUUUUCCAGGGUCACGAGAUUUUUCGGAUAGUAGGCGAACUGAAUGCUUUUCUGCGUGGCGUUCCCUUUGGUAUCCGUUGCAUAAGCCGUCAGCGUGUAUUUAUCGGUAUUUUCGUCAAGGGUAGGGAACAGACGGGGAUAAUCUGGCGUAUAGGAGCCAUCGGCAUUCUGGUUGAAGCCAAGGAUCACACUAUCAGAUGCGGGGCCACCUUUGAGCUCAAGACGUUCCAGUACAGGCUUUGUCAGCGCAUCAUUCAGGCUGAUCGCGAUGUUCUCCAGCCCGUACACGGUAGAACCGGAAGCGAGCGGGGCAUUUUCAUAAUUAAAUAUGACGUCCGGGGGAGUCAUGUCGUUCACCAGCGUAAUGAACGGGGAUGACGAUUCAUUAUCGAAGGUGUCUUUGGCAAGGAAAGAAAGGUUAUAUUUGCCUUCCGGGAGAGCUCCCAGAUCAAACGUAUAGGUGUAAUCAUCACCAGCAAUCGCUGUAUUGGUACCGGUUAACACCUGCACAUUUGAAUCUGCAUUAAUCAGAACAGCAGACUUAAGCUGCAAUUUGUACCGUAAACUGCCGUUCCCCGGCAGAUUCACAAAUAGCAGAACCUUUUUCUUGUCUUCCUGGUAAUCAUAGCCAGUAAUUCUGGGUAACUGGUCAGCAUUCCAGUAUUGCCGCCUUUCAGCAUAUUGUGAGAAAAGGGAGCCAUCGGCAUUGGUCAUCUUGAAGAAAAACCCCAUAUGGCCGUUACCACUUUUUUGAAUAUUCCCUACAAUUUUCCCUUCACACUCCAGUUCGCCGACAGGAAUGUCACAUAAGAAAUCGCCGGUAUUAGACAUAGCCUUUUGGAUGUAAUUUCGUGCCGACGCUUUCACGCGGGCAGUAAGAAAUGUCACCGGGAGAUCGGAUGUUUUCCAGAGGUAAUCAUAUGAGCUUACCGCGCUUUUCUUGUCCGAGGUAAUCCACACGUCAGGAGUAGUUGGGCUUACCGGCGCAUCUGCACCCAUUUUAAUAUUGUAGGUAACACUGGCUCCCCCCCACUGAUAACCGUUAUGGAUAACAGAGAGCGUCUGGUAAGGGGUCGUGACCGACACAUAGCUGUAGCCGUUCGCCUCAGAAAUUAUGUUCCCGAAGGCCAGCCCGCCUUUUCUGUACUCCCUGCGGUUCGUAGAAGGGACACGGUAGACAAAUGUAAUGGGGUUCAGAUUGACCGUCAUCCCCGAUUUAUAUUCAACAUAGCCUUUACUGAAUCCAGGUAUAACACUGGUUUCAGUUGUAGGGUCAUACACCGCGACUAGCGUGUAUUCGCCUAAAUCCGAGUCAAAGAUGAACUUCUGAUCCGGCAGGACUUUUCGGGUACCGGCCUUGUCGUAUAGCGUGACACGAAAGCGAUAUUCUGUAUCCGCAUUGGACACCGGCAUCCAGUCGGCUUUAACCGCGCUCCCCUUAGUCCACGGAACAGAAAGCGAUGCAGAACCGCUGUCGUAAACCAUGUCCAUUUUGGAAUAGACGGUAUUAUCAGGAUUUAGGAUCUGGAUAGUGGCUUUAUCAAAACCGGCAGUCGCUUUCACAUUUUUGACGGUGACAUAGAGUUUUGCUUCUGCCCCCAACCCCAGCUCCCAGAGGUUUCCGGUAAGGACCAUGUCAUAUCCCGGACGCUGAUCAAUACUCAUGUUAUCGGCAGUGGGGCCAGACGUAUCAAUCAGGAAUGACUGGGUUGUCGAAUCAAUAAGGGCAUCCUGGGUAUUCAGUAUUUCCGAGGUGAUGGUAUACAGCCCAUCACUUAACGGGGGCAGGGUUAUCACUUUCCCGUAAAACUCUUCAUCUGAUGAUGAUUUGAUGCGGUCGGCAACUUUUACGCUUUCUGUCGUCGUGCUGUAGACAUUCACGUCGCCUUUUUUCACCGUCACCCGGAUUUUUCUGUCCAGUCCUGAAAUCAGGCUAAGCUGGAUUUUUUCCGUGGUGUUCAGCUUCGCUGAAUCGGCGCUAACGGAUUUCUCCACACCGUAGAUAUCUUUGAUUGUGUACUCAUAAACACGGGAAUGGCCGGGCAAUGAAAGGGUGCCGAGGAUUAAUGCCGCCAGAAGCUUGGAUUUGAAUUUCAUAUCAGUACCAGUCUAAAGCAUGGUUAAAAGGUCGCAUUGUGGGUCGCUCUUAACCACUGAUGGAGCGAUACAUGCCUAAAAGUUACUUUCCUUCUCCGUUGAAAAAAAACGGAUGUUUAUGAUUCUGCACUUCAGGCCAGCGGCUUAUUUCACCUGCUGGAGAACAGCACGCCUGCUCUUCUGGACUGGCGAGUGUAAUGAGCGAUUCCACACCAGCGUGUUUUCGUAAAUCGAGAUGAAACCAAGACUAAUCAGCUCCUGCUUAAUCCGUUCGUUCAGCAAUGAACAGGUCUUUUGCCCCGUCAAAUUUGAAAGGUAAUUUUGUAAGGCCUUUGGUGUGGCCGGGAGAGAUUUAGGGGAGGAUGCGCAGGAAAGCUUCAGUCUGUUAAUCCAGUAGCCCAUGUCAUGCUCUUUGGCUUUCAUCACUUUCAUUGUUGAAGCCUUGUCUUUAACCGGUUGCGGAACGGGCAGGGCUGGAGAGAUCCUUGUACAGCUGAUCCCUGUUGCUUUCAGACGGGCAAUAAUACCGUCAUAGCCCUUGUCACGGGAGAUAACAGAGAAGUGUGACGUAUCCCCGGCCAAUGCGGUCAGUUGUCCGAGUUCCAGGACCAGAUGGAAAUCAACAUUGUUUUUGGAUACCUCAGUCGCCGGAAUAAUGCGUAAAGAAAUUGCAGAGCUCAGGGACGUAACAGGAAUUUUAAUGUUUUCCUGUUUAGCGCCCGUGAAGAAAAGCACUUUGUCAAAGUCAUGAAGGGAAACUCCCUCAAGGCUUCCGAUAUUUUCAUAAUCAAUCAGGGCAAUUCUGGUUUUGGGACUUCGCAUUACUCUCUCCCGAAAAAAAAGGUUGAACCAAAUAUCAACCAAAUCGACUACACCACAUGCAGGCCAAAAGUAACUUUUAUGCCUACGUACAUUACCUGCACCCAGUAAAAGUGACUUUUUAAAGGGCAAAUCCUGACUAAACGUCCAGCUCCUGAUUCACCAUGGCUACGGCCAUUGGUCUGGAGCCACUGGUAUCAUCCACCUCGACGGCUAUAUCUAUCCAACGGCUGGGAUCUGAAACCCAGUCAAUAAGCUCUUUUAUGGACAGGCUGUGCCUGAUCUCAAUGUUUUUAAUGCUGUCAUUGCCAAACCAGUUAAUCCGGUUCACAUGCUGUUUUAUGUAGUACACAUCCCAUGAGCCAUGGCCCAGAAAGUCCUUACCCCACUGCCGUUUAAGCUCUCGCCAGUCACAGGGCAGAACGUCUGCACGAGAAAGACUGUCUGUUAUCUGAUAGAUAUCUGAAAACCCCACCUCGCUAUCCGGGAUCAUUUCCAGGUACAGGUACCCGGCAACCGGAUGCUUCGCGCUAAUGACCACAUUUUUGGAGCUCAUCAAAGGUUCCGUUUUUCGUAUGAACAGGCCUGACGCCAAUAAUCCAGUUAUAUCAAAAUCGGCAUCAGAAAUUCCUGAAUAACAGGACGAAAAAAAGCCUAAACGAAAAAAAAUGCGAUAGAAAAAAUAGGGUCUUCCAGGAGCGAUAUAUUUUGAUAUCGUCAAAUAACUAAUCCAUCGGAGAAGUUCAAAUGACGCCAGUAUUCAGAGCGGGAAAUGUGAAAACAGUACGCGCAGCAAGAAGAAAACGACACAGAAGGAGAGGGAGGCUCAUUCACAGCCAUGAUGACAGUUUCAUUACCAACAGACUCCUCGAUCAGCUAACCGACGAGAUGAUGUAUCAGGAAGCAUUCAGAAAAAAGCUUAUCGACGAACGAUAAAAAAAUACUCCACGGCCGAAAAGUACCUUUUAGCCGGAAAAAAUCAAAAUUCUCUAUGUUAGAUUAUGACCAGUAUUAUUAGGUCAGAAGUAAACCAGUGCCCUGUCUGGUUAAAGGGAAUGGCGGUAGCUUCUGAAAAUUCAGCUUAACUUCCAGUUUAUUCUAGCGGGAUGUCUAUGCAUUCAACUCAUCUGACGAAAAAGUUUAAUAUUCUGGCGGUCGUCUAUUUCACAAUCAUUGCUUGUGGUCAGAUUGUUCUUUUCCCUCAUUCGCAGCCCAUUUUUCUGGUCAUCGUCACUAUGGGUAUUGCGGUUCGCUUAUUUACCCUGCGGCCACAAUAUAAAAAUUUACGGUUUCUGGUUUUGUCCAUCAUCUCACACCAUCUUGUUUUUACCAUUCUUACGCUCAUCCAGCUCUAUAUCAAUGCCAGGUAUAUCAGGGCCAGUUUCAUUGAGUAUCAGAUGGUUUACGCGCCUUUGCUCAUCGGGAUGGGAUAUGUGUAUUUCAACGUCUGGAGAGCGCGUACCUGACGUCCACCUGACCUCUUUGAUUAAAGGAGCCUGAAUGCUUCGUUCUACCCCCAAAAUCACACCCCUGACCUUUUCUCCUGAAGAAAUUAGUGGCCUACAGAACGGCCAAAAAACCCAGUUCCGCCGGGCACUGAAAGGUCGUGAUGCUUUUUCAGAAAAUAUCACCUCCAGAGUAACUUCUGGACCUGCAAUACCAGUCCUAAAAUGCCCUUAUGGUCAGCCCGGCGACCGGAUUUGGAUCAGAGAAACAGCAAGGACCGAGUGGCAGCAAGUACAGGAGUCCCCGCUAAGAGUUCAGACCGGUGUACGGUACCGCGUUGAUAACGAGUACCAGGAACUGACCAGCGAUUACCCGUGCCGGAUGUUCCCUACAAAACGCCUGACAUCACAAGGCGUGCCUGCGUGGGCAACGCCGGUAAGUAUGCCUCGAUGGGCUAGCCGGUAUCUUCUCGAAGUCUGCGAUACGCGCCUUGAGAAACUCUGCGAUAUCUCUGAAACCGAUGCCUAUGCGGAGGGGGUUCUCACUGAAGUGUGGGACCAGGUUGUCGUUGCCCGAAAUUACGGUAUACCCGAUGCAUUCUUUCAGUACUGGUCUGACGAUAUCGAUCACUACGUCGAAAUGAAUGAACUGUACCGUAGCUCUUUCCAGAGCCUGUGGGAUAAGAUUUAUGAAGCUGGAAGCUGGGCUUCUAACCCGCUCGUUUGGGUUGUCACGUUUAAAUUACUGGAUAUCGACAGGGGGGAGAAUGAAUAACACGCCAGCUCUAUACGAGGCUGUUGAUUCAAAGAUUCUGGAAAAGGUGGGUAAACAUCCAAAAGCAUUCGUGGAUAUAUAUUUUCCGGAAAUAUACACGCUUUGCGUGGAAAUUCUUAAUGACAAUAAAAAAGAGCCUGCUCGUAUACUCGACAGGCGACUACAGGCUCUACGAAAGAAAGGUUUGAUCCAUCACGUUACCGGGAAAGGUUGGGUUAAAAUGAUUCCCCAGGAAGGAAAGGAAGGAAAUUCAGGGGGGUAGAGACUCCAGCUGAUAAAAUGAAAUAUCAGGGCUGUUCUUUUCAUAUGGAGUAAGCUGUUAUGCUUUACCCAUUUUUUGGAGCCCUGUGCUUCAUUCUGACGUUAUGCUUUUUAAGUAUCAGCGGUAUGAUUAUUCUCAUCCAUAAAACUGAUUCUGUUCAAUACAGCGUUCGGCGUUACCGAUUUCUUUUACUCUGCAAGGCAGCUGGUGCAGUGAAUUUUUUUAUUACCAUUUACUGCAUCGCUGGAACCGAGGGACAGCUUUAGCGCUGUUCCACAUCUGGUCAAAUCUUGUGGCUCUGGACCGAAAAGUAACUUUUCAACCGGGCUAUCAAUCCAGACAAUCAGAAUAUGACAUUCUUCUUAUUAAAUGAUGUCGCCGGGGGCGAUUAUGAAUAUCUAUAUGGACGGUAAAAAUGUAGGCUGGCUUUUAUACCUUGCUAUGGGUUUUGUCGCUUUGGGCAUUGCUUUUUUAUUGUCCCAUAAAAUCACUUCAAUGCUAAAAAUAAAAUCAACGGCUAAUGGCGGGCUUAUCAUAUCAGGAAUUACAUUAAUCCUGGCUGGUUUUGUCAUGUUCAUUGUCGUUAACCGAAGUUCAUUAUCAUUGGAUGAUAUUAAGAUGGGAGAGCGCUGGCUUAAUGAGUGCCAGCUACUUGAAACUAACAUUAACAAUGGUCUUUUUGACGAACCGACAAACAAGGUUAAUUGCAACGGAGUGAUUGAAAACAUUCCAAAAUACAGUUACGACGAUUACACCACCGAAUGGUUAUUGUACCACCAACGCAAUGAAAAUCUGAAACAUGCAGGACUAACAUCAAAACUCAGUUCAUAGCUGAUUUCAUGAAAGUAACUUUCUUAUCACCUAUUUUAAACGACUCAAGAGGCUGUUUGUGAAUAAAUUAUUAAUAUUCAUGGCGUUAUCACUUUCCCUGUGUCUGUCUGGCUGUGAUUUGGGAACAUCAAAGUCCUCAUGGGCUACCGCUAAAGUGGUUAAAACAGAGAUGGUGUAUGGAAAUGUACUAUACAGGAUUGUUUUCUAUACCCUUCCGGAUUUUGAUGAAGGAAAUAGGAUUUUUCAGGCGAACCUUUCUCCUCUUGAGGCAGUGAAAGCAGAACAUGGGCAAAUGAAUAUCAGGCUGAGAACAUAUUCAGAUGGCAAAAUAAUGGUGUAUGAAAACAUUAGAACUUUCAAAGAAUAGUUAUGACAGAGGCAGUUAUAUGAGAAUGAAAAUCAUCAGCAACUCAUCCAGUCAUUCAGCGCAUUAUAUAUACACAUCAUUUAUUAUAAUAUUAAGUUUGCUUGUCGCAUACUUUCUUGCAAAAGAACUUUCAAAAACAGAUGAGCCCGCAACGAAACAAGAGUUAAUUGAUAUCAUUGAAGCUACCCCAUGCGCUUUAGAACCUAUCUCCAGAGCCAUAGAGCAAAAUCCGAUAAGUAUCGUCAGAGCAAAUUCUAUUGCCAUCCAAUGUCAGAGAAACAUAUUAAGAAGCGAAGUUAUAAAUGAGCAAAGAGAAGCAUUAAAUGAGCAAAAACAAGCAUUAAAGUACGUUGAAAAAGAUGAGUGGCAAUAAUAUUUACAAUCAUUUCUUUGUUUUAAAUUCACAUAUCAAUAAAUGCUUUAUAAGCAGGCAUAACAUGGAAAUUAAACAGAACUUCUUGGUAGUAAUAGCUUUAAUUAUUGUUGUUUGUGGUAUUUUUAUAGUUUCCGGGAAGUAUGAUGUUAACACUUUCCAGUUUGCAUAUUCCAUUGCCACAAAAGAGAGUCUGGCGAAAAUUAUAAACAAUACGCCUUGUGCAUAUAACCCCAUUAAUAAAGCCCUCGAAAACGGGCCGAUUGAUAUCGGGCAGGCCAAUGAAAUUGCAGAUAAAUGUAAGAGGGAGGAGCAGUCAGAAGCAGAAAGGAAAGUGCAGCAGGAUGCGUUAAGGCAAAUCAGCAAACCUAACGAUAUUGAAGAUAAAGACCGAGCUGCGACCAAACAGGAGAUUAUUGACAUCAUCAGUUCUUCACCUUGUGCUAAUGGACCAAUCACUGCUGCCAUCGCUGGUAUGCCUAUUAGCAUCAGUUAUGCCCGACAUCUCGGCAGCACUUGUGAAGAAGUUUCAGCACAACGGCAACGUUUAAAACAUGAAAGAGAAGAACAGGUACAGGCUCUUUCCUAUUUUUACGAGUAAUAACCCCCCUGGUUCUUAUUCAUUAAGAAAAAGGUGGUCGUUAACCUAAAGGUUUUUUAAAAAUAAAAAGGACUGGCAUCGUUUCUUUAAGUGUCAGUUAUCAAAUUUCGGAAAGUUACUUUCUGGGGGGACUAUGUCUGAAAAGAUUAUCAAAAGGGGAGGAGAGCUCAUAGAGUUGCACUCUCGCAAUAAUAUUUCAAAUAAAGCGGAGCUGCAGAGCAAUACACAAAAACCCAAAACGAAAAUCACCAAAGCUCAAAGAGCAGCACUCAGAAUGAAAUUUGCUGCCCGGUGUGCUUAUUGCGGGUGUGAGCUGAAGGAAAAGGGCUGGCACGCCGACCAUGUAGAGCCAGUACGGAGAGAUUUCGAUAUAGUUCGCGCGCCCCAGGGGAGUCGGGUGACUCACGUUGCACGCAACAAUGGACGAGUAUUCCAUCCCGAGCGGCAUGAUUUAGAAAAUCUUUUCCCAGCAUGUUCUCCAUGCAACCUGUUUAAAGCGACAUUUUCAAUCGAGGGAUUCAGGAAACAGAUAGCCCACCAGCCUGAACGAGCUCAAGCCUACUCUGUCAACUUCCGCACCGCCCAACGAUUCGGACUAGUGACGGUCAUAGAGAGACCUGUCGUGUUCUGGUUUGAGGUCUAUGAUGCUUCGGAGCCUCUGGAGCCCCAACUAUCCUACUUCAUGGAGAACCGGCAGGUCGCUCCGGUCUCCAGAUGAUUUGAUUGAUAGUCAAUCGCCCUUCCGAACGUUGGUGUUUAUUUAUCUUUCCAGGUUGCGAGAGAAUAAGAGGUAUUUUGCAGUUUUAGUAUUAAUGUUUAAUUUCAGGAGGAUAUUACUACCUUCGGUAAGAAUACGUUUCUAACGAAUGAAGACAUCCUGAUAAUAUCAAAAAUCCUGAGCUGCUCGUUGCAUUUCAUCGGUGAUUAAAUCAUAAGUUACAGUAAUAUCCGCCCCGCAAGCCUGUUCCAGCUUCAAUCUAAUCAACUUACCGAUAUGUUCAUCUGUCAUCGAGGAUUCGAUCCUGACGAUUCCUCUGCCAGCUCUUAGUUUAGCUCGGUUUUCUUCUACCUCAUGAAUAUCGAAAGUUUCCAUUGUCAUCUCUCUGUUGUCAGAUAAAUUGUUUAGAACAAUAUAUCAGUCGUCACCAUGCAUCUCAACAUAUCCUUAAAAUAACCCGUGGCGCAGGCCAGUAUAACCAGAUAAUAUUCUGGCAUCAUUCCUGUUCAUUGUUAUAUAAACUGUUCAGUUACAGGCAUUGCCUGGUCAUACUUCUAUCUCGAAUCGUUAACCAUGUGAUGUAAUUAGUCAUGCAAAAUGGACUCUACUAUGCCCAGUCAAAUUCCACUCGCGCCAAUACUUCCGACAGAUUUAUUCAAUAAAGAGGGCUUUAUUGAAUAAAUCGAAUAGAGAGAACAAAGGGGAGUCCUGUUGACCCUGCACUACGGGUUCUACCAGCGCUUCUCAAUAGUGUCUACUAUGAGGCUUAUGUAAGCAGAUCUCGAUUCCUCACUGUCGGACUGCCUUGCGUAAGCUUUUUUUAUUGCACCUUCAGAGAGAGGAUGUUUCAUGUUUAGAAGUAACAUGAUCACCAGAACAUCGAUAAUGCGGGCAGAGGAAAAGUACUCAUAGAUGUAGUCGAAAGACGUUUGUUUAAAGUCUACUCCAGUUGCUCCAAUAUCAAUCAGGGCAGCGAUUAUCUCCCUUUCGUCACCAUUUCUGACGGUAAGCUUUAACAGGUUUAGUUUACGUUUCUGUGCUUCCUCAAUCUUUCGUUGUGACUGUAGAUAUUCGGCAAGGUUUUUAAACAUUAUAACGUAUCCCGUGAGUACUAAUCCCGCAGAGCAUACGGAGAUUCCCUGAAAGUUGGAAGUCGGCAAACACCUGAUUUGACCAUUCCCCAUAAUGGAUAUACAAUAAUCGUCAAAUGGAGGUGGCUUAUGUACAAAAACACCACAGCUGAAAAACUACCAGAUACUCAUGAUAAUCUGACGGACUUUCAGCGCAAUCUACUGAAAAGAAUAAACAAUAUCGCACUGUCUCUGAUGCCUGAGUUUGAGGACAAAUCCCAGGCCAUGGAAGCGAUCACACUGGAUGAUGGCUCAUUGAUGCAGUUACUUUACUCUGUGCAAAUGCAACAAAAAACGCACGCAUCUGAGUAUGAAAUGCGUAAGGUUCAUCGCCGUCGUGAAAAUCUGGAAGCUUUUUACAGAAGCCUUCAGGAAAUAGGCGGUACCUUUAAAGUCAAUGAUGUGGCGGACAUACUGGGGAUUACCCGACAGGCAGUGAACAUCCGGGUGAAGAAGAAUCAGCUUCUGGCCUUUAAGCAAAACGGUGACUUUAUGUUCCCGGUCUUCCAGUUUACUGAUGAAGGUCUGAGACCGGGAUUUAAAGACAUCAUGGACGCAUUCGAUGAGGAUACCCAUCCGGUGUUGCGGCUGGAGGUUUUCAAAGCUCCGAUUGCGGUCAGCGAUGAGCAAACCAAAACACCCAUCCAGAUCCUGACUGAUGGCGCAGCUGAAGAUGAACUGGCUCUGGCCGUUCGAGCCGCACGACUAUUCGGUAGCCAUGUUGCCAGCUGAGUUAAAGAAAAGAGGGGCAUACCGCGCCCCUCUUUAGUUACUUCGGUUCGGACAUAAUUUUGAAGUUUAGUAAUUCCUCAAACAUCUCUUCGCCGGUCAUGAACGUACCAGGCCAACCUGCAGGGAAAAUUCCUGUAUCUGUCUCCCUGUAAGAUGCAUAGGGCACCAUCCCCCCGGGAGUAUCAGUGAAAGCAGGCGGCUUACCUGGCAUUUCCCAGAAAGCAUAACAACGCUUGCAGCGAUAGUGUCUUCCUGAAUAAGAGAUCCCAUCAAAAUCACUUCCAAAAUGCGUAUGCAAAUACGACAUCAGCCAUUGUGUGAAGGUAUAGUUUUCGUUUUCAACGCUGUCAGGUGGAAUGUGAAGCAGCUGGCAUAAACCAACAAUAUCGAUCGCUUUCACCGUUCUGUUGACAUCUAUCGAGCACAUAUAAUGCUGAUGUAAGACUUUCUCUGGGUAAUUAACAGGACCACCCAAAUGAAGUAAACGUCCGUAUGCUUCCGCCGCUGCCGUUAAUGAUGAGUCUGCAGCGUACCACACGGCAAUCGAACCACCGGGUGGGUUGUAGCGUCCACACUCUUCAAAUAACACUGGCGCACUGAACUGUACUGCACUUGCAUAACACUUCUUCUGGUGACGCUUCAAAACAGCCGAAGCCGGAUUGAUUGUCACUGUCGGAAUACGCCCUACCUUUUGUAACGCUACAAUUCCCUGCGUCACUUUAUCUUCUUCAAAAAUCCAUUUAUCCAUAAAACACCUCCUUACAACAGAUUAGGCCAUAGGCUUUCUCCAUUCUCAUUUAUAAAAUGUCCCUGAAGUAUCGUCAUUCAAGGACGAAUAAGACCUGCGGUCUCGCUGAUAUUAUAUCCAAAAAAACCAUAUGUUUCAUAUAAAUAUGGUUUAUCUUCCAGAUGAAUUUAGAGUAUAAAUAGUAGCUUGCAUUGUACCUAAUUUAAGGUACAAUUGAUGUUGAAAGGGAAGGCUACCGAGCCGCCCAAUAACUGCCUCAGGAGGCGUUCAUGUCAACUAUCCCUCAAUUAGCUGAACUGGGUUUUACCUCAGAUGUUAUACCUGUGAUCAAUACACCAGCGCCCAAUAUGACUCGCGGAUUUGAGCGCUUUCAUAUCAGCUAUAACUUUUCAUCAGCAGCAUACGGUUGCGACACAACAGCUCUGGUUCUGGAUGAGCGUGUCUUUUUCGUUCUGGACGGGGACCACGCCAGGGAUAUGACCGAAGCUGCAAAAUCACAUGGUAUUGAUGGAUGCGUGAACGUCUUCAUAGACCGUAUUGAGUCUGCUAAUCGUCACAGCGAGCAUAAAAUGGCGAUUGGCCUGACAAGUGAUAAGUUCGGACUGAUGCCGACCGCACUUGCCGUCAUCGGAGAACAGAACAUCCUCCGGCUUCUCUCUGCAGUGACAGGAACUGUUCAGGACUUUUCAGCGAACGGCAUUAACAAGGAUUAACCAUUCUAAGUACCAACAGACCCAUAACAUCUGAGGCUUAUAUGAAACUUGACGAUUUAACAGGUGACGACCGUACUCUGGUUGUAGUCGCUCUCCAGGCUCUUCACCGGGAGCGAGCUAACGCAUAUCAUGCAGCCUGCACCGCCUGCCAGCUCUCAGGCAAGCAACCACCAGCUGAAGCCCUUUUUGGCGUUGAUGAAUGUAUUUCGGCAUUACGCAGGAUUGGGGCUCUCCCGAUGAGAUGAAAUCAGAGAUGAAAUCAACCAAUGUGAAAGACGAUAGUAGGGCAUUACUCAUCAGUGCUGGUCAGUUGUUGUUUGGUGAGCGCUGGCAAACGGAACUCGCCAGAGCCCUUGGCCUGUCAGACGGCAGGCGCAUCCGUCAGUGGCUUUCUGGUGACAGACCAAUUCCAGUUGGAAUAUGGGAUGACCUGAGUGGUCUUCUGAAUGACCGAAGUUCCGAAAUAGCUCUGAUUGCUAAACACAUUCAAGACAGGACGAAUGAGAACGUAUAGGUUAAUUGAGCUGACAGUAGGGAGGGGGGAAAGUGACGCAACAAUUCUCGCCUCCGCGUGAAGUCGUGGAGAUGUCCCGGCGGAUUUUUGAAAAUGUAAUCUCCAGUAGCCUCAAUACUGCUGAUACCACAGGAACCUGUAUGUAUGGUUCGAUUCUGGUUUCCAUGCUCCUGGAGAAAUAUUCAGGUGUCAGGACACGUAUCGCCGGUGGAGAUGGUGUUGGUGAUGGUGGAAUUCUAACUGCAGCCGGUAUGAAGGGGCAUUAUUGGGUUGUUGCCAACGUACAUGGAAUGCUCUUUGUUGUCGAUAUCACGGCAGAUCAGUUUGGCAUGGACAAAAUCGUAUACAAAGGGUUAAAGGAUGCUCCAGAGUACAUUGAGGGCCACCAAAUCACCAUUGAUGACCAUGUUCAUGAGACCCUUCAUCAGAUUAUAGAGAGUCAGCGUUCAGAAUAUAACCAGCCGUGAGCCCUGUAAGAAAUGACAAAGAACAGGAGUCCUGGCUCGCCAGAGCUCUUUGUACUGGUUAAAAACCCAGAUAUCAUUCCCCCUGGGUUAUAUGAGUGAUAGACUAUCACUCAUAUAACCUUUGGAGGUAAGAAUGUCUGAAUUUGAAUCCCUUGCAGAAGAGCUGGUAGAAGAAGCACGAAAUGAAGAGGCCAAGCAACAGCAACGGGACCUGACACUGAUAGGUAAAGUCCUGGAAAUUUAUGAUCAGAAGUUCGUUGCAGAGCUUCUCCGUAAGCUGGGUAAUUCAGACUGGACCAGGGAGACCCUGAACCGCUGGAUUAAUGGUAAAUGUGGACCUCGUUCGCUCACAGUAACCGAAGCGUCUCUGCUCGAAAAGAUGCUCCCUCAGCCGCCUGCUAACCACCCCGAUUAUGCAUUUCGCUUCAUCGAUCUCUUCGCCGGUAUCGGCGGCAUCCGUCAUGGAUUUGAGGCCAUUGGCGGCAAGUGUGUUUUCACCAGUGAAUGGAACAGCUAUUCAGUCAAGACUUAUAAGGCUAACUGGUACUGUGACCCCGACGCACAUAUCUUCAAUUCAGACAUCCGGGAUGUCACGCUCAGUCAUAAAGAUGAUGUCAGCGAAGAAGCCGCCUACGCCAAUAUCGACAAAUCGAUACCCGAUCACGAUGUCCUGUUAGCUGGGUUUCCAUGCCAGCCUUUCAGCCUUGCCGGUGUCAGUAAGAAAAACUCACUUGGCCGUAAACACGGUUUUGAAUGUGACACCCAAGGGACCCUAUUCUUUGAUGUGGCCCGCAUCAUCAUGGCGAAAAAGCCAGCCAUCUUUGUCCUGGAAAACGUCAAGAACCUCAAGAGCCACGACAAAGGCAAAACAUUCCGCGUCAUUAUGGAUACCCUGGAUGAACUCGGUUACGACGUCGCCGACGCUGAAGCAACAGGUGCCGAAGAUCCAAAAGUUAUAGAUGGUAAACAUUUCAUCCCGCAACACCGGGAGCGUAUUGUUCUGGUGGGGUUCAGACGUGACCUGAAUUUAAGCCAGGGAUUUAGUCUUGGUGACAUUUCUUCUCUGUACCCGGAAAAAAAGGUCCUGUUCAGAGAGCUUCUUGAUAGUGAAGUAGAAGAUAAAUAUACACUAACGCCAAAGCUGUGGGAUUAUCUCUAUAAGUACGCCAAAAAACACCAAGAGAAAGGCAAUGGUUUUGGUUUUGGACUGGUGAAGCCUGAAAAUGAUGAUGCAAUUUCUCGCACAAUAUCAGCGAGAUAUCACAAGGAUGGUUCAGAAUCGCUCGUUGAUCGUGGUUGGGAUAGCGAACUCGGUGAAAAGAACUUUAACGACCCAGAGAACAUGACCCGACGUCCUCGUCGUCUAACACCGCGUGAGUGUGCCCGGCUAAUGGGAUUUGAGCAGCCAGGGAAAGUAACUUUUAGAAUCCCCGUAUCCGAUACUCAGGCUUACCGCCAGUUCGGAAAUUCCGUCAUCGUGCCGGUAUUCGAUGCAGUAGCGAAAUUGCUGGAGUCACGGAUCAUCGAGGCUGUGAAGGCGCGGAAAUAGAAGGUAUUGAAAGAGCCCCAAGGGGCUCUUCAAAUAUCUAUGCUGGUAUCAUCCCAUUGCGCAUACGACUCUCGCCAGAUGUGGGGGGAUGUCACCAAUAGAGUUUUUUAAGUUCAUCUAUAAACGCAGAUAGUGACAUUAGCUCACCCCUGAUUUCCUCGGGAAAGGCCUUAUGCAACCCUACCGGUACAACGAGCCGUAUCCCCUCAGACUGCAUUUCCCUGAACUGUGCCACAGAUACGCCCUGCUGUAAGGUGAACAGGUGUACUGUAUCAAUUCUGUCAGCCUCAUUCAGUACCUGCCGCCAGCGGUCCUUACAGGUGGUUUUAACCCCCAACAUGCGUAACUGUUCAGCAGGGUAAUAAGGAUCGCGAUAGGCAGCACCGGAAGGAAAGAUGAAAUCGGGUUUUUUCUUACCUUCCGUGAUAGCCUGAGUUUCAAAGCUCAUUACACCGUGUUCUUUGAAAAGAGAUUCAAGAUGGAGCUCAAGACUUUUCCCGGCACGAGACUUCCUCCGGUUACUCACUGAGUUAGCAAGCGUAAUAAAAUCAUUCACCGUGGCAAAGCCUUCGGCUAUCUGACCCAGCACGUGCAGUUCCUCAACGGCUAGAAAAAUUUCAAACUCAAUUUUCCGCCGCCACGUCAGUUGAGUGUCCGGAUCGUCAGAUUUUUUAUCGUAAUGACAUGCGGCAAAACCAAUAAUUUCCCUUCCUGAAGGAAAGUGAUGGGCCCAUUCCGGCGGCAGCUCAUACCUGGUCCUGGCUGGGGAGUGCUCGGUAACGAAUCCCCCAAUUAUUUUGUCUCCAGGACCAAAUAUUGUUCCUCCCGGGAUAACUUCUCCAAUAAUAGGUUCAAGAACCUCCUCCUCGGUCAGGUCUUUGCAGACCCAGACAUCGCAAUAACUGGAAGAUGUGCCGGGGAUAUGGUCGAACGCGAGAAGGGCCAGAGCUCCUGUAUUCUCCGGAUUCUGGAGCGGAUUUUGUCUACCAAAGCCCGUCAGCCGUUUUUCAUCCCGGGUGCCACCGAAAAACUUAUUGUUAUAGUAAAUGGCCCUUACAUCAUUAAGGUCAGGGCAAUCAGGAUGAGAUGACAUGUGCACUGAAAAAAGUGCUUCUGGAUUUCUUAACUGAGUAUCACGGAGUGAAGGGAACAGCUCAUCAAUGACUGCCCCUGGCAUGUAAAGACCAGACUGGUGGGAUCUUGUCGCGCCGGUAUCGUUCGCGGAUAGACGCUUCACGUAUACCCAGACAUUAGCAGAGCAUUUUUCUUGCAACCACUCAGCCAGAAUACUCAUCCAAACUACUCCAUCAUAAACAUUCACUGUUUAUGAAAGAUGUUACGGAUCCUGAGGUUAGAAGCAAGGCUAAAAGAAUCGGAGUGGGCUGGAGUGAGGGGAUGAUUAACAGUGAAUUGCUUAUACGUUCAAAAGGUUAUGCUCAUAAAAAUACACUAAUACUAAACCUUAAUAAUUUAUAAAAUCGUUAGUUACCCGGACUGUAUAUCAACACUACCUUCACAUCAUGUUCCUCAACGUACGCUACAUCAUUAAAAAAAUCAGUCAGAAAAAAAUGGCGAUGUGUAUUUCAUAUAAUUUCUCACUGUUUAUGAGAUGAAGGACUCCUCCAGCAUUUAAAUAUAGCAUACGAACAAAUCAGGGGAUUGACGAAGCAACUUAAAAUGUAAGAAUAGAGAUGCGCGAUAUUCAUCAUCAAUGACAGACUCACAUGAAAUAGCAUUAAAAUCGUUCAUGCACGUCUGAAACAGGCAUGAUCAAUAUUAUUUUUCACAAUCAAAACCGGGAUUAUAUUGACUAAACAUUUAUAUGUGGAAAAAUAGACUAAUCCCGUAUCACUCUAAAAGGUAACAUAUGAAAAUCCGAGAUAAGAUUGCUGCUGAAUUGAAUUACCAGGCAUCUGUAGAAGGAGAGACGGGUAAUAUAAAAAUGUGUCGUAUUAUUCUGGAGUCUGUGAACAAUGCUGUUGUUUUCAAUACAAUGACAAAGGUAGAGAAGGCACCUGACUCUGACGCAAAAACCACCAAUGAGCAGUAUUUCCACUAUGUUCAACCAUGGGUUAUCCCGUUCAUUGAAAAAAUGCAUACAGCCAAAGACGAAUGACGACAGCAUCCCUGGAAAGGAAGAACCUAUGGCAUUACUGAUUUCAGCAGAUGAUAGUAUUCGAAAGCUAUCCCCUCAGGACCUUGACGGUAGCCGUGAUAAUGAAGGUGUAUUCUCGCUCGCCGAUAUGCAACAAAUGGUAGGCGGUUACAUUCAGGCAGUGAGACUUAAUCCUGUUAUCGUACAUGAAGAUACGCGUUACACCUGGUUAAUUAUCAAUGAAGAAGGGAAGCUUCUAUCUUUGCCAAUUAACAACAAUGCGACCCUUAUGGCAGUCACUGCUAUCAGGCAUGAUGAUUACAUCGUCGGUGAUGCAUUGAUGCUUGAAGAACACGAAUUUCAGUAACUUUUUGUGAUACACUAUUCUCGUUAUUAUUCAAUGUUCGUUAGUUAAAUUUGCCUGUCGAUGACAGGCUUUUUUUUGAAAUAAAAAGCCCGGAACCAGGCUUUAAGUGGAGUACCAUCAGACAGAAGAAAGUUACUUUUUGGAUUUUUCGCUACCAGGAUGGAGUGCUAAGGCAUCAGGCUUAACAUCAACCAUUGCCAUUAAACAUUCUUUAUGCCCGUAUGUGCUACCGCCUGAUUUGUCGAUAUACACAACUCCAUUUUCUCUCAUUCUCUCCCUUCCAUAGCGGGCCGCAUACGACUCUGGCAUAUUUUUCGAGCAAAUCUCACAGGGCCCCAGAUAGUCACUACCCCUGGCCGUUGCCCUAAUGACUUUUACCAGUCGACCCGUUGGUACGUUAGAAAUCAUUUGAUUAAACCUCAAGCAUUAUCCAAAGGGCGAUUAAACAUUACCCUUAAGAAAAUUGAAAAGAAAAAAAACUAACACACUAGCACCCAACAUAUAGAUCGUGAUGAUAAAUAUUCUGGCUGAAAUGGUUGGGGUCAUUCUUGCGUUAAAUGCACUGAUGAAUAGUGCGAUUGCCGCAAUGAUUUUUAUAAUAUACUCAGGGAUAACAUUGUUUUCACCUAAAAUCUCGUAUACCUGUGAGCUUAACAGGCAAAAAGAAAGAAUAACAAGCGGACUCAACCAUUUAAGGUUGCGAAUUAAAUACCAAUCCUCUUUGCUGUUUUUCAUACUCAUUCAUACCCUCUAAAUUUAAUUAUCGACCAGAUUCUAAUUUCACAUUACUUUUUUAGCUUUGACAGUAACUUUUUGAACGGGGUGUACUCAUACACGAUCAAUGCAGUCAAUAAAAUCAAACUCACAGAAAGAAUAAAAAGGUGAAUGCAAUUUAUAUAAAAUUCGAGCUUUAUGCUCAAUUUUUUCAAGUUUUCAAGUUCCUUAAACUCAUUUCCGACAUCAUACAUGUCCUGAUGACCUGCUAAUUUUGCCGAACGAAAGAGAGCGUCUUUUUCAAUGGCGGUUUGAGUUUCCAGGGCUUCAUUUAUCUCACUCUUUUUUAACAUUAAUUUAUUGAGUUCCGCACCAGCGCUCGAAAUAUCCGUCUCUUUGUUUUUUCUUUCAAGAAUUACAAUUAAAUUCUUAAUGUUAGAAUUAAGUUCUUCAAUGUCACUUUGUUUAACUGUUUUCAAUAACAUCGUAGACGUUUUAUUUGACAGUUCAUCCAAAUCUGGAUGACCUGCGUACUCCUCUGAAAUCUUCGCUGAGGCAGUGUCUCGCUCAUUAAUCAGCUCGCUAAUGUGUUUCAACGGUCGAGAAUCAUUAGAUGAAAAUGUAUCUAUGGGUGGCUCAUCAAUACUGCGAGCAACGCUACCAGAACUCAUGAAUAUCGUCAGCAGAAGGGCGGGCAGUAGGGCACGGGGAACAUUUGAAAAUUUUGAGGGUUUCAUAAUAGCUUCCUGAAUUUUUGAGAUGUGAGUAGUUUCACGAUCGUAAAGGAAAAUUCUGUCGAUUUCCGGUCUUUGCUGACCAUAAAAAGGAUUUAGAACUUUUUAUUUUCUUUAGUUAGCCUAAGCAUCCCCCCCCUUUAACAGAUAGGGGGGGGUAGAGGCUAUCAGCAUCCCAUCAUCCGUUCCAUUUUUUCCAUUUGAGCUAAGUCCGCCAACUCACGACGUUCGCGGCGUUCUACGACAAGAGCUCUUUUUUCCCCAAAAGUCAGAGCACUGAUAAUGGGGACCUUAAUUUUCCCACUGCCUUUACAGGUGGUGCAGGCAACAUCAUAUGUACCGUUUACUAUCCUGUGCCGUUCCUCUGGCUCCAUUUCGUAAAGCUCAGCGCUGGUAAAACCAUCCGAAAACGCUGGGUUGUCAAUGGUACCGUGGCCUUCACAGUGAUGACAAAUUGCCCAAUAAAACUUACCCAUGCAUGGCUCCCUUUAUCAGCUGUUACACCAUUCAUCGUAAGUUUUUAGUGGCUUUCCGGUAGUGACGUCAAUACCUUUUCCAUUAUCUGCACAAGCAAGGUAAAUUUGGUAUUCACUGUCGUUAUCACCACGAGAACGAGUCUGCCAGUUUUCAUUUUGUUCAAGUUUCAUGACACACCUCACUUUAAUUUAUUAGUGUUAUCCUACUCUAUUUGACUCGUCCAUCAACCCCCUAAUUACUAAACAAGAAAUAUUUUAAUGCUAUUGUUUAGCAACUUUAAAUCGUGUUUAACAACAAGCGUGCGUUAAAGAACAUUACCAGCGACAAUAGAAAUAAAAUAAUACUUAAUGCCACUUCUUUUAAGGCUUCAUUUACAACUAUCUUUCUGAAUCCUGAGGAGAAGGGGGCGGAAGGAUUCAAACAUCUCAAUGCUGGGAUUAAAUUCAUAAUGGCGAAAAUUAAGAGAGUAAGUCCAGCCGAUACGAACAGUGUAAUCACACUGUAUGAUACAUGCUCAUGCUUAUAGAACAUAUUGUAUGCUAUCAAGGUUAUACCUAUGAGUACAAGGAAUAAACCUGUGAUGUUAACAAUAAUGAAUAUGGCGUCCUUUCUGUUAUAUAGGGAAGAAAUCAUCACUCUACCAAUCAUCAACAAUACAAUGAUGUCAAGAAUUACAUUUAAUGAAAAUAUAGCGAUAUAAUAAAAAUCACUCAUAUCCUUUCCUUUUCCCUACAAACAAAAAAUGUUGCUUGUGAUGUAAUGUUAAAUAUAUUAAAAAUCAUUGAUUUGAAGUCAUAUCAUAAUACUGUCCAUAGGUUAAUUUUAUAAAAUCAGGGGGAAUAGACACUUCAUUUUUGAAUCCAUCAACUCUAUUCGGAAUGCAAAAUACCAGAGCAUCAUUUCUUUCAAAGAGCAUACCGCAUUUCGUUGUCAGCAUAGCCGUUGCAUGCUUGCGGAAGGAGGAUGGACCGCCUUGUGCUGUUCGCAUCACGCCAUAGUGGUUGAUAAUGUAAGAUUCCCAACAAGGAUACGAACCGAGCCUUUCAUUUGCUGAUUUAAUAACCGAAUCCAGUUUUUUAUUGUAGUCGCGACCUUCCUUUGUGUUGCCUUUGCCGCGUACAACUAUCACCGGUUUAUUAUUGAAUAUAGAUCGCUCUUUAAUCGUUAUGGGGCACGGAAAGGUACACUCAGCAUCCCAGGCAAAGGCACGCAAUUUAUCCCCUUUAUCUCCCAAUCCGUAUGAAUUAAUGAAUGCAAUUGCCCCGACUGACCUGCAGGCUUCAUCAAUAACCAUGGAACGUUGCUCUCCGACAGUUUCAUAGGACUGAAUUAACUCCUUAACCUUUGGUCCUUCAACAAGGUAAUAAUCAUAAUACUUAGCCUGGUCCGACAUCGUGGUCCCUCUCGUGUUAUGGAUGGUUACUGCAAUCAAAGAAAGUUACUUUUUUGCGGCAGUAAGCCCAAGAACUUCUUUCAUCUGUUUCUGUGUCCAUAUCGUUUUGGUAAUGGUCAGAUCUACAUCACCGCGAUAGGCUGUACCAUCUGGCAAAAUCACCAGGCUAAUUAUUUUUUUCCUGGUUUAGAAACUUCAAACCGAUCUCCACUUCUCUUUACGGUAUAACCCUUUAACAGAGCCUCCUGAACGAUUUUUUCUUUUCCUUUCUUAGCCAUAACCCCCUCCCGGCUUUUAUAGCAUAGCAAUCAGGGUAAAUUAUCAAAUAUCAAGGACAACAUCGCCACAGGGACGACAGCAGCAUGGCAGAAUUUCAUCCGCACCUACGUAAGCCAGGGGGAAGCAGUUGUAAGUGACUUUUCCUGAUUUUUUCUUGAGCCUGCAUGCACCACAAAAACCUGAACGGCAUUGUGAUUCAACAGGAACCCCCGCCGACUCUAGUUGCUCCAGGAUAGAGUUUGCACUAUUUUCAGAGGUUAUAAGCAUUUUGCUUUUCUCAGCAAAGAUAGUCUGACAAUUGAUAUAACCUGACAUAAGCCGCCCCCUUUUAUCUUUAUCAUAUUAUAUCAUUUUACCAGGCUACCAUAACCCCCUAAUUAUGCGAUGAGUGAAAAUUAACCCGGAAAAGUUUUAUCAUCAGAAAUAUUCAGAAAUUAUCACAUCAGAGCCAGCCACAUUGGAAAACCACAAUCAUAAAUGGCGGGUGUUUAUGAAAAAUAAUUUUAAAUUUUCACGCUCAAACUAAAAAUGACCCCUUGAUGCAGCGUUUUAAUAUGCAAUCAUGUAUUCAACAAAGGAGAAAAUAUGAUCCAUUCAUUUGAAGAAAAGAACCUUGAGAAGUUAUUUAAGAGCGGGAAAUCGCAGUCAGGUCUUCCAACGGAUAUUACCAACAGUCUGAAAAGGGCGCUUGAGGAGCUGCAUAAUGCGGCAAGCGAAGCUGACCUGAUCCGUCUUAAAAGUCGUAACUAUGAAAAAAUUCACCAUACACGUUUACGAGAACGUGAAAGGGCGGGAGAUAUGUCAUCUAUCCGUGUCUCUUCAAAAUAUCGUCUGCUGUUCACCUGGGCCGAUGGUGGCGCAAACCGGGUGAAACUUACCGCUCAUGCCCAUGCGUAAGGAUUCGUUUAUGCAGCAUUGCACAGCACGUCCUAAUGACGAAGUCCGGGCUAUCGAUCUGUUUACAUCCUUAGGUCGGGAAGGGGUGCAGUUUCGCCUGGACAGCCUCGCUAUAUUGGCAGCAUCUCGCUGGGAGCAGGCGUUACCUUUGCCUCCUGAUUACACAGGAACACCGAUUGAUUUUCUGUCGGAUGCGGAACGCGAGGAAAGGCAUAUCCUUUUAACCGGUCAGAUGCUUUGCAUCGAUGAGAUAGCUGAAGCACGUGAACGUAUAAAGCAGCGUAUAGCCAGUCGUAAAAAGCUAUGCGGUACACGGAAUGCUGACUCACAUAUUGAAAGCGUUUGAAUGGGACUACCAUGUUAGAGAAAAUUUAUUAUCUGGCCCUUUUUCUGAUUGCGGUUUGCAUUAUCUGUGGUUUCGUUUUUGCAUGGCGCAGACGUAGCCCUAUGGCCCUGACGUUGACUAUCAGCGCUCUUGUGAUCUGUAUUGCUUUUCAUACGCUGGAGAACUCUGUUGCGACAGGUAAGGAUGAGUUAUUGCCAGGUGCCAGGGACUUUACACAGUGCGAGCUGGUUGACCAGCAAUCAGCUGAAAUCAGCGGUUUUGGCUAUCCGGUCGUUGUUCUGAUUUGUGAUGACGGCCAACAGAUUUUAGAUGCAGGGAUAUACACGCAGCAGCUGAAGCAAAAACAGGAUUGCGCCCCGGGCAGUGAGGUAACAAGCUGUCAUUAACUGCCAGAAAAGUUACUUUCCCAAAUAAUUCUUAUCCGCUGCAGUAUUUCCUGUUUUCCAGCGAGAAAGUAUCCGUUAGUAUCUGUUAACAUCAUUGAAUCAAACACAGAGAGAACAAAAAAAAUUAACCGCCAUAGAGGUAUAAAUGACUUCCGACGACAAUCAGAAUAAUGCAAGCGGCAAAGGUGUGGAUGAUUCUGUUAAAUCAGGCCAGAGCCAACAAAACACAAUUAGCAUUCUUAAACCAGGAUCAAAUAACGACCUGAUUGACCAACUUCGUGGUGGGCCUCUGGACAAAACAUCCGUUGACUAUGAAUACCACUCACCGGAUCCUACUGAAACUGCCCAACGUCUUGCUUUAAUUAGUUAUUUGAUUGCCGGGGAAGAAAAAAAUGGUGCCUUUUAAACCUGUUAAUUUGCUUCAAAUUAUGUCAUCUCACAAGAUGGAGACAGAUGAUGUUGCACUAAUCGCCGGUACCGAUUCUGUUGUAGUGGAGUCCUGGUUCAAGGAUGGGGUCGCCAGUGAGACAGCCCUGCACAACAUCGCAUGUGCAGUCGGAGUAUCGACGGAAUGGAUUCGGGGCUUUGUCUCCGGUGAGGAUGAAACACUUAAGGCAAACAGUGAAGGCCUGACGAAAGAGUUGCAGAAUCUUCCCCCUGAAGAAAUCUCCGUUCUGGCAAAAAGCUUCAGUUUGCGUUUGAAAGAUAUCAGUGAACUCGAUAACAAGCAGCAGGGGCAGGCUCUUUCAACGGUCAAUAAUAAUGCGGUUUUCAAUAGUGAUACCGAAGAACUCCUUGCGGUAUAUCGGUUAUUGCCAGAAACAGAAAGACGAAAUCUAUAUCGUGUGGUUUGUUUGAGACACAAAGAACUAGCACGGCUUUACGAAAAAUAUAUUAAUAAUAAACAACUUAUUUAAUAAUGCUACAUGGCUACAGAACUGGACAUUAGCAAUAGCCGGUGUCCGGUUUUUAUCCGCACGCGCUAGUUUUAAAUGAAACUAACAAUCAGUCAUAAACACUGGGCAAAAACAAAUUAUUUCCAUUUCAAUCUCAUUUCACCCCUGGUCAUAGCAUUUAUUUCUGGCAUAAUAGCUUUAUAGUGAAUAACACAGCUUGCCCUGAAUUGUUACUCUCUUACUAAAUUAUCAAGGAUAAACUAAUGAUAUCUAAAAACGAGGCAUUAGAUUUUUUAAUGAUGCCAAGCCAGGGUGCAACCUUUAGCGUUUUUGUUGGUGCUAUUAGUUUAUUAUCAAUCCAUACACAAGGGUAAAACAUGACGAACAAAGAUGUCAGCAAAGCGAUUUCAGUCAAAGACAAAGAAGCUCUUCAUUUAGAAGUUGUAGAUGGAAAACUAGCUGUAAAAAGAAUAUGCGAAGAUUUUGUUAUCGUAAAUUUGAAUGAUAUCCCUUCGAACCGUGAAGAACUCAUUCAUUUCAAUAAUAAAUAUUUAGCUCCAAACGGACUCGGUAUUGAUGCAGAGUCACUUUCUGAUGUAAAAGUCGAGCAACUUAUUGAAACAAUAAAAGAAACAUUCACUAAGGAGAAUGGGGUUGCCACUAUGACUGACUAUACUGGCCCUCUUAAUUAACCCAACACUAGCUAUCAGUGAGGCGAUAUGUCGACAGAAAACAGUGCAAAGAUCACUUUUACUUUUAACGGUAAUGCUCCUCAACACUGGAUAACUACAUUAAAUAGUCAAAGGAAAGGUACCUGGAUUGAUCCGCAAUCCAGCGGCAGCAAAGUACUGCUGGACAUCCUCACUAGCAGCGGCAUUGAUGCGGACAGCGUUCGCGGUGAUGAUGUUCUGGUGUUUUCAGUUCCCUCUCAGCGUGAGAUUUUGUCUGAACUUCUUGGUAUCUAUGCCGUUUCUGAUGCCAGAGUGUUGCUUAUCGCCGCUACGCCAUUCUGUCCGAACCUUUCUCGUGUUGUGGUAACAACCCACCAGCUUCUUUCGGACGGCAGCUCUGUUUCCAGCGAACAAAAGGCAUUACGCAACCUGUUUUUUAUGACACAAAACGGCAUCUGUAUUCAGAGUGAUUUAUCUUUGAAUCUUGACCCGGCCAAACUACCUGGUUCCCGUUUCUUUGCCUGUGAAGAUGAUAUGGAACAAGCAGGAAUUCAGCGUUGGGGAGAAAAUGGUGGUGAUGCCUGGCGUGCAAUGGCAACGAUUAUGCAUGGAAAGAAAAUUCUCAUCAACGGGGCCGGACAAAUGCUGGAACUAGGGAAUACCCCGGAAGAGCGGAUUAACGCCGUCAAUAAUUAAAUUCAUUUAUAGGUUGUACCUAUGGAAACAACAUUUUUAGGAAACAACGAGUUUAUCAAACAUGGAGGCCAGUUAUUCCUAAAAACUGAGGAAAGCUGUUUCGCUUUUUAUAAUAUAGAAUGGGCGAAAAAAAUCUUAUCCAGUGAUAAUGUUAAGUUUCAAAAUGGAAGGAUGUCCCAUGACGUCGCCCAUGAUGUUCUUGAGGAAGCUCAGGAUAACUUAUUAUGUUUUUUGUGUGCAACAUUACCUAAAAUGUCCACCAGCUAAAACUAACUGUUUGCGUGAAAUGACGCUAUCGAGCCCCCCCCUAACACAGGGGUUCUCGUAGCCAUAACAAGAAUUCCAUCUAACACUGCAAUCAAAGGGAAAUGGUUUUUGGGGAUUCGAAAGUUAUACAUCCAUAAACAGUGGAUGUUUAUAAAUCAUAUAAUUUUUUAUCGGAUUAUUUUUUAAUCUAAUGAAAAUCACCCCUGGCACUCAAUUAUAAAUAUGAGAUAAUGAUUUUACGAAUUCAACAGGGGUAUGUUAUGUCUCGUCUGAACCUGGAUUUAAUUGAAACUAUUUACUCUGAUGCUGACCGUGAACUCACCAAUGAUGAGUUGUAUCGGGAGGUACAGUCUCGCCUUUCAAUUUCAGAUAAUGAUUUCAAUUCAAAAGAAAAAUUCGGUUUGGCCGGUGUUCCUCAUAACAAAAUUAAACACCGUAUCCGUUGGUUCCAACAGACACUAAAAGCCAUGAACGUCAUCGAACGUUUAAGCUCCGGCCGCUCUCUAUGGCGUCACUGCAGGAAAAAAAAUUCCGGACUUUCCGAAGCGCGGGAAGGGACACGUAUAGUGGCAUUCAGUACAGAUCUCGGGGUAGCGAUUUUAGGCAACUCUACAAUGGUGUUGCCUGGCAAUACCGAACCGGUCCAUCUCUGCCUGACAUCUCCACCGUAUCCACUCAGAAAGCAGCGGGAUUAUGCCGCAGCCUUCAAAAACGACAGUGACUAUAUUGAUUUCAUCGUGGAAGCCAUUAGACCAAUCGCCCGCCAGCUGGUUAACGGUGGUUCUGUCGUGCUGAAUAUCGGUCAGGAUAUUUUUAAUCCGGGUCAGCCUUCACGUUCCCUCUACCCGGAGCGCCUGCUACUGGCCUUGUGCGAAAAACUUGACCUCUACCUGAUGGACCGGGUGCCGUGGGUGAAUAUGAGCAAACCACCCUCACCGACAUAUUGGGCCUGCCGUAAGAAAGUUCAGCUGCUGGCCGGUCAUGAAAUUAUUUUCUGGCUGACCAAUAAUCCUGAUGCUGUCCGUUCCUGUAACCAGCGCGUUUUGCAGCCCCAUACAGAGAGCCACAGCGCGUUGGUUGCCAGAGGCGGAGAGAACCGUACGACCAUCUACGGUGACGGAGCCCAUGUCGUGAAACCAGGUGCCUUUUCUCAAUCCACUGACGGGGCUAUUCCCAAAAAUGUGAUAAUCCGAGGCCAUGCGUGUGCUGACACUCGCCGCUUUCACAAGGAAGCUAAACGGUUAGGGCUUCCUGGACAUGGGGCGAUGUUCCCUACGGCCAUCCCCGACUUCUUCAUACGGUUUCUGACGGAAGAAAACGAGCUGGUGGUUGAUCCUUUCGCUGGCUCUCUAAAAACAGGCCUUGCCGCCGAACGGCUCAACCGCAGAUGGAUGUGUUUUGAUAGUAUUCUGGAAUGGUUACGAAUUUCAGCCACCGGCUUUUUUUCUGACUUCCCGGGAUUUGAGAUGAACCCGAUUAUUGAUAACGGCGAGUUGUUCGCGUAAGCGGGCGUUAGAACAUUUUUCAUUCUGCACAUCGUGGAGUGAACGAUCACAGGAGAUGGCAAUAUGCCUGACAUUAUCCCGCACCAACAGCAGCCGGAACAAUUUCAUAAAUUCUACUCCCUCAAGGGGGGGCAAUACUGGCGUGCCAAAAACGCGAUUCCUGAACAACGUAUAGAGCAGGAUGAGGUUUUGCUGAUUGAGUCGCUUCGCUGGGUCGAUAAUGCACUCCAUACCGUGAUCCUCCGCACCCAUCCGUCAAAAUUCGACAAAAACUUUGUUUUCAAAUUCACCGAUGCUGCUGGCCGUAGCUACAGCACGACGAAAUCGUUUAAAGAACACCGCUUUCUGUUCGACGAUUUUCUGGACAAAUUUGAGUUUGCCGAUGACGGGCAGGAAAUCCGUGGUCAGGAACUGCUGGCCGCUCAAAACCGGGUUAGCCAGCUGACACAGCAAAUGACCGACACCAUGUCCGAUCCUGAUGCUCUGCGUACGGAACUUCUUGGCAGGAUUGAAGCGAAAAAAGCCAGUUCAUCAGCUCCUGGGGAUGAGAAAAAACAACUGCCUAUGGUUCCGGGCCUGUCGUCAUCUACGGAGUUAGCAUCUCUCGGUUCCGCUCUUUCUUCCGGAAUAGAUGAAACAAAAAUAGUACAGCUCAAGCAGGCAGUUGAGUUCAGACAUGAAAUCGCGCAGGCCCAAAUCGACUGGAUCAAAGAAAAGAACUCUGUGAUUUCGAAAGCCGUCAUGGCUAUUACACCCUAUCUGGAAGAGUCGGCCGCCGCACAGUUGGCUAUUGCUGAAGAUAGUCGUGAAACGCUGAAUAAGCUGAUGGACGGUAUCAAGUCCCUUGACCUUUACAUCGGUAAAGAUGUGGUGGUUAACACGAUCAGAGAGGGCGAUUCAGCACCGGCACACAUUCCCUUAACGUUCGUACAGCGUAAGCUGGCCGUCGACGAGGAAACCGCUGUUUUUCUCGAUAUCGGUGAAUGGUUUGAUUUUGAAAAGCUGCCACUUUUUUUCCAGGCAUUAAAGAACCAUCCGGGGCUGGUGGAGCAGAUCUUCCCGUCACAGCGCUGCGUGGUCUGUAUGACCACGACCCGGCGCUAUAUUGAUUAUCAGGACCGCUGGGCGAACUGGGAGCUUAAUGCCAAAAACCAGACCGUUUUCCUGAUGGUUCGGGACGGCGAACGGCUGUUCCAGGUCUACUCCGGUGUUGAAUCUCACCUCGGCGCUCAUACGCUUUUCCCGACCACCGAUGAGCAGGGAAAUAUCUUUCGUGGCGUUGACGGUUCGCAGGUGACGUUCAAUGACGUGUCCUACACGGACAAACUCAAAGCCCAUGAGAUGGUUGCUCUGCAUUAUUACCGGUUUCUUAUCCUGUGCUGCGGGCUCGACCACCGGCUUAAGCUCUUUGGCGAGUUCUACGACCCUCAGGACCGCUUAAGUUUCGUCUCUAUGGCGUUCCAGGAGACGUAUUGUCGAUUCAUUUACGAUCAUGAUGGUACUGGUCUUCUGGACGAUCCUGAUGCGAAAGUGCGCCCCUCUAUUGAGGAGUAUAUAACCCAGGCCAAUAGCCAUUUGCGCUCAGGUUCAAGGGUGUUCUGCGAGUGGAGAGCUGUUUGUACACCAAAUACCGCGCCAGGUGUUGUGAAAGUCGAUACUGGUACCAGUUACCGAUCCUAUUAUUUUACCGCCGAUUUCAUCGAUGAUGAGGGAAUGGCAGUGGCCUUUACCCGCAACAAUGAGAUUUGCGUGGAGGUUCCGGUCAAAAAAGAUAUCUACCGUCGCACCCGGGCUAAUGAUGUACGUGAAUUUAAUGCGAAAGUAUCCCUCACGAAUUUUCAGCGUGAUCCGUGGGAUGACGCCAGCAGCGUGGGAUUCCUCUGUCUGGACGCGGUAAAAGCCGAUGAUCUGGAUUAUUACAUCAACAGCCGCUCCAGCCGUAGGGAUUUUAUGUACUACAUAAAGCUCUUCAAACGCCUUUCAGCUGUCCUGAGAGCGGAAGAAGAGCAGGAGAUGCCAUAUCGACAAAAGCUCCUCAGAGCGCUGGUUGAUGGCAACAUAGGCACUAAAGCUAACCGUGCUGAAAUCGUCGACAAGACAGUUAUCACCUGGCGGGCUGACAAAAAAGGUCAGCCGCUUAGUGAAGGAAUUGACAACGAGAAAAGCUGGAAGGCAUUACUUGGCAUGAUGGACCUGAUCGCCUGGCGCGGUUUGAGCCAUAAAGAGGCCGCAGUGGAGAUGGCCAUCUCCCGGGGUAGCAAACCGUUACGUCUGAUAGUCAUGACAAAUGCCAGACUGGCUCUGUACGUAACCCCUACAGACGAGGAACGUGAUGAUCGCGUGGAAAAACAUAAGUGGGCCAUGCUGCUGACCUUCAAAAUGUCAGCAAAAGGGCUGACUCUGGAUUCCAGCAAGCCUGCUUUGCUAAGCAAAAAUAGUGUCUGCGAAACAACCCUCUAUGAAUGGCCGGAGGCCAAUGAGUGGAAAGGGCUGAAAUCAGUGUUCUCCAGCUUCCACGAAAAACAAAGAGCUUUUGAAUACAUUGAGACAGGUAAAGAGGACCUGCGAAAACUGUCUCCGGCUAACCCUGCUGAAUUUGAGGCUGGGGUACGUGAAUGGAUGACGGCCUACUGCGAAAUGAAUGAUUACCGCAAAACCGGGGGCCAGGUGCAGCAUCCGAGAUUGAUGAUACCGGUAGGCAUCUACAUUGACCGGGGAGACUGGCAAUAUAUCUACGUCACUACAGAGAGUGAGGCCGCAGGGUAUUUUUAUCACAACGCCAGCGAAUCCCUGAAAAAGGAACUUUUUCAGGAGUAUGUAUCACGCUUUGCUCAUCAGGAAGGAAAACUCGAAAGGCUUGAAACUCGGGGGAACCGGCUGGCAUUGGGCAUGGCUAACAAAACUCCCGACAUCGGGAUGUUCAGUGCAGAUCGCAAUGUUGAAAUGGAUAGCGUGAAAUAUGGUUCUCUGUCUUACAGUGCUUACAGCCAGCUUCAGAUGAUAGAAAACCGUUUAUAUUUUGUCAUUGAGGAAGCUGAACGUGGGGUACAUCGUCGGAUUUAUAUUGCCGAUAACCUAAAAGACGAUAAGGAUGAGUUUAUCAUAGACAAACUCCUUGGUUCUUCACAUCUACAGGAGUCGUCUGGCGUUGAUGUAUUCGAAGUUAUGCUGCCUAAGUCGCUGUCAGAAGGGCCACUGCCGGUAUUGAAAUCAAGUGGUGAAAUCUACCGUAUUCACCACUGGUUCGACAUUUGUCCAAAAGGGACUGACUCGAAUGUAUCAUUGAGCAAUAUUGAUGCCCCUGUAAAUACUGUUACCAGACACAGUUUUGAUAGCAGGGAGGCGGCAAUUAUGCAUAUCCUGAGGCAGGAUAAUACAGUUAGGAAAAACACCUCUGGUGACAUAUUUAAUACGCCAGAAGGUAUUAACGAAAGAUGGUAUUAGGAGGGGCUAAUGUUUAGCAUGUUCUUUGUUUUAACCAGUAUUGUUGUGUGGAUUAUGCCGGUGAUGACCAUCGCCGGAGCAAUUUUCCGUAAGGACCUGUUAAACCGGAAUGAAUGGACAUUUCUCGUAUUCUUUAGCGUUAUUGCUGCAUCGUACGUGUCAUAUUCCAGCUGGCAGGACAGAAAUAUGGGCCUGGUACCAAUAGGGAAAGAAUAUUUAUCUUGCCAGUUAAAAUCGCGUAAUGAACCUGACCUCACAAGUUUCAGGACCGUGACACUUGAUUGUGGCGGAGAAGAAAAAAUGGCUAAAGAGGAAUUUUAUGAUGCGGCCGUAAAAGCCGCCACAAAAUACGGUUAUGAGUAAAUCGUCAAGAUUCACUUUCCUCCAUUUUACCCCUCAGCAAUUUCAAUUUCGUUCAAUCCACCAGCACAGGCCCACGGUCCCGGUAAACCCGGUACCGGGACCUGUGCCGUGAGACCACUUUAGACGGGUCACAUCACUUCAAAGGGAAGCUGUCGCCGUCUCAGUCACCCGGUCUCAAAAUUUUUACAGGCGUUCAGCCUGCAAAAACUUUGAGCUGCGGCUUCCUUCUCCGCCCUUUUUCGUUCUGUUUUCCCCGUCUGCGUUUGUCUCACGGCACAGGUCAAGCCGCAUACUAUCCUCAACUGCUGGAGAACUCGCUAUGAACGUUUUUAACAAUCUGUUGGCUUUGUUGAAUAAAUCAGAUUUCGGGUAAGUCUCCCCCGUAGCGGGUUGUGUUUUCAGGCAAUACGCAUGCUUUCAGGCAUACCUGCUUUCGUCAUUUUGUUCAGCGCUCGUACCAGGGCCAUAGCCUCCGCAACCUGACCAUCGUAGUCACGCAGCGUCAGUGAACCUCCGAACAGCUGUUUUACCCGGUACAUCGCCGUUUCCGCUAUCGAGCGACGGUUGUAGUCUGUUGUCCAUUUCCACCGCGCAUUACUCCCGGUCAGCCGCUGAUUCGCAACAGCACGGUUACGGUCUGCAUAUUCACCGGGCCAGUAACCCGCGCCUUUUCGGGGCGGGAUAAGCGCGCUGAUUUUUUUGCGGCGCAGUUCAUCGUGACAGAGCCGGGUGUCGUAAGCGCCGUCUGCCGAUGCUGCCCUGAUUUUUCUGUGAGUCUGCCGGAUAAGACCCGGGAAGGCCUCUGAGUCCGUCACAUUGUUCAGCGACAGGUCAGCGCAGAUGAUUUCAUGUGUUUUACUGUCAACGGCGAGAUGCAGCUUACGCCAGAUACGGCGGCGUUCCUGGCCAUGCUUUUUGACUUUCCACUCGCCUUCACCAAAGACCUUCAGCCCGGUGGAAUCAAUCACCAGAUGCGCGAUUUCACCCCGGGUGAACGUUUUGAAACUGACAUUAACCGACUUUGCCCGCUUACUGACACUGGUGUAAUCCGGGCAGCGCAACGGAACGUUCAUCAGGGCAAAAAUGGAAUCAAUAAAACCCUGCGCAGCCCGCAGGGUCAGCCUGAACACGCGUUUAAUGACCAGCACAGUCGUGAUGGCAAGGUCAGAAUAGCGCUGAGGUCUGCCUCGUGAAGAAGGUGUUGCUGACUCAUACCAGGCCUGAAUAGCUUCAUCAUCCAGCCAGAAAGUUAUGGAGCCACGGUUGAUGAGGGCUUUAUUGUAGGUGGGCCAGUUGGUGAUUUUGAACUUUUGCUUUGCCACGGAACGGUCUGCGUUGUCGGGAAGAUGCGUGAUCUGAUCCUUCAACUCAGCAAAAGUUCGAUUUAUUCAACAAAGCCCAAUCUGUUUAAUCGUCACUGCCAAAACACUCUGCUGGCGCACGGCUGGCCCGCCGAUCUGGAGCUGGACUAUUCAUUACGUUAUUGCCAGGGAGAUGGUGUGGCAUUUUACGGCGUGCUGCAUGACAAAGAAAUUUUGACUUUGCUGUCUGGUCUGCUGAGAGAUAACCACAUCACCGAAAAGCUGGCAGAAGAGGUUGCCGAAGUAAUAAAAGACAGCGACACAACACUCACCCUUGAGCGCAACAGUUUUGGCUACCGGUAUUCUCAUGCUAAUACCAUCCGGGCAGAGUUAGAGAAUUACCCAGACGACAUUGGAUAUGAAGAGCGCUUUAAUGACAUGCUGGAGAGUGUCCGUGGGAGCAUUGAGCAGAUUUGUAGCACACUGGAAGGUGACGGAUAUAAAAUUCAUGAAAGCAUAACGCCUUCGUAUGAAGGAGACCUGGUUAUGUCACGUUCCACCGCCAAUUUUGAAAUCAUUGUGACAGAAAGCGAAGAGGAAUACUGGGACACAUCUGAUACCUGGGAUGAUGAAUGCAAAGAUUUAUGCAUCGCAGAUAUUCUGAGUGGCAAAUGUGAACUGAAAAACCUAGAAAUCCAGGUCAGAGGUAGACACACAGGCAAGGUCUAUGGGCAACAUUAUGCCGAACUGGUAUUUAUUAAUAAAAACAGCCCGGUGCGAAGCUGGUUUGACAGGGAAUGGUUAAGAACAGCGCUUGAUGAUGCACGUGGCAAUAUUGAAGAAAACCGUAGUGAACUGAAAAACAUAAGGUCAUAAUUUAUAUUUAAGGAGGUGCGACUAUAUAUGAUGUCGCACCUUUUUAAAAUAUUGGCAAACACAUAAAUGCCUGUCACAUUCAGAAAGGAAAAUCAUUGUAGCACUAUUCUGAAAUUCAUAAGGAAUUACAGCGUUGAGAAUAUCCGAUGUUUACUGGCUUAACUUUCGCUGAAAACUACGGCAGUUCAGUAGAUACAGGUAUCGGAAUGCCCAGAGCUUCCAUCAUUCCGGCCCCCGGUCGUGCAGUGGAACAGCGAAACGAGAUUGCCGCGCUUCGCCUGUCCAUCCGGUGACGGCGAACGGAAAAAACUAUUCGUCCGCGAUGGACGAUUCCGGUUAAAGUCCUAAAAUGGUCAAUGUCUCCAGGCUUUCAGGGAUUGGGAUCCGCUUGGCCCGCUUAUCCAACAUUUCACUGAUCCUUUCUGGAUCAAACAGGAUCCAACCUUUCAGCAACCCUAUCCUUAAGUCAAUUAGCCCCUCAGAAGCCCGUAAACGCUCUCUGAGGACAUUUUUCAGAAAAAAGGUAUCUACCUACGUAUAAAUUCUACGAUUAAUCCUGUGGCGUUUCAGGGGCAUUUUGUCAUUGGGGGGGGAUUGUCUUCACUGUUAGCUGUUCCCAAAUUCUACCACCAGCAUUACCAGGCAGAGAUACAACACACAUUGACUUUUUUUUAUCAUAUUAAUAAAUAACAGUUUUUAAAACAAAACAUCAGCGUUCGUACGUUGCCUUUUACGCUUGUUUGCCGUUGUUUAUCUCGAUCUGGAAUCCAGCUUCGGGAGGAUCAGGGGGGGGAAUGCCCGGAAAGAAGCUAUUUUGCUGGUUUUGUAAGCAAUCUGGAGGGGCAAGACACUUAUCACCGUUAUCCACAGGGUAUAACCAAUAAUAGAUCCCAAUAUGAUCCAAGAUCUAACCUAAAUAAAACCCAAAGGAUCCCCGUUCCUUCAUCCCAUUGAUUUUAUGAUAAAAAUCGUCACUUUCCCUCAUCGUUCGUACGUAGUUUUGUCAACGUUCGUACGUGAUUAUGUCAUUGCUAGGUUGAAAUUCGUCAUCGUUGGUAUGUAUUUUUAACAUCGUUCAUAUGAUAUUAAGUAAUCGUUCGUACGUUUGCAGAAGGGUAACCUGUGAAGAAAGUAAACAAAGAAAUAUCUAAAGAUAUCAGUGGGAAAGGUUAUUUUUCUUUUGAAGUGACAGGACAAACAGGCAAAGUUACUCACUUCGCACCAGGGAACACAGGCACUGUCCAGCCCGUUGCGCUGCUAAGACUAGGGGUAUUUGUCCCGACUCCCUUGGCUACAGGCAAAACACGUUCCAUUGAUAAAGUUGUGACUAUGGACGUGUCAAACGAGCUCCAGCAUAUGGAGGUCGCUUCCAGUGAAGGGUACAAGGAGAUCUCCCUAUCUAGCCCCCGGCUGGAUAUGAACACCGAUUUUCGAGUCUGGCUGGGAAUUGUCAGGACGAUUCACGAUUUUAACGAUGUCUCAGUUUCGGGAAGAAUAAAAUUACCUUUCUCAACGUUCCUCAAAAACUGUGGAUUUGACCCGACACGAUCGAAUAAGCACAUGAAAGCACGUAUCGACGCCUCGAUGGUUAAGCUAAGAAUGGUGACAUUUCAGUUCAGAAACGAAGAUUCCACGCUUACUACCGGCCUGAUAAACUGGGCACGUUAUAACAUCAAAACAAAUGAGAUCGAGAUAGAAGGUGACCCCCGCAUCAAAGAGCUUUACGCGAUUGAUUAUAAGGUUUUUUUGCGGCUUAAGGCACUGGACAGCUUACAACGAAAAGAGUCUGCACAGGCGUUGUAUACCUAUCUGGCGAGCUUGCCGAAGAACCCGGCCCCAAUCAGCAUGAAACGAUUCCGAGACCGACUGCGGUUAACUUCCCACGUCUCCGCUCAGAAUGAAAUUAUACGGCGCUCACUUCGUGAGCUACAUGAGAUAGGUUAUCUGCAAUACCAUGAAGAGAAGGUCGGUAGAAAUAUCAAAUUUCAUAUCCUAAAAAGAAGCCCAUCUCUCGGUGCGAAAAAGGACCCUAUUCAGGCACCGGCACAAAAUGCCCCGAUCCUGGAUGACCCGUUGCUUGAAAAACUGAAAAUGAUGAAAGCAGCUGGAUUUACCGGCGAAGAGAUUGCUGCAGUUCUUGUUUCCAUCGAUAAGAUGAAAAAGAUAAACGGCAAGCAUCAUGAUGAAGAGGCUGAAGACGCGGAUUUUAGCGAGGAGUGAGACUGCUCAACUAACAGAGGGAGUCUUGGCUUUCUGAGACUCGUUCAUUUCCUGAUUGCCUUCCUUCAGACGCAAAAAAACCUGGGGCAUUCCCCAUCUAAUUAUCAAAACGUCAUCGUUCGUACGUUCACGGUUGACGGAUGCGUGUAUCCGGACCUAUUGUCAUCGUUCGUACGUUAACGUGCUUUGCUCGUUAAAAACACUCCCGAUAAAAUGGCAGAUGCCAGGAACGUUCUGGAACAAAAACAGAUUGUAUGAAUUGAUAUUUAAAUUAAUAAAAAUCAAUAAGAUAUACUUUCGUGAGCUACAUAUACACCUUCCCUAAACUCAUACUGUCUUCUAAAUACAGUUUCCGCUAACACUAGCGCAACGCCAAAAACUCAUCGUUCGUACGUAUGAACGAUGACGAAAUGGAUCAGAGGCAUUGUUCUACUGAACAGGCAAUCUGAUAACAGAUGUGUGCGGAACUAGCCUCAGGCCUAAACCUUUAACGUUCAGCGAGCUUUAAUUGGUAUUGAUACUCGUACGGCGGUACUCCCUUACUAAAAGUAACUUUUCAAACUUAAAUUGCCCGAUGUGCUGUCCUGUUUUGAAACUCACCAAAGUUUUCCAGACAGCGCGCUUUAGAGACUCAAUCGCCCACCACUUUACUUGGAAAAAAAGUUACUUUUGGUGAUAAGCCCUGUCAGAGCAGCUGAUCCUGUUUCGUCGUGCAUCCGGACGAACAUAUAAAUGAGAGACUGGACAGAGCAAGGCACCGGAGGCCAAGAUUGUUCCUUCUCUCGUACGUCUGGCUUGUCCUGGCCUCAAGUGAUCACUCAAGGCUUAUCGCAAUCAAAAGUAACUUUACAAACUAUCCCACCAGCUGAAGCACCGGAAUGCCGUUGCUCAUCACAGGUUGAACAAUUUUACAAUGUGCUGAAAUGAUUUUUCGGGAUUAAGGAACGUUUUUUCGUGAUGUAAGCAAUAAAAUGUCAUUUCAUAUCAAGGCUGUAUGAAUAUACAGUGUCUGGAUAUGACCGUCGCCGGUUUUUGUCCGAUUGGGGAAAUAAUAAAUAUCCUGGAAAAGGCCUUUACAGCGUUAAAGACAUAGAUAUGCAUUUAGCCCAUGCCUAUAAUGAGUAGCCGAAACAUUAAAAUAGAUAUGAGGUAACAGAAUGAUUAAUAUCAAAGAAAUUCCACUUAGGGAUAUCCUUGUUGUGGGGAUUCCUGUUCUGUUGUUUUUGACUUUGCUGUGCAUGCUUAAAAGUCACUUUCCAGACGUUGUUAACGUCAUCGGUACAUUAUUCGUUUUUAUUUUUUCGCCAGCACUGGUGGCACUGUUGACCCUUAACCGGGGAGUGUUCGUGUACUUUGCCGGAGCGCUCGUUACACAGGUGCUUACUGCUUCUCUGGUGUAUUUUGUUUCUUCCCGCGACUUUAGCGAAUCUGUAGGCCUUGGAGCGUGCGCAAUAGUGAUUUACGUAAUUGCUCAGUCGAAAAUUAACGACAUUAAUCCAUAGUUAAGAAGGGAAAAACAUAACUCCGCACAUUAGUUCUGGUGGCGGAAAGCAGAAAGCCUCGUAGUUAAUUUUCAAGGAAGAGUAAACCACGAAAUUAACGCGAAACGCCCUUAGACAUUUUAUCCCCCUCCUUUGCAUAAUCACUGAAUGUUUAUGAAAUAAAAGAAUUUUUUUCCUCUAUUAUUCAAAUAAGGGCUUUACACAGGGUUUUAAUCUGUAUAAUUGUUGCUGCCAGACACGAAUACAGAAGAGGGUUUUAUUGCAUAUGGGUGGUCGUGGAAGUUGCCGAAGAAAGCGAAGCCUGCGCUGUGUCCCCUGCUAUGCAGGAAACUGGCACCGCUACAGAGACGGGCUGGACUAUAACGGAUGGGAAGAUGUAUCAGUGAUCGCAAAUAAAGGGUCGGGGUAUGUGUGUCAAUGCAGACAAUGUGGUCACACCUACAUCUCCUACUCCUCUGCUGCCCGUCGCCAGUAUCAGUAUCAGGUUAACAGAAGCAGCGAUGAACCCGGUAUUCGGGAAAAUAAUUUUAAUUCAAAUGCAAAUUCACCCUCUUAAUUCUGAAACGCCAUUGUGUAUCGGGAUAAACUUUCUGUGCAUGCUGGUUUGCAUCAGCGCAUUUCAUGAGUGCUGUUGCAGACAUGCAGAUGAAAUCAGAUUUGAUAAUUUAUAAAGAAUGAAGGGCAGGGCUGAUUAAUGAAAACGUCUAUCGCACCGAUUCUGUUCGGGAGGAAUAUUGCCAAUAUUUCGGAGAAGCAUUUUACUCCCUGGUUUUGUCCUUAUGACCACUACCCGGGUUUGGUUCUGGCCUCAACGAUCACCGUUCCUUAUUCACCCUCACCGGACUGGUUUCUGGGUGAAGAACAAUGUGGAGGUCACAGUUGUAACCAGUUUCGUGCAGCAAUAAAGCCUUUGCAGAUCAUACCUCAGUCACAGGUACAAGGGGAUCUGGAACUCAUUGCCAGCGAGGGAUUUGAGCCAGGCACGCUCGAUUAUUUUAGCCUUGCAGACGAUGAGGUGCAGAAACGGGUACGGCUGAAUUAUCAGUCAUUCGUUAUGAAUCUAGGUUUAACCUGCUCGGAUGAAAAUGUUCUUCUGCUGACGCAGCCACUGUAUCCACUGGAUGCGACGGAAUCCAAUCUCAGAGCGUUAACUACAGACCAGACUUGCCUGAGCGGACUUACUGACACCACCGGACUGGUCAUUUUUGUUGUGGGGGUGAACUGCGACUAGGAGAGGGUAGAAAAGGGUAGUAUCACGCUAAGCCACUUACACAUUAACGAAUAAAAGUCACUUUUUGAGGUAGAUAUGAAAAAAAUCACACGCGAUGCAUUACUGGUACCCUUCAUCGGGCUGCUGAUCCUCUCCUACCACAUGGGCUAUUUCCUUUCCGACUGGCCUUACUGGCAGGUAUACGCCAUGCUGGCGGUGGCCUUCUUUGCAGGCCGUUUCUGGCUGAGAAAAAAAACGUCGAAAGAUGAACCUCAGGAAGGCAAAACAGCCGGUGAGUAAAUCUUUUCCUGAACUGGCCUGUUCCGGUAAUAACGUCCAGGCCAUUCAGUCAGUUGACGGAAUAACAUAAAAGGAGCCUCUGUAUGAGCAACAUGACAGUGUCGUUUUACAGUAAAAAACAUCAUGACACCGUAACCAGCGCGAUUAAAGCCCGUGCCACAUCAUCAAUUGAGCUUCUCUGUACACCGACGCUUAAUCAGCUCCUGGAGCUGACAAAUGCGAUCUGCCUGUGUGCCGGGAUUGAAAAUCAAAUCGGCCUUUUCGUUGACGACUCAAAUAGUGACGAAUCCGGGCACGACGAACAGGAACUUACGACACACGUUGCAUGGCUGUUUAACCAGAAAAGCCAUGGUACUGCCCGUAAUGCAAUUAUUAAAAAAGACAUUACGGAGGUGAAAAUUGAUGACCCUCUGACUUUGAAUGAGAUUCUGGCGAUCAUCGAGGCAGUGUGUCGUUGCGGCGGUAUUGACGAUGACGUAGUGGCUAUUGCCGAGCCUAUGGUAACGGUCAUUGACGGCGCAAAAUACGAUAACGCCGCUGCCGUGGAUACCAUUCAUUGACCGAACGGAAACCGGAAAAGUAACUUUUCCAUAGAGGUGUUUAUGCUGUUUCGGAAACUUGUUUUGUCAGGGGGAGGAUGUAUCUUGCUUCUGGCCUAUCACGGAGGCUAUUUGUUAAGAACCUGGCCGUGGCUGUUCUAUUAUGCAAUGGUCGCAUGGGGGGUUGCAUUCAGCUGGUAUUUUUUCGCGACCCCUAAAGCCGAUUUGGUUCCGGAAAAGAUAAACAAAAACGAAAAACAAAUACCCAUCGCUGGUCAAUCACAGACUAACCGGUAUAAACAGAAUGAUAGUGAUUCUUCACUGAUUAGCCAUAACAUUAAUUUCUCAUCUACAGGAAUCAAUCAUUCGGAAAGUAUCAUAAACAAUGGAUCAGAUUGCAGUUAUUCGGACUCGUCAGAUUCAGGAUGCAGUGGGGGUGAUUAAAAAUCCUGGAUAAAUAAUUAAAAUCCUUACAAAUAAUUAGAUGAGGAGGAGAUAUGGCAUACACAGGAAUAACAGAUCACGCCAGACUCAGACUUAUGCAGCGUUCACGACUUCCCCUGCAUGUACUCACUGACAUGAUCGACAAAAGGGAAUAUGUGGAUCUGGGUUCCAAACCCGGAAUAUUAAAAAAACACAUUCUGAUUUAUAGUCGACUGGAUGAACGUUGGUACGUACUAAUCAGGGACAUAACAUCAGGAUGUAUCGUUACGGUAUUGCCGGAAAAUUACCAUGAUUCUUCAUUUAUUAAAAUCAAAGAUUCAGAUAAAAAAUCUGCAUAUGAUUUAGCGUUUAAAGUCAGGGCUUCUAGUCCUGAAGUUAUUAGUAUAAAUCUGUGCUUUAAUGAUUUCGAUGGUUACCGACAUUCAAAGAAUAUUUAUUCCAUACCGCUUUCACAGGUGGAUAUGUCGCAAGAGUUAUUUUUAAAGUCAAAGUUUAUAAAACAGAUAAAAAGAAAUAUUAGGGAAAAUAUUGCACGAGGGCUUUCCUUUGAUGAACAUACCAUAGAGCCUGGUUAUACGCCGUUGUUCCUGAACGUGAGGUUCAGUGCGGAUACAUACAAAAUAUUAUAUUUCUGAUUACAGGGGAAACUCAAUGAAUGACCGAGUCGUCUUUUUAAACAUCAAUGCAGAAGAUAAAACCCCAUUUAUUACUGAGGUAGAAAUGCUUAUUGGGGGAGUCCCACGGCUUAUGUAUCCAGAUGGCACAGAGCAGUUUGCGGAUGAUGAAAGCGAAACUGUUCUGAUUUAUUCACCUCGACUGACCGAGCAGGAACUAGAAGCAUUUUGCGAAUCGAACAUUGAGCAUUACCGGACUUUUCACGAGAAAAAUUUAAAACACAUACUGAGGGGAGACCGCGUAUCAAUAACCCAUUUCUGGGUUGAAUAAACUAAGUUAGGUAUUCACGAUUUGGAGGGAAUCAUGUAUCUGCAUCUUGUACCAACACUAUACCACAUCAUUUCAAAUAAAUGCCGACUAGAAUCAGUGACGAUCCCGGAACUGAAAUUCGAGAUUAAGGAUGAUGGACUUUCAUGCGGAAGACCGUAUCCAAAUAAACGGCUUUAUGUUGGCAUGAAAAAUAAUCGGAAAGCCAUGGUUGGGCUACUUCUUGAAUAUGACAAACAACUCAGCCAAUUUACAACGGAAUAUAAAUGGGUUAUUGAUAACAUUGGUGUUGUUCAGCACCAUAUUAAAACGAUUGUGCUGGACAGUGAAUUUGACCUUAUUUCACAACACAUAGGGUUAAAUAUUGGUCUGGAUGAAUUGAAGCCAAGACUCCAUCCCUCUUAUCACAAAAUCGCACCAGUUAAAAUACAACCUAUGAUGGAAUCAUACCGAACAGGCGAAGCGGUUAAUAAAUUGCAGCAUGAUGUAUGGGAGAAUAAUGUUCUACUGUUCAGGACAGAGACAUUGCUUUUGCAUACUCUGGAAUCAGAAAGACUCGCUAAGUAUAGUUUUUUCAUCGACAGGCUUCCUCAAUUAAGUUCUAAAAUUUGCAUCUGAAUUAAUUCAAAAAGCUCCGAUUUUAUUGAGGGGCUUUCCUUUUCAUGAAAUGCCAAUUUAAAAACCCCAUACAACUUAUGACCUAAACUUGAAACACAAUCAGGAAAAGACGACUACGCAAUGAUGGUUGCUAUGGGGGGUUAACCCCAUUCCAAUUUUGAUUAAAAUCACUGAGUGAUUUUGACUUAAUUUUUCUCCCUUAUUUGCAUCUUAUGUAAACAGUGGGGCAUUAUAAACUCAUGACUUUCUGCCCCAACACCUCAAGAUCUAAGAAAGUAACUUUUUUAUUGGUUUUUUAAAAAUGGGGGUUGAUGGGACGAAAAAAAAAGGUAUCCUGGUUUCAACGAAGAAUAGUUUUAAUGCUUGCCUUAUCUACCCGGGAGUUCAUAUGUCCUUAGAAAAUACAUUGACCGCUGAGUUAAAUUCAUCAGAGAACGCAGGCGGUAUUAUACCUUCUGUUGCUAUUGAUUUAAUUAUUGCUCAACGUGCAGCAGGUAUUGCGGCAUUUAUGGAAGGUUUAGAUAAACUCAGGGAAGCGGAGCGACUGUUCGCUGCUGCGGCUGAAAAGGACUGGUUCACGGGGCUAGAUGAGAUUAUUUCGACCGGUAGGCGUUGCCUUAAAGAACAUGAGAUAGAGGCGGUUCGACGCCGGGUGGCUCGUAGCGUUGAUAGAUCUAUCUGGCAACGCUUGAUGACCCAGACAGGUAUGUUUACGUUGAUGAGUGGUGAUCAACAUGACAAAUGGACUGCUCAGGUAUACAGCAAAGAUUGUCCGGAAGUCACCCUGGACAAUGUCAUCAGUACGUUUCAGCAUCUUAAUGCAACAAAAAAUGAAACGUUUGUUACAGGUAUUAUUGAUGUUUUCCGUAAGCUGUCCUGGGACUACAAAACAAAUAAUCCUUGCCGUCUGGGCAAGAAAAUUAUCCUCGAAGGUGUUUUAUCCAUAAAUGUCUCACCAACCCGAUACGCUUCGGUCAGGACUAAUGCGCAGAACUGGAUUAACGAUCUCGCCCGUGCUUUCUGCCUCAUCGACAAGAAAAACGUGCCAGAUUCACGGAUAGCAGAAGGGUGCCAGUACAGGGAUUUUAUCAACUUAAACAGUUAUACGUUAAACGGUGUGUUUACCUGCGAGUGGUUCACUAUUAAAUCUUUCUGGAAAGGUUCAGCUCAUGUGACUUUCACACGCCCUGACCUCGUUGAAAAAAUUAAUGAAAUUAUUGCAAGCCGAUACCCCGGCGCUCUCCCACCCAGAGUAUGAAAGUAAAUUCCAACUAUUUAAUCAUACAAAAUUCAUUAUUAAGGAAUCCUGAUAUGGGAAUUCAAAUUAAAGAAAGUUACACCACUGCUGUUAUCAGCACCGCGCACAUUGCUAAAGAAGAUACUGAGUUAUUAACUGAUGCCAGUUAUAAUCCCCGAACAGAUAGUGGACGUAGCUGGAUCCACGUAAACGAAUAUGGUUAUAUUAUUCGGACCAGCGUUGAAAAUCCGGGGUGGAAACAGCUUUUACGAGACGAUGGUAUCUCCUGGCCUACAAUUGAAAAUAUCGAAAAAGUGAUUAAUGCUGGGUACGAAUGUGUUCAUUUUGACCGUGACGCAGAUAUCGUUGAUGGUCUGAUGGCGUGGGAAUGGUAACUACUCAUUACCAGGGCUCCUUAACCUAUAGGGAAGGGGCCCAUAUAUAAUUGGCAGUACAGAAAAAAAAGGAGUCAUUAAUGGAUAUGCUUAACGGGUGCAGUUCAGCUCCUCAGGUUUCAACAUCAACCGCUAUUGCUGGUGGACGCGAAGUCAUUGUGACCGGUUGUGUGACAAAGCAGGGCAGAGCUAUUCAUUUCUGCAAUCAUAAGCUACUCAGCGGUAGCAAUAAUAAUCUCUGGUUCCCAGUGGACACCGUAGAUGACUGGUUUUCCGGCAUUGAACGAGUGCUGGUUAUGAAUGGGCUUGCUGAGAAUGUCGUAAACCUCACGCCGUUAAUUGAAGGUUCAGAAUAUUUCGACUGGAAAGUAAAGUAUAACCUCCGGGUUAUCUGACUCACAAAAAGUUACUUUCUUGCUUAACGCUUAUGAACAAUCAGAGAAAUCAAUUGGCUGUCCACCAGCUUCUGGACAGCCGUUCUUCUAAUUAGAUCUUAUCCAGAAAUUACAAGAUAACUCCAUUUCUGUCCCGUUAAUUGUCGUUUUGAAAAAAUCAUAAUGAUAAAAUCAAAUUCACCGUAGAGCUUGUCACCUGCCUGAAAAAAAACAGGGGCUUGAUAAGGCGAUUUAAAAAUGUAUCCUGGUUUGAUGAAUAGUCAUUUCCGGGUGAAGGGAGAAUUUAAUGGCUGUCCAAAAAACUCAUACUGGCAUCGUGAUUACCAAAGACGGCGAGGUAACAAAGAAAUUUCAUGAAACACCGACCAUGUGGGUGGUCAAUAAAACUGAAUGUUAUCGCAAGGAUAACGGCAUACGCCAUUUUGGUGAAAGAACCCGCCGCCGCCUUGUCCUCGAAUCCAUAAAACCAAUACCUGAAGUUAAAAAUUAACUAACUUAAUUAUUUAAUUAGUUGACAAAAAAGGAAAAAAUAAUGAAUAGCCAUUCUCCAAAAGUCGUCAUGAUGGACAGUGACGAAGCAGCCAGUAUUCAAACAUUAACGGGAUGGGUCGAUCGUCAGGGGCGUUUCUGGGGAGAUAACGAACAUCAGGCCCGCUGGAGUGGUUCAACGCACCGCAAAUGUGGAAAACAUCCGGAACAACAUCCUGCAUACCCUUCUAACAGUUAUUGUGAAUCAUGCAGAAAAGAAGAUCGCCAGGCUAAGUUUGCAGAAAUGAAGCGGGUGGCCUGGCGCGGCGAACCGUUGGUGAUUUUCGAUACGGAUACCUAUUUUUUUGAUGCCGAGUCGCUGGAGGAUUAUUGCCGUGACCAUGACGUUUUACCCGGUGAUCUGCAACUGGUUAUCUGUCUUCCAAACCAUAUAGAUCAGUUUGAUAUCCUGCAACAUUGCGAAGAAAUUCUACCCGAAGAUGGUGAGAUAAGCUUUAUCCCUGAAGCUGUCCAGGUGGCGGUUGAGGCGUUGAAUAAAGCGAUCAAAGAAAGCGCAGCGGUCUCAUGGAGCCAGGGCUCCCUGGUAGCUGUUUUACCGGAUGACCUGCUGAAUGCCGGUGAGAAGACCGCAGGGCAGAAAGAACAAACCGCCUGAUAAUGGCGGUGGGCACCACCGAUAAUUACGGGGCUUGUAAGCCCCUAAAUUAGGGCUGACAGAUAUGUUAAUGCAGACAGAAAAGGCAGUAUUACAAAUUGCGGAGUAUAUCCCCCGAGCUUGCCGCAAUAUGAAACUCUUUGAGGCAAAGGCCCGACUUGCAACCAAAAUCGCAUUGUAUAUUGUUGACGGCUGCUGUGACGAAGUACUCAAUCUGGCUUUCAAACCUGCACUUAACUGCCGCACCAGGGAACAGUUUUUUAACCAUAUUCAGCAAAUUAAAAACGGAGCUGGCAAUGUUCGCUUUUAAUGACGUUAAUACUCCGCAUGAAUGCUUCAAGAAAUGUCGUUGCUACCUCCCCCCAAAGCAACGCGAACAGCAUCGUUUAACCCAGCAUGUUUCUGAAUUUGACGAGCAUCCCGCUGACCAGAUUGACCAAUACAAGGACUACCCCGAUGCGUAAAGAUAACAAUGUCCUCCCUCCAAAGAUUAACAACGGUGUUCUCCGGCGAUGGAAUGCUCAGCGUGGGCAAAGAAAUAGCAGGGGUGGGAGAUAUAAACGCUUCCCUUCAGUUCACAACUUGAACGAGUGGGUCGUUGAUCGUUUGAUCUCAGAAAUUAUCGCAGAGGACAGAGAUGCCUGAUAACACCGAACUGACACAUGAUGAAAUCAUUGCUGCGUUGGCACAGCUGAAGCAGAUCAGCGAAUACCCAACUCCCUCUACUCAAUACGCACGCGUCUUACUUAAAUAUAUUACUACGCUGGUGGAGUCGCAGAAGAAGGCGCAUUCAGUAAUGGCUGGAGUCGUAACCACAGCAUGUAUCCGGGGAGUCAGACCAUUUGAUGGAAUUGAGUGCGAUCCCCCAACUCUGGAAGAAAAUGCGGAAGCGUGUGGCGAUGCCAUGUCUGCUCGAAUCAGAGAACUGGAAUCUAACCCACCAAAACCUAAGGAAUUAGCCGAAGCGCUUUUUCUGAUUGCAACUUUACGUGAGCAAAGCGACGGUUGGGAGCGUAAAGCCAUUAACAGUUUCGCUGAGCGUACGCAGAUGUUCCAGCGCAUUGCCGAGUUGGAAAAGAGAAACCAAGAACUGGAGUCAGGGCUGUUAAUUCCAGCCGAAGUUGAGAGCCAGGACCGAGCAUCUGGCAUGAACGCUGAGGCAAUUUGUGUCGACGGGAACAAACCUGGCAUGAUUGUGGCGGUGCACAUUGAUGCCGGUGACUUUGUUAAUGUUAAUGGUCUGAUAUUAAAGGUAAUUGAAACCGACUUUGACGACCACGACGUAACUUUAUAUUUGGCUGGUGGUGAAGAGUUUAAAUGUGCUGCUGGUUACCUGAUAGAAGUGGUUCCUGUACCAGAGGAUGAAGAGUAAUGGCUAAGCGCGAUUUUAUCCCAGCUGGCGCGACCUGCUGGCAGGGCGGUUGUUGUACUCACAGGGGGAUUACCCGUCGCCAUCGUUAUGUUACCGGGGGCGAUGGGCGGAAAUUCGAAUCGUGUUCCUAUACUGACGACUGGUACGCACUUGGCGACACGAUUGACUCUUAUGGGAGACCAUACCGGUAUCGAAUCACGGGUGAGAAGGCCACGGUUCUUACUCAGUUCUGCUUAGAAAAUUUAAAGCCAGAGUAAAACAGACAAUGAAAAAAUAUACCGAGCUUGACAGAAUAAUCAUGGAAAAAAUCGGUGUUACCCCGAUCCCUUUUCACCUCUUGUUUUCCCACGACGACAUCCCGGCCGAAUGCAAAAAAAUUGCCAUGAAAGAAGGAAAAAGCGAGCCAUUUCGCAUCCUCGAUCGUCGGCUUCAGGCUCUACGUAAAGCCGGAAAUAUCCGUAGCACUUCUAAAGGUUGGGUGAGGACUUAACAAAUGACCACUAAAUUACCAUUAACAGACGAACGCCUCUCCACCAUCAGUGAUUACUUUGUUGCGAUGGAAGAACAUUACAGUGACCCGGCAGACAGAGAGAAUUUUGAAAUUUUCAGUGAUGCUAAAGCCUUUCUGGCAGAGCUACAGCAACGUCGCAAGGCUGCAACAGGUCGCGAACCGGUGGGCAUUAAGCUCCCCCCUAAGAUGUCGAAUGAUCGCAUAAAUGCGCAUGAAUUAAGCACAGGCGUCGACGUCUGGAACCGAUGUAUUGAUGAAGUGGCAAAGCUGAACGGCAAAUGUAUCCCGUCAGUUCCAUCCGGGCUUCACCCAAAUACGCAAAAGCUCGUGACCGAAUUCUGCACCGAGCUGGCUGAAAAGCUUUAUAAGGCGCAACUCAAGUACGGCCACUCAGAUAACUGGUCAUACGCAAAUUGGGAAAUUGAGUGCCAGACAGCUUUCCACGAGCAUAUCGCCAAAGGUGACCCCCGCGACGUUGCCGCGUACUGCGCAUUUAUGUGGUAUCACGGCUGGAGAACCGAGGUCGAGCGUCGAGAACAGGUCGUGCCAGAUGAGGUCGAGCAUGUAGCCGCCGUACUAGAGCUUAUCGGUGGUUUUGAGGCUGCUGAUAUCGAUAGCGACACAGUAGAUUUACGGUUUGAGAUCGACGAUGUGGACACUGGCUCUGACGUAUCCAUUACUGAAUAUGCCGCACGCGGUUCCGCUAUUAUCCGUAUGCUGGCUGGCAAUGCUCCGGUAAAUCCAGACAGUUGCAUUCUAGAGGCGCUGGAGAACAUACAAACCGAGAAUGAAGUGGCACGAGACCAGUUAGUCAUUCUCCAGCUGACGCUAUUAAAGCAGCAGAGAAAGAUUGCCGAGCUGGAGUCCCGCACCGUGAAGCUGCCGAAACCUAAAGAUUCUGACCCGGGUUGGAAAAUUGAUCCGGAAUUUAUCAGCAAAGUUCAGAACGAGAUAGGGUACGAUGACCAAUGCGAAUGCUGGGAGGGUACACCUUCCAUGGAGGUAGUAGAGGCCGUUUUGCUGGCCGCCGCUGGCAUCAAGAUGGAGGUUGAAUAGAUGGCAUUCAUAUCUCAACUGGGAACAAUACCAAAGAGUAGCGGAAGAGUGCCAGGUUCUAAGUUCGUUUCGUUUAGAAAGACAAAAUCUGGUGCUACUGGUGGGCUUAUUACUAAGGACACUGGACUGCGCGGAACCAAAAUAGACAUUCAGAUUGAUGAGGAUAAUAAAACUAUCCGUCUUGGCGAGUACGAGAACGGAGUGAUGGUAACUCAAAGACAGGGCGUAUUCAGUUGCUCGGUUAGCGUAUUUAAUGCAGUGGGAAAGUGCCGAAUAUCCCUGACUGAUGGCGGGGACGGGUGGUGGUACGGAAGUUAUAAAUAAGUAGGCAGCUAACCACUAUUAUCCGGUUUAUAACAAAAACCAGGUUCUCCCCCUGCUGGAAUCACUUGGACUUAGAUUUUUUAGGCGGAUGCAUGAGUAGAGACGAAAAUAUUCAGGCUGUAUUUGAUCUAAAAGCUGGUUAUACACUUGGGCUCGCCGACAUCGAGAUUCUUAAGAGAGUGGCCCGGAUGGCGCUGGCCGCAAUGGACGGCGAGCCGGUAGUGUUUACCGACGAACGAAACCUUCAUCAUAUUGCCAUGGGCCGAGAAACCUCUCUGAUUUGGGGCAAACAGAACCAUGAGGCGGGAGAUAUCCCGCUCUUUCGCCACGCUAAGCCAGCGCCGGUAGUGCCGGUAGUGCCGGAUGCAUUGAUUAAAGCUGUAGAUUUUUAUGAACAGGUUAAACGUGAAAAUCCGUCAGUAGAAACGGGAGCCUGGAAAGAUGCCGUGGAGUGGGUACUGAAGGAAGCCUGCCUGGCUGCUAAAAAGGAUGAGUCAUGACACAGAAAAUCAGAUUAACAGACGCGCAAGUCUAUACGCUGCGCCGAAUGAAAAGCGGCACCAGAUACUUUCUACAGGGCGAUGGAAGGCGUGGAGAUGAGGACAACGGUACGCGCAGAGUCAACUGCCCGUCGCUUCCCGUCCUCUUUAGAAAUGGUCUCGUUGAUUUUUGCAGUGAUUGCGUAAAGCAGAAUUACACCUGGUAUAGCGUGAAGUUGACGCCUGAAGGAGCAAAAGCCGCAAAUGGUUCUCAGACAAGGAAAGAGCGCGGUUUGCCCUGAUGAGGGUUGCUUACAGUGCCAUGAUGCAAUUGAUCUCGGAUACCUGUCAGCAUAACAGUCAGAAAAAGUUACUUUCUUUUCUCCCCAGCAGUGAUAAUCCCCGGCACUAUCGGGUGUUUUUAGAUAUUCUCCAUGUUUACUUUUUCAUGCUUCGGGGAGAAUAUUUUAAUUCAUCGUUAAUUAUUUCUCAGUGUUUAUGAAAUCACCAUGGUUUAUUUUUUGUGGAGCGACCAUUGGAUGCCGUCAGAAAAAGUUUCUUUCCUGGUGAUAUGCAAUUAGGGGCUUGCGAAAACGAUUCGAAAUAGUAUCCUGGUUUGAGGUCGAAUAAUUUUAUCCAAGACUGGACACCACAUUCCGGGAGCGAUGAACAUGAGCAAGGUACCUGAACAAAAAAAGCAUGUAAUUAAUUUUGAAUGCGACCAUUGCGGACGCAGCUAUGACGAUACUGAUGUUUGUACUUCUGACGAUUGCCCUGAUAAUGAAAUCGCUAUGCCAGACCUACUCAAUUACUGGACAGUUGAUGAAGUGGCUGAAUGUCUCGACGGCGUGGGUGAUGAUCUUUACAGAAAGCUAUGGUCGUACAUUACAGCAGAGACUGAUGGUAACCCGCCACUGGCUAAAGUUGCCUGGGAAGCGUUGACUCAUGAAGAGAAGGCUGAAAUGGUCCAGGCAGUGGAACAAGAGUUCCCUGACGGUGAUUAAGUUCAGUAAUGUGUGACAAACAAAGUGUCGUGCCGGUAAUGGGUAAAGAACGGAAAUAAUACACAGCAAACCCUAUAAAUACCUUCCACCAGCAGCAAUGGACAUUUACGCUUGUAUCCAUUCUGGAAGAGCAGGCGACAGGCCUGCUUUAAAAAAGAACAACUAAACAGCUGGUGGAUUGGGAUAAUUUAAUCAACUUUAGUGUUAUCUGAGUGGUAACGCGAUAUUUUCACUUAAAUAUUUCAUGGUGAAUUAAAUGAAAGCAUUAAACGAACUACAGUUACGCCAGAUAUCCGCAUGCCCUGGGAACAUUGAGUUACAGGAUUGGUUGAAAAUACUUGUUGCUGAUAAUGCAGUGCUCGUUCGUUCUUUAACGGUCAUCGCUAAUUCAGAUGAGCAUCAUGGUAAGACGAUGGUCUGUGAUUUUGAUUCGUUGAUUUCUGUAGCUACUGCUGGUCUGAAAGAGCAUGAGCAACUCCUUAAAGGGAACACUUCACCUGAUUGCGAACAACAAGAAACAAACAUCCCUAUGUUCUACGUGGAUGGAGAGGCGGCAAUACGUCUUCUCAAGGGGCAUACUCGUUAUGCAGCCAUGACGACUGAGCCAAAGUCUGGUAAGACGUUGCCGCUUUACAUAAACGCUCAAUCUGCGUCAGUCGCACCGGCAGAAACAGAGCGAAAAGGUAAAAGGCUCCGCGUUGCAGAAGGGAGGUAUGCCGCUUUUUUCCCUCAAGAGCGGCCACUCGAUGGAGCGCAGAUCAUCGCAUGGGAUGAGAACGGUAAUUUGUUAGGCAUUGGUUUUGGACGAGACACACGCGAUACGGGAGUUGCUAUCAUCGUCAACGGAAAAAAAUACGACUCAAACCAUGUGAUUCACUGGUGUAGUUAGCCAUUCGAAUGUGGCCGGUAUGUAAGGAAGAUGAGAAUUAUGACCAGUACCAACAGAGUUCGGGACGCUGAAAUCUUUCGGGCCAGAACGGGGGAGUAUCCGGUUGACAUGUACAUCAAGUGGCUGAAGGAUGGCGCACUGGAUUUCGAUGCCGACUAUCAACGUGACUAUGUCUGGGGGCAUGAGGAACAACAGGCUUUUUUACAGGGGCUGAUAUCCGGCUUUCCUCUGGGGUAUGUGGCGCUGGCGAGAGCCCCCGACUGGGCGUCCCGGGAUGGUGCAUAUAUUGAGGUUGUUGACGGCAAGCAGCGACUGACAACGUUAAGGCUGUUUAUCAACAACAAAAUUUCACUGGCGCUCGCAGGGGGGCCGGUUUUCUGGCAGGACCUAACUCGUGGUGAGCAACUCGCCUUUGGUGCCCCCACGUUAACCGCCGUGGUGCUUGAUGACGCCACGCCACAAGACCGUCUUGACUAUUUUAUUGCAGUUAACUUCACCGGCAUGCCACAAAGCGAGGAGCAUAAACACAGGGUUCUCGCACUCAAAGGAAAUAUUCAGUAACGAUCAGUCAACUUGUCAGUUAACGAGAGCAUGAUGAGUCAGUUGCUGGUUUGCACCAACCCUUUCAGGAUGUAUAUCGGGAGGUCUGUUAAGUGGAUCAGAAUCAGGUUUUAGACGCAAUCAAUAAUGACGAUGUUACAGCACAUGAAUUGUUGAGCGAAGCAAUGCCAAACGCCGCCUCCCGUUUUUACCGGACGGCAAAAAAUCUCUCCAGACUCCUGGAUGAAAUUCACGAGCAUUUCCCGGAUGCAUCGUAUUAUGCCGCAUCCGGCACGUUAUGCUUACUGCUGGGGGAGAGCCAUAGCAAGUCUGACGUGGCGCAGCAGGAGCUUUUAGCCCAUGCAGCUCCUGGCUUGAGGGUUGAAGGGGGGGACUGGUAGUGGAGAAUACUUUCGGUAAAGAGUGACUGGUAAACGUCAUUGUGGGGGAUAUUAGUUGGCCGAUUAUUUUGUCAGUAGCCGUAAAUCCUGAAUACCGUUACUAUCCGUAAAUCGGCAGUCUUUCCUUGAACGUUGAGCCGUAUAUUAGCAUUAAUACCUAAAACCCCCUCCGGCUAUUCGCCGGAAAAUCAGAUACUGGGAAAGGGAGGAAGAAAGUGAUGCUUAUGAAUUUUUUCCAUGAAGGUGGUUAGUAUGCGUAAAUCCGUUUCAUUUGCAGUGGUUACUUUUUUUACUGGUAUCAACCUCGUUAUAAACCCGUUCCUGGAGGAACCUGCAUUAUGGGGGGCGCUCCUUGCAGGCAUUUUCAUUCUGAUAAACAUUGUGGCGGAAAAAAUGCAUCUUUGGAGUGGCGUUGCGUGGAUUAUAGCCGCUGGCAUAAUUCUCGCCAUGAUGAUUAAUGGUUACGUUCUAGGCGAUAAAUUCAAAUAUCUUAUCUGCGUUUUCUCUUUCUUGUCUUCUGCCUGGUAUUCCGUUGUAGAGUUUAGGAAGAAAAAAGCAGCGCAGGCUUCAUAAUAUAAGGGUUUAUGCGCGAGCAGAUUAAUAUACUUUUCGCGAAAUCUAACCUGAUUUUUUGUGUUUAACCAGAAAGUAAAGGCUGAAUUAUGGUAACUGAAAAGGAACUAAUUGCAUUUGACCUACUACAGAACUUCGGCGAACGAUGGAAAUACCGAUAUUCAGCUGGCGCUAAAUAUAUAUUUGCCAGCAGUAAGGCUCGGGCAAUUGAAGGUGCUACAGAAGCAUUCAGGAAAGCUAGACCGGGUGAGCUUUUAACACGUGAGGAACGCUAUGAGAAAGCAAACCAAGAUGAUAUCGAACAGUCGGAUAAUCGGUGGAAACACCUUAACCUUGACGAUCUGCAAGCGCUUUUCUCACGAAUGGGAGGUGAUAUUAAGUCGCUACAGGGGGCCUCUCUACGUGAGUUCACCGGGAACGGCGGUCGGCGUACGUCAAGUGCGGUUGCGGCUCAGGGGGCACGGGAUACAGCACUAAUGUGUAUGCGACUUGAGCGCUACAUACAAUGGCGGCGGGAAAAAUAGACUUUCUUGGCUCCAUAUCCCUGCAUCAGCUGCAAUACUGUGAUAAUUUUACGUCAUCAACGUCUCGGAAAUUCAGGUAGGCCGUAUGAACGCUAUUUUUUCUGAUCUCCCAGUCAAAGACGGUAAAUCCGGCUCGUGGACAUUGGAUACUUUCACUAUCACCGAAAAUGACGCAGAACGUCUUGCUAUUCGUGCCGACUUUUCAGGCAAUCAGGAUGAAUUUAUUCCAGCGGGAGAGUAUCGUCGUCUCUCAUACAACAGUGAUGUCGUGAUGUCCAACACACCGAUGGAAAUACGGACCUGCAUGGAUUUCAUCGAGCGGGCGACAGGCCACGUGCUUAUCAAUGGACUGGGCCUUGGAAUGGUGCUUAAUGCAGUAUUAAUGAAAGCAGACGUCACGCACGUUACUGUUAUUGAGAAAGAGCAGGACGUGAUCAACCUUGUCGCCGCGAGCUUUGCGGACGAUAAACGCGUAGAAAUUAUCUGUGCAGAUGCGAUGACUUUCGUUCCACCAGCAGAGGUCACCUAUGAUGUAUGCUGGCACGACAUAUGGCCUCAGUUCUCAAUGGGGAAUCUUGAUGAAAUGGAAAUGUUGGAAAGAAAGUACCUUUAUCGUUGCCAGUGGCAGGGUUCCUGGGGUAAGGAACAAUGCGAGAAAGAGUUAAUUAAUUUUAUCCAGAUUGAGGGUGAAAUUGAAAAAUGGCUGCAAAGGGUUUAAUGAAAAUAAAUCGUCGUAUAUAACACCGGCAUGACCCUGUUUUUACUCAGAAGUUAUGGUGUGGUAUAUUUAGGUGUUAUUGUUGUUUUUUCUGGCUUAAUUCGAAUUAAUGGAUUUUCUGGUAACCCCCAUAUAAAUCAACCUCCGCCUUUGUUGUUUAAAUGGGGUUGCAUACGCAAUUAAAUAAUGUAUCCUGGAGUUCGGGUUAUCUGUGGUUUUCGUACGUAAAUUGCGCACCACUACAAGGUAAUAUAUCUGCUCACUUUAUUAUGGGGUUUAUUAUGAGCGCACAAGAUUCUUUGGAAAUACUUCUCGCCUGGCUUGAGGAUAAUGUUGAAAUGGAAACAGAUAUCAUCUUUGCUGAUGAUAUUGACUCCGCAGCCAUGAUACCCGCAGUCCAGGCUGCUAUCGCUGGUUUAAAAUUUGAUAUAUUUAACGAUGAAGUGAGAAACCUGUUAAAGGUUAAACAUAAGCAGGUUGUUAAAGACGCUCUGGACGCAAGCUCAGACUUUCUGGAUACGGAUUGCGUCAUGGACCGACUGGGUAUUUCAUACAGUGAUGCAGAACUCCGGACUUCCGGUGCUCUGGAGCUGCAUAACGCUCUUCUCGGAUGGGCAUCAGAAUGACCGAAAUAGCCCAAUGCCCGGCAGUUAAGCAAAUUAACUUUUAUAUACUGGAGGCCUCACCGGAGUUGCUGGUGGAUCGCCGGGUAUAUCUUGAAGUUGUGCUGCUGAAAAUCUGGCGAAGCCGACUUGAGACAAUCCGGUCCUGGAAUUGUGUUUCUGAUGAAGAUCGCAUUCUGGCUGAAGCAUAUCAACGUGGCAUAGAUUUUCUGACGAAAACAGUCAGGCUCGUCACCCUGGAUUGAUUCUUUAACUCAACUGUGAUGCAGAGGACGGAACAUGUCUGAGAGCAAAGCCUUCAGGCCCGAUGGCGGUGGAAUGAGCUUAGGGCGCAUUCAGGAAAUUGCCGAUAACCCGUAUUGUGAUGAAGAAAAACGGUGGCUGGCUCAAACGUUUCUGGCAAGAGCCAGUCAAAAACCAGCUGCAUAUGUGGAUGCUGUUAAUCUGCGCCAACUCCAGAGGGGGGAAGUGGAAUCAGCGGUAAUUUUUACCAAUAUGGAAUGUACCGCCCUAUAUCUCAAUCCACCUGCCAUUCUUAACGGCGUCGAUACAGCACAGGUGACGAGAAGUGCAGACCUGCUCGAUUUAGAGCUACGCAUUGCAGAAGCAAAAAAAAUGGGUCUCGACACGACCUCGGUUGAACAGAAGUACCACGAGUUAAUUGAAGAGAUUCGAUCGAACAGGCAUCAUUCCGGGAACGAACGUUGACCUGCUCAGUAUGGUUAUGGUUUGCAGUCAGAUAAAGUAACUUUUAAAUAUAAAACACCAUAAAUAAAACGGUUAAAAAGGUGGUCGAAUGAAAACCAACGAACAAUUACUCAGUGCACUGAUUGCUGCACUGGAAUGGAUUGAUGCAGUUCCUUCGGAUACGGUUCUGCCUGCUAUGCCAGGAUUUGACCGCGACGAAGUGAACGAGUUGAUCGCAAACGCCCGCAAAGAGCUGCAAUCAAAGGUGAGCUAAACAGAUGAGCCGUACCGUGCAUAGCAGGAGACUUGUACCUGCUAUGUUUCCGGCGACGUGGUACUGAACCUGAAAAGUAACUUUUCCAUCGACGUUCGGGGGCCUUUUUUUGAACAGGAAUCAACAUGACGGGUCAAGCGUCUACGAUUUUCACAAUCAGAUAAAAAUGGUUUCUUCCUUCCCCCACAAGCUUUGCCACCAUUCCCAGCGCCGCUUUUGUCAAAAAGUUACUUUUGAAAGCACUGACUCAGCACCUAAAAAAGUUACUUUUCUGCCCUUGUAAACGUGUCCGAUCGUCUUUUCCACCCUCAAAUAAAAGUAACUUUUGACAAUUUAUGCCAAAAACCAAUGAAACACGCAUCUUUCCUAUGCCCCUUCAUUUCUCGUAUCUCAUUCAAAAUGCUCCAGAAAUUAUGAAAUACGGGAAACCACUGCAAAAAUUUUCUUCCUCUAAACACUAAAAUCCGCCUCCUGGUUCCCUUGUCACAAAGAAAUCAUGUGUAGAAUUUUUGCCGUGAACAAAAAAAAGUAACUUUUUUCACGCCAAAGUGAAAAUAGGGGCUUGAUGGAGCGUUUUGAAAAUGUAUCCUGGGUCUAACAACGGCAAUGACCGUUAAACCACAUACAACAGGAAGAGGAAAAUUCAAUGACUACUGCAACUCUGGCAACUCCAGCUAAAACCAAAAACGAAAAUGUUUCUCUGCGUACCUUCUUAGAAAAAAACGGUAUCGGUGGUCGUCUGGGCAAUGGUCUUGUUAUGGACCCGACGCAUCUGAACAUCAUCCCUGGCUUUAACACCCGUACUGCUGGCCUGGGUGAGGCUUACUGGGAACUCCCGGAAGUUAAGGACCACCUGGCGCGUCUGGCGCAGCAAUAUGCCGAUAGCCCACUGGAAAUGGCCGCUAUGGUUGUCCAGGUUCGUGAUGGCCAGGUUGUCAUUCGUCAGGGACACUGCCGUCACCGUGCAAUCCCUCUGGCUAAUAAAAUUCGCGAAGAACGUGGAGAAGGCCCGGUAGAUAAAAUCCGUGUUGACGAGUUUCGUGGCUCGGAUGGUAAAGCAGAGCUCUUUAACCUUAAAGGUAACGAUCAACUGCCGGUUUCUAUCGUUGCGCAGGCAGAAUCACUGUACCGCCUGCACAACGAUAGCGAAGAGCCUAUGAGCAUUGAGGAACUUGCCGAAGCCCGGAAAGUCUCCGUUACCCAUGUUCGUAAAUUGCUCAAAGUUCACACCGCCCCGGAAGCGUUAAAAGGUCUGGUCGUAAAAGGUGUUGUCGCAUAUUACGCUGCUCUCGACGUGAUGGAAAAACAUCCUGAUAACUGUGUUGCUAUUAUUCAGGAAGCGUAUGAUAAGUUUGGCAAAGCCACUGACAAAACCAUUGGGCAGGUCCUUCUUGCUCAGCGUGCAGGUGAAAACGGCACCAGCGGUGAAUCUGAUGGCAACGUGACAACCAUUACAGCGACUGAUGCAGGUAACGCAUCUAAUAGCACUGCUGGCGCUGCUGCUGGUGCAGUUGAUGGCUCUGCAGGGAAUGAGGCUGGUGUUGCUGGUGGUGGCUCGGAAGAAGGGGCAGGGAGUGACAAUACCGAACCGACGCCGACUCCGGCCCCGAAACGCGAACCUAAACAAAAUUUCAAAACUCAGCUGUCGGUAUUCGACGUGCUGCCGAAAAAAAUCUCAAAAGAGAUCGUCGAUAACUCGCUGGAAGUUAUCAACCGUAUCGUUGUUGAUGCGAAAGAAAUUCCGUUUAUGGAAGACGGUGCGGAAGUUCUCACUAAAGCUCAAUAUCAACUGACUCUAACCUAUGAAGAGUUCGUGCAACUGACAGCAGCCAAAGACAGCUACGAUAAACAUCUGGAAAAAAUCCAGAAAAAAAACACAGAGCAGUAAGGUAAUAACCGUAACCGGGGAGAUAUCCCCGGCUAACAUCCUGUUUAUUUCAUUUCGAAUACAUUACCGGCUUGUUUUCAGAUAAGCCAGGGGACAUACAUAAAAUGAAUUUUAUUAAGCUUAUUAUUUUAUUUGCCGUUGUGGCUUUGCUGGUUUAUGGAUUCAGCGGUUUAUCAGGAAAAGAUUCCGUCGCCUUUACAUUUCUGAGCUUUGGUUUUUCAGCUGUUAUAGCUGCAUUUUUCUGGAUAAUGAUUGUGUUGCUGGUGGCUCUGUAUUUGUUUGCUUCAAGCUCAAUCAGUAUUUAUCCAAAAAUGCUUUUCCUGGAAGGUACACUUUUUGGCUGGUGGUAUUUUGUUUUCAAUUUUCUUAUACCAGACGGACAGUCUCUAACCUUGCUGGGCGUAAAUAUCUAUAACCUUGGGGGUUAUUUUAUAUACGGAACGACCGUGCUUAUUGGUAUCGGUAUUGUGAUGAUGAUGUUCCGGCGGUCAACUAAUCAGGUUGAUAAGGUGAAAAAGCAUGGCUGAUUUCGCUUCAACAAAACAAAAUUCAUCGUUCGAGCUUUGGUUUGAACAACUCCAGAUUUUGGCUGAACUGAAUGGUGAUGUCGCUGGAGAAAAGGCUGACUGGGUACAGGCCUAUGAAGCGGGAAUGGCUGUUGAUUCUGCGUACUAUGAAGCCUUUGGUGACAGUGAUGACUGACACGAACAAUCAGGAAAGAAACGGUUCAAAAUUUCUGUUUGGUGUGACUUCUACCGACCGCAUUAUUCAGACUGAGCAAGGCGAUGGAUUCAUUAAUUCAUGUAUCGCAGCUCACGGGAUUAUCACCAAAAUUAUUUUGACGAGCUAUCGUGCUGCUGGUGCUCUUACGGAGAUGGUUCUCUUUAAUGAGCAAGGUGCUACCUUCGUUAUUACCAUUGAGUCAGGGGUGUUUACACCUUCUGGAUUCGUGCUAACUGAUGAAGAUAUCCAGAUAGCACACAAGCAGAUCACAUUAUCCGACACAACAGACAUAUUAAUCCUGGCAACGAGGAUGGCUAGACGUGCAGGGCUUAAGCCCGUUUUUCCUGAACAAUCGGAAUUUAGUUCGAUUUUAGAAUUUACAGUCAAUUAACGCACAUUUAUUAAGGUGAAAAUAUGAGUUCUGAUGGUGUUGAAUUGUCUUCUAUAUCCGAUGGUGUUGAGUUGUCUUCUAUAUGGGAGGCGGGUUCCUGGUUUCCCGUUCGUGAGUUUGGCAUUCUGUUAUUAGUCAUGCUGUUCCUGAUGAUUGUUUUUGGUAUUUUUAGGAAAGAUUUUUCCCAUUUAAAACCACUGCUCACAUUGUUUGUUUUGUUAAUUGCUCUUGGCGGGACGAUACUCUUUAUGACCUUAUUCUUUUCUGCCAAAAACAAAAAUGAAGCUGAAUGGCGAGACUGGGCAAAAGACCACUGUAAAAUUGUUGCUAAAAAAGAUGGGUCAACAACUACUGGUGUCGGUAUAUCCCUGAAAGGGCAGGCUGGCCUGUUUAUUGGCGGAGAGCCAGGGCAGACCGGUUACAGUUGCGAUGAUGGCGUGACUUACUGGAAAAAUGAGUAAGACCAACCAUUGCGAUAUCCUUUUUACGUUCUAUUUAUAAUCUGUUUGCGAUAAAUAUCUAUUUACUAUUUCAGCUACCUGUAAGGAAAUUUUAUAUGAUGCAACAUAAUUCUUUACCUGAACUGGUUCAGGCGAAUGUGGAUGGCUACAGCCGUAGUAUCAAUAGUUUUUUGCAGCAAACUAAGGUGAUGCCUCUGGCUUUCAUCAUUGGCGAAUCUGGAUCCGGUAAAACUUGUCUGGCUAAUCUCGCAUUACCAGGGGCUUUAUAUCCCACUGCGCGGGAAAUCGCAGAAUGUGACAAUAUCUCUGAAGACUUUUCAGGGGCUGACAUAGUCAUUGAUGAUAUUGAGCUGUUUGACGCAGAUAAAAUCCACGAAUGCAUUCUGGCGGUUCGUGCAUCAGGACAUAAAAUCAUAAUCACCGCCAAUCCUGCAGAACAUACUUUGUGUACAGGUCUCUUUAGUCGUCUACCUGUGCCUACUCGGUGUUUUUUUGCGAGGUUGCAUGAUCGCCAUACUCUUCAGGAGAUGAAGAGAGAAAAAGACUCCCUGAAUAUCCCGGCUACUGGUUCGAAUUUUUCAGCCUAACUUAAACCCCGGCUUCGCAGUUUGGCUGGUAUGUCCCCCGCUAGCGGGGGUUAUCGGCAGUAAUUUGAUGCCCUCAUUUGCACCUGAAGUAUGUCCCCUGGAUGCGGGGGUUAUCGGAUGCUGAGCCAGCUUAAACUGUGUGUCUGUCCCCCGUUGGCGGGGGUUAUAGAGCAGUUGGUCUUUUCGGAAUUGAUUGUUUUCGGUGCGGGCCCCGUAAACGGGGGGAUGGACGAUAGCGAAAGCUCUCCUUGAUUCCUCUCUUGUGUGCCCACAAUCUCGCGGGGGGUGAUGCGAAUGAAUUUUGGCGAGCAGGGGGCGCAUCCCUGAUUUCGUCUAAUGGAUUAAAUCAAAUAGUAGCGUGUCCCUAGAAAUUUCUUCUCCUGCAUUCAUGAGGAAGCAACUCAAUAUUAGAAUAUUUUCUCAAGGAAAGUUACUUUUCUGUCGUAUAGACGUUUGCACAAAUUUCAACUCAAUAACCUAAUAUCCUAGAUAGCUCCACUGUAUUAUGCCUGGUUCCAAGGGGUUACAUACGAGUUAUCUGGUCGUUUUAAUCUAAAGUUGUUGUACGGAAAUUCUCCAUGGCGCUCUACUAUCCAUAUUUCGUUGAGCACCUCUUUGCGCUCUGAGUUCGGAUUAACGAUGAAUGCUUGUACGGUAUCAUCUUCCUGAUCGAUGACAAUGCAUCCCGACCGAAUGUCAUCGUCAGAUGAGGUAGGACAAUCUUUAUUCCCAUAUACUUCUGCAACACUUCCGUGAUCGUUAAUUUUCCAACCAGGAGAAAUAGCUAUGGAUGGUAACUUAAAUGCUCCCUCUAAGAAAAUCUGCUUUAUAUAAAUAUCAACUGAGUCUUUAACUUGAUCGCAACCAGUAAGCAAUAAGCCUGACAUUAUUGUUAGAGUGAUAAGUUUCAUUUUCAUUUGCGAUGUCCUCCUUUUUUUAAAUUUAUCACCUGUCGAAGAUUUAAUCAUUAUUUUAUGAGUCACAAAUGUGAAUUAAAGGGCUUAUGCAAUCAAAAUGGAGUGUUCGGUCAGAUUCAACAGUUGAUAUCAGAUGGUAGACGCCUUGAUGCUUGUGUUUGGGUUUGCUCAGAUGAAAAACAGCCAGUAAUUAUGGAUUUACGAAUGACGUCGCUAACCUGUUACCUGAUGGGCUGGGAACCGCCUGAAACAUAAUUUAUACUGUUUAUUUAUACAGUUAUAUUUUGUGGCGAGGUUAGUUAUAUGUUAUUGGUUCCUAAAGAAAAUCUGGUGAAACUUAACAUUCCACUGUUUCUUGAGUUAUGCCCCGCUGGUUUUCCAAGCCCGGCCCAAGACUAUACCUCCAGUGAGUUAGACCUGAACGAUUAUUGCAUAAGGCAUCCCUCUGCAACCUAUUUUGUCAGGGCACAGGGGAACAGCAUGCAGGAUGUGGGGAUGCGGGAUGGAGAUUUGCUGGUGGUCGACCGUUCACUACGCCCUCAGAACCGAGACAUUGUGAUUGCCGAAGUGGACGGGGGCUUCACAGUUAAACAGCUCCAGACUACUCCGAAGCUGGCCCUUCUGCCCAUGAAUAAUGCCUAUUCGCCUAUUUACCCUAAUCCUGAUGAACUUACUAUUUUCGGAGUGGUGACACAUUGGGUUCACCGUGCCAGGGGUAAUAUCUGAUGUAUGCACUGGCUGAUGUAAACAGCUUUUAUGCAAGCUGCGAAAAGGUCUUUCGCCCAGACCUUCGGGAUAAGCCUUUGAUUGUUUUGAGUAAUAAUGACGGCUGCGUAAUCGCUAGGUCAAUUGAUUAUGUGGAAUUGCAAGUAACACUGUGAUGCAGAUGAAGCGAACUUCAUCUGACUAUAAUGUUGAUAUCGUUUUCCGCAACAAUCAGCAUCACAGCAGGUAAACCUUCCACACUCAUUUUUUGAUGUAACUUUUUGAUUAAAUUAUCAUCUUCAUUACUGGCUUUCGCUGAAAAUCCUUGAGGAUGGGAGUGCCAUUCACCAACAUAAUCGACAACACGAGCGGUCAGCUGCUGAACCCGUUCUAAUGCUUCCUUUUGUCCCUCUUCUCCUCGGACAAAGAAGGCUGGUGAGGAUUUACUGUCGAUAGGUUCUGGGAACACAUCAACCAGAAUAAUAGUCUUGUUCUUAAAAUCAGUUAUGCCCACAAUAGCGCCCCCGGUUUCAUUCGGUAGGGCCUGUAAACGGGUAUGUCUCAGUUUUUGUUCUAAGCCUUGAUCGUAUCUAACAAUCCAUUCGCCAGCAAUUACAGAUACCACAGGGUAAAGCUCAAUUUCAUGAGCGCUCACUGCACCUGAAUUUUCAUCAGACACCCAGAUACAUAAUCGAGCAUCAUCCUUAAGGACGGUCUGCCGUAGUUGGCGCGACAGGAUACCAGCAUGAACGUGAAUACAUUCGUUAGACAUACGUACAGAAAUAUCCCUACAUCCACCACCGACCCAACGAUCACCAUAAUUGUGCUGUAGGUGAGUGUUUCCCCACUCGCUGCUCAAAAUUGCCCGGUAGUAUUGCCCCUCAAUUGCAUCAAUUCGGCACUGUCUGUCUGUAUCCUCUAUUAACAUCACGCUGGCCUUGCCUGAUGGUGUCAGAAACAGACUAACUGUUCUGGGUAUAUCAUCUUUUAACGCUAGGGUCCUAGGCACCUCAAAGGUGGUACUGACAUCCACAACUAAGUGAGCCUCAUUCACAGCUCUGGCAAUAUCAUGAUCGUCAUCAAGAAUACUUUUAUUGAUCGCUCCGGGGAGAGGUUCAUGUGGAUAAAUACUACCUGCGAGGUGCCGAAGAAUAUCAGUUUUAGGGUAUCCAAUAUGAUCAUCAACCCCAAUAUGGCGGGGCAGAUUAUGUGGAAGGAGUUUGUCAGGAUCGAUAAAUGUCCAGUGUCCCCAGCCGAUUCGUAUCCAGAUAUCAGCUAAUGUGCCGCCAAGAGCCCCAACGCCAGCCAGAACACCAUAGAAAGAUGCAUUAUCAGAAUCAACAGCAGAAAUGUCUCUUGCUCGUGCAGCAUUCAUAGCAGAACGUAUUUCGACAGGUAACAGUGGUAACUGUUGCCAUUGUGUACCUCUUACGCCACCAAGUAGUCGGAAACGGUGCUGUAUUCCCCGCUCAUUCCUGGGGGCAAGUAUGUCUAAUACGCUGGCAAGUUCGUAGAGUGAGCGUUCCACGAUAUAGCCCAUAACAUCAGUACGUUCUGUUUUACCAUCCCUUAAACGAGGAACCCAUAGCAGAAUUAGCAAACCUUCCUUUUCACCAGAGCUAGGGCGAAGACCUGUAUCAGGUAUAGCAUCAUAAACAGCAUCAGCGAGUGGCUGGAGAAGUUCACUUCCCCAGGAUUGAAGCUGCUCUUCCAGUUUUUUCAGAUUGUCAGGAUAUGAAGCAACUAAUGAGGCUUCAACUGGUGGGACGGCAAUGGUUAAUAAGCGAAAUGGUCUGAUGCCCUGAUUAGAAUGUUCAGGUACAGCCCUUAAAAUUAUCGGCUUACCAUUGCUGACCAUCUGGAGGCUGAGUUUAUGAGCUGCGGCAUGAUUAUAAUCAAGAUAAUUCGCUGGUAAAAUAAGUUGAUAGGGGCUCAUAUAAAAAAGUUGCUCAAGAGGUUGGUCUUCUCGAUGCAAACGUUGUUCAGCUGAUUCUCUGAGCCACCAAAAUAUUCGCUCAAUAAAUCUUUCAGGUGUCCAGUUGCGUUCGACGGCGUUCCAAGAUACAUCAUAAAGGCAAAGAAUUUUUGGAGAGUCUGGUACACCUGCAUGUUGAUGAGAUAAAACAGGAAAAUCUUUACGCAAUGCAUGAACUAGGAUCGGGAUAGUGAACUUAGGGUUUAUCUCAAUAGCUAAUCGUUCUUUACGACGAAUGCCGGCCUUAUUGCCAGAAGUUACUGUACCAUCAGCAACAUCAAUGACUAGGUAUUCCGAGCGGUCAUUGUUUUGCUCAGAUAAACGUAAUUCUCGAACAGUUAUAUAGGGAUGCUGUUCGCAUGCUGUAAGCAAUGAGAUUGUUUGCGGAUAUAGGCUAUCACGCCCCGAUGAAUCGAGGCGUUUACCCAAUUCGAAAUAUUCGAUCAUUGGUUUAUUACACCUGCCCGGGGUGCGGCUGCCGUAGCAGCGCUUGUCGCAGCAGAAACUGCACCAACAAUAGCGGGAAUCAAUUUUCCAUCUCGUGCCACUUCAAACUCAAGAACAGUUUUAUCUUUAAGGUCGCCCGUGCAACUGAACCAACCAUCAACAUUAUCCAGAAUAUCAUCGUACUCACGUUUAGCUCGAAUACACGGAGGAUCAUAAUCGUCAUCAAGUAUCUGUUUGCUGCUGGAAACUAUUGUCGCUCCAGAACGCGCUUGCCCUAAAGCAUUACGGGCCGCAUCGCAAACCAGAGCAUCUUCUCCCCAUUGUGACCAGCUAUAAUAGGAAAGUGAAUGCCACGAACAAUGAUGUGGUGUGAGGAGAAGAUCAUACUCCAGCACCUCAGGAUUGCUUUUGUAACGAUUCCAUAAUCGCUCCCAGAUGAGAACUUCUGCAUCCCCACCGAGUAAAAAGUGCAUAGGAUUACGAGAAUAUGCGGAAGGCAGUAUUUUCAUAUUCAUAAUGAUACUGGAUUCAUUUUUAGAAAGGGCUUCUUCCAGAUUUUCAUCAUCUUCAUGUGGUGCGGGUGCCAGAAGCUGUGCAGAGAAAACGUCUGAAACUUGCCCGUCAAUUCUGGUGAAUGUAUCACCAGCUUUAAUAAGAAUGGCACUCAGAUCAUCCGUUUUACCGUUAAUAUCUUCACCCAUGAUAAGAAUGCGAUUACCGUUAAAUGCGUAACCAUGUUCCCGCCAGUAUUUUACACGGCGCCGAGCUUCCGUAUUAAAUGCCUGAGCAUCUUCGCAAAGUGUGUGAUUUUUCGAACGACGUCGAAAAAUCAAUGGUGAUGACCACAACUCUCGGAUGAUUAUGCGUUUUUCUGAACGUUUCAGAUGGUCAUCUGGAUAGUCUUCAGGACGGCCCAGCCAAAAAUGUUUACGUAGCCCCCCACAAUGGUCCUGAUCCGGAUGACUCAGCAUAAAGACGUCAACAAAAGGGCGAUCGUUAUUAUCGUACUUCAAUCUGUUACGUAGCGCCGAGGCAACAUCAGGUGUGUCAUCUUUGGGGUCAUCAGCAGCAGAACGGAUAUGUACAUCAGUCAGAAUGGAUGUACCCGGGGUAUCAGCCAAACGCACCAGUGUCAUAUCACCGUUGCCGACCUGGAAAAAAGUAACUUUUGCUGCCAUCGACAUCUCCUUCAGGGAUACGAAAGAUUGAGGUUAAGAACAUCUGUUGCUAAGAUACAUCUAGUAAUUAUUCGAGUCUAGUAACUAUACGUAUAUUUUUUAGACUCAAAUUGUAAGCACAGGAAAUGAUUGAUAAAUGAUUGAUAAAAUGGUGCGAACUGGUCAUUGGGGCCAAGAGAGACGACUUGAAUUCAUCGAUUUUCGCCUACUGUGGGAAGGUCGACUUAACCGUGCAGAUAUCACUACAUUUUUCAGAAUUUCUGUGCCGCAGGCUUCAUUAGAUUUGGCUAAAUAUCAAGAGAUUGCACCAAGAAACAUGGUGUAUGAUCGAACUCAGAAGGCUUAUGUAACUACCCCAGAUUUCAAACCUGUUUUUUCAAGUUUUGACAGUAAUCAUUACCUGAAUGAACUAUUAGGGCGAGAAAAUGGAAUAGUGGAUCCUUGUGAUAGUUUCAUUGGAUGGGCCCCUCCGGUUGCCAGCCUUCCUCUUCCGGCUAGGAAAGUACAACCUGAAAUAUUGAUUGAUUUAAUCCGGGCCAUGCAAAGAGAACAGGCUUUGGUUGUUGAUUAUCGUUCGAUGACUAAUGAACCAGCGGUUCGUAUGUUAUACCCAACUGCAUUUGCACAUGAUGGUCAUCGGUGGCAUAUUCGCGCCUAUUGUUUUAAAUCUGCAAUGUUUAAAGAUUUUGUCCUUGGCAGAUUCUUUAAUAUUAUUGAAUUUGUUUCCCCACCGACAUCAAUUCCACAAGAUGUUGACUGGAAUACAUUUAUUGAUGUGGUGAUAGGUCCAAAUCCUAACUACGAUACGAAUAGACGGCUAUCUAUUGAGCAUGAUUACCAAAUGGUGCAUGGCGAGGCGAAAAUUCGGAUACGUCAAGCACAAUUAUAUUAUCUUAACCGUCGGUUAAAUUUGGAUGUGAAAAUCGAUUCUUCAAUAGAUGAUAAGCAGCAAAUCAUCAUGCUAAGAAUAGAAAAACCUGAAGAUUCUAUAGGAUAAAGUUAACAUGAAUGUAACUGGUAUUAAUAAAAACAAUAAGGAAUGGAUGAUUGCGAUAAUAAUCACCUACCUUUUUAUUCUGUUAUGUCUGGCAACAUACGCUAUUGGGGCUAUGUCUCUGGGGUGGUUGCCUGCACCUUACGCACCAUUAAGGGUGCCACUGAUGUGUGGCACCAUUGCCUAUAUUGGUGGUUGUUUAUAUUGUUUUCGUGCAAUUUACAUCAAUAAAUGCAUUAGAAAACAAUGGGAUCCAGAUUGGCAUGUAUGGUAUUUCAUCCGCCCACUUACCAGUACAAUUGCAGGUGCAAUCAGUUACUUAUUUCUUAAAGCAGGAUUGUUAGUUCUGGAAUCUAGCUCCAAUGCAGGGUCCAGUGAAAUGGGUUUCUUUGCAUUGGCGUUUAUUGCAGGCUUUAAUGUCGAUAAGUUUGUCGCGAAAAUUGAGGAAGUUGCAAAGGCCGUGUGGGGGAUUGAAAAAACAAGAAGUGCAACUAAUCAUGAGGUAAAAGACUUAGAUAAAAAAGAAUAACUUGGAUAUUCAAAUUAACCGGGAUAUUUUUUCGCUAUUUUAUCUUUUUUGCUUGUCUGGUGUUUCAAUGUUUUUUAAUUUCUCUAAUAAUUUGUCUAUCGCACCAAUAUCAUUAUUUACUGCUGCCUGUUCAUCAUCCGUCAACGGGAUCUCCUGCAUCAUUUUGAGUAAAUUCUGACGCCCCUCUAUAUAUUGCGCUUCUGAUGAUGAUUUAGGCAGGUAGAACGAACAUUUUGCACAAGCCAUACGGUGUGGGCACUGUUCAAAAAAGUCAUAACUACACAAUCCGUGCCCAAGGUCAUAAUAUCGCCAUGGUUCUCCUUUCUGCAUUUGUCCGGACGAAAUUGCAUCCUGAUCGAUCAGCACCGAAACCAUACGACGGUUUCGCUCAAAGUAUCCUGCUUUAGACAGAGACCCUGCCAGUUUUGUCGGUGUGAUAUCGAUAUAAUGCUGUGUCGAACUGGGAGAGGAAUGUCCGAGCCAGCGCUGUAACUCAAAUAAUCCUAGUGGUUCCCGGGCAUUAAACAGCUGGCUGGCUAUAGUUGCCCGCGCUCUGUGGCUAGUGAUAGUCCCCCUGAUAUCUUCGUUUGGAACACCAGCUUUCCGACAAAGCAUCGGAAUUAAGGAUUUAUUAAUAUAACUCUGGCUAAUCCGAGCAGCUUUAUGCAUAAAAAGAUAACUGACAAGUUCACCCGUUUUUAAAUCAAGUUGGUCUGGUUGUAUAUUUCGUUCUUUUUCCCAGCAAUCAAUGUAUUCCCCUACGAUUGGAUCAACAGGUUUGGUGAAGGCCGUGCUGGUUUUGUUCACGGGGACAUCCAGCAAACAUAUCCGAGAGCCGCCCUGAUGUUCAUCAUUUUGCCAGCGUAUACAGCCUGUUCGCAUCCGCAAAAUUUCAUCACGACGCAACCCACCAAACAGCCAGAGAACACAUAAUGCACGAACCAUAGAAAAUGGGUAGCGAUAGUAAAGUUGUUCACCAUAAUGCAGAUCCUGCUCCUGCAGGUUCAACCCUGCCCAGACAAGUUUACUCCAUAUAUCAUCAGCAACGACUCUUGGUGCAGGGCCAAUACUGGCCCGGAUAGCGCGGGGUAAACGGAACGUUCUGACAGGAUCAAAUCGGACGAUAAUAAGCCCCCAUUCCUGAAGGUCUCGAAAAAAAACUCUGAUAGCCUGUAAAAUCCCCGCCCGUGCAGAGGCUGUCAUUAACUGGCCUAUUCGAUUCUGAUACAUAUGGCGCGGUUCAGACCACUGGCCUAUUUUCAUUUGACACACUGCAGCUACGUAUUCAAGUGCGAUGUCCCGGCUCCAGUCUGCAGGAGAAUGUAUAUCAGGGUGAGUGGCUUUCAGCCAGCGCCCACACUGCAGGAUGCGGUACCAUGUACUGAGUUCAGAUGAUGGUGCUUUAAUAGCGGUUUUACGCCAGCGUUCACACCAUCGCAACCAUUCUUCCGGAACGUUACUGGUUGCACGAUAUUCCCCGUGAGGCCGUCUGCGCUCAAGAAUACGAUGGUCAAUGCCCGCGGGGAACAGCCCCAUCGCAGCAAAUAUCCUUGACAAGGUGGCCGCAGAGCGACGCAUAUAAACAGGCCCGUAAGUUAUUACUCGCUUAAGUGUUUCCAGUUCCAAUUUUUCAGGAUCAACCUGCCGCUGACAAAGCAUAGACAGCAGUAGCGCAUUACGAAUGUUAUUGUCAGCAGCGACAAAGCCGAGGCGCUGCAUGUUCUCCUGAAGCUUGUUUACCGCCGCCUCUGUCGCCGGGCGGCCAAAAACUUUGACAGAAAGCCGAUAAUGAUAAAAGCAGCCAGCCGCCUCAAGUCGAUUAAAUCCGCACAGUAACCAAGCAAUCGCGAGGAUAUACUGUCGACAAUUACCACAGCUGCCAUAUUUUUUGCGAAAUACCUCUUCACUGCUGCACAGCACUUCGAGCCAGUCGUCCUGGGUCCAUGACCAGUAGUUUUUUUCCAGCCGGUGCAUUUCCAGAAUGAUGUCAUGAAUUGCAGAAUUGGUUGUUGUGGAUGCGGCAUUCAUCCACUUUAAUGCUGCUCUGAGUGGAAUUAUCAGGCGAGAAAGCCUUUGUCUUACACAGUUCGACCAGUUUUGUUUAUGACGUCCAACAACAUACUGAGCCAGGUUUAUCAAAGUAUCUCGUUCAAUCGGCUGUAAUUUGGGAGAACAAUCCCAGUCAGGAUCAGGUUGCCAUUCUUCGUAGUCAAAAGGGGCUGGCGCAUCAUAUUCAGUUUUCAUUGCCAUCCGUAUUGUCCCCCUUUAAAUUGUGUAACCGAUGUUCAUGUAUCGACGCCAUACCUGCGUUAAAUUUUUCCGUAAGAUCACGCGCACUAAGAUGGAUAUAAAGUAACGUUGACUGGAUACUCUGAUGGCCGGCAAACGUAGCGAUCUCAUGAAUAUCCCAGUCAGCUCUGGCGAGAUCGGUCAGACAUAGAUGUCUGAAGGUAUGCGUACUCAAUUGGGGUAGCCCCGCCUGCAUUGCCAACGACCUUACGAUCUUGGACCAGGUCCACCGGGUUAUUGGCGCAGUUCUGUUGCGACAGGAAUAAGAAAGAAACAGUGGGCCACGGGAAGUAUUUAAUUGUCGCCGUUCUGCUAACCAGAGGAAAUAUAACUCUCCGGUUACGACAGAAUAGGGCACAACCCGACCUCGCUUAGUUUUUGUCGUUUCAGCCCGAACUGUUAGCAAGCGACGAGAAGGGUCAAUAUCGCCGGUAGCAACGGAGCACAACUCUUCCCGGCGCAGGGCACAGUCGUACGCAAGAGAUAGCAUAAAAGGGGUUCGAGGUUCAAUCGUGUAAAAAACCACGUUAAGGCAAUAAUUCAUUGUUUGAAUUGAAAUUUAAUGGCCUCAACUCUCCCUUCAGAAUAUUUUCCGGCAGCGUGAACGUAUAAUGUCCCAGCAUGUUGAUAUGACCGUACAUCAGUGGCGACAGGCGUGAGAUAUGCUCGUCUUCCGGGAUCUCACCAGCGCUGCGCAAAUGUGAUAGCGCUUCCUGCAUAUAAAGCGUGUUCCACAAUACAACUGCGUUAGUGACAAGCCCCAGCGCACCCAGUUGAUCCUCCUGCCCCUCACGGUAACGUUUUCUAAUCUCACCACGUUGGCCGUAACAGAUCGCCCUUGCCACGGCGUGACGGCCUUCUCCCCGGUUAAGCUGAGUCAGUAUCCUGCGACGAUAUUCUUCAUCAUCAAUGUAGUUGAGGAGGUACAGCGUCUUGUUGACCCGUCCCACCUCCAUAAUCGCCUGCGCCAGCCCUGACGGACGGGAACUUUUUAAAAGCGAGCCCACAAGUUCUGAGGCGUGGACUGUACCCAGCUUCAGAGAACCGGAAACCCUCAUCAUUUCAUCCCAUUGGGUUUCUAUCUUUGACAGUUCAACGCAUCCCCGCGCCAGCUCAUCCAGUACCCCGUAGUUCGCAUUUUUAUCUGCACGCCAAAAUACCGCCUCACCGGCAUCUGCCAGGCGGGGCGAAAACUGGUAGCCCAGCAGCCAGAACAGGCCAAAGAUAAUGUCGCUGGACCCUCCAGUGUCCGUCAUAAUCUCCACCGGAUUCAGCCCCGUCUGCUGCUCCAGAAGCCCUUCCAGCACAAAGAUAGAGUCACGCAACGUACCGGGGAUAACGAUGCCGUGAAAGCCGGAAUACUGGUCAGAAACAAAAUUGUACCAGGUGAUCCCACGCCCUGAGCCAAAGUAUUUUCUGUUAGGGCCAGAGUUCAGCGUUUUUACAGGAGUGACAAAGCACAUCCCAUCUGCAGAAGCCACUUCUCCGCCGCCCCAGCGCUCAGACAGUUCCAGCGUGGACUGAAAAUCGACCAACCGGGCAUUAGCGCUGACCAGCGUUUCAGCCCGAAUGUAGUUUUGUUUUACCCAGCUCAGACGGUGGCGGGUCAGUGCCGGAAUACUGUGUUUGAUCAGCGGUUCAUGUCCGAUAUUGCAGGCUUCAGCGAGCAGUACGGCACACAGGCUGAUGUUAAGAUCCUGAGCACGGGCUUCAGACUCACUCACAUGAGUGAAUUCGCGGGUAAAACCAGUCCGGGCGUCAAUUUCAAGCAGCAGCUCUGUCAGAUCAACAGGGGGGACCAGCUGCCUGACGCGGCUGUUCAGAAGAAUCAGCGGCUGCGGUUCUUCCAGUUUUUCCAGACUGCUGAUGGUCAGGGACGGAUAUUUACCCUGAUGACAGAUGCUCACGGCAGCAUUCAGCUCAAAGCGUGAGGCCACCGUUUUCCAGGUUUCGUCCAGUUCGGUUGCCAGCUGUUUAACGGCAUUUCCACCAUCGGUGGGGUGUCCAAGCGCCCGGCAUACGGCGAUCCGCUGAGCCUGCCAUUCUUUCCCCUGAAGAAACUUCUGACGCGGAUCGCCCCAGCGAUCGCUGUUCUCCAGCCAGAUAUCGCGGCGACGCAGCGAAUCCUGAAGGCGUUCCAGCAGGCACAAUGAGUAUCCUGCACGCUGUAUCCGGCCUUCGGAGUCGUACACCAGACGUUUCCAGGGACCUGUAAUGAUCUGCUCAGGCGCAUUCUCCAGGAGGCGUUUUUUCGAACCACUCAGUUCGGCCAGGUAAUGUAUGGCCGAUAGCGUAUUUUCGCCGGCAGGGGCAGACUGAAAAUGUAAAUCACGCAGCAUCGCUGGCAGAAAGCGCUUAACCCGUCCAUAUUGCUCGACCAUUUCAUCCUGGAAAUUUGUGUCCUGCGGGCGGGCAAGCUCAUUGACUUUACCUACGGAUUCCGCCAGCCGGUUCUUUGGUACGUGGCUGAAAAUAGUCUGACGCAGCGCUGCGUCAUCCAUUUUAUCAUCCAGUAAAAGCGUACAUGCAUGUGCCAGAAGUAGCGCCGCGCGAUCAAGAUCUUUGAGCGUUCUGAGCCGUUUUUUCUGCCCGGUUUGCUUCGCUGAACGCGUGAUAUUGAGGAUCAGCAGAUCCAGAACAUCGACAGCCUCAUCGAGUGCCAAAAUUUCCUGUGCUUUAACAAACGCGGUCAGGAUGGCCAGCCGCCGUUCCUCCGGCAUUCUGGCGAUAUAUUUUACCGAAGCCAUGCCAGCAUAACGAGCCAGGUUGCGGAGUUGAAUUGCAGGCAGCCCGGCAAAAUUCAGCCGGGAAAACUCCAGGCUGCGCAGGCGUGUGUAGCGCUGAAGUGCGUCAGUAAAGGCCGGACCACUGACGUUGACGGGCCCUUUUCGUAUCUGCUCCAUCACGGAAACCCGCUGUCCUUCCGGUAUGACAAGCAGACCGGCCAGUUGCUCAGUCUGCCAGCUGUCAGGUAAUGCAGCCAGUCUGCGCCACAAACGCCUGCUUGCCCGCUCACGAAUUUCGCCAAUGAGCCUCGUCAGCGCUGAGGCUGCGGGCAACAAUACUUUAUUCUGGAGCAACCAUGCCGUGGCAAAAUCGAACAUCAGACCGGGGCGCUCGUUACUGAGCCAUGUGCGGAUAUAAAGCAGACGUUUCAGUCUGAACGACCAGGGGAAAUCGCCAAAAUCAUGGUAGUCAGAGUGUUGCCUGAUCAGCCUUUGAUGCUCCCAACGGGUAUUCUCUCUCUGGGCGUAUCGGGCCAUGAUCUCAGGGCGAUGAAUGUUCAGCUGUAAUGCAACGUAAUUUCGGACGCCGGGAGGUAUUUGCAAGGGAUCGGUCUGGAAGGUUCCCAGAAAACGGGCCGUGGUUAGCUGAAGGGCAAUCCCAAAUCGGUUAUGUUUCCCCCGGCGCUGAUUAAUAAAAACAAGAUCGCGUUCAUCAAGAUGAAAAUACCGGGCCAGCUGAACCUCGUUAGGCUCGGCGGCAUACCGUCCGUAGUUUUCGGUCUGUUCACUGGUCAGAAAACCGUCACUCAUCCCGCAUCCUUUCGUAAGGGUAUCGCUCUGCUCAAAUUUUGAUAGUCUCAGAUAUUAUAAGUUUUGAGACCUUUUAAAGUGCGUGCUUACAUGAGUAUCAAAAAUCGUGUUUUAUGCUUUAUGAUACUACGCAGUAUCAGUAUCGAUUUGUGAGACCAAUAUGGCAUUACUGGGAUAUGCAAGGGUAUCAACGAGCCAUCAGAAACUGACGGCGCAGAUCAUGGAGCUGAAAUCUUCAGGCGUCAGAGAUGACCGGAUUUUUACUGACAUGAUGUCGGGCGCCACGGACGAACGUGAAGGGUUACAACGGCUGCUUGCCCGUGCCGAAAAAGAUGACAUUAUCAUGUGUACCAAAAUGGACCGGCUUGGCCGCAACACAGCGGAUAUGAUCCACAUUGUUGAUGCCUGCUAUAAAAAGGGAAUAGCCAUCCGGUUUCUGGAGAAUGGACUGAGUACUGAAGGCACGAUGGGUAAAAUGGUCAUUCAGAUCCUUGCUGCCGUUGCUGAAGCUGAGCGGGAGCGGAUCCUGGAGCGCACAAACGAAGGCCGGGUCAUCGCCAUGGCGGCAGGCGUCAGGUUUGGACGGAAACCUCAUCACAAAUCGGCCGCCGCACUGGAGCUUAUCCGGCACGAAACGCCCAUUAAACUGGUGAUGGAGAAAACCGGCAUAUCCAGGGCCACCUAUUUCAGGUUAAAAAAACUGGGCCCAGGCAGUUAACCCGACGCAGGCAGCGAUUUUUUCCUGUGCCGGAAAGGGUUUCGCGGUUGAUGCUGAUGAUCCCCUGCUUAAAAACAGAGUUAACAUUGCCCACAAUAUUGCUGGUUUUGAUGAGCCGUUAAAGGAGUUUUAUGAAUGGAUGGAUGUAUCUGGUGAUUGCCGGCAUAGCCGAAGUCUUUUAUGCCGCGUCAAUGCUCCGGACUGAGGGAUUUACCCGGAUCUACCCCAGUAUUUUUUGCCUGACAUUUAUCGGUGUGAGCAUGUACUUUUUGUCCCUGGCAACACGGACUAUUCCUGUAGGAACCGCUUAUGCGGUCUGGGUCGGGAUUGGUGCUUUAGGGACAGCAGCGUACGGAAUAAUUUACUUAAAUGAAGAUAAGGGCCUGUUACGCAUUGCCUGUUUCGGACUGAUUCUGGCGGGUAUCAUUGGCCUGAAAAUUCUGGCAGGACACAAGCAGCUGUAGGUUCUCAUCCAUAAACAGAACUCCGGGGGCAUUCUGAUUUUAGACAUCAGCAUGCCUCUCCCUUUCCCCUUUUUGAAAUGGGACAUUACCCGCUACAUUAAUAACAGGCGAGAGAACCGACAUAACCGGGGGCGGCCAGGAAAAGUUGCCAUGAUUGACAAAAAGACUGCUUUUUGUUUGUACCUGCAUGAUUAACGGUGCGAAUUUUUUCGGCAAACUAUAAAUGCGGGCACCAGUGUGAUGAUAAGCACCUGAAUAAAUGCCGACGGUAAUGAAGGUGGCCCUGUUGAUUAAUAAGUUUGCAGGGAAAUAAAAAUCCCCGUCAUCACGGGGAUUUUCCGGACCCGAAUGCGUUACCGGGAAGGAUGCGAAGGAGAAAAGCGCAGUAUCAGCAUACCCGCCAGUGCUGCCAGUACAGAGCCGGCAAGUACCCCCACCUUGACCUCGUCCACCAACAGGGGGCUUUCUGCAAACGCCAGGUUGCCGAUAAACAGGCUCAUGGUAAACCCUAUUCCGCACAGGACCGAUACGCCGUAAACCUGCAGCCAGGUACUUUUUUCAGGCCGUUUUGCCAGGCCCAGGCUGACGGCCAGCAGCGACAGGCCGAAAAUGCCCGCCUGCUUGCCAACAAACAGGCCCAGCGCAACGCCGACCGGUACCGGCGACAUCAGGUCAUCAGCCGUCAUACCGGAGAGCGCGACCCCCGCAUUUGCGAAGCCAAACAGCGGCAGUAUCAGAAACGUCACCCACGGAUUGAUGCCGUGCUCCAGCCGGGCAAGAGGGGAUUGUUUAUCCGGAUCGGUUACCCGCAGCGGGAUAAAGAGCGCCAGCAGGAUACCCGCGAUGGUGGCGUGCACCCCGGACUGAAGCAUGAAAAACCACAGCACGCCCCCCGCCAGCAGAUAGGGAAACAGCCGGGUAAUCCCGGCACGGUUCAUGAUAAACAGCAGAGCAACCGUGACCGCCGCACCGGCCAGCAUCAGAAACGAAAUAUUACUGGUAUAGAAGAGCGCAAUAAUAGCCACUGCGCCCAUGUCGUCCAGAAUAGCCAGCGCCGACAGGAAAAUUUUCAGCGAGGCAGGUACGCGACUGCCCAGCAGUGCCAGUACCCCGAGCGCAAAGGCAAUGUCCGUGGCGGCAGGAAUUGCCCAGCCAGCGAGGGUUUCAUCGCUGCCCGCAUUAAACCAUACGUAAAUGGCCGCAGGCACGGCCAUCCCGCCCAGCGCGGCAAAUCCCGGCAGCGCGCGCUGGCCCCAGGUGGCAAGCUGACCGGUGAGAAGCUCGCGCUUGAUUUCCAGGCCGACCAUCAUGAAGAACACGGCCAUCAGGGCGUCGUUUAUCCAGUGCUCAACGGAGAGGCCGGCGGCGUUGUAUUUCAGGAAUACCUCAUAUCCCUCCCUGAGCGGAGAGUUAGCCACGAUGAUAGCGGCUGCUGAGGCGAUGAUGAGCACGAUGCCGCCGGCUGCGGGCGAGCUGAAAAAUGCAGAUGGCACUUCUGACAUCCUCUUUUUAUUUCUGUCUGGGAUUUCUGACACACUCCCUCCCUUUAUUCAAAAAAAACAGGCCUUCCCCUGAUAUACAACCGCUGGUUAUCAGAGGAUAAGCCGGCUGAGCUACGCUGAAGAUAUAAAAAAUACGAUAAUUAAUUGCUGAUAAAUUAACGAAUUAGCGUGACGUUAAUUUUAUCAUAACGUCCGGCCCGCUUCAGGCGGAAGAGGUAAAGCCCUGUAAAGCUGCCGCAGGCAGGGGCAUUUUUAUCCGUCAUCAGCCACACGCUCACAGCAGCCAUGUGACGACAAAAAAACCCAGGGCAGUCAUCAGAAUGGAGCCGGUUACGUGUACCAGCAGUGAAGUAAACGCCCAGAAAUAAUUACCGGACUGCAGCUGUGAGAAUAUUUCCAGGGAAAACGUGGAAAACGUGGUCAGCCCACCGCACAGCCCGGUGAUAACAAGUAAUCGCCAGGCCGGAUCCAGGUCAGGAUGGCGCAUGAACCAGGCCAGCGACGCACCAAUGAUAAAUCCGCCCGCAAGGUUCACUACCAGCGUGCCCGGUGGCAGGUCAGGAAACAGGCUGUUCAGGCGUGCGCCAAGCAGCCAGCGGAUCAGGCAGCCAGCGGAUCCACCAAUGAUAAUGGCCAGAUAAGAUUUCACGGGGUUUACCUCUGUGUCAGAGGGAGUAUGCAGGCUGAUGAUACGGGGCGGCCUGACAUACUCCCGGUUAAAGGGGAGUAAUAUCAGGCGUCAUCAGCUUCUCAGGGGAAGCGGUUGGGUAAGGUGGAACGCCAUCACCUCGCCGCAAUUCUGGCCCGGUCACGGGCGUUAAUCAAGCGGCUAUCCACUGUUUUUGUGCGACUCCCCCUGCGGCGGGCAUGAGGAGCCCGUUUUCAGGCUUGACCUGAAGAGCAUUAAAAAUUAUCGUUUCGGCAGCAUUUUAUAUCUGACUGUGAGUCAUGCACAUUACGCCACCCUGAGUUUCUCUUCGCCCGUCCUUUAUCAGAGAGCCUGCCGCGACAGCCAGUCCGCGCCGGGUACCGUUCUCUCAUAUCCGUUACGGGACUGCCACCUUUCACGGUGAACCCGCGUGUACCUGCUUCAGGGACGCAGGCGCCGUGUCCGCAGCAGCCGGUACGGACACGUCGUGAUUAAUCGGCGGGCUGCAGCCCGCCUUCAGGGAUAUUCAUGCGUCAGCUUUUUCGGUUUAUGUUUCAUCACGCCUCUCACCUUACGUUCGGUGCGAUGCUGAUGGCCAUGUCCAGCUUUGGACAGACCUAUUUUGUCUCACUUUACGGGCAGGAUUUUCGUGAGGCCUUUGGGCUCACCGACGGCGGACUGGGCGGCCUGUACGCAAUCGGAACGGUGAUGAGCGCCAUCACGCUGACCUGGGCCGGACGGCUGAUUGACUACACCACGACCCGCCGCUUCACGCUGGCGGUCACCCUUUUGCUGCUCACGGCCUGCCUGCUGGUUUCCGGCGCACAGGCGGCGUGGAUGCUGUGCAUCGGGUUUUACUUUCUGCGCCUCGGCGGCCAGGGACUGAUGGUGCAUACUGCGCUGACCGCAACGGCGCGCCAGUUCCCCCUUGAUGCAGGCAAGGCGCUCGGCGCCAUCGCGCUGGGGCUCUCGCUGGCGCAGGCCGUUUUUCCUGUGAUUGCGGUGCAGAUAAGCGCGCUGACGGGAUGGCGCGCUGCCUGGGGCAUCAAUGCCGGAAUGCUUGUUGCCGGCGUGGGGGUCGCGCUGAUGUUUUUGCCCCGCGGGAAAGAGAAGCCGCUGCGUACGUUCAGAAAGCGGGGUGAGGAGAAAGAAAAAGAGGCGCCGGUAUGGCGAAACCGCAACCUGCUGCUGGCGCUGCCUGUCGUGCUGGCCUCCCCCUUUAUCACCACCGGCUUCUUCUUCCACCAGGCGAGGCUGGCACAGGAGAAAGGCUGGGAGCUGUCGUGGGUGGCGGUAUGGUUUAUUGCCUAUGCCAUUACCCAGGCGGUAUCGCUGCUGUCGUUUGGCCCGCUGAUUGACCGGCUCUCACCACGCAGGCUGCUGCCGUGGUUUCUGAUGCCACAGGCCCUGGCCAUGCUGGCGCUAUGGCUCAGCAACGGUCAGUGGGUGACGCCUUUUUACCUGAUUAUGACCGGCGUAUCGUCGGCCAUUGCCUCAACGCUUGCCACCGCGCUCUGGGUACAGCUGUUUGGUCCGGCGCAGCUGGCCAGGGUGCGCUCGGCGGUUGAGGCAGGGACGGUGAUUGCCAGCGGGGCAUCCCCGGUAAUCAUGGGCGUGCUGAUAGAUAACCAUGUCACCCUGCAUCUUCAGGCCCUGUUCUGCCUGGUCUACAUUCUUGGCGCCAGCCUGCUGGCCACCGGUAUCAGGACGGAUGCGCCGCAAUAACGCGCCUUUACCUUCAUACCCGUCAUCCUCUUUCCCCUGUGAAGGCGGGCCUGAUAUCAGGCCCGCCUGUUUCAUCGCAGCAUCAGCAGGGGCUGACGGCUUUCAGACAGCAUUUCCGUGGUGUGGCUGCCAAUAAAGAAUCGCCGUAACCGGGAGUGCCCGCAGGCCCCCAUUACCGUGAGGUCGAUAUCAUGGGCGUCCGCGUAGCGGCACAGCGCCCCGGUUACGGACUCGUCUUCCAGCAGGCGUGUCUCGGUCGUGAUACCGGCUUCCUGAAGAACAGCCUGCGCAUCCUGCAGGGCUGACAUGUCACCGUUGACCAUCACGAUAUGACAGCUCAGGCCGUGCAGCAGCGGGCUGACCGUCAGGCGCGUCAGGUUUUUACGGCUCUCACUGCUGCCGUCGUACGCAAACAUCACCCGCGCCGGCGGCGUAAACGUCUCCGGCACAAUCAGCACCGGGUUUUUCUGCAGGCGAAUGACGCUUUCCAGAUGGCUGCCUACCUGAUUCUGCGUCCCGCGGCGCCCCAGCACCAUCAGCCGGACUUCGCCCAGCUCCGCCAGGAUUUCGUCCAGUGCGCCGUGCUUUUGCAGCAGCUGUGCGUCCGGCUGUCCGGUCUGCUUCAGGAGCUCCGCACAGCCGGCCAGCACGGCCUUGCCCUGCGCCAUCAGCAGCCGGCUGCGCUCACCCUCGACGCGGACCAGCGCUUCGGUCAGCUGCUCCCGGCUGUCAAUACCAAUGCUCCCGGUCAGGUCAGACACGGCGGGAGUCUCACUCUUUUCGAGCACGUGCAGCAGCGCCAGCGGCGCGCCAAGUUUACCGGCUGCCCAGGCAGCAUACUCACAGACCGGCCGGGUUGACGGCGAGCCGUCAACGCAGGCAAUAACGGUGUUAUUCAUGAUGCUUUCUCCAGUAAAUUAAUGGCCACCCAUCAGCUUUUCCACUUCUUCAGGCUUGUCAUGCACUCCGAAGCGGUCAACGAGGGUGCGGGUCGCGUCAUUCAUACCCUUGAUCUCCACUUCCGUGCCUUCGCGACGGAACUUGAUAACCACCCGGUCCAGCGCGCUCACGGAGGUGAUAUCCCAGAAGUGGGCGUGCGUUACGUCAAUCACCACGCGCUCCACCGCUUCACGGAAGUCGAAGUGGCUCAUAAAGCGAUCGGAUGAGGCAAAGAAUACCUGGCCGGCUACGGUAUAGGUGCGGGUGUCGUCCUUCAGCUCAGAGGAGACCGCCAUAAAGCGGGCGACCUUGGUGGCGAAGUUCAGCGAGGCAAUCAGCACGCCGGUGAGCACGCCAAACGCCAGGUUAUCGGUCGCCACCACCACCACCACGGUGGCCAGCAUCACCACGCUGGUUGACAGCGGAUGGCUGCGCAGGUUGCUGAUGGAGCGCCAGGAGAAGGUGCCGAUGGAGACCAUGAUCAUCACCGCCACCAGAGCCGCCAUGGGUAUCCGGGACACCCAGUCGCGCAGGAACACCACCAUCAGCAGCAGCACCACGCCGGCGGUGAGCGUGGAAAGCCGCCCGCGCCCGCCCGAUUUGACGUUGAUCACCGACUGGCCAAUCAUCGCGCAGCCCGCCAUGCCGCCGAUAAAGGAGGUGCAGAUGUUGGCCACGCCCUGCGCCUUGCACUCGCGGUUUUUAUCGCUCGGCGUGUCGGUCAUGUCGUCCACGAUGGUGGCGGUCAUCAUCGACUCCAGCAGCCCCACCACGGCAAGUCCUGCCGAGUACGGCAGAAUAAUCAUCAGCGUGUCGAGGUUAAGCGGGAUAUCCGGGAUCAGAAACACCGGCAGGCUGUCCGGCAGUUUGCCCAUGUCACCCACGGUGCGCACGUCCAGGUGCAGCCACAUGGAAAUGGCGGUCAGCACGAUGAUGCAGACCAGCGGCGAGGGAAUGGUUUUGUUCAGAUACGGGAAGAGAUAAAUGAUGCCCAGGCCCGCAGCGGUCAGGGCAUAAACGUGCCAGGUGACGUUGGUCAGCUCCGGCAGCUGCGCCAUAAAUAUCAGGAUGGCCAGCGCGUUCACGAAACCGGUGACCACCGAGCGGGAGACGUAGCGCAUCAGGCUGCCCAGCUUCAGGUAGCCGGCCGCCAGCUGCAGCACGCCGGUCAGCGCCGAGGCCGCCAGCAGAUACUGCAGGCCGUGGUCUUUUACAAGCGUGAUCAGCAGCAGCGCCAUCGCACCGGUGGCGGACGAUAUCAUUGCCGGACGGCCGCCGAGGAAGGCCAUAACCAGGGGAAUACAGAACGCAGAGUAGAGCCCGACCUGCGGGUCGACUCCGGCGAUGAUGGAAAAGGCGAUCGCUUCGGGAAUAAGCGCGAGCGCGACCACAAUACCGGCAAGGACGUCACCACGGACGUUACCCAGCCAGUCCUUACGCGUCGAGGACAGCAGCAUAGUCAUUUCUCAGUUUUUGAUUACGGUCAGCCCGUGAGGGCAAAAAUUUUACGUACGAAAAAGCACAUCCGCAGACGGGAUGUUUUUGAGUGCGCGCCGAAGUUUAUUCAGUGCGACAGAGGAGGGGUACGACUCAGGGUGGCGUAAGACGCAUGGUGGUGUUUAUCACUCCUUCACGGCUGACAGAGCAGCGCGGGUAAUCAGAAAGACCGGAUGAACAGACGUUCAGUACCGGCCACAAAUGCCCGCCGGGCAGAUGAACCACGGCAAAAAGCGCUUUUUACUCUACACGAAUUGUUAACGGGGUCAACGCGCAGGGCAAAAACGCUGUUCAUGGAAUGCCGGUCAGGCGCAUCCGGACGGAAAGUCCUUCUGCAUGCUCAGGCUCGUCCGGCGUUCGCACAUACAUAUGAUUAAGUGAAUAUAAAUUUGACGGAGAAAGUUUCACAGGUACACUCAGGUCAGUCACAAUAAGGAGUCACCAUGCCACCCGUGUCCCCCCUGCAGCUUUUUAAAAGCCUUUCCGACGAAACCCGACUCAGCCUCGUGCUGCUGCUACGCGAAAAAGGGGAGCUCUGCGUCUGUGAACUUACGUCCGUGCUGAAAGAAACUCAGCCCAAAAUCUCACGGCAUCUGGCUCUGCUGAGAGAAAACGGGCUGCUUACCGACCGGCGGGACGGAAAAUGGAUCCACUAUCGUCUGUCGCCUCAUAUGCCGGCGUGGGCAGCGGCGGUUAUCGAACAGGCUUAUCUCUGCCAGCGGGAUGAUAUCCGCCAGCUCAGCCGGCAGGCUGAACGCGAUAACGCCACCACCAACGGCAAGCCUGUCUGCAUUUAAAAAUUUACCGGUAUAUAUCUGGAUUAUCGAAUAUAUUACGCAUCGAAAAUUUAUCAGUCCGGUUUAACAGGCAUUUGUAUUCAAUAGGAGCGGGUAUGUUUCUGGCAGGUGCGAUUUUCAUCCUGACGCUGGUACUGGUCAUCUGGCAGCCGAAGGGGCUGAGCAUUGGCUGGAGUGCCGUCAUCGGUGCGGCGCUGGCGCUGCUGACCGGCGUGGUGCACAUCGGUGAUAUUCCGGUGGUCUGGCAGAUUGUCUGGAACGCCACGGGCACGUUCAUUGCGGUCAUCAUUAUCAGCCUGCUGCUCGAUGAGUCCGGCUUUUUUGAGUGGGCCGCGCUGCACGUUUCCCGCUGGGGAGGCGGCAGGGGCCGGCUGCUGUUCACGUAUAUCGUUCUGCUGGGUGCCGCAGUGGCGGCGCUGUUUGCCAAUGACGGAGCCGCGCUAAUUCUGACGCCGAUCGUUAUUGCCAUGCUGCUGGCGCUGGGAUUCACUCCCGGCUCCACGCUGGCGUUUGUGAUGGCAGCGGGCUUUAUCGCUGACACCUCCAGCCUGCCGCUCAUCGUAUCGAACCUGGUGAACAUCGUAACGGCUGACUUCUUUACGCUGGGCUUCAGCGAGUACGCAUCCGUCAUGGUGCCGGUGAACAUUGCCUCCAUUGCGGCCACGCUGGUGAUGCUUCAUCUCUUUUUCCGCAGGGACAUCCCGGUCACCUAUGACCUGGCGAAGCUGAAGGCACCGCGGGAAGCCAUCCGGGAUGCACGAACCUUUAAGGCUGGCUGGGUGGUUUUGGUUCUUCUGCUGGUUGGCUUUUUUGCUCUGGAGCCGCUCGGCGUGCCGGUCAGCCUGGUGGCGGCGGUGGCGGCGUUUAUUCUCUGGCUGGUUGCCCGCAAAGGACACGUGAUUGACGCCGGCAGGGUGCUGAAAGGCGCGCCCUGGCAGAUCGUUAUCUUUUCGCUGGGCAUGUAUCUGGUGGUAUACGGACUGCGUAACGCCGGACUGACUGAUUACCUUUCCGCCGCCCUGAACCGGUUUGCAGAGCACGGCGUAUGGGGCGCAACGCUCGGCACCGGCUUCCUGACGGCGGCACUCUCGUCCGUCAUGAACAACAUGCCCACCGUGCUGGUUGGCGCGUUGUCGAUUGACGGUAGUAGCGCACAGGGCGUGGUGAAGCAGGCGAUGAUUUACGCCAACGUCAUCGGCUGUGACCUCGGCCCGAAAAUAACCCCUAUCGGCAGCCUCGCAACCCUGCUGUGGCUGCACGUGCUGGCACAGAAAAACAUCACCAUCAGCUGGGGCUAUUAGGGGUCAGUUUGGAUAUCGAAAAUUAUUGUACUAUAAGGGCUUCCCCGGCGUGUCAACGCCGGUGUUUAUGGUUUCUGUCUGCUCUUCAGUAAAAAUAAAGGGGAGAGACUGCGGUACUAUAAACGGCCAUGAUGAAUCGUCAUCGAUUCGGACCCUGAUGAAAGACGCGCGUGAGGUUCUUGUUCGUUAAGCGGAUACGUAUAUCCUGUACAAUAGCCAGAUAGGCCUCACGGGGUCUAACCCUUUAUCAUCAACGAAUUGCAGGUCAGAUGGUUAUUUUGUUUCGUGCUUUAGCUGGCUGAGUACAGCCUGAAAUCAUCACCGUAAUGCAAUGAUGCCCAGCACAGCCUUGCGUUUUUGGCGGCGAUGGCUACAACGGCACGCCAGUAUCCUCUGCGAUCGACCAGUGAACAGACCCAACGACUGAAUAAAUCAGUCCUUUUCUCGGCACCAAUCAGAACCGAACGAGCCCCCUGAACCAGUAGCGUUCGCAGAUACGAAUCGCCAGCUUUAGUUAUCCUGCCAAGCUUUGAUUUCCCACCACUGCUGUACUGCGAUGGCGUUAGUCCCAGCCAGGCUGCCAGUUGUCGCCCAUUUUUAAAAUCGUGUGCAUUACCGAUACUGGCGACCAGCGCACAGGCCGUUGUGGGACCAAUCCCUUUCAGUUCCAUCAAUCGCUGGCUGCGGUGAUCUGUUUUUGCCAUGCGGGACAAAAUCCGGUCAUAUUCAGUAAUAUUAUCUUCAAUACGAUCAAUGUGUUCCAGCAGGUCAUUAACACAUUGUUGAACCUGAAGUGGCAAAGAACUCUUCUGCUCAGAAACCAUGUGACGCAGGGCAUCUGUACUUUGUGGGGCGAUGACACCGAAUUCCGAUAUCAAACCUCUCAAUCGGUUAUAUGUUGCUGUUUUCUCUUCGAUAAAACCCUGUCUGAUACGGUGUAGGCAUUGCAUCGCCUGCUGGCUCUCAUCCUUCACUGGUACAAACCGCAUAUGCGGGCGACGAACUGCUUCACAGAUAGCCUGAGCAUCAGCUGCAUCAUUUUUGCCUGAUUUACCGGCCAUGCGGUAAGGAGAUACAAAUUUAGCAGCCAUCAGCCGUGGUUCAUGACCAUAUUGCCGAAACAACCUUGCCCAGUAGUGAGCCCCGGAGCAUGCCUCCAUCCCGAUAACACAGGGAGGUAAACUGGCAAUCAGCUCAGGAAGGGCAGCACGCGAUACUUUGGGUUUAACCAGAACAGUUUUACCGUGUUGGUCAACGCAGUGAACAGCGAACACAUUUUUAGCAAGAUCGAUACCGACAGUCGUGAUGGUCAUAACGAAUCCCUCCGGGGCUAUGUUUACCCCAUGAUUGCACAAGAGUUAAUCAGGCGCAUAUCCAGGGGAAGUCCCUUCCAUUCGUUAAGGUUAUUUUUUGACCUGCCUAAUUUAGCUGGCCUCAGCCGACGAAACUUACCGGCUGACGGUAUCCGGUUGCUUUUCCAUAUAUAAUCGCCUGUCAGAUUGAUGUGUUCCCAGCCUAGCGGGGACAAAUGCGACAGCAGUUGCUCGUUGAUCUUCACUCCCUUACGCUUCAGAGCAUCGACAGCUCUUUCCAUAUAGACGGUAUUCCACAGGGAUAUGGCAGCUGUCAGGAGCGUCAGUCCACUGGCGCGAUAGCUCUGAUUUUCCGGUUUUCGGUCCCUGAUUUCUCCCAGCCGGUGCAUAAAUACCGCUCGCGCCAGCGCGUUACGGGCUUCACCUUUAUUCAGCCCCGCCUGUACCCGCCGACGCAGUGCAGGAUCGCGGAACCAGUCGAGCAUAAACAGAGUUCGUUCAAUACGGCCAAUUUCUCUCAGUGCUUUGGCCAGCCCGUUUUGCUUGGGGUAGCUGGCAAGCUUUUUCAGCAUCAGGGAUGCCGUCACGGUUCCCUGCUUUAUCGAGGUUGCCAGACGCAGCACUUCACGCCAGUGAAUUUCGAUCUCUUUCAGAUUCAGGCUGGUUGUUGAUAUCAGUGACUGAAGCGCCGGGUACUGGCCUGCUUUCCCUUUGAUAAAUAGCUUCUUGUCGUGGAGAUCCCUGAUUCGCGGACAGAACGCAAAUCCCAGCAGAUGCAUCAGGGCAAAGACAUGAUCGGUGAAACCCGCUGUAUCGGUGUAAUGCUCCCUGAUUUCCAGGUCGCUUUCGUGGUACAGCAAGCCAUCGAGCACAUGGGUUGAAUCUCUGACCCGACUGAUUAUGCAGGUGUAAAACGGGCUGUAUUGAUCCGAAAUAUGGGUAUAAAACUGACGUCCGGGCUCCUGCCCGUAUUUCGGGUUAACCUGCCCUGCGUAGCGGCCUGAUCUGCCUGUUCUGAAAUUCUGUCCAUCUGAUGAUGAUGUUGUCCCGUCUCCCCAGAAUGCCGCCAGCGGCCUUUUCCCCUGCGCGUUUACCAGCUCUGCAAGGGCUGCUGAAUAGGUUUCGUCGCGGAUGUACCAUGCCUGAAUAUCUUCGAGUGAUGAUUUGGUGCUACCGGGGCAGGCUUCCGCCAUUUUGGUCAGGCCAAGAUUGAUGCCAUCCGCAAGAAUGGUGGUGAGAAGCAGGCGGAUAUCGGGACGGGUAAUGUCAGUUUUUAUAUGCGAAAAAUGUCGGGUAAACGUCGUCCAGCUGUUUACCUCAUCGAGAAUUUCCGUGAUUUUAGGGCGCGGUAGCAUGCUGUAAACCAGCUCUGCCAGCGGUGAAACCUGCACCGGAACGCUGUUAUCCAGCGGAGAGACUUUUACGCCCCUGUAAGAUAUUUCCACAUCGGGCAGUUCACCAAGGGCAGCCAUGGCAUUGACCUCUUCAAGCCUGGACUGAAGCAGGGUCAUACGGCUGGUAAUGUACUCAUGAUAAUCAGCAGAUACGGGAAGUGGCAGCGCCGGUGUGAGUUUGUCAAAGUCCUUUUCGGGAAUGAGGUAAUCAUCAAAAUUUUUGUAGCGGCGUGAGCCUUUAACCCAGAUGUCCCCGGAACGCAACGCCCCCUUAAGCUCGCUGAGCGCACAAAAUUCAUAGUACUGCCGGUCAAUACCCGCAGGUGUAAUUACCACCUUGCGCCAACUUUCUGGGACAAACUCAAGCGGCGCGGUGGCCGGAACUUUACGUGACUGCUUCCGGUACAUAUCCUUGAUCACAACCAGCGCAUCAGCCAGAGGUUGCGCUGCCGGAGUUGCGAUUAACUGUAAAGCUGACAACAUGCGCGGGGCAUAUUUCCGUAAUGUGCUGUAUUUCUCGGUAAUAAUAUGCAGCGGGUCAAAAUUAUUUUUUCUGGCGAGAUGGCGUGUUUCCUCCAGACUGGCGACAAAUUCAGGCCAUGGGAGUAUGUUUUCUAUUGCGAGCCAUGGAUCUCCCCCGGAAUCACGGGCAUCAGACAGCGCCUGACCGACAUUGAUGUACUGCCUCAGUUUUGACUGGAUCAGCUUUCCGGUCUGCUGAAGGCGCUCAGCCUGUGUUCUUUUGGCUUUGCUGAAAAGGCUGUUCAGCAUUCGCUCAUGCAACUCAAUCACUUCGUCUGUCAGUGUGGCUCUGGCUUCUUCCAGCACGCACACCAGGAUCGCAUGACGCCGGGCUGCUGAAAAUCGGGUCAAAUCCCGGCUGCUCAUCUUUCGGCCUUCCCGCGCCAGUUUCAGCAACCGGUUCUGGUGAAUGGUACGAUCUAUACCUUCCGGUAAUGCCAGCGAUUCAAUGCUACUGAGCCGAUCAAGGUGUUGCAGCACGUUCUUACCAUUGAUUUUACCCGGAGGUUGCAGAAGCCAUGUCAGCCUGGAAGACUGAUUAUCCGAUGACUCAAGUAAACAAUCCAGAGCAUCCCUGUGAGCCGGAGUUAACGGAGCAUUCAGGGUCUGAAACACGAUUUUAUCGCCGCCUGCCAUGGCCUCAGCACAGGAACGCUCCACGACAUCAAUCGAGGGGAUUAUCACGUUGUUCUGCCGGAGCCAGACCAGUAGUUCUUCGGCCAGGAGAAUACCUUUAUCGGUGCGCGUCGCCAUCGGCAGCAGGUGUGUAAUACAGUCCUGCUGUAUUUUGCCGGUGAACGCUUUUAAGCCAAGAUAGCGGUACAGUUCGGUUAAAUGUUCGCGUCGCGUGGUUUCCCUGCCGGAAAGGUAAGCUGGCCAGAGAUCCCCGGUAAGUUUUAGCCUGCUGGCGAUAUGCUUCAGCAGCGCAUCAGAGGGAGGGAUUUUUUUAUCCGGGGUAAAGCCGACAUUUUUCAGAUAGCAAAGAAGGACGGCAAAACCAAAACGGCUGGCAGGUUUACGGUGGGCACUGAUAAGUGCCAGAUCAUGUUCACUGAAAUACGCCAUCCGGGUCAGCGUUAACUCUUCGUCCGGUAAUGCCAGUAAUGAUUCUCUUUCCGACAGAGAAAGAAUCUGCCUCCUUGCCAUAUAGUUUCCCUCGUAAAUUAUCCGAUGCGGUAUUUUUAACAGAAAUGCUUAUCGCAUAAGGGUACACCCUGACGCCAUAUUCAAAACGUGACGGCACACGAUGAAUGACAUAACCUAUAUGCGAUAGAUUAAAUGCAAUAACUUAAAUGCGAUAACGUGGUGGAAAAAUGUUCAUCAGAGCUUAUUUAAGGGCAUCGACGGAAGAUCAGUUCGCCGAUCGGGCAAAAGAGAUGCUGGAGCAGUUUGUUCAGGAGCGGGGACAUAAAAUAGCCAGUUACUACCGGGAGAACAUCAGCGGUACAAAACUUGACCGCCCGGAACUGGGGCGCUUACUGAAGGACAGUCACCGCAAUGAUAUUUUACUGGUCGAGCAGAUAGACCGUCUGACCCGUCUGAGCAACAGCGACUGGAUGACGCUGAAAAAGCAAAUCGAGCAACACGAGCUGCGGAUUGUCAGCCUCGAUGUACCCACCUCAUGGCAGGCGCUGUCAGAUAAAGAUCCUUCGCAGGCUGACCCAAUCACCCGCGCCGUGAUAACCGCCAUCAAUAAUAUGCUUAUCGACCUGAUGGCCUCGAUGUCGCAUAAGGACUGGCUGAGCCGCCGCCAUCGGCAGAAGCAGGGAAUUGAACGGGCACAUACGCUGGGAAAAUACCGGGGCAAACAGGCCGAUCAGGAACGACAUAAGAAAGUUCUGUAUUACCGACAGGUCAAGAAACUGAGCAUAAGAGAAACUGCUGAAGCCACCGGUUACAGCACAUCUCAGGUCUGCAGGAUUCAGGCCCUGUUCAGGCCUGAAAAUUAAGCACAUUUUCUGAGGCUGGAAAUCAACUCAUGCUGACAGCCUGAGCCUGUUGGCAUGGUAAGCAAUGUGCUCACCAAUAAAGCUGGAAAUGAAAUAAUAGCUGUGGUCGUAACCAGUAUGAUAUCGGAAUGAUGUGUUGAUGUUCAUCUCGUUGCACACUCUUUCAAGACUUUUAGUGCGUAACUGAUCUUCAUAAAAGGCGUCACUUAAUCCCUGGUCAAUAAAAAUUUCUGGUAAUUUCGCACCCUGUAAAAUGAGACUGACGGGAUCGUAGUGCUCCCACGUUUUUUUAUUUUCACCCAGGUACGCGGUGAAUGCCUGUUGUCCCCAUGGCACCUGAGAAGGUGACACUAUUGGUGAAAAUGCCGAUACACUCACAUAUUCAUCAGGAUUUCGCAGCGACAGAACCAGCGCUCCCAGCCCCCCCAUGGAGUGACCGGAUAUUGAUUUCCUUGAUGUUACAGGUAAAUGCUCCAUGACAACAUCCGGAAGCUCAUGGAGAAUAUAGUCAUACAUCCUGUAAUGCGUGUUCCACGGAUGUUCCGUCGCGUUCAGAUAAAAUCCGGCACCCUGGCCCAGAUCGUAGCUGUCAGCAUCUGCGACAUGCUCUCCACGGGGACUGGUAUCAGGAACAACGACGAUGAUGUUGUUCCUGGCGGCAUAAUGCUGCAUACCCGAUUUGGUGAUGAAAUUCUGCUCCGUACAGGUCAGACCCGAGAGCCAGUACAGGACCGGCAGUUUUUCUGUUGCUGCUUUGGGGGGAAGAUAAACACCGAAAUUCAUCCCACAAUUAAGUGUUUGUGAAUUAUGGCGGUAUACGUUUUGCCAGCCGCCAGCGCUGGCAUGCUGCUCGAUGAGUUCCAUCAGCCUCUGUCUCAUGGUUAUUUCCCCUGACAGGGAGUCAGGGGAAGUCUCUUUAUAGCCGGACGUCAGAUGAACGUAUAAGCCGUGAUUUUGUUACCCGCAGGGUCUCGCAGGUAGGCUGCAUAGGCUCCAGGGAGAUGGCUGCGCGGGCCAGGCUGACCUUCAUCUUUCCCUCCGGCGGCAAGGCCCGCGGCGUGGAAAGCAUCAACUUCUUCCGGACUUGCAGCUGCAAAGCCGACAGUAACGCCGUUGGCCGAUGGCGCUUCACCGUUGCCCGGAUGUGCAAUAAUAAAGGCUGGCUUUUCGCGACCAUAAAGUACCCAGCCAUUGCCAAACGGGCCGAGGUUAUUGAUGCCAAGCGUACCGAGGACAGCAUCGUAAAAAUCAGCGGAUUUUUCAACAUCGGAUGCACCGAUGAAGACGUGGGAAAAAACGUCAUUACCAGAAAUUACAGGUGUUGCCAUGAUCCAUUUCCUUCAGUUGGUUUGACUCAGUUAAGACGCUAUCAGUAACGGAUUACCGUACGGAUUGAUUUACCUUCAUGCAUAAGAUCGAAGGCCUCAUUGAUUUCAUCCAGCGUCAUCGUGUGGGUAACAAAUGGCUCCAGUUCAAUUUCACCCUUCAUGGCAUCUUCUACCAUGGCCGGAAGUUGCGUACGGCCUUUCACUCCGCCGAAAGCAGAACCUUUCCAUACGCGCCCGGUAACGAGCUGGAAUGGACGGGUGGAUAUCUCCUGCCCGGCGCCGGCCACGCCGAUGACAAUGGACUGGCCCCAGCCACGGUGAGCACUUUCCAGCGCCGCACGCAUAACGUUGACGUUACCGAUACAUUCAAAAGUGUGGUCAAUGCCCCAUUUGUUGAUUUCAAGCAGCACAUCUUUAAUCGGUUUGUCAUGGUCGUUCGGGUUGAUGCAGUCGGUUGCACCGAACUGACGGGCAAGUUCGAAUUUGGCCGGGUUGGUGUCGAUAGCGAUAAUGCGUCCUGCUUUUGCCUGGCGAGCCCCCUGAACGGCAGCCAGACCGAUUGCGCCAAGACCAAAAAUAGCGACAGAAUCUCCAGGCUGUACUUUCGCUGUGUUGUGAACAGCGCCAAUCCCGGUAGUCACGCCACAGCCCAGCAGGCAGACGUGUUCAUGGUUUGCCUCCGGGUUAAUUUUUGCCAGAGAAACCUCGGCCACUACCGUAUACUCACUGAAGGUGGAGCAUCCCAUGUAGUGGUAAAGAGGCUGGCCAUUGUAAGAAAAGCGGGUGGUUCCGUCAGGCAUCAGUCCUUUUCCCUGAGUUUCGCGAACCGAUACACAGAGGUUCGUUUUCCCGGACUGACAGAAUUCACACUCCCCGCAUUCGGCGGUGUAAAGCGGAAUCACAUGGUCUCCCGGCUUCACGCUGGUCACGCCUUCACCGACCUCCACGACGACACCGGCCCCUUCGUGGCCGAGAACCACCGGGAAAACGCCCUCAGGAUCGUUCCCGGAGAGGGUAAAGGCAUCGGUGUGGCAGACACCGGUGUGGGUAUUUUUAAUCAGCACCUCGCCUUUUUUAGGUGGUGCAACAUCAAUUUCAACAAUCUCCAGGGGCUUCCCUGGUGCAAAUGCAACGGCAGCACGUGAUUUCAUAUGUAAAUUAUCCUCAAUGUGAUGGCUUAGCUAUUUAAGAUAGGCGCGAACCAGUUCAAUCGUAUCGUCAACGGAUUUACUGAUUUCAUGGCUGUAGCUGUCAUUCUGGUCAAAGGUUUCCCGUAUGUGGCUCUCGAGCACCUCUGCCAUAAGACCGUUAGCUGCUCCGCGAACGGCAGCUAUCUGCUGAAGAAUGGAACGGCAUUCAGCACCAUUUUCCAGCGCUCUUUCCAGAGCAUCAAUCUGACCCCGAAUGCGGCGAACACGGGUAAGGACCUUUUUUUUCUCUUCAGGAGUACUGGGCAUUAUUUACCUCACCAUUUUUGAUUUUAUAUACUAUAGUGGAGUAUAUAAUUAUCGUCAAUGCAUACUCCACUAUAGUAUAACUAAGAAUAAACAUAACUACCUUUAUUUACGAUAUAAAUCAUAUAUUUAUAUUAUUUUUGGCUGUGAUACUGUCGGAAGGAAAGUUACUACAAAAAUGAUAUCUACCGAUACGGGAUUUGGGGCAUAGGCGGUUCUGUUAAAUUUCGCCAGAUAUUGGCUCAUCAUUGAUGGUCAAAAAAUGAGCCUAACGUACAAUAAUUUUCGAUAUCCAAACUGACCCCUAUUACUUCCGCGUGGGCAUCGUGAUGACCCUGCCGGUGCUUUUUGUCACGCUGGCCGCGCUGGCCCUGCGCCUGUCUGUUUAACUUUAACCCCGGGGCUGCGCCCGUGCAGCCCCUUUACGGAGUACCGCUUAUGACUGACAUUACCAUUUACCACAACCCGGCCUGCGGGACAUCCCGCAAUACCCUGGCGCUUAUCCGUAACAGCGGCGCCGAACCCACGGUUAUUCUGUAUCUGGAAACGCCGCCGUCACGCGAUGAGCUGAAGAAGCUGAUUGCGGAUAUGGGCAUCGGCGUGCGCGACCUGCUGCGCAAAAAUACCGAACCGUACGAACAGCUCGGCCUGGCAGAAGACCGCUUCAGCAAUGACGAACUGCUCGAUGCCAUGCUGGCUCAUCCGAUCCUCAUUAAUCGCCCGGUGGUAGUGACACCGCUCGGCACGAAGCUGUGCCGUCCCUCCGAAGUGGUUCUGGACAUACUGCCGGACCCGCAGCAGGGCGCGUUUACCAAAGAGGACGGCGAAGCCGUCAUUGAUGAGCACGGGAACCGCGUCAGCCACUGAUUUUUUACCAGGCUGCGGGCAUAACAGUGUGGAAAAAGCCGGCAUCUGCCGGCUUUUUUAUAUGCUGCGCUGGUUGACCCGCUCAGAAAGCUGCGCGGCACUCUCUUUCCUUUCGCUGUAGCGGUCGGUGAGAUAAUCACUGCGACCGCGCGUCAGCAGGGUGAACUUCAUCAGUUCCUCCAUGACGUCCACUAUGCGGUCAUAAUACGAAGAAGGCUUCAUGCGGCCAUCCUCAUCAAACUCGGCCCAGGCUUUUGCCACGGAUGACUGAUUCGGGAUGGUGAUCAUCCGCAUCCAGCGUCCAAGAAUACGCAUCUGAUUUACAGCGUUGAACGACUGUGAGCCGCCGCUGACCUGCAUGACGGCCAGGGUUUUUCCCUGUGACGGGCGGACCGCGCCUGACGUCAGCGGUAUCCAGUCAAUCUGGGCCUUCAUGAUGCCGGUCAUGGCCCCGUGACGCUCCGGAGAGCACCAGACCAUGCCUUCCGACCAGAGAACCAGCUCCCGCAGCUCAGCCACUUUCGGGUGCGUCUCCGGCGCAUCAUCGGGCAGUGGCAGGCCGGACGGGUUGAAAAUUUUCACCUCCGCGCCCAUGGCCGUCAGCAGCCGGGCACCUUCUUCCGUUGUCAGCCGGCUGUAAGAGCGCGCCCGCAGCGAGCCGUAGAGCAUCAGGAUGCGGGGCGGAUGCGUUAUCUCUCUGGCCUUCAGCUUAUCUUCCGUCAGCGGCGCGUCCAGGAGGGCCGGAUCGAUAUUUUUCAGGGCAUCAGUCAGGUUGUUCACAAUGGGGUCUCUUCGGGAGUCUUUGCGGGUGACAGACUGCAGCUGCCGCCUGCGCAGCAUUCUUCUGUCAGAAAGGCCAUCAAUUGCUCAAGCUGCGCAUAGCAGGGCCUGCAGAACAGGGUACGACUCUGCCGUUCCUGGCUUAUGAGUCCAGCGGAUAUCAGCGCUGAAAGAUGAUGGCUGAGCGUGGAGGCAGGAAUCUCAAGGUGCUUCUGCAGUUCGCCAACCGGCAGGCCUUCAUGACCCGCCCUGACCAGCUCCCGGUAUAUGCUGAGACGUGUCGGGUGGCCCAGUUCUCGAAGUGCGUUUGCAGCAGUGUUUAAAUCCAUAAUACCUCCUUUAUCUAUAUUUCCAGAAUAAUAGAAAUAUAGCCUGCGUCAAUCGUUUCUGCCGUGAGGGUACCGCUUUCCCAAUCAUGCUCUGUCCGCCAGGUUAUGGGGGGCAGAGCCAGAGCACUACCGAAAUCCUUGCGAAUACCCGUGCAGGGAAUAAUUUCCGCCCCCUUUAUGGCCGGAAAAAAAACUGAUAAACGUCGCCUUUUCAGAAGGUUGCUUUCUUAACGUGGUUUUUCGCAUGGUUGGACCUCAGACCCCUAAAACGAUUACGUAUUGUGGUCUGGCGGGCCGCGAUAAGUAAGUUUUCCCAGUCACGGUCACUCGGUAUCCAUGGCAGGCGUCGCUGUGCCUGAAUGAACCCCCUGCGCCCACCUCCGCCAGGAUGCCAGCUGCCUCUCAUUACGGGGUUCAGUACUAUUAAUCCUUCUUCUCGCAGGUAGUCACAAUAUAAUCGAACGAUAGUGAGUCGAUGACGAAGGCUGGCAGCCGCCAGAUUGCGGGAGAUAUUAAGAUGACGAACAUACAAAGCCAGGAUCUCCCGGCUGGCUUCUGUAGGGCUCACAUCAUUCUGGCGACAAAAACGCAGCCAAUCAUCGAUCCCACGGGCAUAAGCUUCAACCGUAUUUGGCGCCUUCAGCAAACUUUCCUGUAAGCAUAACCAGCGAAAAGCUGUAGGCUCAGCCAUCAUGUAAGGUAAAGAUGCCAGCAACGAUGCACGCAUACACUUUCCUUCCGAGUCAGAAAGCACAACCUAAGGAUAGUCAAUUCCAAAUAACAUAUAAGCCAAAAAAUUGGGCAUCCCUAUGGGAUUGCCCUGGUUCAAAUUGCGGGAACAGAAGUUCCCGGAGCCGGUUAUGGCCUUCUCCAGUAACUACGAGCUCUAGUAAGUUAAGUGGAAUGCAACAUUUGAUUGGCCUGUUUGAACUAAACUACACCUGUUUCUCUGUCAAAAGAGGUCAACAUGAUGGUCAGCAAUCCACUUUUUACUGCCAGUAUGCAUCUUGUUGAGCAAUGGCUCGGGCUACUGACUGAUCUGGGGCGGGCUGACGCCACGAUCAAAGCCUAUCGUGGUGCUCUGACGCAUUAUCUGCGGUACUGCGAAGCAAAUUCACUACAUCCACCUUCUGCCCGUUUUGAAGAUUUUUCCGCAUAUCUACGGCCCCAGCUCCCGGGAAUGGCACUGCCGGCCGCCAGUGCCACACUGCAGUUGCGCAUUUCAGCCAUCCGGCUCUGGUACGAGUAUCUUUAUUACCAGGAUCUCUGUGAAACCAGUCCGAUACCCCGGGCAAUGUUGCCCAGCCCGGUGUUCAGCGGACGCGGACUGGUACCGCGUAUCACCCGUCUUCCCAGCAUUCCUGAUGAUCAUAACUGGUUUACUCUUCUGCAACAGGCCGCCUCCGCAACGUUGCGCGACCGUCUGAUGCUGGCACUAGCCUACUAUGGUGCAUUACGGCGGGCAGAAGUCACGGCGCUUCAGGUUGACGAUCUUGAUCCGGGCCACCGGCUGAUCCGUAUCCGUGCCGAAACCACCAAGAAUCAUCGCGAGCGUAUAGUGUGUUACAGCCCAACGAUAACCCCUGUGCUUGCCGCACAUUUGCAGCAGUUACGGCACAGUGGUUUUUUUGGUGGGGCACUUUUUCGCUCAGUCUCUGACCGGAAUCACGGUAUGCCGCUAAGCAUCUGGAGUUGGAGUAAAACCGUUCGUAAAUGGAGAGACCAGGCCGGGUUGGCCGAUUUCUCCACCCAUACCUUCCGUCAUCUGCGCCUGACCCAUCUGGCGCGGGCUGGCUGGAAACUUCACGAACUCGCCGCCUAUGCCGGGCAUCGGGACCCCCGGACGACCCAGGUUUACUUGCACCUGUCCGGUACCGAUCUCUCUGCCCGCAUGGCCGGGGCUGUCGCUGAGCUUGACAGAAAAGUUGCCGGACUGGUUUUUUCUGACCGGAGGAUUCUCUUAUGAAAGCCGAAAACACUACCGGCGUUGUCUGGCAGCCCUUUGAGCUGGAGUCAUACCGGCUCAGGGACGCUUUCUCCGAACAGGAACGCCUUGCCCUGAGCACUCCACAACGGCGGGGUAAGUAUCUUCAGCAGAAACGUGUGCCGGCAUUCCUUCGCCCUCUAUAUGACAUCGCCACCCGGAGUGGUAUAAAGCCAGAGGUCGCCAGGAUAACCAUUCUGGCGGUACUCGCUGAAGCGGCCCGCCAGGAUCUGCCUUGUCACCUCUGGGCAGAGGAUAUAUGGCAGAAGUUGUAUCAGCGACGACACCUCAGUGGUCCGUUGCUGGCGGCUUUUGCCUUCCACUUGUCACAGGUUCCUCUCCCGUUGUACAGCGCCCGGUGCCGGCAGCCUGCGUAUUAUGCCUGUGCGGUUUUUGGCCGGGAUAUUUUUCAGCAGGAACUCAGCCGUCUCAUGGACGUCCUGGUGGCUCAGGGGUAUUCCCUCCGCCAUCAGGAAAUGUUUCUCUCGGCGGUUCUGGGAAUGCUGAUGCUGGAAAAUGGCGAUCCGCGGCUGGAAAGCUUUACCGAAGAUCUCCUCCUGCGGGGCCAACAGUACCGCACUAACGGAAUCGCCAGAGCGGUAGGUAAGGUCUCCCAUGGACUGGCAGCCAUGGGAAUUUUGUCACGCCCAUUGCGCAUGCGGGGUUAUACCGGCUGGAAAGAGAAACGAACUGACGGGAUUGCUGCUGAAUGGGUCGGAUGGUGUCAGCGCUGGCGGGAAACGUCCGUACUGCGGCCACGGACCCGUGAAUCGAACUACAGCUUUAUUCUGCGUAUCGGUUUGUGGCUUGCCAGAGAUUUUCCUGAUAUUCGAGAGCCUGCUGACUGGAGCAUCAGUACCUGUGCCAGUUUCAUCGCAGCCCUGGGAAGAAUGAAUGUGGAUGAGCUUUCUCUGGAGCCUGAAAAAACAAGACGAGUAUCCGCCCGAUCCGGACAGCCAAUGAUGAGCAACUCCCGGGCAUCUUUUUUGUAUGCCCUGCGGCGUUUUUUUGUUGAUUUUGAACUCUGGGGAUGGGGAAGGCUGAAGCUAAGCCCCUACCGCCAUCUGGCCACGCCGGACACGCCAGCGUUCAGCCGGGGAGUAAAUCCCAGGGUGAUUGACGAUCCUGUGUGGCUGAAGCUGAUCUGGGCCAGCCUCAAUUUACGACCUGAGGAUAUGCUGACCGGGAUCCAUUAUCCGUUUACCAUGCACCAGGCGAUGGCGGUUAUCUGGACUCAUGCAGGCUUACGCCAGAACGAAAUAUUUCGAUUGAGCGUAGGCUGUGUCCACGAGCAGACAGAUGAUAUUGUGCAUGAUGAUGGCAGUAUUAUCCCUGCAGGAACGCUCUGUUAUCUCGAUGUUCCGGCUGGAAAAACAUCAAGGGCAUUUGUCAAACCAGUCGCCAGUGUCGUGAAAAAGUAUGUAGAUCUAUGGUUACAGGAACGCCCUACAGAACAGGCUCCUUUGACGGAUGAGCGAACUGCUGAAAGGGUCAAUUAUUUAUUUCAGUACAGAGGAAAACUGAUAGGAAGCUCAAUCCUGAAUAACACGAUCAUUCCGGUACUCUGUGCCCGGUCCGGUGUCCCUCUCGAUGACAGCCGGGGGCGAAUUACCAGUCACAGGGGAAGAGCAUCAGCCGUCACCGCACUGGCCAGUGUGCCACAGGGGAUGACUCUGCAUGAGUUGAUGGAAUGGUCCGGACAUAGCUGCCCACGCUCAACCCUGCACUACAUCCGCAUUCGCCCAACACGGCUGGCGGCUUCUUUUGUGAAAGCGGACAAAAUUUCUCAUAUGAUUAGCGUGCUGAUCGAUCAUGACAGUCAGGCACUAACGUCAUCAGGGCCUGCCCUAUACUAUGAUUUAGGCGAUUUGUAUUGCACCAAUCCAUUUUGGAGCAGUUGCCCGCACAGAAUGGCCUGUAUUGGUUGUGAUUUCAGCUUGCCAAAAAGCAGCUCUCGGGCUCAGGCUCUUGAAAGUAAGGCAUCCAUACAUCGGUAUCUUGAAGAAGUUCCGCUCACGCCAGAUGAGAAAGCCAUUGCUGAAGGUGAUAUUGAUAAGCUGACAGCAUUCAUAAAAAAAAUGGCUAGUCAGCCACCACCUCAAAAAGACUAAACCUUACGGGCUCUCUACGUUAACAAAGUUAAUUUUUAUUGAUGUAAAUCAGAAUUAGAUUAAAUUCUCAGUCGGUCACUUGAAAUCAAGCGAAGCGGCUCCAUUUGUUGUUUAAUUCACAACAAAUAUGGGGUCAAGAUGAGUCUUCAAAACAAAUUUAAAAAUUUUCACGAUGCUAUCAAGUUAGGAAGGAAGGACUUGGAGUACACAACGGCCCGCCUCAAGGACGAAAGCAUUACUGCCGAUAUCGUUGAACGAUUCAAAGAAGAUGGAUAUCCGGUUAUUGAGGAUUUCAUUCAAGGGUCUUUGGCGACCUUCACGGGUAUCCGGGAAAAAGGCCAGGAUUUCGAUAUUGACCGUGCAAUAGUAAUCGAAGCGGAGUUGGCCCCAGAAAACCCAAUAACACCUAAGCUCGCUGUACUUGAAGUACUGGAAGGCCGGGGUUUUAAAAAUGCUAAGAUCAAAAAACCUUGUGUGACUGCUGACUACAAGGCUGAUGACCUUCAUAUCGAUAUCCCAAUUUACCGCAAGUACGAUAACGGCCAAUACGAACUGGCCGUUGGCAAGAAACAUUCAGCUGAGGAUAACCGCGAGUGGGCCAAAUCUGCGCCACGUGAACUUAUCGACUGGGUGAAUAAUUACGACGCUAAUGAAGCUUAUGGCUCGAAUAAGCAUGACCAGUUUCGACGUAUUGUCAGAUACCUCAAGCGCUGGCGAAAUUUUACAUUUGGCGAUGAUGUCCGUCGUAAAAUCUACUCAAUUGGUAUAGCUGUCAUGGUCAAGGAAUCCUUCGUCUCCUCCAUCAACGAUGAAGGCUUCCCUGAUGACCUUACUGCACUGAGAAAGACAAUCGACCACAUACUUAACUAUCGUAGCUAUUUCACUCAGGUUGACGUGGAUAAAUACAGUGUCAAUGUUACGCUUCCAGUCUGCCCAUACAGAGAUAUUUUUCAUAGCAGCAGUAUCGUCACAGGAACACAGUUUCGCAACAAGCUGAGCGCACUGUUGAAAACCUUGGAUAAGGUUGCUGAUGAAGAGCAAGAGUCAAAACAGUGCGAAUUGCUACGAAAUGCAUUCGGUGAAGAUUUUCCUGAGUGCGCUGAAACAUCAUCUGCAUCGUCAAAUGCUGUUAAAACUGUUUUCGCAUCUGCCGGAGUAGUGGGGACAUCGCAAGGCGCAUGAAUUAUUCAGUCAUCAUGGCUCACUUGAAUGAAUGCGGAUACAAGGUAUCCGCAAUUCCAUCAACGACGGCAGAGGUCGGAUUCUUAACUGUCGAACUGGAGAUAAACGGUAUGCCAGUUACUCUUUGGCAUAUCGCUGUUACUGAACUCUCGAAAAUGCCCAGCUUUCUCCUGGCUGAGCCAUCAACAUUACCCAGACUUGCGCACACUGCGUUCUAUCCUGGAAGCAAAUUUGCAAGCAUUUGUGUGAAUGUACCUGACGCAGUAUCCGUGAAUUUUGAGUGUCCUGAGCUAGCCUUUGAAGAAUCGCUAAAACGCCAUGUUUCUUUGUUAAGUCAAGCUUUAACCGAUAGUGAAUGGAAUACAAAGGAAUUACUUCGGGAAUUUGAAGCUGGCUGGCUGAAUAUCGUUGAGCCGGACAUUCCCCCCUUUCUCUGUUUAACUGAAAGCGAAACACCAGAAGAGUUGUGCGUUCUGAAACCGAGUAAAGGCAGCGUAGGUCUGGGAAAAUAUCAUUUAGGUUAUGCUGAAGAGGCAGUCCCAGAUAAUAUUUUUUCACCUAUCAAUCAGCUUCUAAAAAAUCGCCAAGCCGCAAAAGGUAACGGAUUCGUCAUACCGUUGAGCGUGCUAAAACCUGCUCCAUGGAAAAAGGAUGAACUUACUGACUGGUAUCUAGACCUACUGUCAGAACUACCGACGAAUGUUCAAACAAAAUUAACUCAGAAAUUUGCUCAAAAGCGUUCAUAUGAGUUUUGGCUAAUCUUCAAUGCCCAAACUCCCUCUGGAAUCACAUGGUUUGGAAUCCACUUUUCCCAAAAGAAUGCUGGCAAGGGUCGAAAAACAUUGCCUUUAAAGCAUUCACAUCUGGCCGAAUGGGUGCUUGAACCCUUCAUCGUGUUAACUUUUAAUAAAGAAAGGAUUAUGCCCCGGAGUGGAGCGGAACAAUCCCUUACUAGCAAAAAAGUUAUGCUUGUUGGAUGUGGUUCCGUAGGAGGCGAUGUUGCAGAUAAACUAGCAGCCUCUGGCGUUGGCCAUAUAGAUUUAUAUGAUCCAGAGACACUUUCACUGAAUAACCUUUAUCGGCACAUUCUGCCACCCCAGUAUGUCUCGUUCCAUAAACCGAGUGCAUUAUGGCACAGCCUCACUAGCAAGUACCCAUGGCUCGAGAUUGGAAGCUACACUGGUAAGCUACUUGAUUUGAGGAGUCAUGACUUACUAAUGAAGUAUGAUCUAAUCAUCAUAGCUAUAGGAGCACCGACCCAGGAACGAUUGUUUCAUGAUUAUUUAAUUAAAGAAAAAAUUAAUGUCCCAGUUAUUAACACAUGGGUUGAAGGGUAUGGCAUAGGGGGGCAUGCCGUUCUGGCGAUCCCUGGGACAAAAGGAUGUUUACGUUGUUCAUAUGUUGACCCAGCUGAUUUUUCAAGAGGACUAGCCUCUAACUUGAAUUUUUUGGCCCCGAAUCAAGAUUUGACUAAAAACCAUGCUGGAUGUGGCGAUGCGUUCCUACCUUACUCAUACAUAGCCUCGACUCAAACUGCUCUUAUUACCGCUAAUCUCGGGGUUCAGUAUCUUCUUAAUAAAAUUAGAGAAUCAUCCAGAGUGAGCUGGAAGGGGAGCUCUGAGGAUGCGAUAGCAAAUGGAUUCAAAUUAAGCGGAAGGUAUUACGCAUUCACCCGUAUAUUAGAAAUACUGCCCUUGUUCAAUGAUGAGUGUGAUAUUUGCAAUGGAUAAUUUUGAUAUGCUAAUUAUCGAUACUGAACAUUUUAAUCUCACUAUAUCAAAGAAAGUGAGUGAUAUCUGGCAGGAAUAUCGACAGCUCAAACCAAUGGAUCCCGAAGCGUUUGGAGUACUCAUUGGCGAUAAAGAUUUUGAGAUUGAGCGUUAUGGUUUAGUUGAAAUUACAGUACCGCAGAAAGAGGACAGAUGCUCAAGAAUGAGUUUUACCCUCAGAGAUCCGGAACAUCAACGUACCGUCGAUCGACUGUAUGAGAACUCCGAAGGCCAACUGGUCUACUUUGGCACAUGGCAUACACAUCCUGAAAAAAACCCUCACGCUUCAUACACCGACACUAGGGACUGGAAUAAUUGUAAAUUACGGAACCCUGGACAGAGGCUUUUUUUCAUAAUAAUUGGUACGGAAAGAAAUGCCAUUUACUAUUUUAAUGAUGGAAAAAUUAUUCGACAGGAAUUCUGAGGUACAUCAUGGAUAAAGCAACUUUAAUAUAUCUUAUCAAGUUUAUUUUUAGACCAAAAGAUCAACUUUCUAAACUUUCACUUGGUUUGUUGAGUUUAGGAAUGACAGGAUUAGUUGGCGGUUGGGGGCUUAACAUUGUUUUCUCAAAAUCUUUUGUUAAAAGAUAUAUUGAUGUUAUCGAUGGAGUAAGUUUAACCUAUCAAAAGUACUCGGAUAUUGCUCAAAUAAUAAGCUUUAUCUUUAUUGUUGCGGGUUUUAUUUUAUGGUGUAUUUGCGUAUAUUUCGCUCUUCGGGACUUGAAUAAGCGAGAUAUUGCCCUUAUUCGAGCAUAUGGGUUUGAAAAUACUGAUCCUCACGCGGCAGAGAAAAUACUCUCUACCAGAGAGAAGGCAAAAAUUUUACAUGUGGAUUUUAAAGCCUUUGACUCAAGAAUAAAAAAUAACAAUUUGUCCAACGCAAGUUAUAUCCGGCAAACUAUCCAAGAUAGGAUACAUCACACUGGUGCAACAACUGCUUAUGUUGCUGCACUCGGCAGCGUACCGUAUCUUUAUAUGGUUGGUAGCUUCAUGACAGAUGGACAUUUGGCAUUAAAGUUGUUUGAUUUUGAUCGGGAUAAAAAAGUUUUUCAUCCUCUUGAUGCACCUCCGACUAAUGCAAAGAUAGUUAAGUUUUAUAAUGGUCAGAUAAUUUAUGAUAGUAAAUGUGUACCAUCAAAUAAUGGAAAUGUUAUAGGUCUUGCAAUUUCAUUUACAAUGGAAGUUUUAGAAAAAGAUCUUCCUGCCGAGUUUAUUGGGCAUACUUUACAUGCUCAACUGAAUACAGGGUUCCGGUUUGAUAAUCUUCCUGAGGAAGAUGAGCAAGAAAAAAUAGUCAGAGAGCUUAGCUAUAUUAUCUCUGAAUUAAAAAAACAGGCUAAUGAGGUGCAUCUUUUUGUUUCCGCACAAGCAUCAGUCGUCCUUCGGCUUGGGACCCUUUACCAAGAAGGCUUGCAUGGUGUUAUAAAUAUUUGGCACUGGAACUCUAUUGCUAACAAAUAUGAAUGGUGUAUAAAAGUGACUAGCAAGAAUGUAAGUUAACGAUUUAUUCAGCAUUUAUGGUCUUUUUCAAAUUGAUAGUUUGUUUAUAAUGCCCUGAUAUAUGGAGGAUUAUAACUCAGGGCUGUAUGAACAUAUAACGCACAUGUUAAAUGAACCCGCUUCUACUUAUAGCUUUUCAGUUACUACCCUUCCUUAUACCAUAUCUGAAAGAUUUUCGUAUAUCCAUUCCGAACACUGCCGGGCAAAACCCAUCACAACCUUUAUGUUGUCUGGAAAAAGCAUUAGACAUCAUAAUUUUCUAGUUAUUUAAUCCAGAGCUAUUCGCAGUGACUACUGAGAGGAACAAGAUGGACGUUAUUUUUACGCGAUGAAUCAAUCAACAUAUCAUAAGGUCUCCGACAAUAAAGAAUUUAGCUUUUUGGUAUUGUUACAUUUUUUUGAUGUAAGUCUCAUUAUUACUCUAUUUUUAAAAUUAAAAUAACUAACUGUAUGAAUAAUACAAAGCCAUCUUUAAAUACUUUAUUUUUAUAUGAUAUAUGGAAAAUACCAAUGCGAUUACACACUCUUAAAAUAAAUGGUUUUAAAAGAAUUCACAAUGCUCAGGUCAAAUUUGGUGACGCCACAUUUUUAAUUGGUUCUAACAAUGCAGGGAAAAGUUCAGUUUUAAAGGCCAUUGAGUGGUUAUUGUCUGAUAAAAAAAGAAUGGCCUCAGACUGUUUCUGUUCCGAAGUUGAUGCCGAAACUGGUGAAAACAAAAUUUCCUGUAAAGAAAUAAUACUUGAAGCUGAGUUUAGAAAUGUUCCAGAUGACGCUAAAACGUGGAGAGGAUUCAAAGGGAGAGUGUUUUCUUAUGAUCCAACCGAUAGUGGAGAAACUGGGAAUAGUAUUUUUUACAGAAAGAGCUAUACAUUGGGUGAAGAUGUUUUAAUUGAAUUAAAAUCACUCAAGAGAGAACUGAAAAAAGAGUUCGAGAAUCUAAAAAAACCUCUGGAAUUUAUUGAAUCGGGAGUCGAUGCUGCAAUCAUCACCGAACUAUUCUCUGCUUUAGAAAAAAACAUAAGUGGUAGUGAAAAGUCAAAACUUGAACUCAUAGAUGAUAUUUGGGACAUAACAGAAGAAGAGAUCUGGGACAAAAACCCAGGUGGUAUAGGUGGCGUGGUACUUUCAAGGCUACCAAGUUUUUUACUUAUUCCAGCAGAAUCAGGGGCUAAUGAAAUUGAAGAUAAGACGGGAGUGCUUCAAAAAACACUAAACGAACUAUUUAAAGAUGUUCGAGGAGGAUCAGACAAUUACAAGCGUGCCCAGGAAUGUCUAAAUGAACUUGCUAAGGAAUUAAACCCUUCCGAUGAAAAAUCAGAAUUUGGGAUAAUGAUGGGUGAGCUAAACAAAGUUCUUUGCGGUGUAUUCCCUGAGUCAAAAAUCUAUGCAUUCGCCGAUCUUUCCAAUCCUGACACUGCAUUGUCACCCACUUUUUCCAUUGAAAUGUCAAGCAAUAUACGAACUACAGUAUCUAAUCAAGGUACCGGCAUGGUAAGGGCCGCCGUUUUUGGCCUGCUAAGAUUCAGGCAGGAAUGGUUGAGAAAAAGAGGUGAAGACGCAAGGAGUCUUAUCAUUGGUUUUGAGGAACCUGAAAUAUAUCUUCACCCAAGUGCAGCCAAUCAAAUGAGAGAUAUUAUCUAUGACUUAUCAGGCCUAUCAUCUCAAAUCAUUGCCACAACUCACUCCCCUUACCUCAUUGAUCUUUCUAGGAAACCAAGGCAAGUAUUGAAUAGAUUCCAUUAUGAAUCCUCUCAUACCUCAAUUAACCCAUUUUCUGUGACCGAAAAAUACAAACAGCUAUCAGAGGAUGACAAGAAUUAUGUGAAAAUGAUAAUGAAAUUGGAUGACCAUAUGUCGCGCAUAUUUUUUACUAAAAAGGUUAUAGUCGUAGAGGGUGAUACAGAGGAAAUUGUUUUCAAGGAAGCGAUUCGGAGGGUGCCUGCACUCUCUAGAAAUAAGAUCCUAACCAACACUGAAUUAGUUAAGGCGCGAGGAAAGGCAGCCAUAAUAGGAUUAAUAAAAUAUCUUUCUGCAUUAGAUGUUGAUUUUAUCGUUAUUCAUGAUAGGGAUCAGGGAGUUAAGGGGGCGGAAGUAUUUAACCCACAUAUACUAGAAGCAGCUGGCGAUCAUGAAAAAGUAAUUGUUGUAGAGGAGUGUAUUGAAGAUCUUCUUGGCUAUCCAGCCCCAAAAUCUGAAAAACCAUUUAAUGCCUAUCAACAAACAUUAGGAUGGGGAGAUGAUUUUGAUGGAGUUCCUGAUAAAUUAAAAGAAGUUAUGCAAAGAAUCUAUAAUACGUGGCUAUAAAAUAAUUAAAACAUACAGCUUAAGGGUUCUAAUGAUGGGUCUGAGAGUCAGAUCCAUCAUUUUUAUAGAACUGUCCUCUAAUUGUUAGCAUAUUGCUACACUAACAAAGUUGUUUGAUCGCUCCCCAAUAUCAGCGCUGGGAUAAAUCAGAGCCCGUUGGUUAUAGAUAGCUAUUGCACGAGCAACACUCCCGGCAUCUGAAGCAGGGAGCACAUUGGCAUCAAGUUGAGGCCGAGAGAGAGGUAGUGACAAUCAUUGAACGGUUCCGUUGGUUCCAGAACCAUCUGUCUAUACCUCUUACUUGCAUAACUAAAUUUGCACUUACUUCAACAAGAUCACAAUACACACUUAUGAAUCACUUGCUUUACUCUGCCAUUGUACAAUACUGUAUAUGCAAACAGUGUGCGCCGGGAGACCGGUAAAGAUCAAGGGGUGAAAGUCCCCGACCAGUGAAGGACCAGCAAUCCACAGGGUCCCCGAGUCAUGCGUUGUAUACCGUGAGGUAUGGGGCGAAGCGUUGACAGGGGUGUUGACAGGCCAGCCAUUGAGCCACGAAAUGUAUAUUAAAUUCCCGGGUGCCGACGUUGUACUGUUUACGGAAGGCAACAUCAUAGGGUGCGUUACUGCGAGUGCCAUAUGGACCCGGCGGGGUCUGAGACCCUGGCAUGUCAAUACGAUCUUUACGCGGGAACCGGGAGAUCUCCCCUCUGACCAUCUGCCAGUGCCGGAGAUGGCCCGCACCGGGAAGGCGAGGAGCCGAAGCCGGUGAUGUACGGAGAGGAGAAGUCGGACUCGCUCAUAGUAGCUGCGAAUCUGGCGAACAAUCCGCAAGGAGCGGAGUCAGUGGAGCGAAGGAGCGGGGCCAAGGGAAACGCGGAACAGCCACACAUGCGCCGGACGCAGAGCCGGGAAAGUAUGUCACAGAGGCUGUCACGCGUGCGGGAAGCUGCGAAGCAGCGGAAGAAAGAACGGUUUACCGCAUUGUUCCACCUCCUGACAGCAGAGGCACUGGAGAACGCAUUCCUCUCCCUGAGCAGGAAAGCGGCUGCCGGAGUUGAUGGUGUCAGGUGGAAGGACUACGCCGAAAACCUGAAGGUCAACAUAGCAGAUCUGCACCGGAGGCUUCAUCAGGGUAGUUACAGGGCUCAGCCCGGCAGGCGGCACUACAUCCCGAAAGCGGAUGGAAAACAGCGCCCGCUCGGCAUCGCCUCACUGGAGGACAAAAUCGUCCAGUAUGCGCUGGUUAAGAUCCUGAAUGCAGUCUACGAAAAUGACUUUAUGGGGUUUUCAUACGGGUUCAGACCCGGGCGAAGCCAGCACAAUGCGCUGGACGCACUGGCCACAGGGCUGGUUCGGACCAAUGUAAACUGGGUACUGGAUGCCGAUAUUAGUCAGUUCUUCGACAAGGUAAGCCAUGAAUGGCUAAUCAGGUUCAUAGAACACAGAAUCGGCGACCAGAGGGUAAUCAGGCUCAUACGAAAGUGGCUCACAGCCGGGACCUCAGAGGAAGGAGAAUGGCGGGCAUCGGAGGAAGGCACCCCACAGGGUGCGGUUAUCUCGCCGCUGCUGGCAAACAUCUACCUCCACUAUGUCUUCGAUCUGUGGGCGCAUCAGUGGCGACGCCGCCAUGCCACAGGCAAUGUGGUCAUGGUCAGAUACGCAGAUGACAUAGUCAUCGGGUUCGACAAGCGAAUCGACGCUCAAUGCUUUCGUAUAGCCAUGCAGCGCAGACUGAAGGAGUUCGGACUCACGGUACAUCCGAAGAAAACCCGACUGAUGGAGUUCGGCCGCUUCGCAGCCGAAAACCGCGCCAGCAGGGGAAAAGGUAAACCAGAAACGUUCAACUUCCUCGGGUUCACGCAUAUCAGUGGGAAAGACCGUAGUGGCAGGUUCAUGCUGAUACGAAAGACACGCCGGGACAGGAUGACGGCGACACUGAAAGCGAUCAAGGACGGACUACGAAAGCGCUGGCAUUACUCAAUCCCCGAACAGGGAAAAUGGCUCAGGAGAGUGGUUCAGGGAUACCUGAACUACCACUCAGUCCCGGGCAACUAUCCCAUGAUGCGGAAGUUCAGGAUAUACGUAACAGACCUCUGGCGACGGGCGCUGAGGCGCAGGAGCCAGCAGGAUGAUACGACAUGGACGAAAGCAAACAGACUGGCAGCCGUAUGGCUGCCGAAGGUUCGGGUUCGGCAUCCAUGGCCUGUGGAGCGGUUCACCGCCAGACACCCAAGGCAGGAGCCCGGUGCGUGAAUAGCGCACGCCGGGAUCUGUGCGGGGGGUACCCGGUAACGGGUAUCCCUACCGCGACAUUAAUUGCGAGUAAAUCAACAUGUCGCCUUGGAAUGUAAUUUUUAUAUUUAACAAUAUAAUCAUAUUGUUAAAUAAUUUUUUAGCUUAUGAAAGCAAUAAAGUACGACGUCCUGUAUUUUAUUCUUUUUCUGCCUAUGAAGGCCUGUGACCAUGGGAGCAUUUCCAUCCCCAGCUCAGGAUUACGUCGAAAAGGAACUGGAUUUAAAUGAGCUCUGUAUACGCCGACGGGCCUCUACUUUUUUUGUACGCGCCAGUGGCUGCAGUAUGCAGGAGCUUGGUCUUUGUGAUGGCGAUAUUAUGGUGGUUGAUCGCGCUGAAGAAGCUAUUCAUGGUGAUAUUGUUGUUGUGGAAGUCGAUGGCGAGUUUAUCGUUAAGCGUCUUCAACUGAAGCCCCGGCUUGCGCUUUUGCCUAUGAGUCCAGCAUUUCCAAUUAUUUAUCCCGAUGAAUUGCAACUACUUGGCGUGGUUACGUGGUUUUUCAACUGCACUCGUACUCGACGGAGGUAACGAUGCCAAUGUUUGGUCUUGCGGAUGUAAACUCAUUUUAUGCCAGUUGUGAGGCGUUGUUUCGCCCAGAUUUGCGAGGCAAACCGAUUGUUGUUCUUAGUAACAACGACGGAUGCGUUAUCGCACGUAAUGCAGGCGCAAAAGCGUUAGGGAUAGAAAUGGGGGUACCCUGGUUCCAGAUUAAAAAUCAGGAUUACCGGAAACAGGUACAUACUUUCAGCUCAAAUUAUGCGCUUUAUCAUAACCUUAGCCAGAGGGUAAUGAUCGCCCUAGAGGAAGUUGCCCCGCGAGUCGAACAGUACAGCAUCGACGAAAUGUUUCUGGAUUUGACCGGCAUUGACAGUUGCGAAGGGUUUGAACAUUUUGGUCACCGUCUCAAAGCUCAUGUCCUGAAUACCGUUGGGCUGCCUAUUGGCGUCGGUAUCGGGCAGACCAAAACCCUGGCCAAAUCAGCCCAAUGGGCCAGCAAGGUGUGGAAACAGUUUCGCGGCGUCCUGGCGCUCACACCGGAUAAUCCGAAACGCACCAUGACACUGCUUGAAAAUCAGCCCGUAGAAGAGAUUUGGGGCGUGGGCAGGAAAAUAGGCAAACGCCUUAACCUGAUGGGGAUUAAAAAUGCUUUACAGCUCGCUCAGUCCAACCCGAGGUUUAUAAGAAAUAAUUUCUCGGUCGUUCUGGAGCGUAUCGUUCGCGAACUGAAUGGAGAGUCCUGCAUUCCUCUUGAGGAGCUUCCGUCAUCAAAACAGCAAAUUAUAUGCUCACGCUCCUUCGGUAAGCGCAUCACGUCAAAAACAGCCAUGCAGCAGGCACUCUGCCUCUACGCGACACGUGCAGCCGAAAAGCUGAGAAGCGAACGUCAGUUUUGCCGACACAUUGGCAUUUUUAUAAGAACAUCACCUCAUGCUGUUAACGAAAUUUAUUACGGUAAUAGUGCAGGGGAAAAACUUGCUCUCCCGACCCAGGAUACGCGAGACAUUAUUGAAGUUGCGAUGAGUUCGCUCGAUCGCAUCUGGCUGGAUGGUCGGCGCUAUAUGAAGGCCGGUAUCGCGCUUGAUGAUUUUACGCCGAAUGGCGUAGCUCAGUUCAACCUUUUUGACGAGAACAAACCUAGAGAGAAAAGCGCCCAACUGAUGAAGGUACUGGAUGGCAUCAAUCAGUCCGGGUUGGGCAAUGUGUGGUUUGCGGGGCAAGGUGUCAAUACAGCGUGGAAAAUGAAGCGGGAAAUGCUUAGCCCGGCGUGGACGACCUGUUGGGAUGAUAUACCGGUAGCACGUAUCCAAUAAGAAGCUUUCCAUUAGUGAAAUUCUGAAUCAACGGUUGCUUUUCUAUUCCACAUAAACGCCAGCAUGAGCGCCAGGGUGCAUUUCUGUCUGGAAGAAUUAUCUUCUAAGGUGGAAGAAUACAGCAUCGAUGAAUCCUUUAUUUUGGCUGGUGGUAUUGAUAACUGCAUGACGUUCGAGGAAUACGGACAUCAGCUGCGCGAUCAUGUUUUCCGCUGUACUGGACUGACUAUUGGUGUGGGGCUGGCGCCGACCAAAACCCUUGCGAAAGCCUGCCAGUAUUCAAGCAAGACCUGGCCCCAGUUCGGAGGGGUACUCGCGCUGACUGCAGGCCAGCGUAAUCGGAUCGAUAAGAUGCUUUCUCUGAUGCCGGUAGAGGAGGUGUGGGGGGUUGGUGGGCGAACCACGAGUAAGCUACAUGCAAUGGGCAUAACCACUGCGCUGGAACUGGCUAGGGCAAACCCUGCAUUCAUACGAAGAAACUUCACUGUAGUCCUUGAGCGUACCGUACGAGAACUCAAUGGGGAAAGUUGUAUUAAUCUGGAGGAUGCCCCUCCGCCAAAACAACAGAUCAUAUGCAGCAGGAGCUUUGGACAGCGCAUUACAACGUAUGAAUCCAUGCGGCAGGCAAUUUGCCAGUAUGCUGAACGUGCUGCGGAAAAGCUGCGGCAGGAACGUCAGUACUGCGGCCACCUGUCUGUUUUCAUUAAAACCUCUCCUUUUUCCAAAAAUGAACCGUAUUACAGCAAAAUUGCAAGCGAGCGACUCAGCAUCCCAUCACGUGAUACACGAGACCUUAUUGCAGCUGCUGGGCGUGCUCUGGAUAAGAUCUGGAAAGAGGGACAUAACUACGCCAAGGCAGGCGUCAUGCUGAACGAUUUCAAACCUGCUGGCGUGACUCAGCUCUCGCUGUUUGAUGAAGGGAAGCCUUAUGCGAACAGCGAUGCACUCAUGAACGUACUGGAUACGAUCAAUAAUUCAGGCAAAGGCAAAGUAUGGUUUGCAGGUCGAGGCAUCGCACCGGCGUGGACAAUGAAGAGAGACAUGCUCUCUCCGGCUUACACGACCCAGUGGGACUCCAUACCGAUCGCUACACUCUGAAGUAUCACAAUCAGGGAAAAUGUAUACAGGCUGCUCAGUCUCAUUAGCUGGUGGUUGAUAUUUGCACAACAAUAACUAUUCCAAUAUGCCGCUACUGCUAUUUGAUAAUGCCUGGGGAAUUUUGACAUGGUCACUCGUCGUUUUUUUAGAGUUAAUCUUCAAACAGCAGCCCCGACCCUUCUGUAAACAAAAAGUACGAGCGUAUCUGGAGAACAAGGGGGUUGUUUUGGCGCUGCUCUGUGUCUACACAGAACCAUACAUAGCCCAAUACGAACGUGGUAACUGGACUGUUAGUCACCGCCUGGCACGACAACAUGGGCAGUUGCAGGGAAAGCAGAAGGGGAUAAUCGGGAGAAGACCGGCAGGGAGCAAGAGACGACUCAACCUCAGAAGAGGCUGGUGAGCCUGGCAGAAAAUACGUCAAAAACUAUCUAAAAUAUUAUUCACUUAUCAUCAUUUUAGACCUGGGAGGGUGGGGUUAUACAGGGUAUAAUGAUGACGGCGCUUGAGGCUUUUUUGCCUCAUGAUGUUUGAGUGGUUUGGAUGUUGUGUGGCAGAAAGCAGAAAGCCCCGAGUAAUUUUUCAAUUAACCUGUACUGCACCCAUUUUGUUGGACGAUGAAAUGGAAUAGUCCCUGAUAUGUCAAAGCCAAAAUACCCCUUCGAAAAGCGCCUUGAAGUCGUGAAUCACUACUUCACAACUGAUGAUGGUUACAGGAUCAUCUCUGCACGUUUUGGUGUGCCUCGAACCCAGGUCAGGACGUGGGUUGCCCUCUAUGAAAAACAUGGAGAAAAAGGUUUAAUUCCCAAACCUAAAGGCGUUAGUGCUGAUCCAGAGUUGCGCAUUAAGGUCGUGAAAGCCGUGACCGAGCAGCAGAUGUCCCUCAAUCAGGCUGCUGCUCACUUUAUGCUUGCUGGUAGUGGUUCUGUAGCCAAGUGGCUGAAAGUCUAUGAGGAGCACGGAGAAGCUGGUUUACGCGCACUCAAGAUCGGCACCAAAAGAAACAUUACAAUGUCAGUUGAUCCAGAAAAAGCGGCGUUAGCAUUGGAGCUGUCGAAAGACCGACGUAUUGAGGAUCUUGAAAGACAAGUUCGAUUCCUUGAAAUGCGGCUUACGUAUCUAAAAAAGCUGAAAGCCUUAGCUCAUCCCGCGAAAAAGUGAAAGUACUCAACGAGCUAAGGCAGUUUUACCCUCUUGAUGAGCUUCUCAAGGCAGCGGAGAUACCGCGCAGUACGUUUUAUUACCAUCUAAAGGCUCUCAGCAAGCCUGAUAAGUAUGCGGAUGUUAAAAAGCGUAUUGGUGAGAUUUAUCACGAGAAUAAAGGUCGUUACGGAUACCGUAGGGUAACGUUGUCUCUCCAUCGAGACGGGGAACGGAUUAACCAUAAAGCCGUUCAGCGCCUGAUGGGAACCCUCUCGCUUAAGGCAGCGAUUAAGGUCAAGCGAUACAGCUCCUACAGAGGAGAGGUAGGGCAAACCGCCCCCAAUGUUCUCCAAAGGGAUUUCAAGGCUACACGGCCAAACGAGAAGUGGGUUACCGACGUUACUGAAUUUGCAGUCAAUGGGCGAAAGCUGUAUUUGUCUCCAGUAAUAGAUCUCUUCAACAACGAAGUUAUUUCUUACAGCCUGUCGGAAAGACCUGUGAUGAACAUGGUCGAGAAUAUGCUCGAUCAGGCAUUCAAAAAGCUUAAGCCUCACGAGCAUCCUAUUCUGCACUCUGACCAGGGAUGGCAGUAUCGUAUGAGAAGGUAUCAAAACAUCCUUAAAGAACAAGGCAUUACACAGAGCAUGUCCAGAAAAGGCAAUUGUCUGGAUAAUGCAGUCGUGGAAUGUUUCUUUGGAACCUUAAAGUCGGAGUGUUUUUAUCUUGACGAGUUCAGUAAUAUAAGCGAACUGAAGGAUGCUGUUACGGAAUAUAUUGACUACUACAACAGCAGAAGAAUUAGCCUGAAAUUAAAAGGUCUGAGUCCAAUUGAAUAUCGAACCCAGACCUAUGUGCCUCGUGUUUAACUGUCCAACUUUUUGGGGUCAGUACAACCCGAGGCCCACUGUAUGUCUAGUCAACACCAGUAUGGCCUCUUACCGUGCAAUUUGCAAGGAGGAGUAAACCAUGAAACUACCGCGAAACGCCCUUAUCUGGUGCGUAUUAAUCGUGUGUAUCACGCUCUUGAUAUUCACAUGCCUGACCCGGAACCGCUUAUGCGAACUCCGGCUAAAGGACGGGGACAGGGAGGUCGCGGCAAGCCUGGCUUACGAAUCCAACGGUAAGUAGCAACCUGGAGGCGGGGGAAACCCCGCCUUUUCAGGAGCUGGGUUGAUCUGACAUGCCUGAAGCGCUUUAUGAAGGGGUUACCGGUUCGCUGGUAGCCCCUUUUUCCUGCCCGGAUACCAAUUAAAAAACCGCACGACCGGGGAGGGGAAAUCAAAAAAAAGCCCACCAGUGGCGGGCAAAGACUACACACAGCUACUACAGGAAGAUUCAGGCGGUUUCUUCGUAAACGUUGUAAUCACACAUUGCGCCGCUGUAAUUCUGAGAGCUCAGCGCUUUAUUCAUCGCGCAACUGAAGGCGUUCGAGCGAUCGCCAGCUGUACCGUUGUGUCCGUAGCGGGCAAUUUCAUUCGGUUUUUCAUAACUGCAUUCUUCCAGAACAAUAAAGGCAGCAGCUUCACUAUCCAGCAAUUCGAUACCGAGCCCUGCAUUUUUUGUGUUUUUUAACUGGUAAUAUGCCGUAAGUGUCAUGCCGGACCCCUCAUAAGUCAUACCGUUAGUAAUAACACAUUUCUAUGGGUAAAGUUGAAAUUUAUUAAUCCGCCCUGAAACCCGACAUUAACAAUAAUAUUCAGGGUGAUAAAUGAUUAAAUCAAUGCAUCGAUGCUUCAAUUUCCGUUAUGUUAAUUUAUUAUUUAAAAAACUGCAAUCAGGAAAAGAAAUGUCCGACCACUGCCACCCGGCGAGACUGGUUAUUAUUAUCCGGGGGGGGGUAAUUGCUGGGCAUAUAGACACUGACAGUUUAUUAGUAUAGAUAACUGUUCGAUAAAAUAACACAGUCCAUAAACAGUGCAAAAUUAUGGCCUGAGAUAAACAGGAAGGUAACUUUUUAGGCUGAGGUCAUCACACAGACAUAGUUCCUCAAUAUUAAACCCUUCAUCGUACCCCUUGAACGGUAUGAUUCGUUAAUUAUUUUGGGUCUUGAUGCGUUGAUUUUAAUUGCUAUCCUGGUUAUCAGCCAGCGGAGUGUUCUUAAGGGAGCGCCGCAACGUUAAAGACAGGGACAAUAAAAUGACUACAACACAAUUAAUCACUGCUGCAGAGAAUGAAGAUGUGUUUGCCAAUAUUAUGACCACGCUGGUGGAGUUGGCAAAACACGAGGGCGAUUUCAUGUUGCAUGACGCCAUCUGUCGGGCGGAAAUCGAUAUCGACGAAGAUAAAUUUUACAGCAUGAUUGGGGGCCACAGGCAAUCCGCUGCACAAUGUGUCCGCUUACUCAGGCGCUGCGGGGCUAUCACAAGUAAAGCAGUGUACGACCUUGCGUCGAACGUCGAGCGUCUGGCUCUACGGCUUGCCCGCGAUGAAUGGCUAAGGGAUAUGCCAUUUCCGUUAAAAUCCCUGGCAUUUUAUCAGGACGAGGCGACAGCAAAACGCGAAAGCUAUCUGGUCAAUCAGAAAGAGAAACAGUAUCGGUUCAGUGUCUAUGUAACAGGGCGUGUGGAAUACCCUGAAGAUGACCCGAUGCAAGGCACCUACAUCACUGACGGGACAUUCCUGCUGGGUAAAGCCCAGACCGUGGCAGAUGCGCUGGAACGGGCAAAGGAAGCCGCUAUGCGGGGUGAAUGGAACGAACGUGGGGAGGAAGAGGAUAGUUAUGAUCCGUGGAUGUGCAGAGACUGCGGACCGGUCAGCUUUUAUGAAAGAACGAUCGAAAUCCGGGAUGAAAAUGAACGGCUAGUGGUUGCCGGUAAUGCCUGCAACCUGGAAUGGUACGGGCACGUUGCUAGUCUGGAGGAAAUCCGCCGAAUUGAAGAGCAACAGAAGGCACUCUACGAGAAAGCCAGCUACGAAAGCGGCUGGGACAACUAUGAGACCGCUCGUCAGUUGCGACAGGAAGCAGAACAGUUAUCCGUCGGUAUUGUGGAUGAAUACUGGCGCAACCACCCGGACGUUAUUAAAGCAGUGGAGGAGUUUAAUUAUCCGGCGUUCAUGGAUGAAGAGGCGAUCGCCUUUAACGCUGACGAGGACAUGGGGAUAGAAUGACGGUCAGCUGGUGGGGCAAGCAUGUACAAUCCAAACCAGCUAAAGCACCUGGCGGGCCAACUAGCGCACGCCGACCACCCAAGAAACCCGGAACCUUUCUUCUGAUUGCGAUUUUUCCAAACGACCAAAAGUGUUCGCAGGGACAGAGGGGGUUAAGGGGGAGUGGCUGACCGCACAUAUCCGAUCCUUUCCCUUGUACUGAUGCAGGUUGCUCACGUCAUGUACUGUUUUCUGAAAGAAGUGAUGAAGGCAAUCAGAGGAAAAGUUACUUUCGCUCACACUGGCAGUCACCCCGCACAUUACCUGAAGGAGCUGACGCAGUGAUGACGUGCAGAGCGGGCGUGAAACGCUAUACCGCUGUCAGGGCUCUGUAUAAUAUUCCGUGGCGUAUUCAACCGCAUCCAGCGAUGCGCAACCUGUCAUACCGAAGUAACGCCGGUCAGUUACGCCGUCAAUCCUGAACGGUACCAGCGUGCCGGUCUGUCCUACCUGCACCCCUCGUUCCUCAAUGAUCACAUCCUUUUGAGUUAAAUGGGGCUUCGAAAACAGCCGUUCGCCAUUUAACAGGACAUUCUUCAAAACGGCGGCUGUGGCCUGCUCUGUCGUCACUGAAGGGCAGGCGCGUAUAUCCGCCUGGAGAGACGCACGGGCGUCCAGCCAGUACCACGCAAUAAGCGCUGCUAUAAACACGGCCAGCGCUAAAACAGAUAUCCCUGCUACUUUUAAAAACUUCAUCAUGGGCAGUACCACUUACCGAUAAUUUAACACCGGGCUGAAAUAUGACACAGAAACAUAAUGCCAGCCAUCCCUUAUAAUGUCAGUGGACGGAAAGGAUGACUGGGGUAAACAAAACACAAUCAGAGGAAAAGCUAUUUAUGAUCGGCAUCAUUGGGCCGGUAUGAGUUUGCAUAAUGCCUGGAUAAAUACGAGUGAGGUAAGGGACAUCCGCCUUAAGUGAUUGCAAGCUCAUAAUGCCUGGUAAAUUACGGGUUAUCGGGUACACAGCAAUAAUGAAUCUUCAGGCGAAGAAAGUAACUUUUGUCGACGGUGGACGGAAAACAGGCAACAAGACGACCAGGACUCAAUGACGUCAUAACGUCGGGGUACGCUAUCUCUACGCCAGAGGGCCAGUCUUUGGUAUCAGCUGUAAAAAGCCUUCAGGAUGCGCACAGCACGACAGCUGGCGCUCUUUAGUGGCAUUGCCUGUAGUUCCGGUUCAGUUCGGCCCGGUAUGACUCUGAGUCCAUAUAUGAACGAUCUGCCGCGUUCCGUCUCAGUGUGUCGGACACAAACACAUCAUUAGCCAGUGUGUCCUGCAUACGUUUUAUAGUCAUUGUGUCAUUGCAAUUAUGUCUACGCACACUGGCAAUAUCAGAAAUAAUCAAUCCGAUUACCGGAGACAGUUCAUAUAAUGCGAUUAUUUAUUUUUUCUCUGGCGGUCUGACAUCAGGGUCACUUUCUGCAGAAAUGCCUGACGCAAGUGGGACGCAAAGAAGAAGGGACAGUAUUAAUUUGUUCAUGGCUUCUUCGGCCUUGAACCACGCCAGGCACAAUAUGAGAGGUAGGAUACAAAAGAGAAAAAUACAAAAGGGAUGUAAAACCAGACCCUCAGGGAUUUAAUUUCUUCAUCUGAGACCAGAAAGGUCAAGGCAGAUAUUAUGGCGAAACAGAUGAGUGUCAAUGUGAGUGUAAGAAUAAAUACAAACUUAUCAUCUGAAGUAGUAGGGAUGAGGCAUGAUUCUUUCCGAUCGCUUUUGUGUUCCAUGUAGGCUCGCUAUUAAUGAUGGGUGAAUAUGCGAUGAUAUUAUCACAACAGGUCAUGAUAUUCGGAUGGAGUAAAUCUGAAAUGCUUUUCUGGUGGCGAUAAAUGUAGUUAAUCGCAAAACGUAAUAAUCGGCUUCAGUAAUGUUCUUCAGUAACUCAGAAACUUUUCGAAUAGUUAGUUAAUGCUGACAGUAGCGGCUCAUGCGCGCCCAUAGAAUGCCAUUGUGCUGGGCCCGAAGGGGGGGAUAUCAUCACAUCGAUGAUGUUGGUUUUGCUGGUGGAUGUUGGCAGUCACCAGGGGCAGGCAUUCAGAGAAAAGUAACUUUUAUCUACCGCCGGAUACUAACCCUGAAAUGCCAGGGUGAUUAUGAAUGGGCGAUGAUAUAAAAAAACCUGAAAUGAGCUGAAUGCUCUAACCAGUGGCUACGACAGACAAUAUGAUUAUGUAUAAUGCUGAAAGACAGUCAUUCGCGUUUUUAAUGAUUACUUAUUUUUUCAGGAGUCAAAUAUGGGCAUUAAAUUUCAUGAUUUCAGAGAUGACAGACAAACCUUUGACAGGGGGGAGUGGCAGGCCACCAUCGACAUGAAUAAAUGGCUGGAAGAUAAAAACAUAGACGUUAUAUCAGUUGAAACUAUUUUUGAAGUCUCAGGAUCCAUGGCGAGCACUUCCAGCAGGUUCGAGGCAAUCCGACUCUGGUACAAAGAAGUCAGCCCGACUAUCUGAAGUGUGGAGUGGGUUAAUUGAGCUGGGUAUGCUGGUUAACCUUUUCACCUGAGCAUAAUAAAUCCAUCCUCCAACAAAAAGACAUUCACAUGAAUAUCAAAAUUCAGGAACCACCUUCUCGUACUCAAACCUUUGUCAUGAGUACGCUCUACGUAAUUCGUGGGCUUGCGGCAAUGACAGUAUAUUUUUUCAGAACGUUUCCUUUAGCAUUCUUCUAUGUAUUGCUGGUGGUCACUUUGUUUUGUGAUAUGAACAAUAUACCGUUGAAAGGGCUUAUGCAGGAGGGGAUGCUCAUUAAACUAUCCGCCUAUGCAUUACAGGCUAACGUGCUCUGGCUUGGUAUUAAGGUGACGAGGAAUUCAGACGAAUUUUUCUAGUGGCAUAAGAAGCAGGGCACCGGACUAAUAAGGCAAAAGUUACUUUCGUCUUACAGCUGGUGGACUGGUACACCGGGAAUAACGCAUUAUUAUCCGUAUGGUAGUUCAGGAAGUGCUUAGCGUUACCAUUCUGACAACAUCUUAAGCCAAUACCAAAGGCAGGCAACAUGACAAAUGAACAUCAAUCAGAAAAUAUUGGAUGUUUGGUUUUGCCCUUAAGCCACAGCAAUCGGUACCUGAGCACACUAUCAGUCGAACAGAUAGCUGCAUUACCAGAUGCCCCAGUGUCUCGCGCGGGACGGAAAAGCAAUCUGUCAUUCUUACCGUUUAUCUUCUCUCUGAAUGGCGUACGCUUCGCUGAGCUUGAUGUGGAGCUGACACACCGCUUCACCGAACUCAGGGGCAUUGCAGGUACGAUAGGCUUGAUACUGGUAGCAGAAGUUCAUUCAGGCCCGGCCAAUGCUGUUAUCCAAACCCCAGAGGGGAUGAACGACAAACUGCUGGUGGACUGGUAUGUAGAGAAUGACGCGAUGAUAUCAGUCAGCCGGUUUGUGAAGGACUCACCGUGGUGAGCAGGCUUCCCACAGUGUCAUGAAGCAGGUUCGUGCGAAACUCCUGAUGUUGCGCCUGUUGUUCCCACUUUAUGUUCUUUGCGACCUACGACGAUAUUCGCCGGAAAAGUAACUUUUUUGAUUGCCCCGGGUGAGAUUUUUACCAGAAACAGGAGCUGCUAAUGUAUAGCCGUUUCAUGAACGAUCCUCUUGACGAGCAAUACUUACUGUCGCCAGCUAUUGUGGGUUCCUACGCUGAUGGCGAAAUCCCUGCAGAAGAGAUUGAGGUAAGGGAUGCAGUAAUACGAUUCAAAGUCACAGGCGAUCAGGCGUUGUCCAUGAACCUGUUCCACAGGCUGUUUCAUUACCAGCGUUACAGGGAAGUCAGGGCAUCAUUCGAUAAAAGCGGGCUAACGUUGGUGGACGUGGUUAAUCGUACCCCAUUCCACAAAGCGGCGAUGCGGCGGAUAUACAGUGAUUUGCCAGAACAAAGUAUUGCACGUAGGGUGCUGGUUGAUUUUAUCAGAUAGGCUGUUCGCUCUUUCUAAAGCCAAAAGGUAAAUUGUGGGCUGGUGCAUUAGACAGGCCCAAAAAAAGCAAAUGGCAAUCAGAAGUAACAAUAAUUCUCACAGUGCGACUCGUGUACACCGCCUCUGGGAGGCACGCACAAGCUCUCUGCGGCGUUACUGGCAUCUGUCUGUACAGUCGGGCUACCGUGCACUGCCAUAGCACAUUCUCGCCGGAAUGAUGCCGUAGUGCAGGCUCCCAUAGGGCGAUGACUCGCAGUUGCGGGCUCAACCGUAAGCCAUCUGAUACGAACUGACAUUAAGUCGCCAUUCAAACAGGACGUGGCAGAAAUCGAUUAACCCACCAUUCCUCCCGGGUGUUAUUCAGCACAAAAGUCACUUUUAACCACCGGGAUUCACCGGGGUCAUCACAUCACAGCGCCUCAUAAUUUCUGGUUGUUUAUGAUUACCUGAUCAUCUUAUUCAAAAACACCGGUUGAAUAUCGACUCCAUUAUUUCUCACUGUUUAUCAGACGCAUUCCCGCAACUGUUAUUGCAUCCGUUUUUAAUAGCGUGGAUGAAAAUAGGGGCUUUGAGGAGGCGUUUGAAUCUUUAUAAUAAGAGGCUGGUAAAGCUGCUGGUGGACCUGACAUGACAUUUCUUAAAUCUCUGGACUCACCGCCAUUCAUCGCAACGUAUCGUUGGGCGGGCUCAUUCGAUGGACGCUAUAUGCCUCAGGCGUAUUCACUUCUGCAGGAGUUGAAUCUCCGUCACUACCUGCCGGUGGUCAAGGCCGAGUUCGAUAUCUGUGUCAUUCACUGUGGUAGAGAGUGGUGGCGCUUCAGGCUGGUGGAUGUGAAAUCUGAUGAACAUCAGCAAAGGAUGGUGGCCCGAACGGCAUACCGGCUAAACCAGUCAAUGGGGAUCGCCGAGCAAAUGGUCAACAUGAUCCGCGCGUGGCAGUCCGUGCCGUACCUGAAUCCUCCUGCAUCUGACUACUUUAAUUAAACAGGGCCCGCUGGUGGCCCUGUUUAUACCUGAUGACGAACGGGAAACGCGCUAUUCGCGGUACUCUUUAUGGAUGACUUCAGACCGCUUACGUGAAAAUAACUUUUUCAGCGCACGGAAGAACAGGGUGGUUGUCAGCAACGUAAAAUAGGUCACUCUGUGCGGUACUGAUAUCUUUUGCCGGUGCUUUAAUUUCAAAGAAUAAACAUGGCCCAGGUCAGUUAACAGCGUCUGGGGCAACAUCGCCUUACGCAAGUCACUUUCUAUCCAGCCAAUUUCUUCAACACUUAAAACAGGCUCUGUAUCGUACGCGAUGAACUUGUUACCAAGUUCAGUACAGUUACGGCACAACCAUUCCGGCACAGGACUCACCAUGAACUUACUGCUGCCCGUCAGUAACACGACAUUGAAAAUAUUCUUUUCGUCACGCUUCAGAGCCCGACACACUCCAGAUAUAUGGGUUUUAUUCUGAAGGAACGGAUUCUGCAUCUUGUGUUUUUGUUCACCGUAACGGUACACGACUGUCCACACUCUAUCAUCGAGAGAACCAUAAAUGUCUCCGGAGUAGUGUUUCUCUUCGAUAAUGAAGAUCCCUUUCGUGCUGAUAAAGAUAUGGUCUAUCUGUGUGGUCUGGGAUGCGUUGAGCGGUAGGGUAACGUCUGACAGAAGCGUCCCAUCAAGGUCAGCCAAAACACCCUUUAAUGCAUUUCGUGUACGCUGCUCGCUAAACAUAUUACUGACAAGCGGCCAGACACACAGGAUGAUGCACGACAGGACCAACAUGACGAACACCAGAAAGAUAGUCGUUAACGUUGUUAAAUCCAUUGUUCGCUACCUCACCGUGCUGGUGGCGUUAAGCGCACCGGAUAAAGCCUCUUUCAGGUUUACGUCCAGUGACAAUCCUAACAUGCUGCUUAACGAUGCUUUAGGCGCGUUGUAGUCGCGGAACCGCGUGGUUCCGUAAACAAUACUCAGUCGUUCACGCACUUCUGUGCUGGUGGCUGUGUCAUCGAUAAGACCAAACGCUUUAGCACGGUCGCCCAACCAGAAUCUCCCCGUGUACAGUUGUUCUUUAUCAGCCUGCUCACGAGAAAGUAACUUUCCUGCCCGACCAGCUUCGACAUCACUGAUAAACUGCUCAUGCAUUUUGUCGAGUAGCUCACUAUGCAGAAACGCUUUGGUUUCGUCGUCAAUCGGACGCCAUGGGUCAAGCGAAGCCUUCCAGGCACCGGCCGUUAACGGCUCGUUAGCCACUCCAAGACGGUCCAUAAUCUUUGACACAUCCCAGUGGUCCAUGCGCACGCCGAUACUACCGAUAAUGGCGUUUGGGUCCGCAUAAACCGCAUCAGCCGGAGAAGCCGCGUAAUAGCAGGCCGAGGCACACAUAUUCUUAAUGCUGACAAUUAUCGGACGGACGUCACGGGCAGCAGCUGGCAGCUUCCCUUUACCGGUACCAACAGCUUUCAAUAAUGCCUGUUUAACAGCGUCAUUAGCCGCUGGUGGAACUUCCUUUUUAUUUGAUGACGCUGUAGGGUCAGAAUCCUCAAUCGUCAGCCCCGGCGCUCCAUGGAGGGAAUUGCGAAGCUCGUUUAUCUCACGGUAAAUAUUAAUGGCGUCAGACGGGCCGCCACCGCCCGAUUCAGCCUCAAUCAGGAUCGCUUUAGCAUGCGGGUUAUCCCACGCUUCACGUAAAGCGCGGGCAAUGAUAACGCCGUCGCCCGUUGGCGAACCCGUGCCCAUUUCUCCAUGGAUACGGAUAACUGCGAUAUGGUCGGCUCCCUUACCGUUUUUCUGUUUAUCCUGAUACAUGGUGAAACCACUGUAACCAGCAAACCCAAUACCAAUAAUCGUCAGGGCCAUUUUUGAUAAUACGUGCGAUUUAUACAGUCGGUAAAACUUCUUACUUUCACGCGAUACCACAUCCUGAACAGAGCCUGUUUCAGGUUGAGGUGGUUUUUUUUUGAACAUGUAUUUCCUCACAUGAGUUUUUGGUAAUGCGCAAGAAGCCGGUUAAUGGCAAUAGCAAGCAACGCCAGUGCAAGCGGCGGAAAAUACUGUGUCAGCCCGUUAAAUAAAUUCAAAUUAGGGAUAACAAGAUAUGCAACUAUCAAUACACUGAUUAUCGACAGAGAACGGAACCAGAGGCGAUAAAGCUGAAUUGUAACAUCGCCGAAAACAAAUCUCUUCAUUUUCCACUGGUAAUAACCAUCCAGUGCCAAAGCAAUCAUCAACGGCAGGAACGUGAAAAACCAGCCAACCAGCAAAUACCAACGGUAAAUUGCCUGAUACGCCAUUAACGGGACGUUUCGGGCGGCGUUGUAGUUCGGGCUCAUGAAUUUGUUUGCCGCAAGGUUCAUCCCCCGCGCCGGUUUGGUUUUAUCGUCCUCGGGUAAUAGCCACUUAUUCAGGUACCCUGUAAAAUUUAAUUCGACGAAAAAGUAAUUAAACGUCUUUUCCGUUCUUCGCGUGACAUCCUGCCAUCUCUCCACAUCCAUAAGCAACUUGCUGGAUUUCACCUCUGCGCUGAUAUCUUUAUAAAGCUUAUUGGUGUCUUCCAGGUAAACGUUAAACAGAAAAUAAAUCAACAGACCCAGCCCUAAACCGAACCGGAUCAUCGUCAUUCUCUGCGCCGACAUAUCCUUUCCAGCCAUUUUACACCUCUGUCAGUCAGUUUUAUUUGUGAACAGCUCUGCCCAAAGGGCUGCCAGGCGAAUAUUGCUUUCUCUGUUGAGGUAGUGAUUCUUCCAGCCAUGAAGAAUGCCCGAACACGCCAGGUCAUCCGAUGCGAUUAACCGGGAUAUAAGUGAAAAAGUCACUUUCCUGCGGACAUCUUCAUUUAUCCAGCGGACCUGUCCCGGGGUUGGCAUGUAUACGGUAUCUUCUUCAACCGGCCGCAAGCGCGAGAACUGACUAAAGGGCUCCGCCCAUGGCGUCCAGAGUGCGUGAAGAGUACCGUCAUUAAAGCGGACGGGAAGAGUCAGCACCGAGGCGGAAAACUCAUCAAGGAACGACUGAAUAAUACAGCUCUUGCGGUACAUUGCUGGCUGGUGGCGGUUGCCCAGGAUGGAAAGGUCGAUAACACGGUUAAAAAGAGACGUGUAUUCAUCGUGUGGGUCGCUCAGGUUGUCACUCCAGAAAAGUAGCUUUUCUUUCAAACCGGAUAUCAGCGCAUCCUCUUCGAAAAUACCCAAAUCGUGCUGGUGGAUGUCAGGCACCUUACCGUGCCGCUUGCGCCGCAUUACCUGGUAUUCAACCUGUUCAGGUAUAUCAAGGAAAACGGGCAGGAAGCCUGCAAUAUCAAUAAACUCAGGCAACAGGUACCAACCAAGACGCUCCGCAUUAAGCUGGAUAAAUUCCAUGCGUUCCUGAUUAUCAUCAAUCUGUACCUCAACUGUAUGGCUCUUUGCCAUGCAGGUAUUCAACAGUUCUUUGAGCCACGCGGUGAAUGGUCCCUGAGAUACAGACCAGUUACUGACGAUCUCUUGCUCAUCGUGCGUAACGAUAGUCACCUUAUGACGGAUAAUAAAAAACUCAGACAGAGUGCGGGCCACUACGUCCAGACUAUCAACUGUGUAUUGUGCGUAUACCUUGCUAAUGUCACCAGUGAGCUUCCUGGCGUAGCGUGACAAUAUUUCCGGGAGACACUCAUCGUCAACAUUAAUGCCAUACUGUUUCAGUGUCUUAUUUGCACGUGAAAUAUAUUUGGGUUGCGAAGAGUUCAUACCGAGCAAAGAUGCUCUUGAUACUCGUUUACAUUCCAUAGUCAGGCCACCUUCUGGGAUUUGCUUAGUAUUUCUUCAACGUCGAGAUUACGUCUCAAUUUAAGUUUGAAGGGCGAUGUUGUGAUCAUAUCAAUGACAGUUGUGGUUCUACGCAUUGAUUUUCCCGGCACCGUAAUAGGCAUCUGGCCUACGAUUUUUCGCCCGUCCUGUAAGCAGGCGAUGAAAUGCAGGGUCGGUAUCAUUGACAGUAAUUCCUGCGGAAUUGCACUCACCAUUGUUGUGGACUUACGUUCGGAAAUCGAGCCAUUGAAAUCUGUAUGGGACUGUUUAGUGCCCGUGCUGGUGGUGUAAGUCACCUGGUUCAUCGAAACAUUAGCCUGGCCGACUUUAGUCAGGACAAGUUCCUGGGUCUUCGCGUCAGUAACUCGUGUGGAAAUAUAGUUGUUGCAAAGCCCCGUCAACCGGUCAGCGGUAUCAGCGCUGGUGGCCGAGACAAAGUCUGAAAUCGUCUGCGUAGAGAUGAACAAUGCGAUCUUAGCCGCACGCCCCUGGGCAAGCAGGUUAAUCAUUUGCAUAUUAAUGGCCUGAUGGGCCUCAUCGAUAAAGAUGGAAACCCUUGGCGCUGCGGACAAAUCAGUCGCCGUGUUAUAGCGGCUACCUGCCUCAGCGGCGAUAUCCGAAGUAAUUAGCUGGGAAAGGUCCCGCGCAGUUGCCGGGUCAGACAGGCCAUCCAGUGAAAUAUAGAGCACACCACCACUGUUAAAAAGGCCAUGGCUGUUAACGAUGUUUCGAUUAGGGUUCUCGACAUCGUUCGCCGAAAGCAAUAUAUCCAUAGGAGUCUGGGAUAAUCGCUUAAGCAUUGGCAUAAGGCUGGCUGUAAUUUUGUAAUAGUGAGAUUCAUCACCGGUUACGUAUUUGAAACAUUCCAGAACCGUAUCCAUACCAUGCAUAACUUUGGGGGUGUUAUCUUCAAAGUAGUUGCUGAAGAAAUAGUUCUUCAGCAGUUCAAUUUCGUCCGCAAGAGGAAGAUUGGGGGAAACCUGAACCGUUAAAUGCCAUUCCGGCCCGAGAUGGUAAAUAUAAAAACCCCGUAGCGCAUUUCGGGUGGUAACGACCAGGUCCUGUUUUGAGCGGAUUGCAUAGUAAAUAUUCUGGAUAGUUGGUUUUGUACCAGCCAGCUUCAACGCACCAAUAGCUGUUGUAACAAGCCCCUCUGCGAUACGUAAGAACGGGUCUUCACCACCUUCGGUACCAGCAAUGAUGCUCAUAAUACGGGCCGAGAGGUCUGUAUCCUUAACAUAGUUAGCGCUGACAUCGUAAGAAAUAGACCUGGACGGACUACCUGCGUGGAAAUGUAGGAAAGGCUUACAAAGGCUUUCACAUUCUUCCUGUAACCCGUCCUGCCACUGGUAAUCGUUUUUAGGGUCCACUACGAGGACGAUGUGCCCAAGAUGAAGCAUAGAACUGGAAAGAAGACGCUGGAGAACCGUUUUCCCUGUCCCUACGUUUCCUGUGAUAAGGGUAUGACCAAAGAAAUUUUCUUCAUUGACGAAAAUCGGCACCUUCUUAUCAACACCAAAAAUUGAAUAAUUCCCACCAAGUUCAGUCGCAAGUUUUCGAUAGUGGCGAGUAACAGGAUUCAGAAUAAAAGGUAACUGAACCUCAUGCAUAUCACUGGAAAGGUUGUGUACCUGAUAGGUACGUUCAGAGUGUUCAGGUCCCCAUUUGAAGCCAUUACACAAAAAAGUAGUACGCUGGGGGAUCUCGACUUUUUCUUUUUUACGGAAGAGCUUGUUAACCAGUUUUUUAGAGGGGGCUCCUCCAGACGCCUGAAAACCGACCAGUUUCUGGUACUUUCGGUCAUCUGCAAAAAAUUGAGCGUUAUUAAUCAUCCGGAAGUCUUCCAGCGACAAAAAAUCUAUCGUGCGAUGAAAUAAACGCCAGUGCGCUCUAAAGAUAGGCACACCAUUCCAUAACCUCCAGCAAGCCAUAGCGAUUAAACCAAGAGAGCAAUAGAAGGGGAUUUCACUGAUUCCGUUCUUGCUGGUCCAGGAGUCGAUAAGGACAUAGAUAGAAAAUAGUAUCAGGAGUACCGCUGAACGAAAUUCAAGGGCAGGGCGGUAAAGCAUUUCCUGAGUAUGCAGAUUGUUUCGGCUUCUACGUUUCAUUGCUUAUGUCCUGAUGGUUAAAAAACGAAAUAAAUUCUUCGUAAAAAAUGUUAUUGCGCAAAGCGCCUUGUUGAAGAUCAUCAAGGCGGAUCAUGUAGUGCCGUAUUGCUUGUCCUAUCGUUAUCUUUAACGCGGCAACCGGGAAAUUAGCCAACGCUAGAUUUAACUGACGAAUUUCAUCCUGACUGAGCCCCCAGGAUACUGCAUCAUCUAAAAUUCUAAAACGGAGACAAAAAUUGAUAUCAGUGACCAAUACGACCCGUUGCAAUGCUCUUAUAUGCGCUGAAUUAUUGUUGUUCUUCACUCGAUUCAGGAGAUUUAUAAUCGUAUCGAUAUCGGAGAGAAGUGUUUCGCUGUUACUGAUGUCAGCCUGCUCCGGAACUGAUGGCGUAAGAGAUUUUGACUGCUCAAGGUCGUGUGCAAUGACGACAGCCGGAUCAGUGACGAUUUGACUCUGACGGGCAAAUAACGCUUCAAAAUCGCUGUUAAUGUCCCUGAUACCUUCAUCUGAAUCUGCCUCCACAUCCUCCGGAGAUUGUUCGGUAUCCGAGGCAAAAUUAUCAGGCGUACUCUCAGAAAGUAACUUUUUGUCCUGCGUUACAUCAACAUCAACAUCAACAUCAACAUCAAUGUUGUCACGGGUUUGGUUUAUCGCACCAGAUUCACUAUAACCAAAAUUAUCACCAUGAGAAUACGAUGAGUAAUCAUCCCAAUACUGUUCAACAUCCUCUUCCUGAACAUCGGGAUAUUCGGUUGGAGGUAUGCCAUUCGGUUCGUGUUCAGCGUGGUCCAGUUCAGGUGCUUCCUCUUCGUAACGUUCAGGAGGGAGCGGCUCAGGAUUCACCAUAACCAGUGGCGGCGGGAAAGAGAAAGACAACAUUUCAUUUUCGGACUUCACACCACCAAAUAAAUCAGCAGAAAGCAAUGGCAGCAUCUCAACCUCUUUAAUAUCAGGUUGAUGGCGUAACUGAACAAGCGAUACUUCGUCAAUUAACUGGACAUAUCGUUUUCCGUCGUUGCACGGGAUGCUAAAUUCUUCAUCGAGACUUCCUGAACGUAAUGAAAGUACAAAGAGACCGGACCCCAUUAAGCGUGGUUCAUCAAGCGGUGCAAUAGAGCGAAUAUGGUGCUCUGACACAUACAAGACCCCAUCGAUUAAAACCAGAUCAUUUGCAUUAAUUGCAUUAUUGUUGAACUGGUGCUGGAGUCUGGAUAUGUACUCGCCAGGACUUAUUUCUUCUUUUUUACGGCGUUUUUUAGCGGUUUUCCUGGUAUCGGAUUCAUUUGUUUUACAUUCUGGUUCAUCUGAGUUCAGUGCCGUUUCUUGAGUACUUUCCGGUUCCUGUUUCGGUUGAUUCUCAUCAGCUGUCGCCUCGGUUUCUUCAACAUCAGCAGUGUUAUCAGAAUCUAAAACAGCACUGUUACUAUCCUCUACAGGAUGUUUAUCAGCGUUUAAAACUGGAGCAUUAUCAGAUGACUGAUUUACGCCAAGGCGAAUUGAUUUUGAUCCAUGUGAAAGAGGGCGUGCAUAGAGCGUGUCAUGCCCUUUGCGGUCAACAAAAACAUAGUCGUUCGUGUCGUUAAUGCUGAAAAUGCCUGGCGUACUUUCUGGCAGGAUAUCGUAUUUAAACAGGAAGCCUACCCAUUUAAUUUUUAAAAGAGAGAACCAGCUGAGGCCUUUGAUUCCCUCAUCAAACAUUCUUUGAAUGUCCGUUUCUGAAAAAUCACCGCGAUGGAAAAAGUGUGCUAUCCGUUGUUCGCCGUAAGGCUCUAUAUAGCCGCCGGUUAACAGAAGGUCGGUUAAGGCUUUGCGACCAAUUUCACCAUCCGGGAAGUUAAUUCUGAGGUGUUUAAACUGACCCAGAAUGAAAUCAAGGGCCGCAUGUUCGUUGAUGUAAACAGAGCCCCCAAUAAUCAUAAUAUGGACCGGAGGCGGCGAGUUUUUAUCAAAGCGUUCAGACGAUGAAUCAAAUCCAUUGAUAUUAAGAAUACUAAUAUUGUCUUUCAGAAUCGCGACGGCUCGGGCAGCUGUAUCGGAUGCCCGGAUACCGGAUUGUUUAUCAUACCGAUAGCUGGUAUCGGUGCCGGUAGAAUGCCAGUCAGCCGUUCUCAUACAGCGCGAAAUAAAAUCAUCACUGGUUGUAUAAUUACCUAAUGCCGCCAGCAUUUUAUCGUACAAACGCUCUUUGACAACGUCACUUAAAUAAUUAAGACACGUAUCGUUUAAACAGCGUUCUAGGAAUACAGGUGCCCGUACAGAAUGCUCGUUAGCCAGCCUUUUACGCCAGAUAACCUCAUAGGACAGAAUACGGUUUGCAUUGGCCCAAUCCAUUAAACUGGACGACAGAGGGCGCCACGUACUGUUAACCCCCGGGGUGGAUGAAAUAACGUCCACAUCAAAUAUCUUACCUGCAUCAUGAAACAGGCCGCAAAUAAAGGCCGCAUAAAGGUAACGACGUUUUCGUAUCUGCUCUUCAUCCUGUAAACCAAUGGGGCGUAAUUCAGUACUGUAGGCAAAUUUUAAAGCCAGAAAAGCAGUUUCUAAACUAUGCGUUAACAGGCCACCGGUGCCAGCAUGGUGAUGAUUUUCAGACGCAGGUAAAAGGUGAAUCCAGCGCGUAAAUUCCAUCAAUGGCUUAAUAACCAGAUUCGUUAAAGUAUAGGCAUCCUCACUCAGGUCUGAAUUAGGCAAACCGAUAUACAUAUUGAUUUCCUGUAACCGGUUUGCAUGGACGGAUAAGAUUUCACGCUCUGAAAAGAGUGUUAUACCCGUAGGCUUGCUGGGAUAGUCAAGAUAGCUUUGCACGUCCUUGUUAGGCGUGUGUGGGAUAUCAUACUCAUCAUCAGUAUCAUAGAUACUGUCGUAGUCAUGCCCUCCUGAGAGGGCGACCCUGAUUUUAUAAAAAAGCCUGGAUAUAAUACUCAUAUCAACCUGUGAGUUUAUUGAACCUGAACGGGAGUGACAGAAGUCUCGGCUUUAUCAGCUGUCUUACUCUGGACUACCGGAACGGGAGUGACAGUAUUCUCGGCCUUAUCAGCUGUCUUACUCUGGACUACCGUUUCUUCUUUUUUUAACGCCUGCUCCGUCUCAGCAUCGGGUUUUGGUUCGAGGCUCGCAAUAUACAGUUCGACGGAUUUAAACCGCUUAAUGCUUUGAAUGAAUGGCAAUGCAUCAUAUUUACCAUUCACGCGAUUUUCUGCGUUCAGUAUUUUACUGAUGCUAUCCAUGGCGACACGAAGGGAGCUCAGGAGUUGCAGGAUAAUACGGUCGUGGAUCUGUUGAGAUAUAUGACCAUAUAACCACAGCUGGUGCGCCUGGCGAGUCAGUACGUUGAUGGUCUGGAUAAUGUUCAGCAAUUUAUAGGUUAAUGGGUGAUUCCAGCGAAUCUCAAAUUCUUCAUAGUCAAAUCCAUCGAAUGAUGAAUCUUCGAUGGGGAGUUUGGAGACAUUUUUGUCAAUCUGAUCUUUGUACGUAUUGACAUUACCAGAAAGUUCGUCAUAAACCCCGGAAAGCCAUUUCUGAACUUUGGUGCUGGUUGCCUGAUCACCUUCGACCAGCCGGAAGAUAUUAUAAAUAGCAUUAGAAAUGGCGUUGAACUGACGCAGGCAGGCUCUGUUUUUUUCAUGGAAAUGAUUAUAAAAAUCACUGGAAAGUGGCUUUAAUUUUGAAAUGACCAUCCCUAAAGGACGGUUGUUACCGGCGUUCCGUUGAUUACGCUGUUCAUUUUUAGGGGAUACGUUGUCGACCAUUAUAAUAACCUCUUCAGUUUUUCCAGUCUUUUGAUGUCGGCUAGCUUUCGUUGAUGACAUUCCGUAAGCAGUUCACGGAUCGGUUUAAUUUUGUUUUCUGUCUCCUGGAUCAUCUCCAGUUCCCAGUCUAACGCUUUUUUAAAACAACUAACGCUGUAGCCUCCCAGCUUCGGUUUAACAACAACCCCAUAAUGUUCAACUUUGUUUUUGAACCUGGGCGAAAAAUCCUUCCAGACAAUAGUCAGUUUUUGCGAUGAACCGACCUUUUGUAACACUGGCGCGUAUCUGCCGGGAAUAAAUCUCCCGCCAUUUGCAUACGUGUUUUGUGAUAUCAACUGGUUUCGCGCCUUCCAGGCGGCCCAAUAUCCAUCCAAAACCUUUGAAGCUUCCAGCUUCAGUAACUCGAUGUAUCGUACCGAGUUCGCGAUAACGGUUUCCUGAUGAUUGGUAAUUAUCGGGUUCAUAUCUACUCCUCCAGACAAACAGGCUACAGGAGUUCAAAAAAAUUUUUCAGGAAUAACAAGGGUGAUUUUAUUUUUUUUUAACUUUUUUCUGCGGGCACACUGCCACGGCUAAAAAAGUGACUUUUACGUGUUGAGACGAAUAUCGCCUACAAGCCGGGCACCGUGAGCCCACUGAGUGAACAGAGAACCUUACUCCGGAGGGGGGGGGUACCAGAAAAGUAACUUUUUUCGAAUCUGGAAUAGUUACCCUUAUACAUAAGUGACUAUUUUGGGAAAAUUCACACAUGACGAAACCUGGAAAAUCACAGCCCAUUGGUCACUAUUUUGGUAAAAUUCACAAAUGACGUUUUUUUCCUAUUGGUGAAUUUUUUUAAAAAAAGCAGCAAUGAAAGAUGAUGGUUUGCGCCAGUUUUGGCAUAAAAGUGUCUAAUGAUAUACGUGAAAAAAUCGAUGAUCUAACACGAGGUACUAAAAUGCAGAUAGUGCUUUAUAAUAUUUGUGAAUAACUUUUUCUACACCCUGCCGGGGUUGCUGUGAUAUAAUAAAAGCCCCUUUGACGCGCAGAAGUAGCGCAGUAAGAUAUCGACUCAAAAGUGUCCUGGAGAACGUAUGGACGUACAACAAAACGUACAGACUGACUCGGUCAUUAAAGCGUUUCUCCGUUCGGAGUUACAGUUAAUCCGGAGUCAGCAAAAGCUGCUCAGCGUGUUGCCUCGUGAACUCGCGUCGGAUUAUCGCUAUAUUCCCGAUAUCCUCCUAGGCCGUUUUUUCCAUCCAUCUACAGAUACUCGUCUUAAUCGAAUUGCACAAUCAGAGGCACGGCCCGGGAGUCUGUUAAUUCCGCGUGUAAACGGAAAACCUGUUUUAUGGAGCGAGUUGAUCAAAUUGAUCCUGGAUGACUCGCAUUACCUGAAGUUUGAUGCAUACGGGCGACCAUUUGACAGUUCAGAGCUGAAACCCAAUGCCCCGUGCGAAUUAAUAAGCGGGAAAAGUUAUGUCUACAAACCUGUCGACCUUGAGUUAUUCCGGAAAAAUAUUGUCUCUAUACAGAUGAACUUCCUCGUUAAUCUGUGGAAUCUCGCCAGAUUUAAACCUGCUUUUGUCCAGUCCUAUUUAGCCCUGUCAAAUGAUGCAUUUCAGAUGUUGGUUGAAACAGAAAUGUCUGCAUUCGUUGAGGUCACGAAUGUGAUCUUCUUUCCCCGGUUUAUAACCUAUGAUACCGGUCGACGUGGUUCCAAAGUUUAUGCGUGGGGGUACGAGAUACUGGCUGAUCUGCUUGAGGGAUUUAUACCCAGAGAAAAUAUGGAAAACUUACGGGUAGAGUUCACUCUGAAAGAGUCGUAUGAGAAGUUAAAGAAAUUUUAGUAUCACAGUGGGUUUAUAUUGACUCACCACUGUCAGUCAGGAUUGCGACAGAGUGAUUAUGGUUCAUACAGGAUAACGAAUACACGACCCCGAACGAAUUUAGUUAAAAAGUUACUUUUCAGAACCACACGCAGUCAUUUUUUCAGCCGGUCGUCUGACCCGGUACCGGGUCACGUUAAGGAGAAUACGGAUAAUGGUUUUAAAAAAGAGUGAGGUAAGCCAGCUGGAUAGCCUGGCAAAAGCCAUCAGGUUACUGGAAUAUGAUGCUAACAAAUAUACGAUAACGCAUUUGUAUGGCCGUAAAGUUGCUGACAGACUGGAGUAUCGCAAAGGAGUGAAUACCAGAUCAGGAGUAGGGUCGUGGCUUGGUGAAAAAUCUGCGAUGCUGCUCUCUAACGUUGUUGUGAACAAUGCAAUACAUAUUUUCGGAUAUGAACCUCAAAACCCUACAGAAUCCACAAAAGAAAUGGAUUUUAAUGCACUGGUUGAUUUGUUAAUACAGACAGGAUAUUCGCCAGAAUACUACCCGCUCCAGGUUAACAGGAUAGUUCAGGUUCUCAACGGGAUGAGUGAGGCGGAUUAUAAAGACUACUGUCUGGUCUGCAAAAAACCCUUCAUUCAUGCGCCGGAUAAAUAUGACUCCUGUCCGACAUGCAGCGCAAAAAAAUGCAAAGUAGCAAUUAUGCGUUAUUCGCAGCCCGUUGUUCCCUUUGAAUAAAAGACAUUCAUCACUCAUGGAAAAUCAACUUUUACACACCGCAAGCACUAUCUGUCAUAUCGCGUUUGCAUCAACAGGAAUAACGACGCCUUCAGAUGAACAAGGAUUUUUUCAUCUUUCAGACUCGAUCCAUCACCGGUUGCGUACGAUUUCGCCCGACCUGAAUGUCCGUUGUGCUUCUUAUUUAUUCCUGCCGGUCAUCCAUACAGAGUUAAAAACAGAUGACCUCAAAAACCAUUUUCCUGAUUGCAUCUUGCAGCUCGUUCAGGAGCUGACGCCGUUAAAAAGGGCCACCUGUCCAUCCGGCAAGAUCCGGUUUGAAAAAGAACUUGAUGCCAUGUUUUCGGCCAGUUCGGAAGCGGUCAGCAUUCGUCUGGCCGAAUAUCUUUCGGGACCUUCCCGUUUUCUCCGGAUGAUAAAAAAUCCGGACCGUAAGGCCCGUAUAGAGAAAAUCCUUGCAUCCAGAAACUGUAAUUUAUCUCACCAGUUGAUGCUGUUGAUACAGGCGGAAGAAACAGUGUCCAGAUUUAAAUCCCCGGGCAAAGUCAGGAAAGAUUAACCGCAUUCUUUCUGCAUUUAAAUUUCAUCAACGGCCACAUCCUGGGGUAGACCUUUCAGGCAGAAAAAGGUCAUCGCUUUCGCGUUCAUGGUCGAUUUUUGUAUACCUGCCUGUUUUUUUUGCUUUGAAAAAGCACUCCUUCAUUCACCAUACGGUUUUCCCUUUGAAGGUCAGCAGGAAUACUCACCUGUCAGGCUAAUACAUUACCAGCAGCGUCUGUCUCCGGUUCGCCAGACGCGGAUAUGUUGCGCCAUUGUUCGGCCUGAAACAGCCCGUGAGAAAAAUUUCAGAUUUCGCACAGAACACCUUCCUUAUUGAAGAAAACGAAUUUUUUUUUAUGGGAUGAUAAUGCUAACCAUCGAGGGGUAGCAUAUGCAGAUCAUAAAAACUUUCUUCCUUAAAACAGCCAUUAGUUCGUUGCUGGUGCUUUCCACUAUGAGCAUGGCUGAAACACAGUAUGUCGGGAAUACACCUUUUGUUUCCGGCCAGGCACUGAAAAAAGGUUUCUUCUGGUAUAACGAUAAAGAGCCGGUUGAGGAUGAAGAAGAACAACCGCAACAGCCUUUAACGGGUUCGCCGUCUCAGGACAAGAAUGAAGAACUUAAGCUGGAUUCCCGGUGGCUGAAAGAAAACCUGCUUAAUCUCCGUUAUGCAGCAAUGGAUAACCCGACAGACGAAAACCUGUCCCGUUAUUAUACUGCGCAACGUUUAAUGCUUGAUAUUGCCACCCGUUUCUCUGACCGUACCCGGGAUUAUUUCAUCAGUAAUCCGAUGAUGUCAGAAAAGAGACGCCAGCCGACUGAAACAGUUGCUUUAAAUGCACACCGGGCCGGUCUUGAAGAUAAGCAGCAAAAAGCACUGACCUCCAUUUUCCAGAAGGGCGGGUUGUUUUUCUUUUUCCAGAGCACCUGCCAGUACUGUCAUGAACAAAGCCAGAUUCUUAAUUUCAUGCAGAAUUAUUAUCACGUUGACAUUAUGCCGGUGAGUAUCGACGGACGUCCUCUCCAUAAUGGUUUAUUUCCCCGCUAUGGCAGGGCAACGAUGGAUAUGAUUAAACGGUAUGCCAUUACUGAAGUUCCUACUGUUUAUCUCAUGUCUAAUGAUGGCUCUCAGGCGACACGUGUCAGUACCGGUCUUGUUUCCGCAGACGAACUUAAAAAUACGAUUAUUCUUGCGGCCAGAGGAAUGAACCUCCUCGAUGAGGCCACAUUCCAGAAUACGCUCGACAUUAAGAAGCAAUAUGCGAUUGGCGACAGAGACGUCCUGACCGUGAACAAAGUUAGCUAUGAACAGGACCCUUAUCUGCUUCAGAACUUAAUGGAUAAAAAACUCGGUGAGUACGACAUGCCUACAACCGAUCGGGUAGAUGCCCGUUUCUCAGAAAAUGAAGGGGGCUUUAGUGGCUACUAAUUUUCCAAAAGUAACUUUCCUGAAAAAGUUACUUUUAUCGGCCAUUUUUUUUGGGGCUUACUCAAUGCAGCAGGUCCAUGCUGCCAACGUCAUGGAAGGCAUAUUCACAGGUAUGGUUGCAUCAACUGAUCCCGGUUCAGUCAGAACGGCGUCACGUGUCGGAGCUGUGGGCGGCAGCUUCUCAUACCGCCAGCCUCAGGUGAAUACCAACCUCGUCAACGUCAGUUUCCCGAAAGCCAGCGUCGGGUGUAACGGUAUUGAUAUUUUCCUCGGCAGUUUCAGCAUGAUCAACGGUGAUCAGCUUGUACAGAUUGGACGCGGUAUCGCACAGGGCUCAGCGGUAUAUGCUUUUAACACCGCAGUUUCUGCUAUCUGCGCCGACUGUGCAGCGAUUAUCGCGAACAUUCAGGACAAGCUCGCUGCGCUGAACAAAUUUGCCAAAGACAGCUGUAACGCGACCUAUGAGUUUUUGCAAAACGGACUGGGCACUCCUCAGGAGUUUACUGAGAAAAUCGGGCUCGGUGGCGGCGCUGUUGACUCCAUGGUAUCAGGUAUAUUCCCGGAUUUUGGUAGCACCAUGAGUCAGCCUGCGAGUGAAGUAAACAAAAAGAACUAUGCAAAAGAUCCUGAUGCAUUUAAGGAAAAAUACGCCGGUAAUAUUGUUUACCAGGGAUUCAUGAGCAUUGAUAACGGCAAUAUAAAUGUAGGGGGCGUGACUGAACUAACAGGUUACAAAUUGGCCGAACAAAUAAUGUCACUUACAGGAACACUUAUCGUCAGCUGGGAUAGUAAUGGGGAAAAUUCUGCGAUAACACCCGUCCCGCCUACGAUGAAAGCGGCUGAUUUCAUAAAGGGGACAGGAACAGGAAAUGUUAAGUUAAAUGUUUGUAACCCAACUCCUGAUUUACGCAGUAACAGGAAAGCACAGUGUCUUGAAAUGCGUCAGGAGUCUAUUCAAUUCAAAGGACUGUCUGAAACCAUUAUUGAGACAUUGCUCGAAGUUCAGCGGGCUGUCAGGAAUGACACUGAGUUGACGCAGGACCAACGUAAACUUAUCAGCAUGUUAGGUGUUAAUAACAUCAUUCCUACGCUUCAGACCUUGUCAGCUGCUGAGGGUGUUCAAUACAUCAAAGAUAUCAGCACGAUCGCGGCAAAAAAUUUCACGAUAGAGUUGCUGAGUAGUGUACAGAAUAAAAUGACAAAUAUGACUUUGCCUUCAGAGGCGAUGACAUCGUUUAAGGACCAACUAGACAAAAUAAACCAGACCUUCAGAAAUCAGAUCCGCAGCGCUUCAGAAGUACAGUCUAUCCAGAAUACUGAGGAAAAAACGGUUCUGGCCUACUGGGAUAUGGCAUUCAUUAAAAAACGCACCUAUGGCGAUAGCGGGAACGGGGGCUGAUAUGGAUAAUUUCACGAUAUACACCAUUAGUGAGAUUGAUUUCGUCUAUACGGCAUUCAACGGGAUCGCACUGAUUUUUUCCUCUCAUGGUUCCAAUGAAUGGAUCAGAUUUGCUGCUUAUGCUGCCACUAUUGGACUCUUCUAUAAAUCAAUGAAGUGGGUACUGGCUCCGAAUAAAACGGAUGUCCCAAUAUUCUCAUGGAUAAUGGGCCUGUUGUUCUAUUCCAUUGCCGUCAUUAAAGCCGAUGUCACGCUGGAAUCGGUGAAAACAGGCGAGGUCAGAAAUAUCGAUGAUGUCCCGCUAUUUAUUGCUGCCUCGGGCGAGCUCACUACCGGGUUAUUACAUGGCCUGAUUACAGACUGGCGGGCAGCGUUUGACCCGCUUACCCCGGUAGGACAGGUCAGUGACACGCUGGAUGACAGCCUGACACUGGGCCCUAUGACCAAAAUGGUCAGAUAUAUGGAGUGGGGCGGGGAGUCGAGCGGGUUCUGUCAGGCAUUCCCGAAUACGAUGAGCGGAAGCGAAAAACCUGUCACUUUUGAUGUCUGCAGAAUCAUACAGUCUAUUGCACGCGAUUGUAUUAAAACGACCCAAGACUCAGAGGUUCAGACACCACUAAGAGGGGUGGCGUUAAAUGAAAUCUAUGCCACUGAUCUUGCGUCUGUAAUGAACGUGAUGGAUUCAAUGACUGCCAACAGCCUCAAGACAGCAAGCGUCCCAAUGGUGACAUCUACAGGUUUGCAGUAUGCGUCCUGUACGGAUGCCUGGGCGGCGGUUAAAGCCGCAUUCGACUCUCCUCAGGGCGCGUCUAUUAUGCGUAAUCUGGGUCAGAUGAAUCAGUUUGUCGCACCGCAGCAAGAGGAUAGUGGCCAACAAACUGAUUUUAUCGGUGGUGCAGCCACCACGCUUUUUGGAAGUGCCGGUCAGGCUCACAAUAUUACUACUGCUGCAUUUGUACUCAACCAAAUAGAUAAAGGUGUGCUGCAGUAUCGCAAGUCAUUGGGUAUAGCGGCUGACUACCAGCUUUUCGAAGCGAGCAUGAAACGAACCAACGCCAUGGUCAGUCAGGGGCAACUCUGGCUGAACAUCUCAGGCGCUGCAAUAUCGUUCCUAGAAAUGUUCAGCUACAUGGUUGCACCAUUUGCCCUGAUUGCGAUCCUCUUCCUGGGAGGUGAAGGCAUAACUUCAGCUGCAAAAUACCUUCAACUGAUAGUCUUCGUUAACAUGUGGCCGAUAACAGCGGUCAUGGUCAAUGCAUACGUAAAAAUGGUAUUAAAUCAGCAGUUUGACACAUGGUCAUCGCUGGGUGUACAGACCACGAUGAACUGGGCAAAUAUGGGGAGUAUUCAGGAGACGUACGGGAGCUACCUGUCUGUAGCUUCAGCGCUGUAUUGCAUGGUGCCAAUGCUGACGCUGUUCCUGUUGACCACCAGCAUUCAUCCUAUGAUGGGAGCGUUGAAAAAUGUCACGCCGGAUGCUCCUGCCAAUACUGGCCAUGUCACACCAGAAGUGUGGUCGGCGGGUAAUGCGGGUAAACAGUCCUUUGGUGACCAGACACACACCGCAGCCACUUCAACCGGUGGCGGUAUGUCAUCAGGCGGGCUUCUGAAUUCUCCGACCAGGAUGAUGCCGACGCUUGGCCUCGGUUCAGCCCUUCAGGAUACUGUAUCUGCAUCAGGUAAAAAUGAAAUUGGGACUACAAGACAAUCAACUAGGACCGCUUCACAGGCUUUAAACGAAGCCUGGGCCAACGCGUCACAGGGAAACCGGACACAGACCGGAUCAAGCACAACUCAGGGUGGAAUGAAACUGCUUCAGGAUAUUGGUACAGCUUUAAGCAAUGGGGUUGGAAGCGAUGUAGGAUUAUCCGUUGAUGCUAAAGAAGCUAAAUCAUUCCAGGCAGUAUUUGGAGGUGGGGCUGACAUAUCUCUUGGCUUAGGUGGCGGAGGUAAGGGUGGAAGUACCGGUACCGGUGGCAGUCUCCUUGGAAAAAUGAUUAAUGCAGCUGGCGGAUUACAAGCAUCUAUACAAGGGCGAAUUAUGAAUGACUCGGGUUUAACCGAUAGUCAGAAAAAAGCCUAUACCGACAGUCUGAAUAACUUAUUUAAAGACGGCAGUUCGUUUGCCAAAGAUAUCGCUAAAUUCGAAGCAAACAGUAUUCAGAACGGAUUUACUGAUUCAGAUAGUUAUCAGAAAGUUGCGCAACAGAUGCAACAAUAUGCUCAGUCUAUCAGUAAUUCUGAAACUAAUGCGUUCAGUAAAACUGGUGGUCAGGCUUCUCAGCUUUCAAUGAGCAGCAGCCUCAACAUCGACGGAGGAGUGCUGUCUGACACGAUGAGCAAACCUGCCACCGAGAAAUCUGUUGGCGACUUUUGGGCGUCACUUGGCGGAAACCGCGAAGCUGCAGUUGCAGAAUGGAAAUCCAUGAAGGAUACAUUGAACGGUAGCAAUACACUGGGAGACACUAAGAAUGGUAAUGAUGCAUUUGUUAAACAAAUGUUUAACAAAGCAGAUGAGUUGACCAAGAUGGGCUCCGGUGAAACAGUGGCUCAAAAUCUUGGUGACAUUCAGCAAACAUCGCAAAUGUUUAAGAAUGCGAUAAGUAUGAUGGGAGCUAAUGCUGGGAUUCUUGCUCCAGCAGCUGAAAAACUGGAUCAGUUCGUUGGUCUCGGUAGCGGAGGCAACUAUGCCAGCCACCAGGAGCAAACGCAGAAAGCCCCUGAUACUUCUGCUGUACCGGGAGCUGGCGACAUUUCAGGCAACUUCAAUAAUCAGCGCAGUCAGGUUACAGGUGGACUAGGCGCACGCCAGGACGCAGCGAAAGCACAGCCUGGUACAACUAUCGGGGGUAUGUCAGCACAAUCUCUCAAAGAAGAUGAUGCGAAACAGUUUAUCGCUAAUCGGUCUGGUGAGAAUGAGGGCAGGAUCCUUUCUACAAGUCAGAGAGAAUCGCUUGACAAUGUCCGGGAGCAAUUGCCUGAGAGCAAUCAAAAAGGAACCCUCGAAAAAGCUCUUCAGACAGCUGAUAAAGACUCCCUGCCGGUAAAAAUCGCCGGUGGCGUUCAGUCUAUAAUACUGGGUGAUGCAGAGUCAGUAGAUUACGACUCAGCAACACAACAAACAAUGAGUAAUUUGCAAUCAAGAGAACCGCCAAAAAAUGCUGAAUCAUUCCUUCCUUCUGGAGAUAAAACAGAGGAUGCUAAAGCUACAUUAACCCAGGCGGCAUUGCAUAGCGAAAAUGCCCGACAUCAGACUGGCGAGGCCAGAGAGAAAAGCCUCGCCCAGAGUGAAGCCUAUCGCGAGUCAUAUAACAAUUUAACCGGUGAAAAUCUGACAACGUCUGAUGUGUCUCGUGUUGCUCGAUUAGGCGCAGACGGAAAAAACAAUGGAUUUGAAAAUGGGUUAUCAGAUGUCGUUAAAUCCGUUGUCAGUGGUUCGGGAACGACAGGUGCGCGUCCUGCCACCGGUACAGCUGAUUAUAAUCUGGGUGAAGGCAUACGUGAUAACAAUGGGCAUGCGCCAGGGAUAAUGAACAAAAUUGGAGCGGCGGCUGAGAAGGUGGUCGAUAAUUCACCAGUUUCGCAGCGACUCUUAACUGGAGCUGGUUCGGAUCGUCAUGUUGCUGAUUCAAUGAAAAUCGGUAGUGGGCCUUCUCAGGCAACACUCAUAGGUAAUAUGGCUAAUAACAUUCAACUGGAACAGACAAUCGCUAGCGCACAAAGCAGUCCAGGUAUUACGGAAGAUAAAUUCAACAGGAUGUCAGAUCAGAGUCAACAGAUGAUGAGUAAUGUACAACGCCGUUUAUCUGAUGACCCUAGAUAUGGACCUGAGGUAGCCGCAGAGUAUCCCCAAUUUGUAGGUAGCUUACCUGGAAAUCUGAGCGAAACGGAGUCAUCUGAUAGGGCAAAACAGUUUCUUGAUAAGCAUCGAAAAUCUUAAAUAAAAAAGGCCAGCAAAUGCUGUAAUGCCAGUCAGUUAAGCAACUGACUGGCCCUUUUUCGGGGCCGUGGGGUAUCUCCAUGGCCUUUCCUUUACCACUCUCGGGAAGGCCCUUUCUCUUCUUGUCGGUAAUUUUACCAGUUGCCCCAUGCUUUCAAGAUCGCGCAUCAGCUCCGGGAGACGCCCUGGUGAAGCGCCCUGAAGAGUCAUCAACAUUCUCAUGACCAUGCCACAUGAUUCUGAGAAGCUCAGCUGAUUCGGCCAGUAUCCUUUCAGAUGCCCGGCCAUUUUAAUCAUCUGAUAUCUCACCAGAUUAUAAGCCAGUAAGACGCCCCACAGUUCCUGCUCCACAAGCUCCGGCUUUUUACUUCUUAGCGUCAGCCUGCUCAGUUGCAUCGUCUGUUUUAUCUCCCGGUAUCCCAGUUCAAUUUCCCAGCGAUGGCUGUACAGAUCUGCCAUUUCCCCACCGGGGUAACGCAUGGCAUCCGUCAUUGACGUCAGCAGAUGGCAGACUUUACCUUUGCGCGUCACGCUCAACAGCCGGGCUGUCAUCUCAUCUCCCAGACCCGGCCAUUUUUUUCGUGCCUGUGGACUGGUUUUCAGCUUCACCAGAUGGUCGCCCUUACCCAGCUUUCUGACCUCUUCGUACUGCGCACCCUUUCUGAGCGGGAUCAUCCAGUGGCGGUGCUCUCCCGCCUGGCUCCAUGCAUUCAGCAGCCCCAGGGAGUAAUAACCUUUAUCCAUUAACGUCAGGGUGUUAUCGCCGGUCUGCUCUAUCAGUUGCUCCGCGAGCUCAUUUUCGCUGUUUUUCAUCGUGCCGAAGGCCGCUGCCGUCAGCAGAUGGCUGGUCAGCUCCAUCUGACAGACCAUUUUUACCUGAGGAUAAAGUGCCGGGUUUCCGCCAUGCGUCUGGCGGGGGAAAGCUUUAUCAUUUUCUGGCGUGUCCGGUGUUCGCCAGAAAACACCAUCAAUGGCCAGCAGGGUCAGACCGCACCAGUGCGGAUGCGGCGUGGCGUUAUGCCAGAGCUGCGCUGUUUGCGUGAACACGCGGCGUACGGCCUCGCUUCCCAGCCGCUGGCGGGCCUGGAUCACGGCGCUGGGUGCAACGAACGGACGAUUGCCGGGUAACAUGAUAUCCAGCCGGUUAACGAUCUGAUGAAGCGGCUCCUUGCGCUCAAGUGCCAUACCGACAAUGCACCAGACCAUCAUUUCCAGAGGAAGGCGCCGUUUGCGUAACGUGACAGUGCCGGACUCUUCAAGGCAGCGGGAAAUCAGUUCCGGGUCAAGAUAAUCGCCCAGAGAAGCCAGAGGGUUACGCAGAGAAUCGUAACGGGAUACCAGAUCAAGAGCCUGUCCAAUGUGCAUAAAAAAAUCCGGAAAAGGGUGAGCAUUUCCGGAUUUUUACACAGCCACUGGAUCGAUCAACCGAUCCUUAACUGAUCGGCAUUACAGCAAAUGCUGGCCUUAUAAAUUCACUUAUCAUCCGGGCUAAAGAUUUCUUCAUUCCUUUUCAUGUUGUAAUUGUAUUCAUUAGAGCGCGGAUCGGACAUAUCCCAAUGACGAAUUCUAAACGAGUCCGGGAGAGAGGCCUGGGAAGAAAUUACUGAAUUUUCAGAACUCUGUUCUGAUUUAGCUGUACUCCGAAAGAGCGGAUGCUUACGACCAACAGUGAUGUAGCGGUAAACAAGCACUGCCAGGCAAAAGACAUAGAAGAGCUCUUUGAAGUCGGCAAGGUCAAAACCAAACAGUUCGUACAUCAUUGGGUAGCCCUCUAUUCAUUCACAAUUGAUUAGAUUAUAAACUAUUUAACCUCACCUCCAACCCCCUAUUUUCAACACACCCGAAUGGAGCCUCAACUCAAAAAGGGGGCUUUACAGGGCAUAGUUCAUAGUGUAACCGUGUGAUACACAGCUGUUUCCGCUGUCCAGUAUUCCGUCCACUGUAGAGAGGGCGCUGGCAAAACAUUUUAAGGUCCCUUCCUGCUGGUGGCCUGGCAAGGUCUCUGUACAGAUUCUGGCAGACCAGACAAUGGACGUUGGCACUUAUCUGCCCGACAUUGAAUCAGAACAGAUUUGGGUAGGUUGCCCGUUACGGGUUCACCGGCGCUGUGAUGAACCAAUGUUCCGCAUCAGUAAUGAUAUUGCCUAUGACGGGUUGAUGGUCCACGGGAAAAAAACGACCCAGAUGAAUCUCCCGGAAAGUGGAUGGCUGGAUGUGAAGGGGAGGACCAGCGAGGGGAACUGGGUAAAAGAGGAAGGGACGGCAGUAGAAAAGUUACUUUUGGAUUUGCGUCAUCAGUAUUCGCUCACGGCUGACAACGUGUUUUUGAUUUCGCCAUUCCGGGACUGUGCAAAACGACUUGCCGAUAUAGCGAAGAAAUUGCAGUUCAGCAGGGAUAAAACGGGCACUGUACACAAAACACAGGGAAAAGAAGCUACGGUGGUUAUCCUCGUGCUGGGAGGCAACAUACAGAAUCCCGGCGCUAAAUCAUGGGCAGCGGGCACACCCAAUCUUCUGAACGUCGCGGUAAGCAGGGCAAAACAGCGAAUUUACGUUAUCGGGGAGCGGGGAUUAUGGGAGAAGCUACCCUAUUUCUCAACACUGUCGCGGGCGCUGGGCGAUCUAAAAGAACCGGUGAUCGUCAAUAACACGCCAGUGUCGUAUCUGGAAGAGUAUUUAACCACGGAAUGGCGCUGAUAAGCGCCAUGCCUGUUAACACCUGAAACGGGCCAUCGUACCGGCUCAUAAACUUGAUCACUAUAAUGCGGAAAGGUAACUACGGUAUCGACUUUACCAGAAUACACAGUACGGCGCAUGUUAACCGGAACGGUAGCACCAUAUGGGCUGGCAGGAUGAAGGAUUUACUGACAUGGCCGCGUUGACAGAUUACGACCACCUUCAUUUUAGAUGGUGCGGGCGUAAGAGAAACAGCACAUCCUCUGCUCUCCCUGUCACCUGUCGAAGUGACGACCAGAUGCCAUCACUUCAAAAGUUACUUUUAUCUGGGUGGGUUGUUCGCGAGUUUACCCGGUAUCUCCGCUAAUUUCGGGUUUACGCGAUCAAUCCCUGUCCAGGCAUUGAGUUGCUGCAUUUUCCCGUUUCGCUGUAAUCGCCGGUUAUAUCGAACCAUAAAAUUGAAUAUAUAGUUGGCUCUGACGCGAGGGGUCUUACUGUUGUAGUCGGCGAUGCCUUCAAACACAUUCCCCUUACGAUCAAUAAUUUUACGAUGCAGCCACCACGUACCCACCCAAAAAGAGGCGCAAGCAUCGUAAGCAAGCUCACGCCAGCUUAUCGCGGGGAAAUGAGAUUUCACUUCCGCCAGAUUUGAUGAAUUUAUCUGCAUUGGCCCAAUAUCCCAUGUACCGUUGGUAUUAAGGACAAAAGAACCAAUCUUGCCGCCUUCAUUAUCAAAAAGGGUAAAAACAAGGUCACGGUCAAUGCCGAAGAAACGAGCGGCGUCAGUUAAACACUCAUUCUUGACCGUCUCGGGUACAUUUUGCGGUUUAGGGCGAUCCCUGGGCGGAUUGAAUGCUGCAUUGGCAUUGACUGUUAACGUUGCGAACAGCACAGCGCCAGAUAUUAGUUUCGUCAUAAACCCGCUCCUCAAAAGUUACUUUGUCAGGUUACACGUCAUCAAAAAAAUUUUUUCCUAGCUGGGGGUAAAAACACCUCCUGGUCGGAAAAUUAUUUUUUUUGGUUUGAUACAGUAUUUAAGGAGGUAGGACAUGAUUAAACCAAUUGCAGUCGCCCUGACAUUGUUAUCCGUAUCGGCGUAUGCGGACGUUAAUUUAUCAGCGGAUGUGAAAGCCAAAAUUGAGGCCGUUGGUAUUGAUGCCUUUUAUGCGGAGAAGUCGCCUGUAGAAGGGAUUUACUCGGUCUUUUCGAAAGAGGGGACCAGUUACGUCACGUCUGACGGGGAAUACAUCUUCACCGGGAAUUUAUUCAAGGUGAAAGGUGCGGAAGUGGAAAACACCACAGAUGAGUUUAUCAGCAAAGGGAUGCGAUCCUAUAUUGAGAAGCUCGAUACCAUCACCUACAAAGCGCCGGAUGAGAAAUAUGUAAUCGGUGUCUUUACUGAUAUCACCUGCGGCUUUUGCCAGAAAUUACAUAACGACCUGCAAUUCUAUCUGGAGAAAGGGAUCACCAUAAAAUACAUCGCUUAUCCUCGCGCCGGUAUGAACUCCAUGGUUGCGCGGAACAUGGCAUCGGUCUGGUGUGCAGACGACAAACCCGCUGCGUUGACCAAAGCCAUGAAAGGUGAUGGCUUGCCGGAUAAGCAACCGACAAAGGCCUGCAUGGACUCCGUUCAGAACCAGUUCAAUGCAGGGAACAUGUUCAAGCUCUCAGGCACGCCUAGCGGUUUAAGCCUGAAAGGUGAACCGAUGGUAUUUGCUGGGUUACGUGACCCUGACCAGAUGCUGAACAGCCUGAAGACGGCCAAUCAGAAAAAAUAGCUCUCCGGGAGAGACAAUGAAGAAAUUUAUGGCAAUUGCAGCGGUGGUGGUUGUGUCAUUUUCAGCCCAGUCCAGUUUGUGUGGUCAGAGUGGCUGCAAAGUUACUUUUGUUGAUGUCGAUGGUACCGAAAAACCGAUCCUGCUGCUUGAUGCUGCGGAGACUCCGUCGAAGAGUGCUAUGGGCCGGGUGUUUGAUGAUGUAAACACUACCGGUAAGACAAUUCAGACCGAGCUGAAAUCCUCAGUAUCCGGGCAUAAAGAUAAAUCGUCGCCGGUACAAAUGAACCGGGUGUUAAGCCCGAUUAAAAUCUACAGCGCAUAAUACGGAGUCCGACAUGGGAUUAAUCAGAACGUUGGUCUAUGUGGGUAUCAUCGGCGGCAUAUUUGCCUAUUCACAAACAAAAGAUAGUCUAGAUAAUAUUCCACUUCCGGAUGUUGAAUUGCCUUCAUCGCUGACCAGCAAUGACAUUAUGAAGUCCUCAGUGUUAGCGGAUUCCAUUGCCGCAUUGAAAAACCAUGGCGUAAUGGAAGGUGUAGUCGGGAUGAUGGGUGAACAACAUGAUAUCCGUGGUUCAUUCAACGAAGUCGUCAUGAUGGCCGGUAAUAACGAUAUCCAGAAGCUUAUUCAGGAUACAGUGGAUGAACUUGACAGCAGUAGCCGGAAAAACAGUCAGUAAGAUGGAAUUUCAGGUCUUCAGAUGUAUUUCUUUUGAUCGUUAGAUGAAUACAGGAGGUUUAGCAUGAUAAAUAAACGAAAAAAUCAUCGUGUCAUCAUUUGUUCUGCCCUCGUGUUGGGAGGUUUUUUAUUAGGUUCAGUAAACUACGGUAUGUUGAAAUUAAUGAUAAAUAACGGGGUGCUGGGUAAUGUUUCUGAAAUCAUGACUGUAAAGAAGGUAAGUCAUGAUGAUCCAUUCGAGUCAGAAAGCAGUCGCCGAAUGGCCGGUCAAUAAGUGUUCUUUCAUAUACAUCAGUUGCAUUUACAAAAUCAUAAAAUGACUUCCGGGGAAAAACCAUGGAAAAGAAGCAAAAUCCUAAUCAACGUAUGCUGAUUAAUAUUGGUCUGGCCCUUUGUGGCUUUGUAGCUGGCUCAGUUGUCUGGGGGCCUGCCAGUGACCUGUUUAAAUCGAAUCAAUCGGCUAAAGAACCUGCUAACGAACGCAUGAUCGAGCAGUUUAAUCGGCUAAUCAGAGAGCCUCAGGCGAAUCAGUCAGCCGGUUUAGUUCUGACAGAACAGGACAAAGAGCUGAUUGGAAAGACUGCGGCGCAAUAUUUGAUCGACCACCCUGAAAACCUGGUGGAAGCGGGUAAACGCCUGGAGUCUAACCGCGAUGGUGAGAAAAUGUCUAAUGUAGUGAAUACUAAAGACGUUCUCCUGGAAUCAACCUACACUCCAAACUACGGUCCGGAUAAUGCGGAUGUCGCCGUGAUCGAGUUUUUUGAUUACAUGUGCCACUUCUGCCAGCAAUCCAGCCCGGUUCUUGAAAAGGCCAUUAGCGCGAACAAAAAUGUGCGAACGUUCUUUAAAGACUUCACUAUUUUCGCAGACCGUACUCCGAUUUCAGGUAUGGGCGCAAAAAUUGGUCUUUAUAUUUUUCGGACAUACGGUCAGGAUAAAUAUUAUGAGUUUCAUAAUAAAUUAAUGAACGAGACCGGAAUAGCGCUUCAGUCCAAAAAGGAUUACUCACCGCAGAAUCUGGCAACGCUGGUUCAUGGGCUGGGGUAUAAAGAUAUUCUUGACGAACACGGUAACUUCCUUCUGACUGCACAACUACGUGACCAGCUCCAGAAUGUGCUUGAUGCGAAUAUGAUGCUGGCUGAUAAGCUCAAUUAUAGUGGUACUCCGGUAUUCAUCAUCAUGAACAUUAAGAACCCGCAAAACAAAACUACCACCAUUAUUCCCGGUGCGCCUGAUUCUUAUCGCUUGCAGCAGGCCAUUGAUAAAGCAAAAGACAACUAAACAUAUUCCUUCCUUAGGUUGCUUUAAUGAAGCUUGAGCCAGGUAUUUUACUCAACAUUAAUUAUAAGAAGGUCAUAUCUAUGUUUGAACAUAACAUUCUUUUCAACAGCAUGAUGAUUAUUAUCUUAUCUUACAUGCUAUUUAAGAGCAUUAAGUCAAAAAAAAGAUUGCAUAAAAAGUAUGAGGAAGUCUAUAAGGCUUUUCAUCUGGCUGACUCUCAGUACAACGGCGGCAUGAAAGACGCUUACAGAAACUUAUCUUUAAGCAAUGCACAUUUGAAGUUUUUGGCAGAAUACUUCAACCAGGAGACAGUUAAGUUUGAUGGAAGAAACAUAAUCUGUGAAAGAGAACAAGAUGUACAGUAUGUUCUUUCGCUUAUGGCGGAUAGUCAUUUUUGGUUGAAUAAAGCCAUGAAGGAUAUAAAUACAGCAGUAAGUAACACGGAUGUUAUAAAAGAUAUUAAAUUAUCAGCUCCGCCAUUUUCUUCAUUGGGAGGAUUGAAAUUAAUAGCAGAUGAAUUUCAUCUUGAAAAUAAAGAGUUUGAUGGGUUUGCUACUCUUAAAAUCAAGUAUGAAGAGAUGAAGGGGGAGAGAUGACAGGGGCUUUGUUUUCACUUUCUGCUAGUGGGGUGGUGUUUGCCGCCUCUGUGGUUAUUCUCAUUCUUAGUGCUAUGUUAUACGACAGUUUAAACAAAAGGCGUGUUCGAAAUGUUCAAUCAUAUGAAUUUUUAGCCUCGCAUGAAGCAGCAACUGGAACUCAUCCAGAAGGUACUGUUCUGCUCUAUCUUGAUUUUGAUGGUGUUCUACAUCGAAGAAUGAAUGAGUCCUUUGAAAAAAUGCCCCUGCUGGAAGAAAUUUUAAUUCAAUGCCCUGAAAUCCUCAUAGUGAUCUCCAGCAGCUGGAGGGAGACGAUGUCUUUAGAGGGGCUAAAGCAUCUUUUCCCGGUUUCAUACCGGCACAGAAUCAUUGGCGUUACGCCUUCACUUCAGGAUGUACCGGAUAUUGAAUAUAUCCGGUACAGGGAGUGCCUUUCAAAUGCCCGAUAUCUGGGUAUCAGUCAUUUUAUUAUUAUAGAUGAUGAGUCGCACCGUUUUCCACCUGGGUGUGAAAAUCUGGUGUCUACAAAAUACAGAGAGGGGAUGACUGACGAAACAGUAUCAGCAGUCAUCAUGAAAUAUCGUCAGUAUAUCGUAUGAAGGCAUGCGUUUCAUAUUCUGUACGCGAUGAAAUAAACGCCGAUUAUGAAACGCAGAUACUCAAGCCAGAGGUAAGGGGCUGUCUUCAACGGAUUGCCGGGAAGGUUUAACAGAAAAGACAGCAUUUCAUAUUGUCCGGUGAUCCCCGCGCCCCUAGAAUAAGCGCAUUAUGAGUACCACCAGCCCAUAAGGAUGAACAAAUAGUAAAACUAACUAUAGCAUUUAGUAGUUUAUUUUAAAACUUUAUUACAGGACGGCAUGGAAAAUGAAAAAAAACAUAUAUAAUGAUGUGGCAAACAUUUUUAAAACGUUGCAGGAUGCCAUAACGAAAGAAAAUAUAACAAAAGAUAUGUACGCAGAUUACUGUCAACGUGAAGCGAUGAGGGUAGAUGAAGGAUGCGCACGACGAAAUGCCCAGUCUAUAAAAAUUAUUACCGAAAAAAGCAUGAUACUUGAAACGGUAUUUCUAAAUGUAAAGAAAACGUAUGAGCUAAGGCAGCAGUAUGAAAGAGCUCUGAUUGCUCAAUGGGGCGGUGUAAUAGACGACGAAAAUGUAACGUAUGAUAUUAUACACCCUAGCCUGAAAUCCUUAUCUGCUUAUGUAGCAUAUCGAAAGGACAUAAAAAUUGAUGAGAGAAUGGGAGAGAUGUAUGAGAAAAAACCUGAACUGUCCCGUAGCAUCAGGUAUCAUGAGCGAUAUUUAUGUCCGCAGGAACUAAAAUACAAAUAUAAGAUAAACGCCAAAUUUCGUCCGGAUCUAAAACUUCUGAUCAAUCCACCUUACCCUGGGUUUUGUAAGAAUUUACUUUACUGGUAUGUCAGUGCAUUUUCACUGCAUCUUAAAAAUGGAAAACCAGGGGAACCAGGGAAGCUUGAAAAUCCAGGUGAACCAUUAAAGAUAGGAUUUCGCCAUCCAGUGAGUAAAAUGAAUUAUGAAGAAAUGUGUGAAGGUCUUGAGAUUUUUAUGCCGUAUAUGUGCAAAGCUGAAAACGGAAAAAUUGUUAUUCAUGCGGAAGGGUAUUUAUCAUGUGAUAGCUAUUAUAGCAGCAUACUGGUUAACCCGCAAACGGGGGGGGCUGAGCUAGUUAUAUACAGAAAGGGUCGCUUUGACCAUCGACAUAACCCGAAUGCACUGGAAUCUCGUACGUGGUUGAAUGAAGAUAGAAUAAUAAAAGAAUUUCCCAGCAUACGAAUUGCUUUGCUGAAUAUCAUAGCGUGCAGCUAUCGUGCGCACUUCAAAAACAGGGAUAUCUAGCUAAAGCUCCGUAAUCCCCGGUGCAAUCGGGCAUUGAUAUAAGGAGGCUAAUAUUUAUUGAAUUUUACAUGUGAGGGAUAAAAGUGAAUUAAUGGUUGCUUUAAUGAAGAUUGAGCUAGGUAUUUUACUCAACAUUACAUAUAAAAAGGUCAUAUCUAUGUUUGAACAUAACAUUCUUUUCAACAGCAUGAUGAUUAUGAUUAUUUUCUUAUCUUACAUGCUAUUUAAGAGCAUUAAGUCACAAAAAAGAUUGCAUAACAAGUAUGAGGAAGUCUAUAAGGCUUUUCAUUUGGCUGACUCUCAGUACAACGGCGGCAUGAAAGACGCUUACAGAAACUUAUCUUUAAGCAAUGCACAUUUGAAGUUUUUGGCAGAAUACUUCAACCAGGAGACAGUUAAGUUUGAUGGAAGAAACAUAAUCUGUGAAAGAGAGCAAGAUGUACAGUAUGUUCUUUCGCUUAUGGCGGAUAGUCAUUUUUGGUUGAAUAAAGCCAUGAAGGAUAUAAAUACAGCAGUAAGUAACACUGAUGUUAUAAAAGAUAUUAAAUUAUCAGCUCCGCCAUUUUCUUCAUUGGGAGGACUGAAAUUAAUAGCAGGUGAAUUUAAUCUUGAAAAUAAUGAGUUUGAUGGGUUUGCUACUCUUAAAAUAAAGUAUGAAGAGAAGAAGGGGGAGAGAUGACUGACGAAACAGUAUCAGCAGUCAUCAUUAAAUAUCGUCAGUAUAUCGGAUGAAGGCAUGCGUUUCAUAUUCUGUACGCGAUGAAAUAAACGCCGAUUAUGAAACGCAGAUACUCAAUCCAGAGGUAAGGGGCUGUCUUCAACGGAUUGCCGGGAGGGUUUAACAGAAAAGACAGCAUUUCAUAUUGUCCGGUGAUCCCCGCGCCCCUAGAAUAAGCGCACUAUGAGUACCACCAGCCCAUAAGGAUGAACCAAUAUGCAUGAAGAGUUUGCCAUCGGAAGAGGAGGGGCAAUAUGUCGCUGAUCACCAUUGUCCUUGUUUUCAUGAUGGCGAUAGUUGUUACUGUGUUUAUAUCUCAUUUGUUGCCCGUAAAAAUUCCAUUACCCCUGCUUCAGAUAGCUGCCGGGGCGGGUCUUGCUGCCGGAGGCUUCCAGGUUGAUUUCGAACCGCAUAUCUUCCUGCUGUUGUUCAUCCCGCCGCUGUUGUUUCUGGAUGGCUGGCGAAUACCCAAGGAUGCAUUUUUCAGUGAUCUGAAACCCAUCCUGUCACUGGCAAUUGGCCUUGUCCUGGUCACCAUUAUUGGCAUUGGCUGGUUUAUUCACUGGCUUAUCCCGGCGAUCACGGUGGCCGCCGGAUUUGCGCUUGCCGCGAUCCUGUCUCCAACGGAUCCGGUGGCCGUCUCUGCUAUGACCGCCAGUUCACCGCUGCCCUCACGAAUGGCGCAUAUCCUCGAAGGCGAAUCCCUUCUGAACGAUGCAUCCGGCCUUGUGGCCUUUAAUUUUGCGAUUGCUGCAGUGCUCACCGGUACCUUCUCCCCGGGAGAGGCGGUGACCAAAUUCUUCCUGAUGGCCUUCGGCGGUAUUCUGAGCGGUCUUGUGGUCGUCUGGGUAACCGGUAAGUGCAAUAAUUUUCUGGUGAAACGGACACGCGAGGAACCGGCCAUCCAGAUACUGAUUAGCCUUCUUAUCCCGUUUGCCGCGUAUAUUCUCGCUGAGGCAUUCCAUGUCUCGGGGAUCCUGGCUGCGGUAGCUGCUGGCAUCGCCAUGCACUAUGAACAGCUGUCGGGUCCUCGUUUACCGGCCACACGCAUGAAAAGCGGUGCCGUGUGGAAUAUGCUUCAGACUACGCUGAACGGGAUGAUUUUCCUGAUGCUGGGUGAGCAGUUGCCACGUAUGCUUUUGACUCUGCCGGAAGUGGCACAGCAAGCGGGAGUGUCAUCUCCGUGGUACUUACUGCUGUAUGCCGUGGUUAUCACACUGGCUCUUGGUGUGAUGCGUUUUGCCUGGGUAUGGCUGUCCAUAACCCUGACGGUAUUUCGUCAGAAACGGCGGGGCAAGGUCACGACGGUGCGCACCCGGUUCUCUGCGAUGGCUGUGAUGGCUCUCGCCGGUGUGAAGGGUUCCGUCACUCUGGCGGGGAUACUGACACUUCCGGCCGUACUGGAUGACGGGUCACCGUUCCCGGGAAGAGAGCUGCUUAUUUUUCUCUCAAUGGCGGUGAUCCUGUUAUCACUUAUUGUGGCUGCUGUAGGUCUUCCCUUCAUGACGCGCUCUCUCGGAGAGGAUUUGCCUCAUGACGCCGGGAGCGGCAAUAUCGGAGCAGCGUUGACGGAAGCGGCCAUCAACCGACUGACCGAUUUGCUCAGCCAGCCAGUCGCUGAUCCCGAUGAGCAGGCCUUACGCGCUGAUGCCGGAAAUAUGCUCCUUGAGACAUACCAGCGACGGCUUCACUACAACUACAGCGAUGAACAAACCGACGUCGGGCUGGAGCUGAUGAAACGCACCAGGCUUGAGAAGUUUAUGCAACGUGAGGCCAUUAUCGCGCAACGUAAUGAGCUUUUCCGUAUGCGAAAGGCCCGUACUAUCAGCGAUACCGCCUUCCAUCAGGCGCUCAGGGCGAUCGACCUCAAAGAAGAAAGCCUUCAUUAACCGGUGUCCGUACCAGUCCUCCCUGUUCAGAGAUGAGCGGGGAGGCUGAAGGCUUUGUUAAUUCAGCAUAUUACUUUUCUUCGACGACACGCGGUUCGUAAUGUAACCCCAGGAAAACAUCAUGAAUACCAGUUCCUCUUUAAACUUAAUGGUUGAUGCUGCAGAUGAUUCAGAGUGGAAACGCGCGAACGGCUACCAAAAAGAAGAGAGGCCGGUUCAGACAAUCAGGAAAGUCAUUAUCAAAGGUGCAUGGCCGGUCGUCAUUUUUUGUGGAUCUAAGCUUCAACUGGUGGUGGCUGCCCGGGACCUGGACGGGUUCAGGCAUAUCGAGACCCGUAUUGAUGGGCAAAAUCUGGUCGUAGGGCAAAUGGGUAACGGAGUCAUCAGAACAGGUCAGCAUUUAUCUGUUUCUGGAUCAGGCAACAUCGUAUCAGCUGGUGACGUAUUUGAAGUUUCAUGGCAUUAAAGCCAGAAAAGAUUCCAUCUAUCCCGAAUGAAGCCACGCCUGCAGCGAUAAUGAGCUGACUAUUGCAGAAGAGUAGCUAUCCCGGAAUUUCCGAGAGGAAUUCAUUAAAGAGAUUAUCAUCGUACAGUGGGUAUAUUUGCUUCAUCAUACCAAAAACGGACAUAGCUGCACUUCGCAAGUCGGGAUAAAAAGCAGGCUUAGUGAUAAGAUCGCUUUCAUUCUUCAGCACACCUUCGAAGCAACCGUAAUCUUCCCCAAACUCCUGAACUAUCAUCCACCGGCCAUCCUUGCAUUCAACUACCAUAAUAGCAGACUUGGGGUAGUCGCCAGCUGGGGUCAACCAAUCAAAAUGGUAGUGGGUGAUAGUUUGAUAACUCUUAUGGACAUUCAUAGCAUUAACCCUGAUGCAAGACUUACAAAGUGAGAGGUUAGUGCUCGAUAAAAAAAUACUGUAUACAUAUACAGUACGUAUUUAACAUAACGUACAUUAUGUGCACUAAGUCUUUGAUUUUACAGGUUUUUUUUGAUUUUAUAUGGGUAUGGCCUGAUAUACGAAAUGCCAAUAUGAACACAACAAACUCAGGCUGACACAUACAUCAUUACAAUGAGAACAUUCAUCAAGACUAACGUAAUAACGUUAAGCCACAGUGAAACAAUACUCUUGUUUAUGAAAAGUUUAGUUAAAUCUGGGGACUCAUCUUUAUAAUCACCAGUUCUGGAUGCUGCCUGUCUACGGUUCAUGACAGCAUAAAUUUCAUAAUGACUGACUAAACGCAAUAUCAACACCAGAUAAAUUAGAAGAAUACCAGCAAUGAUUAGAUAUCUUGAACCGUUAAACAAAUCCAUAACUGUCUCAAUUUGAACGUCAAACAUUGUAUUCUAUCUCACUUUUUGAGGAGAUCGUCUUUCUUCCCGGGAUACCGUGCUCAUUCUUUAGUAUCAGCAUUUAACUGCAGAACGGAAAAUUUCUGGGUUGAAGGUAGAGACACGUAACUUAGCUUGCACUGCUCUAACAAGGGAAAAAUGCCGUCAGUUAACCCGGACAGGCGUAAACUAAGAGGCUGGAUGAGCUUUCCUGAUUGAGUAAAUUUAUCCGAAAGCGUUGAUUGCUGCGUAUAAAUAGAAGGCUUUCCGGGGCUGGAUGUCCAGCCAUUCUGCCAGUCUGUAUCCGACAGCAGAUAAUCCUGCCACCCCAUUGUUCGAAGUGUGUCAAUCAUGCAGGUGAACCGGAAUAAGGUACUCUGUUUUGUAAACUCACCUGAACUUGCCAGCCACAGGUAUUCAACCUUUUGAUAUAAGCGUGCAGACGGGCCUUUAACCUUGCCCUGUUCCUGCAACCAGAGAAUAUCCUGCGCUAAUGACCUGGGAAACAAUUUGCGUUUCUGGGCAGUGGAUAGCCAUUGCAUAAUAAACAUAUGGAUUUGUAGCGAAGACUGAAUCUUUCCUUCCCUUCGGGCAAGCGCAACUGCGAUCAGGAUACACCAUGAAAAAUGCGCCAGUUCAGUAUCUGGCCGUUUGGUAGGCAGAACAGUCAAAGAAUUCUCCGGCGUAGUUCAGCAACUGGUGAAAGACCAAGAAUACCACAAGAGAACCACUGACGUACCCCAGGCUUUUCAGGAUGAAAAAAAACCACCUUUUUAAGGUGGUUUCGGAAUGACUCAGCUUUUUCGCUUAAAUCAGGAAAUCAUCAAGAGUUUUACCGGCAUCCAGUUGAGCUUUAAUUGGAGAUGGUGUACGACCCUGACCAGUCCAGGUUUUACGCUCACCAGCAUCGUCGAUGUACGCAUAUUUAGCAGGACGUGGUUCACGUUGCUUGCGCACUUUAACGUUAACGGCUGCUUCCAUCAACUCACUCGGAUCAAUACCGUCAGCGAUCAUCAUUUCACGAUAGUGACUGAGUUUUUCCAAACGCUCGCGAUUAGCGGCUUCGAGCUCUUUUUCUUCUUCACUGCGUUCAGAGACAACCGUAGUGAGUUUUUCCAGUAGUUCUUCGAGAACCUCUAAAGGCAGUUCACGCGCCUGGGCGCGAAGUGUACGGAUGUUAUUAAGAACUUGUAAUGUCUCGCUCAUAGUUACCUCUUCUUGAACAUCGUUAUGCAGCUACAUAACAACAUUAAAUUUACAGUUAAAUGUCAGCAGGAGGCGUUGCAAGCUAAAUUAUUAUCAUCGUGAGAUGAUUUAAAAAAUUCUGGCUCUCAUGCUGUCUGUAUGUUCUGUAACCCGGAUACGCCCUGGUGUUGGUAUGUUCAUUGUCUUAUAGAAAACGAACAAUUGCAUCUCGUAAAAUCUGCCACUCCGUUUAUGACUCAAGUAAAAGAGUCCAAUGAACAGGUGAUUUUUAAAUUGUAAAGGUCAUAAAAAAAAUAAUCAAUGUUCUUUGAUUCAUUUUUUCAGGAUGAUGUCUAUAUCACCAGGCUUAACCAUUACAGUGAAGUCUGAAUGUUUACUCAACGAUUAUGUAUGGAACUGAUUUUUCAAUAUCAUCUAUAUCACACAGUCCGUGGAUUAAACCUAACCGCAUCGGCACAUUAACUCUUUGUUUUGCGUAAAGGUAUGCCAUAGCCCCCAUGCAAUAUGUUUCCUGCCCUGAAGGUUGAUACUGGCCCGUCUCAUCGUCAUUGAAAGCACCGGUAGUGUAUGUUGUUUUAUGGCAAAAAAAAGGAAUAUUGUCAUUGGCGAGAAGCGUCGAUUUUAUGUCAUCGAUGCGUCCUUCUACUAAGGGAAUAGGAUUAUUUUUAAGAAAGGGACAAUCUUUGCAAGGCCGUUUCAUAGCAAAGAGCUUCUUCACAUUAAGGCUCAUAUUUCACCAUAAGAAAUUUCUAUACAGAUUGUAAAAUUAUACUACAGACUUAAGAAUCAAACCAAAGUUCAGAAAACCUACAGUAUCAGACCCUGGAGUAUACAAAACCAAAAAUUGAAGCUUCUCAAUGUAGGUUUGUUAAACCACAAUGAUAAUGAGCUUGUACAUCUUAAGAUGGAGUAGUCGAUAAGACGGGCAGCACAUCCGGGACGAGUUUAAAUUUCGACCAGUGAAAUUAUUUCGUCAUAUAAAAUAGCCACGGUAUGAGGUCAUGUUAAGCUCAAUCAUAUCAAUACCGGCCCUGGACCUGCCUCACAGGACGUUGAGCUUAUUAUCUCUGUCGAAGGUAUUUAAAACCCCGGCACCCAGUGCCGGGGCAUUUACUUCACGUCAGGCAGGUUGUUUCUCUGGUAUGAUGCAAGCACAUCAUUAAGACCAUCCAGGACCUUUUUAUCCAUAAACCGCAUAUGGAUGUUUCCGUUUCCAUACACAAUAAAUUUAAUAUUUAAAUCCGUGUCGAUAUAGUCAACUUUCUGAUAAUCAUUCUUCUCUCUAAGAGCAAAAAGCUUAGGUACGAUAACAUCCUGCUGGCUGUAAGAUAGCCCUUCUAUGUACCGGGAAAUCCUGUAAAGAUCAUUGAGGCUGUUCAGGUCUCGAUCCGUCAUGUCAAGGUAGUAUACAUCCUUCUUGAACCCGUUCUUUAUAACCAUAUUUUCAUUAAUAACAAAGCUACGGGCGUUCUUUUUAAAAUCAUGGCUCAGAUUACCCAGGCAUGAAACCAGACCCUCGCAGAGUAUGUCUGCCCGAUUGUUAACCGUAUGAGCCACUUUCUCUCUUGCUGACUGAAUCGUCAUAAUUGGUGGUUCUGUUACCAGUUCGUCAAUAAAUGAUUUUAGUUGAGGUGCAUUCCAGUAGAUAUUUAAUGAUGUUCUGUCGAUGAGUCUCUUCCAUGAUUCUCUAUCAAUCAAAACUCUCGCCCUCUCUAUCUGUUUAUCUAAAUGGGCAGGGUUAAAGCGAACAUAUGCAAUUCUGAGCUGAUCAAUAAGGGAGAUGCCCAUCAGUUUUUCCGCUUCGGAUAUUGCAGUUAAUCCAUUAAUAAAAAGAUUCAUUGCCAUGUCCCGCUCUGACACAACGCUUUCUACAAGAUUAGUUUCUUUCAGUUCGUGGGAUGUCAUAUUAUCUCCUUUUUUUUAAAAGGAUGACAUAUUAGAUCGCUUCGUCAAUACCCUGUUUUAAAUUCACAUACUCAUAUAGAGCGAACGCGGAAUUUUGACCAUAAUAUUGCUGUAGUUGGAGAAAAGUAACUUUCAGGCGGGUAUCGUUAAGAGAAUGAUGACUGGGUAGAAGCAUUGAAGCAAUGAUUCAAUCAAGAGUGGCUUUGUUAUCAAAACCACCCUACUAUUUUAGCCGCAGGCCAGAUUAGAUAGAGAUAUCAUAAGGCCACAGGAAAUACAUCUCUCCAUUUUUCUUGUAUCGAUUAGGUUUGCUUUCACCGCCAAUGGAAAUCCCUAACGGUGUCAAUUCAUACUUACCAUCAUUAUCUUUGAGGUAUCCCGCAGUGAUAAGCUUCGUAUACAUGUCGGAUAACCCCAUCUUGUGCUGUUUUGAUAAAUUUGUAGUGGUUAGUUUAUUUGCAGGCUCGGCAUUAGCUUCAUCGUCUUUUCCUGCGCUGUCAUCCGAAUCAGUUGUUUUGUUAUCAAUGGAUACGAAAGUUUUUUCGUCAUUUUUUGUGGAUGAUUUCGAAAAAUCUUUUUUCUGUUCCUGAUUUUUUUUCGAAUCAGAGUCAGCGGUUUGCAAUGAUGUUGGGGAUGGAAUGUUUUCUGUGCUGAUCCGGAUUAAACGCUGGGCCUCGGUAAUAGAAGCAUUGAAUGCUUCCCGGUCUUCAUCUUUUACAAUUAAUACCCCCAGUUCAUGGUUAUUGAUUUGACUAAAAUCAUACAGAUUCAGGCUGCAUAUCAGGCUCUGACUUUCAUUAGCAUAAAAUUUAGCAUGCAGAUUCUGGCAGAAACUGAGCCGAACGUAGGGCAAACUGACUAGCCAUUCAUGGUCUUUUGGGUUGAGUUCAGAUUUACCGUAGAUGAUACGAAUAUCUACCUUCAUACGGUUUUUAUCUUCAAUUAGCUCCUUAAUUCUGGCGCUUAGUUUCAGGUAAGGGCUUAUCAGGAUAAUGCGCUCUUCGGCAUUCGCUAUAGUUUGCUCUACGUGAUAAUUCAAACCCGUUGUAUUGAGAAUCUGGACCAUAAAAAACCUCGAUUUUUCUGUAAUUUCUGAAUGACAGCGACAAAAUAAAAGUUACUUUUUAAAUGGCCGCUGGUUCGAUGCCUUAAAGGAUGAAAUGUCACUCAGUGCUUAAUUAUUUGCUUUACGCCACUGGCGUGGCUCUACCGCGUGUGGGUCAGACCAUAACCCUUUACCUGCGUUACGUGCAUUUAGCUCAAGAGACCCAUACUGAGGAACCGUUAGCCGCCCCUGAUAACGAUAUGCCCAUGCCAUGCCUUCUGCGACCAUAACGGCAUUAAGAUCCUGGUUAUUCAGAUAGAGGGUACCAAGCAUACGCCCAUACACGUCCUGCCCGUGGUCCUCAAUAACGACAACUUUGUUUGCUGCCAUCUGAGUCAUGGCUUGCUUUGCCUUCUGACCGAAGGCCUGCUUACUCUCCGGGGCAUCAAUCCCAUAGAGCCGCACUCUGGUAUUUGUAGCGCCGUCAUAAACUUGGACAGUAUCGCCAUCAAUUACCCGCACAACUUUCCCUGAAAUGGUUUGAGCACAGGAAAGCAUCGGCACCGAUAAAAUAAAUACGGACAAAGGGACAAUGGCAAAUCUGGUCAUCCGGAAUUUAAUCAUUUGCUGUCUCUGGGUGAUAAUCAUUUAUUGUGAGUUGAACAGAAAAAACACAAUGAAUUUGAAAAGUUACUUUCGAAGUAUAGGUUACUUUAUUAAUUACAUGCUAUUGUGUCAAUCUAUAUGAAAAUUAUUGCCGAAAGCGAAUAAAAAAGCAUGUCAGCUCAGGAAAAGGGGGGCUUAUGUCUACUGUAAAUGAUGUGAUUGUAUCUUAUGGAGUGGACAGUAAAAGGUAUUCAAAAGACUUCCAGACCAAAGAGGAAUUUAAAAAGAGCUGGUAUGCAGUUUUAUCUCGUGCGCACGCUUCUGUAGACUCGAAGGUAAGCUGUUCCUGUAAGGGUAAAGGUCCAAAGUUACUUGCCGUAAAAUAUCAUACAGGUGGCGAUACGUAUUUUCUGGCACGGUAUCCGAAUACAGGUAGCCAGCAUUCUCCUGAUUGUAUUUUCUUCACACUGGAUAAAGAUAAUUCCGGGUUAAAAUGCUAUACACAUGGCGUAGUCAAAGACCUUAAAGAUGGUGGCUUCGGCAUCAGACUCGACGUUGCAUUAGCUUCAUCUGACUCGGAAUCUACCUCGAUCGUGCCUGUAGAUAACAGGAACACACCUGGUGGCGUUUCGCAAAAUAGCAUGUCGCUGCUAGGUUUGCUCCAGUUCCUGUGGGAUGACAGUGGUCUGAAUCGCUGGUAUCCCAAAAUGACCGGGAAACGUAAUCCAGGAAAGGUAUUCAACCUUAUUACCAGUUCAUCGGAAAAAAUUAAAAUUGCAUCACAUCCACUCUCCACACAUUUACUGGUUGGCACAUAUCCUUCUACUCCUCAGGAAACCAAAAACAUAAAAAUGACAGAUGCGGUUAUGCAAAGCAAGGAGCGUCUGAUUUGCAUCAAUGCGUUGUCUAAAUAUAACUACGAGAAACAUUCGAAUGUGUCAAAGCGGCUUCCGGUAAGGUAUUUUUCUGGCGUGCCGGUCGUGCUGAUGAAUACAGAGGACUGGACGUUACUGGAGAAGAGAUUCCCCUCUGAGAUAGCAAACUGGAGAGCAGGUGGCAAUGUCAUCUGUAUUGCUAUAGGCGAACCUGGUAAGUUUAAGGGUAAAGAUACGUACUACCUCAAGCCCCUCCAGAUCGCCCUGAUGAACGUUGAUGAUAACUGGAUCCCUGCAGAUUCCAGCUAUGAACUGACUAUGCUUAAUUAUCUUCAUAACCAGGGAAGAGCUUUCAUCAAGCCACUAAGAUAUGACGCCUCUAAUAAUGAUGUCUUUCCUGAUUUCUGCCUGACGGAUACAGGGGGGCAUGAACUGUUUCCUAUUGAGGUAUUUGGCAUGGAUACAGCUUCAUAUCUGGCCCGUAAGGCGAUUAAAGAAAGUUACUAUAAUGAACGAUAUGGAAAGAACGGUUGGGCAUCAUGGGUUGCACCGGCUGGCCCCUUACCUCAGUUGCCACCGAAAGCCAGAAGUUAGCCCCAGGUUAUAAGGGCUUCGGCCCUUUACUCCUUCCCCGGCUUCACAUCUCCACUACCAUGGUUGAGUUCUGACUGAUAAAAGGCAAUUUAUUGCCCCUCUCAUUCGUUUGUUAGUCACAGCUACGCCGCCUUUCAAUCCUGGCAACUGUAUUGCUUCACAUAAUAAUUGUGAUUGAUUACGCAUGCUAUUUGCUCGAUCUCAGAAAAGUUACUUUUUUUGCAGACAGUACAGUUUGCAAAAGAACACUUAAUCCAUUUCUGGCUAUAUCACCCUUCCCUUCUUUACCUGGGAUAAUAAAAUUUAAUUAAGCCCCUAUUUUAAACUUUUACAAACUAAUCAUGUUAUUCUUAUCCUGAGAUUAUUACCUGCUUUACAUCGUUAAGGAGAUCAUCAUGCCAACAGUAAAAACAGUUGUGUCUAAAGUUUUCUUUUUUAGCAUCUGGCUGGCAAUAGUACUUUACAUAGCAUAUUUAUCAUUAUCUCAUUUCAUGUUGAGAGGCCUCGAUCAUGAAGUGGCUACCACUUACAAUGAUAGUGAAGGGUUUGUAUCAGGUAAUCCAAUAUCAGUAAAGAAAGUUGACCCUUCCGAUGUCAGAAAAACAACGACCCAGGAGAGAGUUACUGGCGUUAAGUGGAACUAUUAUAGAAUCGGUCAAAACGAUACGAUCGGGGUUUUUAGUUACCAUCAAAUCAAAGAGGGUGACAUCCUAACGAUUACCUCACCCACUGAAAAAGUGCAAGAAGAACUCAGAAACGGACGUUUAAAAAAGUUUGAAGAAUUCUCUUUUAUCGAAAGCGUAGUUAAGAAUAGUAAAAAUGUACCUUUUGUUAAAGUUUGUAUAACCAAUGGAAGUUGUUUUUCAGCCAUACGCUUAUAGUAAAAAGGGCCUAUUGGCCCUUUUUGUUUAUUAAAGAUUUAACGCCGAAAUACACCAACCUAAAGCCUUGAUAUAAAUCACGUUGUACACUUAUUGCUCCCCAGAAAAUCACCCAGGUUACCAGAAAAUGAAAAAGCAUCGCAUAUUUAAGCUCAAUUCCAACUGAUAAGACACCAUUUAUCGUGGCUUCAGCCAGAAACGGUGAGAAGUAAUAGAGAGCAAUAACAGGAAUGAUUGAGUAAGUCACAAAUAACAGGGUUCUCCUGAGCGUAAGGUCGUCGCUUAAUUUUGAAUUAAAAUCUAAUCCAGUGUCUUGAGAGUGUGGUAUAUCUUUGAUGUUCAUAGUCGUUCCUUUAUCAAUGUAGAAAGUUAUUUUUCUAAAACUUAACAUGCUUACUGUCAUUAAGAUUUAUUGGGUAUUCGGGAUUAGUCGUAUCGUUUCGCUACUGACGUGGUUUAAAAAAGCUUCAGGGCCUUACCGCCAUCCUCCUCGUUAUGCUGCUGGUCUAUUUUCAUGUGUAUAUUACACAGGGUGAUAAAUACACCUGGUCGUGUGCUGUUGAGUCCAUUACUUUUCUAAACAUGAUUCAGUUUUAUAAUUAUAUAUCACAUUAUAAAUUAUAGGGCAUGGUUUCAAUGUGUUUGUUUUGAAAAUUAUUUAAUAAUCCAGACCAGUAUCAACUAUAUCGUUAAUGUUUUAUUUUAAACAUUCUGACCGGAAAGCCUGCCUGCCUUUCUCGCAAGACUCUUAAAGGGGGAACCGCAGAAUUCGGAAAAAAUCGUACGCUAAGCUAACGGUGUUCUCGUGACAGCUCUUUGACUAGGCUUUCUAAGGCCAUUCUGAUAGCCCUGACUUCCUGAAAAGCCAUGGCUAAAAUUUGUGCGGCUAAAAGGGAUAACCGAUGGUAAAGUAAGUUAUCCCUGUCGAGAUACUGAAAAGCGUUAUCCUCGUUUUUCCCAAAACUGUUUUGCCAGUUCGCUCAGAGCGCUAGUUAACUGAGCGACAGAUUUCGCACUUUGCAAAUUAUUCUGCCCGGUCUGUACAUUGGUAUCAGCAGCAUCGCGUAUAUUGAUAAUACUGCGGUUUAUGUCUUCACUUACUGCUCCCUGCUGCUCGACCGCAGUCGCUAUUUGCGCGUUCAUGUCGGUAAUUUCGUUAACGCGUUGGCCAAUUCCAUCAAGAGCUGUAGCUGCUUCCUCUGCGUGAGCUACACUCGUGUGCGCUUGCCGACUACUUUGCUCCAUGACUGUAACAGCGGAUUGCGCUCGCUCUUGUAGAGCGCUGAUCAUGCUUUGAAUAUCCGUUGUCGAUUGCUGUGUGCGAGCAGCAAGACUGCGAACCUCAUCGGCGACAACAGCAAAACCACGCCCCUGCUCACCAGCACGCGCGGCCUCAAUUGCUGCGUUGAGUGCCAACAAAUUCGUUUGCUCGGCGAUCCCUCGUAUAACGUCAAGAACUUUUGAUAUCUCGUUACUUUGACCUUCAAGCUCAUGAAUAACCUGAGUGGCUUGCCUAAUUUCACCUUCAAGGGCAGUGAUUGACUGGCUUGUGUGGGCUACCAGACGCUGGCCAGAUGCCGUCUCAGUGUCUGCUCUUCCGGCCGCAUCUGCAGCAUGCUGUGCAUUGCUCGCAACCUCUUGAAUGCUUGCCACCAUUUGGUUUACUGCCGUUGCUAUUUGAUCUGUCUCUGCCUGCUGCUCAACUGUAAGUACAUUGCUUGACUCAAUAUCCUUUAGUAGGCCUCGGGUGUGUUCGCUAAGCCGAUUUGAUGCAUCACCUAUGCGACCUACUAUGGCGCCUGUUUCAGCUUGCAUCAUUCGUAAAGCAAACUCUAUUUGGCCAAACUCAUCGGUGCGCCCAGUGUAGAGGGAUUGACUUAAUGGGUUAUUGGAAAUAUUCCUGGCUCUUUCAACCAGUCUUCCAAGAGGAGAGAGAAUAGCCAAAACACUAACAGAGCUUAAGCUUCCUGACAUUAAAGUGGCUAACAAUAAGCUGCUUAUUGAUGUAUCAGUAAGCAUGCCGGCAGCCAUUGCGCUUGAUAUAAUACUACCCCAUAUGAGCAAGAGUAUUUUCACGGAAAAGCUAGCAGCCAAUUUCGGCCUCGCGGCCUUCCCGCUUCUCAAUUGAGCAUAUAAUUUUUCCGCAGCCAAAACCUGCUCAGGUUCAGGCUUGGUCCUUACAGACUGGUAUUCAACAAUCGAACCAUUCUUAGCUAUUGGCGUUACAUAAGCACUUACCCAAUAGUGGUCGCCAUUUUUACAGCGAUUUUUUACUAGCCCCAUCCAUGAGCGGCCAGAUUUUAAUGUACUCCACAUAUGCUCAAAUGCAGCAGGCGGCAUAUCUGGGUGUCUUACGAUGUUGUGAGGCUGGCCUAAUAGUUCUUCCUCAGUGAAACCACUGAUUUUAAUGAAGUCAGGAUUAACGUACGUGAUAUGGCUUUGAGGGGAGGUAGUCGAAAGAAUAUUGGCAUCUUUUGGGAGUUCUAAGUUUCGACCCGUCACUGGUAAAUUCUGGCGCAUAAGAACCUCAAGGGUUGGCUGUUUUAUUUUAUUGUUUUCGGCAUUAAGCCCAAUUUCUUGAGCGUUACGAUAAAGCUAGCAUGGAAACGAUAGGUGCAAGCAAGUUAAGGGUUGCAUCGCGCAUGUCAAUCUAGGCUAUACCCUAACUUGAUGUCAGGCAGGGCCGCGCCGCUUCGUCAGAAUAGAGUCUGCUUUCCCAUUUUUUGACACAUGCCCGCGAAGGUUAUAGAUUUCAGCCUGACAGAAAUGGGCUUUGAGGCACAACGGAACAGAAAGUGCACUUAAGCCGCCUUCAACCAAGGAGACAUCGUGCAGGGGCACCGCAUCGGCUACGUCCGGGUCAGCAGCUUUGACCAGAACCCGGAACGCCAGCUGGAACAAACCCAGGUGAGCAAGGUGUUCACCGACAAGGCAUCGGGCAAGGACACCCAGCGCCCCCAGCUCGAAGCGCUGCUGAGCUUCGUCCGCGAAGGCGAUACAGUGGUGGUGCACAGCAUGGAUCGGCUGGCCCGCAACCUCGAUGACCUGCGUCGCUUGGUACAGAAGCUGACUCAGCGCGGCGUGCGCAUCGAGUUCCUGAAGGAGGGCCUGGUGUUCACUGGCGAGGACUCGCCGAUGGCCAACCUGAUGCUGUCGGUGAUGGGGGCCUUCGCUGAGUUCGAGCGCGCCCUGAUCCGCGAGCGGCAGCGUGAGGGCAUCGCCUUGGCCAAGCAGCGUGGCGCGUACCGGGGCCGCAAGAAAGCCCUGUCCGAUGAGCAGGCUGCUACCCUGCGGCAGCGAGCGACGGCCGGCGAGCCCAAGGCGCAGCUUGCCCGCGAGUUCAACAUCAGCCGGGAAACCCUCUACCAGUACCUCCGCACGGACGACUGACACAUGCCGCGUCGCUUGAUCCUCUCGGCCACGGAGCGGGACACCCUGCUUGCGCUGCCGGAAAGCCAGGAUGACCUGAUCCGCUACUACACCUUCAACGACUCCGACCUGUCGCUGAUCCGCCAGCGACGCGGCGACGCCAACCGCCUCGGCUUCGCCGUGCAGCUCUGCCUGCUGCGCUACCCCGGUUACGCGCUGGGAACCGACAGCGAGCUGCCCGAGCCGGUCAUCCUGUGGGUGGCGAAGCAAGUCCAGGCCGAGCCGGCGAGCUGGGCAAAGUACGGCGAGCGCGACGUGACCCGUCGCGAGCAUGCCCAGGAACUGCGCACCUACCUGCAACUGGCCCCGUUCGGCCUGUCCGACUUCCGCGCCCUGGUGCGCGAGCUAACCGAGCUGGCCCAGCAGACCGACAAAGGCUUGCUGCUGGCCGGUCAGGCCCUGGAGAGCCUACGGCAGAAACGACGCAUCCUGCCGGCGCUGAGCGUGAUUGACCGGGCCUGCUCGGAAGCCAUUGCGCGAGCCAAUCGGCGGGUCUACCGCGCCCUGGUCGAACCACUCACGGACUCGCAUCGGGCCAAGCUGGACGAGCUGUUGAAGCUCAAGGCCGGCAGCAGCAUCACCUGGUUGACCUGGCUGCGCCAGGCACCGCUGAAACCCAACUCUCGGCACAUGCUGGAACACAUCGAGCGGCUGAAGACAUUUCAGUUGGUGGACUUGCCCGAAGGCCUGGGCCGGCACAUCCACCAGAACCGCCUGCUCAAGCUGGCCCGCGAGGGUGGGCAGAUGACGCCCAAAGACCUCGGUAAGUUCGAGCCGCAGCGCCGCUACGCGACCCUGGCCGCCGUGGUGCUGGAGAGCACCGCGACCGUGAUCGAUGAGCUGGUCGAUCUGCAUGACCGCAUCCUGGUCAAGCUGUUCAGCGGCGCGAAGCACAAGCAUCAGCAGCAGUUCCAGAAGCAGGGCAAGGCGAUCAACGACAAGGUGCGCCUGUACUCCAGGAUCGGCCAGGCGCUGCUGGAAGCGAAGGAAAGCGGCAGCGACCCCUAUGCCGCCAUCGAGGCGGUGAUUCCCUGGGACGAGUUCACCGAGAGCGUCAGCGAGGCCGAGCUGCUGGCCCGGCCGGAAGGCUUCGACCACCUGCACCUGGUCGGCGAGAACUUCGCCACCCUGCGCCGUUACACGCCGGCCUUGCUGGAGGUGCUGGAACUGCGCGCCGCGCCGGCCGCGCAAGGCGUGCUGGCAGCCGUGCAGACCCUGCGUGAGAUGAACGCCGACAACCUGCGCAAGGUGCCGGCCGAUGCACCCACGGCCUUCAUCAAGCCGCGCUGGAAGCCGCUGGUGAUCACCCCGGAAGGCCUCGACCGGAAAUUCUACGAAAUCUGCGCCCUGUCCGAGCUGAAGAACGCCCUGCGCUCCGGCGACAUCUGGGUCAAGGGCUCGCGGCAGUUCCGCGACUUCGACGACUACCUGCUGCCGGCCGAGAAGUUCGCCGCACUCAAGCGCGAGCAGGCCCUGCCCCUGGCGAUCAACCCGAACAGCGACCAGUACCUGGAAGAGCGUUUGCAGCUGCUGGACGAGCAGUUGGCCACCGUCACCCGCCUGGCCAAGGACAACGAGCUGCCCGAUGCCAUCCUCACCGAGUCAGGGCUGAAAAUCACCCCGCUGGAUGCGGCGGUGCCGGAUCGGGCGCAGGCGCUGAUCGACCAAACCAGCCAGUUACUGCCGCGCAUCAAGAUCACCGAACUGCUGAUGGACGUGGACGACUGGACGGGCUUCAGCCGCCACUUCACCCACUUGAAGGACGGGGCCGAGGCCAAAGACAGGACGUUGCUGCUGUCCGCAAUCCUCGGUGAUGCGAUCAACCUCGGGCUGACCAAGAUGGCCGAGUCGAGCCCCGGCCUGACCUACGCCAAGCUGUCCUGGCUGCAAGCCUGGCACAUCCGCGACGAAACCUAUUCGGCGGCCUUGGCCGAGCUGGUCAACCACCAGUAUCGCCACGCCUUUGCCGCCCACUGGGGCGACGGCACGACCUCAUCCUCCGAUGGCCAGCGCUUCCGCGCGGGUGGCCGGGGCGAGAGCACCGGGCACGUCAACCCGAAGUACGGUAGCGAGCCGGGACGGCUGUUCUAUACCCAUAUCUCCGACCAGUACGCGCCGUUCAGCACCCGCGUGGUGAAUGUCGGCGUCCGCGAUUCCACCUAUGUGCUCGACGGCCUGCUGUACCACGAGUCCGACCUGCGGAUCGAGGAGCACUACACCGACACGGCCGGCUUCACCGAUCACGUCUUUGCCCUGAUGCACCUGCUAGGCUUCCGCUUCGCGCCGCGCAUCCGCGACCUCGGCGAAACCAAGCUGUACGUGCCGCAGGGCGUGCAAGCCUACCCGACGUUGCGCCCGCUGAUCGGCGGCACCCUGAACAUCAAGCACGUGCGUGCCCACUGGGACGACAUCCUGCGCCUGGCCAGCUCGAUCAAGCAGGGCACCGUCACCGCCUCGCUGAUGCUGCGCAAGCUCGGCAGCUACCCGCGCCAGAACGGACUGGCCGUGGCCCUGCGCGAGCUGGGCCGGAUCGAGCGCACGCUGUUCAUCCUGGACUGGCUGCAAAGUGUUGAACUGCGCCGCCGCGUGCAUGCCGGCCUGAACAAAGGUGAGGCGCGCAACUCGCUGGCCAGGGCGGUGUUCUUCAACCGCCUUGGGGAAAUCAGGGAUCGGAGCUUCGAGCAGCAGCGCUACCGGGCCAGCGGCCUCAACCUGGUGACGGCGGCUAUCGUGCUGUGGAACACGGUGUACCUGGAACGCGCCACCCAGGGGUUGGUCGAGGCCGGCAAGCCGGUGGACGGCGAGCUGCUGCAAUUCCUGUCGCCGCUGGGCUGGGAGCACAUCAACCUAACCGGCGAUUACGUCUGGCGGCAGAGCCGCAGACUGGAAGACGGGAAGUUUCGGCCCUUACGGAUGCCCGGAAAACCUUAGCGUACGAUUUUUUCCGAAUUCUGCGGGCUCCCCUUAAAUAACAUGACCAUGCUGCUCAUGACGGCAAACAAGGACGAGAUUGCCCCCUACCGUUCUUCUUCCCGCCAAGUGUAAAAGUAACUUUUGGCGUAUAAAGGGGUUCAGCCCUGCAGUCCUUCAUCCGGUGACUUCCAUUCUGAACCGUAAACCGGCCCGUUCUCAUCCAGAAGGUAUAUUUUACAUCGCGUGCGCUACGUGAAAUCUGACGUACUCACCCCUCCGUUUUUUUCCAGAUUUCACGUAGCGCCACCUGUGUGAAAACCACUCGAAAAGCAACUUUUGGACUGAUUUAGAAGCCGGGUACCCCCUUUAUGGUUAUUAACAUAAUAUUAACACAUGGAAUAAUGGUAUUUAUUCGAAGUGUUAAAAUGCCUGAAACUCAACCAAAUAGAUACCCGAUCGCCAUAAUCCUUAAAAUCUGAAGUUAUCUUUCCGGACGGAUUGUGGUGAGAUUAAUGAAAUGCUUUUUCAUUAAUCUAAAACCAGAUGCACGGAGUUAGUGUUAGCAUGCUAUCUGUUUUGCAUGUGGCAUUCACGAUGCGGUACUACUCAUAUUUUCGGCGAUAUGUGACACUGUCACGCAACUACCAUGGUUAUGAACAGGAAUUGAGCAGCGCAGUCGUGUUCAACGAGAUGGUCAGGACAGAGUUUAAUAUCCUGCAGAUUCAGAGUUGUCGGGUACAGCCGGGAAGUGUCAAACCGGCAAAGGGCCGAAUGCUCCACAUUCAACAAACCACCCCUGGUUAGUUGAAUCCUUUGCCGGUUUUCACGAAGAAUAGCAUUUACCCAGCGAGUAGUGAUCAGUCCUGCUCGACAUUUUUAUGUCCAGAUAUGAAGAGCUAAAAAAUUUCUGGUUAAAAGCAAUUUUCCUGCCCGUAUGGAAAAACGCCGGGUACCGCAGUUGUUAAGAUGGUUGUCACCUGAACAAACGGAUGAUUUUAUGAAAAUUAUUGAGGUCAGCUACGGCCCCACUGAUGGAGUAUCCAUUAGUGGUUUAUAUCUGCGAGAGACGACAACCACUCAAAAAUCCGGCGCACUUUUAGGCGGUGGACUAUCACAGUCCGGCGUAGUUCUGGGAGGUGGCGGAUACUCUGGUAGCGAAACAAAUCAGACGGGGCGAUCGGCUAUUUUUGCGCCUCCUCAGGGCAAAACAGCAGAACCGGAUAUAUCGAGAAUGCAUGAACUGUUAAUGUACCUGGCUGUGGGAUUCAUCGCAUUGAACAUUCUCACUUAUGGUGCAUAUGGAGUUCUCAUUCUCACUGACUUUGAGUUGUCAAAGACAGCAGUAGAGUUAUUUGAAAGUUCGUUUUACUUUUAUAUGAUAAUAGGCAUUGUCGCUGCCUUAUGUAUAAUGCUAAUAGCUCCAAGGGAUUAUUCUCCAGUCCAUAUGGAAAACAGGAGAAAUGAACUAAGGAAGGAUGUUUACCUUCGUCUCCGUUAUGUCGAUACUGACAAUAUCGUUUUUGAUCCCGUAACGCUAACGGGUUGCCAUGCUGACAGAGUCUAUAUUUAUUCUUUAAUUGAGAGCAUUAUCAGUUAGUUUGCAUGGGAAGGCCUUGGCAUUAUCUGGUCUUCCCUUUUCUAUUUGCCGGACUUGAUGAUAUCCAUUGGUGUUGAAUUUUAAGGUAGCGUAAUCGUAUCGCUUCUGUAAUCUAUCCAAGUUUUAUAUGCCACAUAUAAACAUGAUGCCGGUAGAUUUAAAAAAUAACAUAUCUCUAUCCCAUCUUUCAUCUUUUCCAUUAAAUGGGAUAUCCCGGCAUCUCUGAAGUAAACCAUGGAAAUAACAUACCAGACCCUUAUAAACGGCAUUGUAAGUAUGUAGUGGAAUGCAACGCUUGACACGAAAAAGACUGAAGAUGUUAAAAGAUAUAGUAUUCGUGAGAUAGUGGUUGGCGCAUAGUAGUUUACGAAGCCACUUACAACCCUUAGGGCUUAUAUUUCAUGCUGCCCCUUUAAAACCAAAGAUAACAUUCACGAAAUCAUCUUAACACUGAGGUUUUCAAAAGGAUUUUUUUUCACUCUUUGUACCCUUUCAUAUACAUUCAGUGUUUAUCCGGGUUUUUUGGUUCCUGUUGAUUUCAUAUUUAAAAACACCCCCCUUACGUAAGAAAUAAAACCUGGUAGGAUAUUCAUAUCAACUAGUCCAUUUUUUAAAUGAGGGGUUAAUUUCAUGGAAAGUACAGCACUUGUUCCUCUUGGCGUGUAUCAACACUGUGCAAUGGCUUCUGUAGCCUACGUGGAACACCGUCGAACAAUGGGCAGGAAUCUGGGGGAGCUGGCCUAUGCAAAAGCCUUUUUCAGAGCAUUAACGGGUAAGGCUCAAAUUACAUCGAGUGAUGUCCGUCAGGUCGAUGCAUCUUAUGACCCGUCAGUUCGCGGUGAGUCGACAAAAAUGGAUUACAUGCGUGCUAUCGAUCUCCUUAUUGAUACGCGUGGAGAAGUCUUUACCCUGCCGCUCUCAUGGUCUGUGGCUGUUGCGAUGUUUCCAGGCAUACAGAACCGGGUAUCACAGCGACGCGAUCACCGUGAAAAAAUUAUGGAACUGCGUGACCAGCGUAAGACCACCAGCCAUUUGCAAUCAAAAGAAAUAUCGUUCCAGAACGCUAAGACCGUUUCAAGCCAGCGCCUCAUUUUCUGCCGUCCAGGAGAGCAUAAACAAUGGCUCAGGGACUGGCACGAUGAGAUCCACGGUCAGUGUCUUCGUGAAAGCGAUAUCUACAUGAUGCUAAGAACAUGGUGGUCAAAAUUUUGGGUUACCCGAUAUCGUAGUGAUUAUAUCUGGUGCAAUUCAUUACAUGAAUUACUUGACGAAAUUGAUUAUGUCCUUAGCUCAAUGACUUUAUUGGAAUACAAUUUGUGUGUUUCAGCAUUGCCAUUGAGUAUUGCUUUUCAGUCAGAUAAAUGAACUUGUAAGUUAACUGGUGUACUUUUUAAGAAAUUACGGCAUGAUGAGCCAAUAUAUUUUUAUUGUAAUUUGUGAGUGUUUAUAUUAUAAAUUCCACGGCAUGCCGAAAACAUUCAGAAAACACCUCGGUAAUGUUUUUUGUUUUUGUUUUAAAUAAAAAUAGACUCUUGAUGCACAGUUUUUAUUUAGUAUGAUGGACUCUCUAUCCGGGCAAUUGAUUUGUAGCAAAUGUUAAUAUCGAGGUGAUUUAAAUGGCUGACUAUUAUUCAAAUUCUGCGUUUGUUAUUGAAGCUACACCAGCGCAAAGUGAAGUUCUGUUAGAAGCAAUGCAUGAGUUGUUUGAGCCUGACAAUGAUUUUAUUCAACGCAUUACAUCUGGUGAUAGCCAUGACGGUCUUUCUGAAAUGGAACGUGUUGUGCGUCACUGUGUGCUGAAUCACCCGGACAAAACUACAGUUGAAGUUAUUGAAGACUGCGAUUGGUCAUUUGAUGGUGAAAUAUGUUCUGAGGGUUUCCUUGUCCACAGUGAUUGCGGUAAUUUCAAUUCAGAGCAUGCAGCGCUUUUUGCCCAGGCUUCUCUAAUUGCCUUCGGGAAAGAUGAGCUUUUAUCUUUUCAGAUAUCUUAUACAUGCGAUAACUUCAGACGUACUGAUGGUUAUGGCGGUGCUGCCUGCGUAGUUUCCCGUGAAUUUAUUCGCUGGACGGGGAAUUACGAUUUUCUUGAAGCUGAAGAAACCGCCUUUACUGAACGCAUGCACUAUUACUUCUGUUCUUUUACUGAGGUUAUCGGUGAGCUGGAAUGUCCUGUGACUUUCAUUCUAUGUUGCCCGUCUAAUGUAGAUGCAUCUCAGCGCUAUAAUGAAAUAUUGCUUAACUAUCGAAGUGGUGGAAAAACCAAUAUCGACGGUAGCAUUAAAUUUUCCUCUUGUUCAUCUCUCAAAAAUGCCCUCCUGGAGCCUGUUACUCCGGAUGAGUACCGGGUGAUGGCAAAGUACCUUAAGGUGAUGUGAUCCACGGAGGCGGGAAUUGGUCUCCCGCCUCUUAACACACUAUUUAACUGAAACUCCGGUGACUAGAUGACAAAACAAAUUUUACCUGCUGAACUGGCCGAAAUUGUAACCGCUCUACUGGUUAAACCUGAACUGCUGGGCGAACUGGACACACGUGUCGCUCAUCAGGAGUUCAUGAAGGCCAUAGGAUGUGUUGUAGCUGAUUUCUGUGGUGGUAUCGUUAACGGGGUGACUGACGGAGAUAUAUCGAGUCCCUAUCUUUCAGAUGUCUACAGCACACCCUGUCUGCAUAUUGAAGCAGAUGACCGUCUCCCUUCGCUGGAGCAAAAUGUCUGGGCAAACUAUCACAUUGAAGGCUGGAAAGAAGCUGAUGUUCUGGAGGCUGUAUCUGUUCCUGCAACAGUGAAAUCACAGCGAGCAGAUAUUCAGGGGAUGUUAAGUAAUGCCGGUCUUGCACUGGGUAUCGAACAGCAGUUAAAACUCAAAAUGGCAGACUGGCGAAUUGCGGAAGGCUGUGAGCUGUUGCAUGAGGAAGACGGAAGGCCUUACACCGCUACCCUCCAUAUAGCAAACCAGAUAUCACUUGAACUUGAGGACGAGUCUGGUGAGCCAUCCUUUGGUGUACGGCUGGAGAUUAACCACGGUGUCCCUGCUUUGCAUCUUAACGUGGCCGGAGGUGAUAUCCUCCUGCAUAUGCAUGUAGCACAGGGUGGCUUGAUUCUGACGCCGGACCACUCCGGGGUGCAAAUUGGUAGUGCUGAGCCUGAUCGUCAUUCCUACCAUGAUGAUGCAUCCCUGCUUGUGCGGUCAUAAUCUUAAUACUAUCCCGUUGAGCCAGGUGGCUGGUUCGGCGGGACAGGUUAUCCACCAGCAUCGAAGAAAGAGUGGUUCACAUUCAGUAAAAGUAACUUUCACAAAUGGCCCCCCAAGGAAUAUCGGGGCGGGUUUACGCACUGGCGACGGGAAGCAUGCGGGCGGGGUUACAUCAGGCGGAUGUACGUCACUACCGUGACUUCUGUUUCUGUAGUGUUGUACCACUCCCGUAAAUCACAUUCCGCUGAAGGUAGAUAUCCGCGACGGAUUUACCCCCCAGUUUUUUCAGAACCCGAUUGAUAUGGUCCUGGGAUGAUCGUUUGGUGAUUAAUAAUUCAGACGCUAUGUCCACAUCGGAAUGGCCACAAAGUACGAGACGCGCUACGGUGAAUUCCUGAUUAGUCAACCGGACAAUAUUAACUGCUGGUGGACAUGCAGAGUUAUUGAUCGUUUUCAGUACUUUAGCGAUAAACACAUUCAUUUCGGUUGUGAUAUCGAUAAACUGUGAGGCAUUCUUUCGGUCACAUUCUAUUGAACUGCGCAUCAGAUAGCAGACACGUGCACCGUAUUGAUAGAGCUUCCUCAGUGAAUGUAAAUUUUCCUCACGUAGUGGGCAUUCAAUGAAAAAUACAUGGUCCUUACGGACCUUAUGGCUUCUGAGGUCAUCCGCUGAUAGUUGGUAUACGGUGAUCUCAUACUUUCUGAGUAUUAACUCAAUUCCAGCAAACAGAAACUGGUUGUCCGUAAUGACGUAAAUCAUGCUCUCUGUCACUCCAUGUAUAGUAUCCGCUCCGUCUGUGAAUGAUACACGGUGACGGUAGCUAAUACUGUCAUGAUUUUAGCGUUUAAAGCUUCCUUUUGAUCUACGUUGGUCUUUCAGAUAUGACACCAGUGAAUACACAGCGAUGAAAAGAAGUACAAUAGCGGCCAGCAGUGCAAACAGGUUAGACAUCAUGUAUCUCCGGAUGAAUGGGAACAGUAACUAAGGAAGGUGCGAACAAGUCCCUGAUAUGAGAUCAUGUUUGUCAUCUGGAGCCAUGGAACAGGGUUCAUCAUGAGUCAUCAACUUACCUUCGCCGACAGUGAAUUCAGCAGUAAGCGCCGUCAGACCAGAAAAGAGAUUUUCUUGUCCCGUAUGGAGCAGAUUCUGCCAUGGCAAAACAUGGUGGAAGUCAUCGAGCCGUUUUACCCCAAGGCUGGUAAUGGCCGGCGACCUUAUCCGCUGGAAACCAUGCUACGCAUUCACUGCAUGCAGCAUUGGUACAACCUGAGCGAUGGCGCGAUGGAAGAUGCUCUGUACGAAAUCGCCUCCAUGCGUCGGUUUGCCCGGUUAUCCCUGGAUAGCGCCUUGCCUGACCGCACCACCAUCAUGAAUUUCCGCCACCUGCUGGAGCAGCAUCAACUGGCCCGCCAAUUGUUCAAGACCAUCAAUCGCUGGCUGGCCGAAGCAGGCGUCAUGAUGACUCAAGGCACCUUGGUCGAUGCCACCAUCAUUGAGGCACCCAGCUCGACCAAGAACAAAGAGCAGCAACGCGAUCCGGAGAUGCAUCAGACCAAGAAAGGCAAUCAGUGGCACUUUGGCAUGAAGGCCCACAUUGGUGUCGAUGCCAAGAGUGGCCUGACCCACAGCCUAGUCACCACCGCGGCCAACGAGCAUGACCUCAAUCAGCUGGGUAAUCUGCUGCAUGGAGAGGAGCAAUUUGUCUCAGCCGAUGCCGGCUACCAAGGGGCGCCACAGCGCGAGGAGCUGGCCGAGGUGGAUGUGGACUGGCUGAUCGCCGAGCGCCCCGGCAAGGUAAGAACCUUGAAACAGCAUCCACGCAAGAACAAAACGGCCAUCAACAUCGAAUACAUGAAAGCCAGCAUCCGGGCCAAGGUGGAGCACCCAUUUCGCAUCAUCAAGCGACAGUUCGGCUUCGUGAAAGCCAGAUACAAGGGGUUGCUGAAAAACGAUAACCAACUGGCGAUGUUAUUCACGCUGGCCAACCUGUUUCGGGCGGACCAAAUGAUACGUCAGUGGGAGAGAUCUCACUAAAAACUGGGGAUAACGCCUUAAAUGGCGAAGAAACGGUCUAAAUAGGCUGAUUCAAGGCAUUUACGGGAGAAAAAAUCGGCUCAAACAUGAAGAAAUGAAAUGACUGAGUCAGCCGAGAAGAAUUUCCCCGCUUAUUCGCACCUUCCCUAAAUUACCCUACCACUAAGAAAAUUCCUAUCAAUGUUGAUUUCUUUACAUAUACCCACCUGAUGAUGGUAUGUGCAAUACAUUAAUAUUUAGUGUUUAUGAAAAGAGUCUGAGAUAACGAAAAUGAGGGUUUAUAACCUGGGUGAGUAUUAAUUGCCUCUAAAAAACAGCUCAGAGAGGCGCGUUAAAAUUUUUCUAUUAUUGCCGGGACCGUCGCCAACGGCGCGAUGUAUUCCGUAUUAAAACUGUCAAGAGCUGCGAAGAAUGAGCCAGUGACAGCGGGCAAGUCAUCGAGAAAACCGGGAGUACGUGACGAACCUUUAGUUUGCUGAGCGAAGCGAACAUCAUAAAAAGUAACUUUCUUCACCUUCUGUGGCCGAUUACCAAUAUUAUUGCCUGAAUGGUAUAGUCAAACCUGUAGGAAGCUGUUCCCCCAUUUUACCAGGAAGAAGAUUACGAUGAAUGUCAUUCAGUCCCGUAUGCUCUCUGUAUUUGAUUUUGACGGCACACUAACACGGCAUGACAGCUUUAUCCCUUUUCUGCGGUUUGCCUUUGGCAAUCGGGCUUUUUCCCGUCGUAUCGUCACAAUGGCUCUUCCCACGUUACGCUGUAUGGGGAAGAAGAUGACACGUGAUGAACUGAAAGAAAUUCUCAUCACAACCUUCCUUACUGGGGUUGACGAGAAAUGGCUAUCCAAAAAUGCUGAGAAAUUUUGCCAGGUCUACUGGAGUCGGCUUAUGCGUCCUGCAGGCCUGAUGGCCGUGGCGAAUGAAGUGAAUUCCGGCGCGGAAGUGACAUUAUGUUCUGCUUCACCAGAAAUGGUACUCAGGCCAUUUGCCGACAGGCUGGGCAUCAAAGUGAUAGGCACACAGCUUGAGGUCAAAGAAGGGAUACUUACCGGGCGUAUUAGUGGGCAUAACUGCCGGUGUAGCCAGAAAAUUAUCCGGCUGGAAAAAGAGUACGGUCCUUUGAAAAAUUAUCAUCUGCGGGCAUGGGGAGACACACGAGGGGAUUACGAACUACUGUCAGCUGCAGCCGACCCUCACUGGCGGCACUUCCAUGCGACCUGGCGUCGGGGAAAAGUUCCUUUCGAACUACCUAUCCGGUAAAUUAUCGCCCCUUUCCGGGGCGAAGGCUCACAGAAUACCCGCUAUUUUUGCCUGAUCCAGCCAGUCUUUAAACUCUUCCAGAAGUUGCUCGUACAGCUCCUCAUCCUUCACCGUUGCGAAGUUAUCGAUGGCAAAGAAGUUGCUGUUAUCGAUUCGCCGAUCGCUGAAGGUAUCCAGUUUUUCGAGAAUACCGUAAUUUGAACCGCCGAGGCCCACAAAUUUCCAAAAAAUGGGGUAGUUGGCCGAGCGGCGUAUGGCUUCUUUGAUUUCACGGGUUUUACUAAUCCCGCCAUCCGUAAUGCAGACAACAUAAACGGGCAGUAUGCUGUCCUUGAAGAAGUCGAUCACCUCAUUCAUGACCGGCGGCUCGUUGUUUGUCCCGCCCAGGCCCGGAAGGAUUUCCCAGGCUGUAGUGGAUCGGUAAUUCAGGACACCUCGAAAUCCUGUUAAUGUUAAAACAGUGAAAAUGAGGUGAUGCAUGAUCAAAACUCGUCGGACUAAACGUACCUUUUCCCCGGAGUUCAAGCUUGAAGCUAUCGAACAGGUGGUUAAAUACCAGCGUGAUGUCAGAGAAGUCGCGCUGGCACUCGAGCUCAACCCUGACCAUUUGCGUAAAUGGAUACGGUUGUAUAAGCAGGAACUUCAGGGUAUUGAGCCCGCUGGUAAUGCUAUUACCCCUGAACAACGCGAAAUUCAGCAGCUUAAAGCGCGGAUAAAGCGCCUUGAGAUGGAAAAAGAAAUACUAAAGCAGGCUGCCGUGCUGAUGAGCGAAAUCCCCGGGAAGCCGUCGCGCUAAUCACACGGCUGAAAGCAAAGUGGCCAGUGCGGGUUCUUUGUCAUUUAUUCGGUAUUCACCGUAGCGUUUAUUACGCGCAGGUGAAGCGUCCUGUUAAUGUGCAAAGAAUUGAAUUACGAAGUCGGGUGAGGGCUUUCCAUGCUCUCAGUCGUGGCGCAGCCGGUAGCCGGGCAAUCAGUCAGAUGUUGCGCCAGAGUGGCGUUGAUGCAGGCCGGUGGCUGGCACGACGACUGAUGCGGGAAUGCGGGCUGACAAGUCGACAGCCGGUUAAACAUCACUACCGGGUAAACGAAGACAAAAGUCCGCCAUUGCCAAAUUUACUGAACCGGCAAUUUAACCCCGCCGCACCAAACCGCGUCUGGUGCGGCGACAUCAGUUUUAUUCGCCUGCAGGACAAAUGGUGUUAUCUCGCGCUCGUUGUUGAUUUAUAUUCACGGCGGAUUAUCGGUUCAGCCCUCUCAUUAACCGCUGAUGCUGAGUUGGUGUGUAGGGCUUUGCGUAAUGCACUGGAAACACGACCGCGUGAUGGCCGCCUGCUGUUUCAUUCAGAUCAAGGUGUUCAGUAUAAAAGCAAUAAAUACAGAAAGUUACUCUGGCGUUAUGGGGUAAUGCAAAGUAUGAGUCGCAGAGGGAAUUGCCUGGAUAAUUCGCCGAUGGAAAGAGUCUUUCGCAGCCUUAAAAGUGAAUGGCUUCCGAAAGGUGGUUAUGGUGAUUUUAGCCAUUCGGUACGCGAUAUAAACCAGUGGAUUAAUGGUUAUUACAACGUUUAUCGACCUCACACGAACAACGAUGGUUUACCGCCUUGCUUACAUGAAGAAAAGUGGAAACAGAUUAUCCCGGUGUCCUGAUUUUGUGAUCCACUACAGGCAGAUCGUUUACCCGUGUUCUGGAUAGCCGCAACAUAUCCGUCAAGAUUGUCCAGGGUGACGUCAGGGUAUUUCUUGUGACGCUCAGCAAAGCCCCACACAUCCAUCGUACCGUCAUCAUCGAACUGGACUGACAGGACGGCUAUACGGUCGAGAACGGACUGCACAUGUCCCUUUUUAAACUGACCGGUCAUAGAGCCUGAGGCAUCAAGAACAAAAGCGACUCUGGCUUCAACCGUCUCCAGCUUGUGUUUGGCAAGAGAAACACUGGCUUUUUUUGCCAGACUGAUAAGCGCGGGGGCUUUCCCUUCCAGUUUUUUCUCCAGACUGAUCCGGGCUGGUUGCGUUGGGGUAUCUUCUGGUUGUGCGACAUCGACACCAUAGCUGACGGCAAGUGGCUCCAGUCCACCGUUAAACCCCUGCCCCUGAGCACGGAGUUUCCAUUGCCCCUGAUGACGGUAAAUCUCGCCCAUAAUCACCGCUUUCUCACUACGGCCCUUCAGGUCGACAUUGAAUUCAGCGAUGCCGGUUGCCGUCAGCCGGAGUUGCGAGAGUCCGCUGAUCGUGUCAUUGCCAUCUAUCACCAGCGUUAUAGCGAUUUUCUGAAUGGUUUCGGGAAUGCGUUCCAGCGCAAGCUGAAGGUUCGCAUGCUGGUGGCCGGGAAGCAGUUUUACAGCUCCACCGGCAGCACUCCGAUUGUUGUAGAAGAUAAAGUCUGCGUCACCGGUGACUUUCCCGUCAGCAUUCAGCAUAAACAGGCAGGUUUCUGGUUCACUACUAAAACUGUACGAUGACAGAUAAUCAAGUCUGAGCGUCAGGUCCGUAGUAUGUAGUGGAAUAUUCUGUCCUGAUUGUAAUUGCAUCUGAUCCCUCUUUAAUUUUGAGCAAUAUUCAUUCAGUAAGCUGAUAUAAAAAACCCCGGACAGGCCGGGGUUUCGUUGGGGUUAUUUAUCAGAUGUUGAUGCCAUGCUGUUGCGCCAGCGCACCCAGGCCACCAGCAAACCCCUGCCCGACUGCUUUAAAUUUCCACUCAGCGCCAUGGCGAUAGAGUUCGCCGAAAAUCAUUGCGGUCUCCGUCGACGCAUCUUCAGACAGGUCAAAGCGGGCAAUCUCAGCGCCGUUAUCGUUGUUCACAACACGCAUGUAGCUGUUGCUGACCAUACCGAAGUUCUGUUUACGGGCUUCAGCUUCAUGAAUAGUGACAGCAAACACCAGUUUUUUAACGUCAGCGCUGACUUUAGCCAGCUCGAUUUUGACCUGCUCAUCGUCUCCGUCGCCUUCACCCGUGCGGUUGUCACCCUGGUGCUGUACCGCGCCGUCCGGGCUGGUGGUGUUGUUAUAAAAAACGAAGUGCGCGUCGGACAGCACUUUUCCAUCUUCGCCGACCAGGAAGACCGAGGCAUCGAGGUCAAAUGCCUGACCAUCGGUAACACGCGCAUCCCAGCCCAGACCAACCAGUGCCACAUUCAUGGAAGGGGCUUCUUUGGUCAGAGAAACAUUACCGCCUUUUACGAGAGAAACUGCCAUUUUAUCGCUCCUGCUUAUCGUUGACGUCGGGGCCGGAUGACCAACCCCGCGUGAAAAUAGUGAGAAAAGUAACUUUAUUAUCAGGAUGCGUUGAUGCCGUACUGCGCACAAACGGAACCCAGACCACCGGCAUAGCCCUGGCCGACUGCACGGAACUUCCAUUCCGUAUUGUGGCGAUACAGUUCACCGAACAGCAUCGCGGUUUCGGUGGAGGCAUCUUCAGUCAGAUCAUAGCGGGCGACUUCUGUCUGAUUGUCAUCAUUUACCAGACGGAUGAAUGCACCAGAUACCUGACCGAAACUCUGGCGACGGGCCUGGGCAUCGUGAAUGGUCACGACGAAAAUGAUUUUGUCCACAUCAGCAGGGAUCGCAUCCAGUUUGAUUUUCAGGGAUUCAUCAUCGCCAUCACCUUGACCGGUACGGUUGUCGCCGGUAUGGGUGACUGAACCGUCGGAAGAUUUCAGGUUGUUGUAGAAAAUAAAAUCGGCGUCGCCACGAACCUUGCCAUUUGCGGCCAGCAGGAAUGCCGAAGCAUCGAGGUCAAAGUCCUGACCAUCGGUAGAGCGGGCAUCCCAGCCAAGACCGACGAGAACAUUUUUCAUUGUCGGGGCUGCUUUGCUCAGUGAAACGUUGCCGCCUUUAGAUAGUGAAACACUCAUCAAUUUAUCCUCUUUCGUUAAUCACAUACUUAUUAUUAAACAGCCGGAGAUCAGCUUUCUUUAUUUUCCGCUUCCGGUUUUUCAGGGAAGAUAACGCUGGCAAGAAUACCGAGCGCCAGCACGCCUAAUACGACAUACAGGCUGGUGGUUGCGGACAGGCUGUAGCCAUGGUGCCAGAUAUGGUCGGAGGCAUUCAGGCCAAGCUUAAACGCAAUAAAGAACAGCAGGACGAUAACCGCCUUUUCCAGCUGAGACAGAUACUGCUUCAGAGCUUCCAGCACAAAAUAGAGGGUACGGAGACCAAGGAUAGCAAACAUCAUUGCGCUGUAGACAAUCAGUGGCUCACGGCUGACCGCAAUGAUUGCCGGAACGGAGUCGAAGGCAAACAUGACGUCAGAGAGUUCAACGACCGCGACACACAGCAUAAGAGGCGUCGCAUACAGGGCGGCUUUUUUUACCCGUCCAAUGCUCACAUCGUUGUUUUCGGGUUUCGCCAGCUCGGCAUCAACUUCUUUCUGGGUUAACAGGAACGCAUGUCCGGACAGUUUCGGCCAGAUAGGGAAGAACCGUUUGACCAGGCGAUAGGCGAGGUGCUGGGAGUAGUCCUCAAUUUCAUCGCCAUCAUCACCGCUUUUCAGCAUCAUGACAGCAGUCCAGGCAACGACCACGGCAAAAACCAGUUCGACAUAAGGGCCAAGGCUGAGCAGACCGGUACCAAUCGCAACAAAGAUCCCCCUGAAGACGAUGGCCCCAACGAUCCCCCAGUACAGUACACGGUGGCGAUAACGGUCUGGCACUGAGAACCACGAGAAGAUGGCCAUCAUGACGAAGAGGUUAUCAACGGACAGGACCUUUUCAAGCGCAUAACCCGUGACAAACAGGCUGGCAACUUCUGCACCGUGAUGGAUAUAGAGGAAACCGGCAAAUGCCAUCGCAACGAUAACCCAGAAAACGGACCAUAAGGCCGCACUCUUAAGGGAAAUUGGCUUGUCAUGGCGAUGCAUGAACAGGUCAAUAAAGAUGGCGCCGACCGACAGCGCGAUAAAAACAAUCACUGUUUCAGUCGGAAAACCGAUGUGUGUGGAAACCAUAGCGUACCCUUAGCGGAUGUUUAUCAGAGGCCGAAUUCAGUCGGGUCGAAGCCCAAUGAACGGGCAAUUUCACGAACGGCGUUUUUCUCAUCCUCGUCAAAAUUACCGUCGCUUUUUGCAACAGCAAUACCGACACGGACUGCCAGCUGAGCCGCUUCAGGCUGGUCUUUCAGCGCGAGGAUGUAUUUCAUCGUCUCGCCUUUACCAAUUUCGAGAUCAAAGUCGAAGCUGGUCACCAGUUUGUUGAAGAAUUCGAUAACCUCAGUCGUUUCAAAAACUUUCAGUUCUUCUGAUGCCCGCAGAAAGCCAAUCAUUUUCUGCUUUUCUUCAGCGCUGACGCCGUCACUGGAAACCGCGAUACGUGCGCAUACCGCGACUGUACCCUGCAUAAAUUUCUUGUUUUUGUAACGGCCAACCUGGCGGGUCAGCUCAUCACGGCCUGAGGUCAGUGCCCCUUUAACUUUGUCGAAAAAACUCAUUUUCCGUUCCUCAUCAAUUUGGUUAUUUAGAACCUUUAGACCAGCGAAACCCCCAGCCAAAGGCCUUGUCCAUCUCCUCCUGGCCUCUGAAGAACUGGUUAAUCCGUUCUACGCGAAUUGACCCGUUGUCAUUCACCAGACGGGCAAUUGCGCACAGAGUACGUUUGUUAUCUCCCUCGGUCAGACGGGUUUCAAUGGGGGGCUGGUCCGGUAUAUGGAGCGUCACCACACCGUCAGUUUUAUCCCAACUGGGUACGCCCUGGUAGAUGAAGGCAUAAAUCAGAACCUGAUUGAUUUGCUUCCACUCCCGUCCGUUAAUAUGCAGCCAUUCGCCAUCCAUGGCCUCCCCGGUACGAUCAUCGCCCUGAAGCUGAACAUAGGGCUCGUUAUGAUAGUUGCCAAAGGCAUUGCCGAGUGCCUGGAUCACGGACUUGUGACCAUCCUGAAGUUUGACGAACGCGCCCAAAUCAAGGUCAAUCGCUUUGCUUGAGCCAAACAUCCCUCCGAGUAAGCCACCGGAGCCGGAGCCACGAUGCCAGUUAAGGUUGAUGCGGAUCUCGCCAAAGUUGUCCUUCUUGGCAAGGCUGAUAGCCGGUUUCUCUUUGGUCAACGAGACCUUGCUUAGGCUCACCUUAUUUGGUGCAGGAGCCGGAGGCGGUGCGACUGGCGGCGGAGAGGCUGGUGCGGCAUCAUCAGAGACGUUCACACCAAAGUGUUCAGCCAGUGGUUUGAGACCACCAUUAAACCCCUGGGCAAUAAACCGGAAUUUCCAUUCAGCAUUUCGCCGAUAGAAUUCGCCGAGGAUAAGUGCGGCCUCCUGCCGUCCAGUCAGUUCAACCUGCCCGCAGAUCAGUUGAGAAGCACCACUUUCAACCAGGAUAGAAAGAUUAUUCAGGGUCGAGACGGUAUGGCUGCCGUCACAGGUCACCGUAAAAGCGACUUUCUGUACCUCAGAUUUGAGGCGGCUCAGGUCAACGAUAAAAGAGCUGUUAUUUCCCUCAGGAUGAUAACUGACAGUGCUGUCGUCGUUACGAGGCUGUCCGUAGAAGACCAUAUCCGCGUCUCCCUGCACUUUUCCGGCAGCAAACAGACGGAACGCGGAGGCAUCAACGGGGCCACCUGAAAGGAUCCGCACGCGGAGUUCCUGAGCGGGAACGGGGGCAUUUCCCCCUGGCGUCAGGUUCAUGCGCUGACCACUGUGUUAAUGAUGUCAGGGUACAUAUCAUCGAUCGUGCGUCCACUGCUGGCUUUCCCGUGGGCGGUAAAGUCCCAGUUGCCGUUAUUACGGCGGAGUGAGGCAAUAAUAAUGCCAGUAUGCGCUCCCUGCUCGGUCAGUUUGUAUCGGGCCAGUUCUUUGUUGGUCUGAUCAACAACACGGCAGAAAGCGUUAUCAACAUCAUUAAAAGACUGCCCACGGAAACUGUUAACGGUGAAAGCCAGAUAUUCAACCUUUGCAGGCAAUUGGCCGAGAUAGACAUUGAUGACCUCAUCGUCACCGUCUCCCUCACCCGUCAGGUUAUCGCCGGUAUGUACCACGGAGCCACAGGUCGAUUUCAGUUUACGAAACCAUAUUGUGUCAAUUUUAUUACCGGCACUGUCCAACAGAACGCAACCCGCGUCCAGAUCGAUAGAGUCAUUGCCGCCAAAAAUGUUGCCAAAUAAUCCUUUUUUCUUUACCGGAUCCCAUCCCAGACCGAACUUAAGUUGGCUGAGUGCGGAUGAUUGUUUGCUGAGUGAUACCGUCUGGUUUUUACUUAAAGAAACCAUAUUCAUUCCUUAAAAGGUAUUGACUGAGACAUUGUGAAAUUAGUAGUAAAGCAGGCACCAUCAAAAUCAUAUCAUGACAAAGUUCACCUGCAAGACAAAAACGGGUAGGUUUUCAUAAUUUACUUUUAAUUACAUUCCGGACUAACGAAUUAAAUUAGCGUAACCAAUUGAUAGUAUUCAAAAAUAUAUAGUUGUUCUCAAAAUCAUAAACAGCCAGAGUUUAUCAUAUUAUGAUUGACAUGGUUCGGAGGUAUUCUUAGACUCAUGUAUCAGUAAAACUUUUUCCUCUCUUCAGGCAAAAAUAAUAAAAGAUGAAAAACAAAAUUUGGUUUAUGGAAGGUUUGUCCUCCCAGCGAGACAUUAUUCUCGGUGUGAAAUCUUUUGCAGAUAAACACAAUAAAGAUAUUCUGGUUUUAUCUUCUCACCGGAAUGAACGAAAUGAAAUUCUCUCUGUUUCAGAUCUCUCAUUAAUCGAACCUAAAAAUGAAGAUGACCGUCUUUCUUUCAUUCACUCCGUCACGAUGAACCAUGGCAUUAAUGCGAUUCAUACCGGGCGAAACUGUAAAUGGUUUGAAAGUCAGCGAGAUGCCAUUCAAUCCCCGUCCGUGAGUCUGACAACAGGCGCGACCGGAACUGAAUGGUUCGAGCUCGCUGACGAAAAAGUUACUUUCUCGGAGUACAUGACAAAAAAUGGACUCCCGGUUGUGCCGUCUGUGCGGGUCAACUCUCCCGAUGAACUGAGUCAUUUGCUCAGCCACUCCCCGUAUCCUUCUGAUCGUCUCUGUAUUAAGCCCGUAACCGGUAUUUAUGGCAUGGGAUUCUGGCGUUUUGAUGACGAGAUUUCACCGGUCGCGUUUCUGAAUAACCCCGACAGCCGGGUUAUCCGUCCGUCACAGUAUCUGGCCGCACAUGCCCAAAUGGAGACCUUUACACCUCAGGUUCUGAUGCCUUAUUUACCGGGGCCUGAAUACUCCGUAGAUAUGGUGGUAAGUCAAGGGACUGUCCUGGCCGCCGUCGGGCGGCGUAAGGAGGGGGUGCUCCAGCAUCUGGAGAAUGAAGGGGAAGCGAUUGAACUCGCCAUCGCCUGCGCCCGCUUAAUGAACGCCGACGGAAUGGUCAACGUCCAGACCCGGCAUAACGUUGAAGGCAAUCCCCUGCUGCUUGAAAUAAACAUGCGCCCGUCAGGGGGCAUUGGGUAUACGCAGCACAGUGGCGUGAAUCUGCCGGGUCUGUAUGCCUUCCAUACACUGGGGUUGAUGGAUGAGGAUCAGGUCAGGCAGUCAGCGAAAACUGAUUUUUCGCCUGCAGUCGUCCGCUCUGUCACCGACGUCAUUCGCUACCCGGCAUUAUUGACCAACAGAAUCGAUUAAUGGAGAUAAAUAUGUCAGUAAUGGAUGGAUGUUCCGUUUAUCAAAAGACAUUAUCUUGUGGGCGGAUUGAGGUAAGCAGCGAGGUGACCGAUUAUCCUCUUACUGAUCUCUUUGAUAUCGCCGAACGGCGGAAUCCUAAACGCGCAUUUCUGUUUGUCAGUAAAGUGCUGGGUCGCCAUAUUCCUGUCUCGCCUCAGGUCAUGCGCAACGUUUACACACAGCUGGCGGAGCAGUUCCUUGGGACACUGGACGGGCCGGUGGUCUUUAUCGGGAUGGCCGAGACGGCUGUUGGCCUUGGGGCGGGAGUGUUUGAUGAGGUGCGUAAGCAUCACCCUGAUUGUGUCUAUCUGACAUCAACCCGCCAUCCGGUCGAUGGCGAACUGCUGUGCGAGUUUAAAGAAGAGCACAGCCAUGCCACUGACCACCUGAUCUACUGUCCCUCCACACCGGAUAUGCGGCGCACAGUGGCAGAAGCUCAGACGCUGGUGCUGGUGGAUGAUGAAGCCACGACGGGGAAAACGUUUCUCAAUCUUCUGGCCUCAUUACGUGCAUCGGGUGCACUCCGGAAGGUACGACGGGUUAUUGCUGUCACGCUGACUGACUGGAGCGGAGAGGCCCUCAGUCAGAACAGCCCCCUGCCCGUUCACGCUGUAUCGCUCAUCUCAGGCAACUGGCGCUGGACACCCGAACCGGAUGCCCCGCUGCCCGUCAUGCCCCCGGUUAAUGUGACCUCCAGGGGGAACGUCCCGAUCACCGGCAAACAAUCCUGGGGGCGACUCGGGAUGCAGAUACCGGCCAGUGACCUGGGCCUUAAGGUUAAGGUUUCGCACGGGGAAAAUAUUCUGGUGCUGGGCACCGGCGAAUUCGUCUGGGAACCGUUCCUGCUGGCUGAACGUCUGGGAUCGGCGGGCGCUCAGGUCCUUUACAGUUCCACCACCCGAUCACCGAUUUCAACCGGCUUUGCAAUCCAGUCCGCCAUUGCUUUCAGCGAUAAUUACGGCCUGGGUAUCCCGAAUUUUGUCUAUAACGUCGCCCACCAGCGGUUUGACCGCAUCCUGCUUUGCACAGAAACUCCGGCGUCGAGCGUGGACCCCCGCCUGCUUGAGGCGCUUUCCGCCGUCGCUCCUGCCGUAGAGGUGAUUACCUAUGAAUAAGCCCGUCGUAUUCAGCGACCUCGAUGACACCCUGUUCCAGACCCGCCGAAAAAUGGUGGAUGAACUUGCCCUUGAACCCUUCCGGACCGGCGCACUGGAUCGCAGUCUCACACCUCGCAGCUUUAUGACCGAAGAGCAGGCCAUGCUGGUGGACUGGUUGCUGGAGCAUGCGGAUCUCAUUCCGGUGACGGCCAGAGGAACGGAAGAAAUCAGCCGGGUGCAGAUCCCCUUCCGUUCCUGGGCCGUAACCACUCAUGGUGCGGUGAUCCUUCGUCCUGAUGGUACGCCAGACCGCGACUGGAAAGCCCAUAUGCUGGAGAGCCUGUCCUCCUACGCCGACCGCUUAACGUCAAUGCAACAUAUCAUUACCGAACUCAUGGAAGCACGGGGCAUCAAUGCCUGGGCACGGCUCAACUACGAAUAUGAUGGUACGCCGGUGUAUCUGGUCAUGAAGCACUGCGACAGCACGAAGCUUGAUGAACUGAACGCUAUCGGGGAUGAGAUCGAGCGCGUCUUUUCGACCGAAGGGUUUUACAUCCACCGCAACAGCAACAACAUUGCCUGGUUACCCUGCCCGGUAGAAAAAGGACUGGCCGUUUCCUGGUUGCUGGAAAAACUCCGUCAGGAGCGCGGGGUUUUCCCGGUGAUAGGGCUGGGUGACAGCCUGAGUGACCAUCGGUUCAUGAAACUGUGCAGCUGGUUUGGUCUCCCACGCCAGAGCCAGUUUGCUGAGGCUAUUUCACAGCAUAUUUUUGGAGAGCAAUAACAUGUCUCACAUCACUUCGUUUUCUGGUUCGUAUCAACCGGACGAUGUUCAGUUUUUGCUGAAACCCAUUGCUAUGGAGAUGACGCCGGUUGACCUGAAGGAAGAACUGAUUCAGUCAGGGAAAAUGCAUUACUCCGACAUGCUGAGUCAGGAGCCUGAGCCAACCCGCUGGCAUCUGGAUCUUUUCACCCGUGCGCUGGACGCGGGGGCAGCACGGCUGGCGCGGGAGGUCUCUCAGCUUAGCCGUGAACUGGCCUUACGCGCCGGUGAUGACCCCGUGGUUCUGGUCAGUCUGGUCAGAGCCGGUGUCCCUCUUGGUGUGAUGCUCCAUCAGGCGCUACGGGCAAUGGGAAAACGGUCUUACCAUUACGGUAUCAGCAUUAUCCGCGAUCGGGGUAUUGACGCUGCGGCGCUCGACUACAUCGAAUCACGUCAUGGCACAAAGGGCAUUGUGUUUGUCGACGGCUGGACGGGAAAAGGAGCCAUUACCGGCGAAUUGUCACGCACGCUGAAGGACCGCCCCGGCUACCCGGCACAACCUCGUCUGGUUGUGCUGGCAGAUCCCUGCGGAUGUGCCUGGCUUGCCGCCAGUGACGAUGACUGGUUGAUCCCAUUCGGUAUCAUGGGUGCUCCUGUAUCAGGUCUGAUUUCACGUUCUGUCUGGGCCGAAGAAGGCCUGCACGGGUGCGUGGUAUGCGACCACCUUCAGUCUUUUGAAUGCAGUCAGCUGCUGGUGGACACGGUAGCAAAUUUCCGGGAACAAUUUGACGGACAAGACCUGCCACCUACCGGCUGGGACGUCGGGAACAAUGCAGCGCGCUGGCAGCUGAGCAGGGACGUCAUCGGAGGGCUGGCUGAACAGUAUGAGGUGGACAGUAUUAACAGGAUCAAACCGGGCAUCGCUGAAGCGACCCGGGCGGUUCUGCGUCGUGUGCCAGAUCAUGUGUUUGUCCGGCAGAUGGAUGACCCGGAUGUCGCGCUUCUGGUCGGUCUGGCAAAAGAGAAAGGCAUCGCGGUGACGGAAGCCGGGGAUGCUCUCGGCCAGUAUCGUGCAGUUACCAUCAUCAAAAAGGUACGCUGAUGAAAAAACAAUUCACCCCAUGGGAACUGGGCGCAACGCUGUACAUGCCUGCAACCCGAAAGGAUCUUGUUGAAGUGGUGCUGGACGGGAAAAUACCCGGUCUGCGGUCUCUGGUGGUGUGCCUGGAAGAUGCCGUCAGCGAACAUGAUGUUCCUUUUGCUCUUCAGAAUCUCUCACUGUUUUUGCAACAGCUGAAUGAAGCUAAAUUUCGCCACGGAAACGACGAAUGGCCGUUGGUCUUUAUUCGCCCCCGUCAUCCGGACAUGGGGCGCUGGCUGACAACGAAUGUGGAUCUUAGUGCGGUCGAUGGUUUUGUCCUGCCAAAGUUUACCCGCUCCACGCUGCCGGUGUGGUGGGACAUUAUGGCCGAUACCGGGUUGAGCAUGAUGCCGACACUUGAAACCGAAGAUGUCUAUGACGUGCUGAAAAUGCAGGAUCUGGCCUCUGAGCUGUCGAACCACGCCUGUCGGGAACGUAUUAUUGCACUGCGUAUCGGGGGGAACGAUUUGAUGAACGUGGUCUCUCUGCGACGUCCACGGUCUUUGACUCUUUAUGACACGCCGAUGGGAUAUGUCAUUAAAAUGCUGGUUUCGGUAUUUGCCCCGCGUGAUUUUGCGCUGACGGCCCCCGUGUGCGAACACAUUGAUGACCACGGGAUUAUGGCGCGUGAGCUGGCGAUGGAUAUUGCUCACGGGCUGGUGGGGAAAACAGCAAUUCAUCCGGACCAGAUCAGUAUCAUUGAGGGGGCACUGAAGGUUUCUCCAGGCGAACAUUCUGACGCACUGCGAAUUCUGAACUCCACGCAGGCGGUCUUUAAAUCACAGGGUGCGAUGUGUGAACCGGCGACCCACCGGCGGUGGGCUCAAGGCAUCCUGGCCCGGGGCCAGGUUUACGGACUGACGACCGGACAGAACACAGACGGGAUCAGGCUGCUCCCGUUCUCUCAACAGCAAUAAGGGGCAGUACAUGGGAUUCAGAUUCAGGAAGUCGAUCAGUAUCAUUCCCGGCGUCAGGAUAAACCUGAGUAACGGCACGCCCAGUCUGAGCAUCGGCCCGCGCGGGGCGUCUCUUUCUGUUGGAAAACGUGGCACUUAUGCCAAUCUGGGACUUCCCGGUACCGGGCUGAGUUACCGUACACGAAUAGACCAGACUGCACGGGGGCGUCAGGACAACAGUACGCAGACAGUUCCGGGGGUGAGGGAAGAUCUUGAGCAGGAAGCUGAAAGACUGAUGUCUGUCCUGAAUGCCAUCACGAAUAUUCAUGAACUCUCCCCGUCUCCGGCUGACGGAAACACCUGGGCAUCGCUCGAAGCGCAUUAUCUUCAGCUCCAUCAGGGGGAAUUCGACCUGCCCGCGCCCGUACGUCCGUCAAAACCUGAGUAUUCCCCCCUCCCGCACGCUCCUGAUGAACAUUCCGGGCGAGGUUUUCUGGGUGGACUGUUUGAAACCGAAUCCGCCCGGAUUGAGCGACAGAAUGCUAACCAUAGUCGGUGGCAACAGGAAGUCGCAGAUAUUGAUCGAGAAAACACGCUUCUUCAGCACCGGUAUGAGACACAACGUGUGGCCUGGGCUGAACAGUAUGCAGAAUGGCAAUUCCAGGCCCAGGAGCAUAAGAAGAAAUCAGCACUUUCGGUGGCCGGUACCCGCGCACAAUUCCGUACUGACGCCCGAUUCUUUGAAAACUGUCUCGCAGAGGUGUUCGCGCAGACGGAAUGGCCGCGAGAAACCCUGGUGACCUUUGAGGUUCGACCUGACGAAUCCACUAUCUGGAUCGAUGUUGAUUUACCUGAAAUUGAGGAUAUGCCUGAUAAGGUGUAUGCCGUCAACGCCCGGGGUACGGAUAUUACGGAGAAAGCGAUGACACAAAAAGCGGUCCGGGGAAAUUAUGCGAGACACGUCCACGGCAUCCUGAUGCGUUUAGCUGCUAUCGCAUUUCAGACCCUUCCGUUUGAGUUUGUCGUGCUUUCCGGCUUUACUCAGAGGGUCAGCAAACAUACGGGGUACCUUGAGAAUGAAUACAUUCUUUCCUGCAGGAUAGACCGCCAUCAUAUGGAAAAAAUAAAUUACACGAACCUUGAAGAUGUGGAUCCUAUUGCGGUACUGAGUGUUCAGCCACUUAUCCGGAAAAUGAGUACCACUUUCCUGUUUCAGCCCAUUGAUCCUAUUACGUUAAAUGCAGGCUCCAGUUGACUAUGCAACUCAAUUCCCGACAGGAACGAAUUUAUACUCUGGCAAAUUUACUGGGUACGGGAAAACCCGUUUCUGCGGAAAAAAUCAUCGGAACACUGGGUUGUUCCGAACCCACCCUUAGCCGGGCGCUAAAGGAACUUCGCGAAUCUUAUGCUGCGGAUAUCAAAUACAGUAAGGCUGGUCAUUCUUAUCAGCUUGUGUCUUUCGGACAACUUGAUAAAAAAACAUUACGCCGGAUGAAUGAAGCACUCUCUCAACAUGCUGAACUACGGUCUCAGGGUAUUUCGACAAAAGUGUUGCUGGAUAAAGACCUGAAAACGACGGUCUCAUUAUCCAUUCGACGUCGGAUACUUCGGAAAAUCGACAGACUAGCGAAACUCACCGGCACAUCCCGAAGCGAGGCGGUUGAGACACUGGCUGAAAUGAAGAUCGAGGACUUUAUUAAGGUCCAUCAGUUUAAGAACCGUCCUGAGUAGUCCAUUCAGGGAAGAAAACCGAACCAUAAAAAGUGACUUAACAUUCCAGUUGAAAAGAGUCUCGACUCAUAACCUGGAUGCCGGAUGUCCGCUCCCUCCGGUAUGCCGUCGUUAACCAGGGUACCAGGUCAAAGAAAUCAUUCAGAGUUAUGUUCAGCCCUCAUGGAUUCAGGCGCUCUCAUUCCCAUGGUGAUGUGCGGUUCAGCAGGUUAUCUAUUCGUACCUUGCGUUCCGGCGUUAUUGGGGCGUCAAGCUCCUCAAUAAACGCCUCAAACUGAUUGUCAUCGAGGAGGAACAGGCAUUGAUCAAGCUGAAAGUCCUUUGCUACCCUGCAGGCAACCUCAAGCAUAAAAUCGGUCCGUGAUUUCAUUUGAGAAAGUCAAAAUCUUCCCGACGCUGAGCUUCCAGACCAUGAUUUUUCUGAAUCGCCAGAAUUGUCUGGUCGGCGGCGUGUAAUUUAUCCUGCAAUUCCUGGCCUCCCGCUUCCCCGUUAUAAAACGAUGGAGGAGUAGAGAGAAUGGCCUCCAUAACAUCCAUCAAUGACGCGACCUCCUCACCGCUCAGUGUGCCGCAGUCAUAUAUCAGAUCGUUAUGCAGCUUUGAAAUAUGUCCUGCCAUCGUCAUUGAGUACGCCAUUCCAUUUUUCGCUCUGGGGGUUGACGAUGUUUCAGUAAGCAAACGCCAGUAUUCGAACACAGAUCGGGCAGUGGUGAUUAACCUCCGGGUGUAUUCCUCUGAGCUAAAAAGACGGGAGCUGACCGUAAAGGGGAGUUUUCCGUUUUCAGCAAUAUACUGAUAGAGCAAAGUAAUGGCCUGUGUGGGGUUGGUUCCCAGCAGUUUCAUUGUUUCAUCCGUGCGUUGUUUGAGUUCGUCAUCAAUGCGAACGCUGAUCUGUGACAGUGCCAUACAUACUACCCGUGUAGUGAGUUUGCUAUACAACAUAUCACAGUGACAUUUGUGUAGCAACUAUGCUACACGCUUAGUUCUCAUCCUGGACAUUUCAGGGGUCGUCUCAGAAUUCGGAAAAUAAAGCACGCUAAGGCGUAGUCACCCCGUGACUCCCCCGCGCCGAUGCAGCGAGCUUCGUUCCGUCUUGCAGUGACGCAAUCAGCGGGCAGGAAACGUUCCCUUUCCGCGCAUGGCAGGCGCACACCAGUUCAGACAGCACGGCCUCCAUGCGUGCCAAGUCGGCCAUCUUCUCGCGCACAUCCUUGAGCUUGUGCUCGGCCAGGCCGCUGGCUUCCUCGCAAUGGGUGCCAUCCUCCAGCCGCAGUAGCUCGGCGAUUUCGUCCAGGCUAAAGCCCAGCCGCUGGGCCGAUUUCACGAACCGCACUCGUGUUACAUCCGCCUCGCCAUAGCGGCGAAUGCUGCCAUAGGGCUUGUCUGGCUCCGGCAGCAGGCCCUUGCGCUGGUAGAACCGGAUGGUCUCCACAUUGACCCCGGCCGCCUUGGCAAAAACGCCAAUGGUCAGAUUCUCAAAAUUAAUUUGCAUAUCGCUUGACUCCGUACAUAACUACGGAAGUAAGCUUAAGCUAUCCAAACCAAAUUUGAAAGGACAAGCGUAUGUCUGAACCACAAAACGGGCGCGGCGCGCUCUUCGCCGGUGGGCUGGCCGCCAUUCUUGCGUCGGCCUGCUGCCUGGGGCCGCUGGUUUUGAUCGCCUUGGGGUUCAGCGGGGCAUGGAUCGGCAACCUGACGGUGCUGGAACCCUAUCGCCCGAUCUUCAUCGGCGCAGCGCUGGUCGCGCUGUUUUUCGCCUGGCGGCGCAUCUACCGCCCGGCGCAAGCCUGCAAACCGGGUGAGGUCUGCGCGAUUCCCCAAGUGCGAGCUACUUACAAGCUCAUUUUCUGGAUCGUGGCCGCGCUGGUCCUGGUCUCGCUCGGAUUUCCCUACGUCAUGCCAUUUUUCUAUUAAUCACAGGAGUUCAUCAUGAAAAAACUGUUUGCCGCCCUCGCCCUCGCUGCCGUUGUUGCCCCCGUGUGGGCCGCCACCCAGACCGUCACGCUGUCCGUGCCUGGCAUGACCUGCGCCUCUUGCCCGAUCACUGUCAAGCACGCGCUUUCCAAGGUUGAGGGCGUGAGCAAGACCGACGUAAGUUUCGACAAGCGCCAGGCCGUCGUCACCUUCGACGAUGCCAAGACCAACGUCCAGAAGUUGACCAAGGCGACCGAGGACGCGGGCUAUCCGUCCAGCCUCAAACGCUGAUCCGUUAACCGAACUCGGGAGCGACACAUGGGACUCAUCACGCGCAUCGCUGGCAAAACCGGCGCUCUCGGCAGCGUCGUUUCCGCGAUGGGCUGCGCCGCCUGUUUUCCUGCCAUCGCCAGCUUUGGCGCGGCCAUCGGACUGGGCUUCUUGAGCCAGUACGAGGGGCUAUUCAUUGGCAUCCUGCUGCCGAUGUUCGCCGGCAUCGCGUUACUCGCCAAUGCUAUCGCUUGGCUCAAUCAUCGACAGUGGCGACGCACGGCGCUCGGCACGAUAGGCCCGAUCUUGGUGCUGGCAGCGGUGUUUUUAAUGCGGGCUUACGGCUGGCAGAGCGGUGGACUGCUCUAUGUCGGCCUGGCCUUGAUGGUUGGGGUGUCGGUCUGGGAUUUCAUCUCGCCAGCACAUCGCCGCUGCGGGCCGGACAGCUGUGAAUUGCCAGAACAACGUGGCUGACGGCAACAGCCGUAGCCACCACAGAAAAGGAAAAAUACAUGACCACCCUGAAAAUCACCGGGAUGACCUGCGACUCGUGCGCGGCUCACGUCAAGGAAGCCUUGGAGAAAGUGCCCGGCGUGCAAUCGGCGCUGGUGUCCUAUCCGAAGGGCACAGCGCAACUCGCCAUUGAGGCGGGCACGUCAUCGGAUGCGCUGACUACCGCCGUGGCCGGACUGGGCUACGAGGCAACGCUUGCCGAUGCGCCACCGACGGACAACCGCGCCGGCCUGCUCGACAAGAUGCGCGGCUGGAUAGGGGCCGCUGAUAAGCCCAGUGGCAACGAACGCCCGUUGCAGGUCGUCGUCAUUGGUAGCGGUGGAGCCGCGAUGGCGGCAGCACUGAAGGCCGUCGAGCAAGGCGCGCAGGUCACGCUGAUUGAGCGCGGCACCAUCGGCGGCACCUGCGUCAACGUCGGUUGUGUGCCGUCCAAGAUCAUGAUCCGCGCCGCCCACAUCGCCCAUCUGCGCCGGGAAAGCCCAUUCGACGGCGGCAUGCCACCCACACCGCCGACGAUCUUGCGCGAGCGGCUGCUGGCCCAGCAGCAGGCCCGUGUCGAAGAACUCCGUCAUGCCAAGUACGAAGGCAUCCUGGACGGCAAUUCAGCCAUCACCGUUCUGCACGGUGAAGCGCGUUUCAAGGACGACCAGAGCCUUAUCGUUAGUUUGAACGAGGGUGGCGAGCGCGUCGUGAUGUUCGACCGCUGCCUGGUCGCCACGGGUGCCAGCCCGGCGGUCCCGCCGAUUCCGGGCUUGAAAGAGUCACCCUACUGGACUUCCACCGAGGCCCUGGCGAGCGACACCAUUCCCGAACGCCUUGCCGUAAUCGGCUCGUCGGUGGUGGCGCUGGAGCUGGCGCAAGCCUUUGCCCGGCUGGGCAGCAAGGUCACGGCCCUGGCGCGCAAUACCUUGUUCUUCCGUGAAGACCCGGCCAUCGGCGAGGCGGUGACAGCCGCUUUCCGUGCCGAGGGCAUCGAGGUGCUGGAGCACACGCAAGCCAGCCAGGUCGCCCAUAUGGACGGUGAAUUCGUGCUGACCACCACGCACGGUGAAUUGCGCGCCGACAAGCUGCUGGUCGCCACCGGCCGGACACCGAACACGCGCAGCCUGGCAUUGGAAGCGGCGGGGGUAGCCGUCAAUGCGCAGGGGGCCAUCGUCAUCGACAAGGGCAUGCGCACCAGUAGCCCGAACAUCUACGCGGCCGGCGACUGCACCGACCAGCCGCAGUUCGUCUAUGUGGCGGCAGCGGCCGGCACUCGUGCGGCGAUCAACAUGACUGGCGGCGAUGCGGCCCUGGACCUGACCGCAAUGCCGGCCGUGGUGUUCACCGACCCGCAGGUCGCCACCGUGGGCUACAGCGAGGCGGAAGCACAUCACGACGGGAUCGAGACCGACAGUCGCCUGCUAACACUGGAUAACGUGCCGCGUGCGCUUGCCAACUUCGACACACGCGGCUUCAUCAAGCUGGUCAUCGAGGAAGGUAGCGGACGGCUCAUCGGCGUGCAAGCGGUGGCCCCGGAAGCGGGUGAACUGAUCCAGACGGCGGUGCUCGCCAUUCGCAACCGUAUGACCGUGCAGGAACUGGCCGACCAAUUGUUCCCCUACCUGACCAUGGUCGAAGGGCUGAAGCUCGCGGCGCAGACCUUCAGCAAGGACGUGAAGCAGCUUUCGUGCUGCGCCGGAUGAGGAAAAGGAGGUGUUCAAUGAGCGCCUACACAGUGUCCCGGCUGGCCCUUGAUGCCGGGGUGAGCGUGCAUAUCGUGCGCGACUACCUGCUGCGCGGAUUGCUACGGCCGGUCGCGUACACGGGGUCUGACGCUCAGUGGAACGAAAACUCACGUUAAGCAACGUUUUCUGCCUCUGACGCCUCUUUUAAUGGUCUCAGAUGUCCUUUGGUCACCAGUUCUGCCAGCGUGAAGGAAUAAUGGCCGAGCAUAUUGAUAUGUCCGUGGCAAAGCGGGGAGAGGCGUGCGAUAUCUUCAUCAUUCAGUGUUUCACCCUGCGCCCGGAGAUGAUCCAGGGCUGCCUGCAUAUAAAUAGUGUUCCAUAACACGACGGCGUUAGUGACCAGCCCCAGUGUGCCCAGUUGAUCUUCCUGACCGUCGGUAUAUCGUUUUCUUAUCUCACCUUUUUGACCGUGACAGAUGGCUCUGGCAACGGCAUGGCGACUUUCUCCCCGAUUAAGCUGGGUCAGAAUGCGCCGGCGGUAAUCUUCAUCAUCAAUAUAAUUAAGCAGAUACAGCGUUUUGUUGAUGCGCCCCACUUCAAUGAUUGCCUGAGUCAGUCCGGAAGGACGUUCACUUUUCAGCAAUGAACGGACCAGCACUGAAACCUGUACUUUGCCCAGCUUCAGGGAGCCAGCGGUCCGGAUCAUUUCGUCCCACUGAAGGACUAUUUUUCGGGGAUCUGAUUGCCCUCUGGCAAUAUCAUUCAGCACGCCAUAGUCGGCAUCAUGGUCCAUUCGCCAGAAAACCGAAGCACCGGCAUCAGCCAGGCGUGGAGAAAACUGGUAUCCCAGCAGCCAGAAAAGGCCAAAGACAAGUUCGCUGGCACCUGCUGUAUCGGUCAUAAUUUCGGUUGGAUUCAGCCCGGUCUCCUGUUCCAGAAGACCUUCCAGCACAAAGAUAGAGUCCCUCAGCGUCCCCGGUAUAACGAUGCCAUGAAAGCCGGAAUACUGAUCGGACACAAAGUUGUACCAGGUGAUCCCUCUGUUAUUACCAAAGUAUUUGCGGUUCGGUCCGGCAUUGAUUGUUCUGACUGGCGUAACAAAGCGCAUUCCAUCUGCAGAUGCCACUUCUCCUCCACCCCAUAUCUGUGCCAGUGGCAGCGUUGCCUGAAAAUCAACCAGUCUGGCAUUAGCGCUGGUGAUAGUUUCAGCCCGCAGAUAGUUCGCUUUUGUCCAGUUCAGCCGGUGUCGGGUCAGUGCAGGAACAUUUGAUCUGAUCAGUGGUUCCAGACCGAUAUUGCAGGCUUCAGCCAUCAGCACGGCGCUGAUGCUGACGGGCAGAUCAUCAACUCUGGCACUGGCUUCACUAGCAUGGAAAAACUCAUCAGCAAAUCCGGUAUGGGCGUUAAUUUCGAGCAGCAACUCCGUUAAAUCCACCGGAGGGAGUAGAUCACUGAUCAUUUUGCUCAGUCGUUUCAGACUGUCCGGCUCAUCAAGACUGGCGAGGGGAGAAAUUGUCAACCGGGGCUUCGGGCCAGAAACAUCGAGUUCGACAGCCUCAUUUUCGCAAAGACGUGCAGCAACCUGUCUGUAACGACUAUCAAGCUGAUGACCCAGAGAUUUUAUUGCUUCCUGCGGGUCUGUCGGGUGCCCCAAAGAACGAUAAACCUUAAUCCGGUUUGCCUGCCAGUCAGCACCCUGUAGUAAUCUUGCACGAGGAUCUCCCCACCGGUUACUGCCGGUAACGUAGACAUCCCUCCGCCUCAGACUAUCCUGCAGUUUACUGAGAAAGCAGAGCGUGUAUCCCCUGCGGGUGAUAUGUUUUUCCUUGUUAAUCACCAGCCGUUUCCAUGACCGACUGAUAAUUUCCGUUGGUGCGUCGUCAAAAAACUGCCGCCGUGAGCUGAACUCCCGGCUGAGGUAGUCACAGGCAUUCAGAGUGGUAACCCCGGCAGGUGCGGAUGAAAAUUUAACGGUAUUCAGCAGAUGGGGCAGGAAACGACGAACGCGCCCGUACUGCUCCACCAUUUCUUCAUGAAAAUUAUCGUCUGAGGGCCGGGCAAUUUCACGGACAAGCGUGAUGAUUUCAGCCAGCUUUUGCCUUGGGAUGUAGCUGAACACCUCAGCACGAAUCGAUUCGUCCGGUGUUUCUUCUUUCAGCAGGUACGAACAUGCGCUGGCGAGCGCCAAUGCAGAUUUAUCCAGAUCCUUCAGCGAGCGGAGCCGUUUUUUCUGCCCAAUCUUUCUGGCGUCACGGAUGAUAACGGCCAGCAUGGCGUCCAGAACGUCCAAUGCAUCAUCCAGCGCCAGCGUUUCCCAUGCAAGGACAAAGGCAACCAGAACCGCCAUCCUUUUCUGCGGUGACAUCCUGGCAAUAUUGAACACCGAAGUCAUACCAGCAUAACGUGCGAGAUUUUUCAGGCGCACAGCCGGGAGUGUACUCAGGUUUUCAGCAUGCAGGCCAAAAUCGUUCAGAGUUUUCCAGCGUUCAAUUGCUUCAUUAAACGCCGGACCACUGAUGGUCACAGGGCCCUUUUUCAGUGAUUCCAGUAAAGACAGGCGGCUGCAAUCAGUUGGCCCCAGCAGCAUCUCCAGCUGUGAACGCUGUUCGGCUGACGGUAUCAGUGCCAGUUUGUUCCACAGGCGCAACGUCGCCUUUUCCCUUACCUCUGAAAUCAACCGGGUCAGCGUAGUGGCUCCGGGGAGAAUAAUACGAUGUUGCAUAAGCCACCCUGUCGCCAGAUCGAAAAGCAGGCCAGGACGUUCGUUGCUUAUCCAGCUCCGGGUAUAUAAAAGACGGGUAAGGCGAAAUGUCCAGGGCCAGGCAAAUUCACGAUACUGAUAGUGCUGACGUAUCAGCGCUGCAUGCUCACGGCGGGUAUUUUCCCUCUGACCGUAUUCUGCAAGAACGGUGAUAUCACGAAUCCCGAGCUGUCUGGCGGUAAAAUGCCGGACGCCGGAAGGAAUAUGAUUCAUAUCGGUGAGGAAGGUGCCCAGAAAACGGACACAUCCAAUUUGCAGGGCAAUGCCCAGACGGUUGUGAUCACCUCUGCUUUUUCCGAUAAAUUCCUUGUCUGCUUCAUCAAGGUGAAAAUAUCGUGCCAGCUGAAGCUCAUCCGGUUCACCGGUGAAUCUGCCAUAGCUUUCAGUCUGCUCAGUGGUCAGAAAGUCAACGGGCAUAUCGGCCUCCCUGCCUGACGGGCAUUUAGUAACAUUUUUCCAACCGUACGAAAUGUUAUAAAUUAUCGGACAUCGUAAAACUGUUACAUUAAUAUGUCUAUUAAAUCGUAAAUUUGUAAUAAUAGACAUGAGUUGUCCGAUAUUCGAUUUAAGGUACAUUUUUAUGCGACUUUUUGGUUACGCUCGGGUCUCAACCAGUCAGCAGUCUCUUGAUCUUCAGGUCAGAGCACUCAAAGACGCAGGUGUGAAAGCAAACCGUAUAUUUACCGAUAAGGCAUCCGGCAGUUCAACAGACCGGGAAGGGCUGGAUUUGCUGAGGAUGAAGGUGGAGGAAGGUGAUGUCAUUCUGGUUAAGAAGCUCGACCGUCUUGGCCGCGACACUGCCGAUAUGAUCCAACUGAUAAAGGAAUUUGACGCUCAGGGCGUGGCAGUCCGGUUCAUUGAUGACGGGAUCAGUACCGACGGUGAUAUGGGGCAAAUGGUGGUCACCAUCCUGUCGGCUGUGGCACAGGCUGAACGCCGGAGGAUCCUAGAACGCACGAAUGAGGGCCGACAGGAAGCAAAGCUGAAAGGAAUCAAAUUUGGCCGCAGGCGUACCGUGGACAGGAACGUCGUGCUGACGCUUCAUCAGAAGGGCACUGGUGCAACGGAAAUUGCUCAUCAGCUCAGUAUUGCCCGCUCCACGGUUUAUAAAAUUCUUGAAGACGAAAGGGCCUCGUGAUACGCCUAUUUUUAUAGGUUAAUGUCAUGAUAAUAAUGGUUUCUUAGACGUCAGGUGGCACUUUUCGGGGAAAUGUGCGCGGAACCCCUAUUUGUUUAUUUUUCUAAAUACAUUCAAAUAUGUAUCCGCUCAUGAGACAAUAACCCUGGUAAAUGCUUCAAUAAUAUUGAAAAAGGAAGAGUAUGAGUAUUCAACAUUUUCGUGUCGCCCUUAUUCCCUUUUUUGCGGCAUUUUGCCUUCCUGUUUUUGCUCACCCAGAAACGCUGGUGAAAGUAAAAGAUGCUGAAGAUCAGUUGGGUGCACGAGUGGGUUACAUCGAACUGGAUCUCAACAGCGGUAAGAUCCUUGAGAGUUUUCGCCCCGAAGAACGUUUUCCAAUGAUGAGCACUUUUAAAGUUCUGCUAUGUGGUGCGGUAUUAUCCCGUGUUGACGCCGGGCAAGAGCAACUCGGUCGCCGCAUACACUAUUCUCAGAAUGACUUGGUUGAGUACUCACCAGUCACAGAAAAGCAUCUUACGGAUGGCAUGACAGUAAGAGAAUUAUGCAGUGCUGCCAUAACCAUGAGUGAUAACACUGCUGCCAACUUACUUCUGACAACGAUCGGAGGACCGAAGGAGCUAACCGCUUUUUUGCACAACAUGGGGGAUCAUGUAACUCGCCUUGAUCGUUGGGAACCGGAGCUGAAUGAAGCCAUACCAAACGACGAGCGUGACACCACGAUGCCUGCAGCAAUGGCAACAACGUUGCGCAAACUAUUAACUGGCGAACUACUUACUCUAGCUUCCCGGCAACAAUUAAUAGACUGGAUGGAGGCGGAUAAAGUUGCAGGACCACUUCUGCGCUCGGCCCUUCCGGCUGGCUGGUUUAUUGCUGAUAAAUCUGGAGCCGGUGAGCGUGGGUCUCGCGGUAUCAUUGCAGCACUGGGGCCAGAUGGUAAGCCCUCCCGUAUCGUAGUUAUCUACACGACGGGGAGUCAGGCAACUAUGGAUGAACGAAAUAGACAGAUCGCUGAGAUAGGUGCCUCACUGAUUAAGCAUUGGUAACUGUCAGACCAAGUUUACUCAUACUGAAAUAAUUGGGGGGUGAUUACCACCGUAAAUUUUUCCCAGACGGUAAAAAGAAUUACAGACUUUUAUCAACUAAAAAAGUGGCCUGAAUAUCAGCACUACCGUCAAUACCAUUUCAGUAAAUCAGGAUAGGGAAAAAUUGGCAAACCCAGUUCUUCACUUGCUCUGCGGGUUCUGUCACCCUGACGUCAUACGGUAAUCCCCCCCAAUUCAUUAAUCGACAAGGUCAUCCUGAUGAAACAAAUUACCAUGAGCGAUAUGCAGCAACAGAGCGCAGCGGCUGUGCAAUCGCCUCGGCUCCGCGCGCACCGUAAUUUCCAUCCAGAAUUAAGCGAUUCGGUCCAACGUCUGGCUAUUGCCAUGGAACCUGGGACCUACGUGCGCCCGCACCGACACCCUCACACCUUCGAGCUACUGUUGCCAUUAAGGGGUCGUUUCGUGGUGCUGAAUUUUGACGAUCGGGGUACCGUCACCCAUCGGGCGAUAUUGGGGGAAACCUGUACGGUGCUGGAGAUGGCCGCAGGAACCUGGCAUGCCGUGCUGUCGCUGGAUACCGGUGGCAUAAUUUUUGAAGUAAAACACGGUGGCUAUCAACCCGUGGCUGCCGAUGACUAUGCGCACUGGGCUCCAGCGGAAGGAGAACCAGGAACCACGGAGCUUAUGGCCUGGUAUGCGCAAGCGCAGGUGGGCGACAGCACUUUUGCCGUCUAAGGCGAUAAACAAAAACGGAAUGAGUUUCCCCAUUCCGUUUCCGCUAUUACAAACCGUCGGUGACGAUUUUAGCCGCCGACGCUAAUACAUCGCGACGGCUUUCUGCCUUAGGUUGAGGCUGGGUGAAGUAAGUGACCAGAAUCAGCGGCGCACGAUCUUUUGGCCAGAUCACCGCGAUAUCGUUGGUGGUGCCAUAGUCACCGCUGCCGGUUUUAUCCCCCACAACCCAGGAAGCAGGCAGUCCAGCCUGAAUGCUCGCUGCACCGGUGGUAUUGCCUUUCAUCCAUGUCACCAGCUGCGCCCGUUGGCUGUCGCCCAAUGCUUUACCCAGCGUCAGAUUCCGCAGAGUUUGCGCCAUUGCCCGAGGUGAAGUGGUAUCACGCGGAUCGCCCGGAAUGGCGGUGUUUAACGUCGGCUCGGUACGGUCGAGACGGAACGUUUCGUCUCCCAGCUGUCGGGCGAACGCGGUGACGCUAGCCGGGCCGCCAACGUGAGCAAUCAGCUUAUUCAUCGCCACGUUAUCGCUGUACUGUAGCGCGGCCGCGCUAAGCUCAGCCAGUGACAUCGUCCCAUUGACGUGCUUUUCCGCAAUCGGAUUAUAGUUAACAAGGUCAGAUUUUUUGAUCUCAACUCGCUGAUUUAACAGAUUCGGUUCGCUUUCACUUUUCUUCAGCACCGCGGCCGCGGCCAUCACUUUACUGGUGCUGCACAUCGCAAAGCGCUCAUCAGCACGAUAAAGUAUUUGCGAAUUAUCUGCUGUGUUAAUCAAUGCCACACCCAGUCUGCCUCCCGACUGCCGCUCUAAUUCGGCAAGUUUUUGCUGUACGUCCGCCGUUUGCGCAUACAGCGGCACACUUCCUAACAACAGCGUGACGGUUGCCGUCGCCAUCAGCGUGAACUGGCGCAGUGAUUUUUUAACCAUGGGAUUCCUUAUUCUGAAAGAGACGAAAUAACAACAACAUGAAUAGUCAAUAUUUUACCUGAAGCGAGCCACAACGCGUCCGAUUUUAUGCUUCCGAAAGGCAAAUACGGACGUCGCCAGAAUGAAACCUAAAUUCCACGUGUGUUUUUUAUUAGCUUCAAAAAUCACUAUUUCACGAAGAAUUUAGACUGCUUCUCACACAUUGUAACAUUAUUUACAACCACCUUUCAAUCAUUUUUGAUAAAUCAUUGAUUUCAUCUUUGCUGCAAUGAUACUUAAUAAACUCUGCAAGUUAUCCACAGAGCAACACUCAAUUUUAUUGAUGAUAUUCUUAUUAUACCAGACAUUUUUCAUACACUCCCUUGUACGGAUAGUUUUCCGACAACUUCAUGAUUACAUAUCUUGCGGUUUUGAUUAUUUUUGCUGCAAGAAAUACAUACUUCAAACGAAAGGUCUUUAUUUGCUGUCUGUAUUCUGAAGAGUCCAAGGAAUCAAACUUGAACAACAAAAAUAGGUUAUAUGAAAGCAUCAUCAUUUGAAACACGGCUUCAUUCGCCCAAAAUGACUUUAGCAAGAGAUGACCCACCGCCAUGUCGUAUUUGGCUUCUUUGAUAUAGUUUUCAGCAUUACCACGCUUUUCAUAGUAUAUAACUACUUUUUCAGAAAGCAAGGUAGUAUUUGUUACAAAGAAAAAGUAGUCGGUAAUGGUGCCAACUUACUGAUUUAGUGUAUGAUGGUGUUUUUGAGGUGCUCCCGUGGCUUCCAUCUCCAUCAGUUGUCCCUCCUGCUCAGCUACUGAAGGCGUGGUGCGUAACGGUAAAAGUACUGCCGGACAUCAGCGCUAUCUCUGCUCUCACUGCCGUAAAACAUGGCAACUGCAGUUCACUUACACCGCUUCUCAACCCGGUACACACCAGAAAAUCAUUGAUAUGGCCAUGAAUGGUGUUGGAUGCCGGGCAACCGCCCGCAUUAUGGGCGUUGGCCUCAACACGAUUUUACGUCACUUAAAAAACUCAGGCCGCAGUCGGUAACCUCGCGCAUACAGCCGGGCAGUGAUGUGAUUGUCUGCGCUGAAAUGGACGAACAGUGGGGCUACGUCGGUGCUAAAUCACGUCAGCGCUGGCUGUUUUACGCGUAUGACAGGAUACGGAGGACGGUUGUGGCGCACGUCUUCGGUGAACGCACUCUGGCCACACUGGAGCGUCUUCUGAGCCUGCUGUCGGCCUUUGAGGUCGUGGUAUGGAUGACGGAUGGCUGGCCGCUGUAUGAAUCCCGCCUGAAGGGAAAGCUGCACGUAAUCAGCAAGCGUUACACUCAGCGCAUUGAGCGACAUAACCUGAAUCUGAGACAACAUCUGGCAAGGCUGGGACGGAAGUCACUGUCGUUCUCAAAAUCGGUGGAGCUGCAUGACAAAGUCAUCGGGCAUUAUCUGAACAUAAAACACUAUCAGUAAGUUGGAGUCAUUACCUCCUCAUCGGUGAAGCGUUUCUUAAUCUUCUUAGCGGGAUUGCCGCCAACGAUAGCGUAAGGCUCCACAUCUUUUGUCACCAACGAGCGGCUGCCUAUCACCGCACCGUGCCCGAUCUUGAUUCCGGGCAUGACCAUUGCCUCAGAGCCGAUCCAAACGUCAUUGCCAAUGACAGUAUUACCUGCUUUUUGGAAGGCAUCGAGUGCGCUUGAGAAUGCAGGUUCUUCCUGCAUAUAAAAGAACGGGAAAGAUGAUGCCCAGUCGUACCGAUGCCCCUGAUUGCCAGCCAUGAUAAAGGAAGCCCCACUCCCGAUAGAGCAGAAACUACCGAUGAUCAACUUAUCAACGUCAUCACGGUCCGGAAACAGAUACCGUGCGCAGUCAUCGAAUGAGUGCCCAUGAUAGUAGCCAGAGUAAUAGCUGUACCGCCCAACUUUGAUAUUGGGGUUCUUCACUUGCUCAGAAAGCAGCUUGCCUUUGAAGGGGCUAUCAAAGUAGUUGGUCAUAAGAGAUCCCGCGGUCUGUGACUUUGCCGUCUAACGUUUGACAUGAGGGGCGGCCAAGGGCGCCAGCCCUUGGACGUCCCCCUCGAUGGAAGGGUUAGGCAUCACUGCGUGUUCGCUCGAAUGCCUGGCGUGUUUGAACCAUGUACACGGCUGGACCAUCUGGGGUGGUUACGGUACCUUGCCUCUCAAACCCCGCUUUCUCGUAGCAUCGGAUCGCUCGCAAGUUGCUCGGCGACGGGUCCGUUUGGAUCUUGGUGACCUCGGGAUCAUUGAACAGCAACUCAACCAGAGCUCGAACCAGCUUGGUUCCCAAGCCUUUGCCCAGUUGUGAUGCAUUCGCCAGUGACUGGUCUAUUCCGCGUACUCCUGGAUCGGUUUCUUCUUCCCACCAUCCGUCCCCGCUUCCAAGAGCAACGUACGACUGGGCAUACCCAAUCGGCUCUCCAUUCAGCAUUGCAAUGUAUGGAGUGACGGACUCUUGCGCUAAAACGCUUGGCAAGUACUGUUCCUGUACGUCAGCAAGUGUCGGGCGUGCUUCUUCUCCGCCCCACCACUCGACGAUAUGAGAUCGAUUUAGCCACUCAUAGAGCAUCGCAAGGUCAUGCUCAGUCAUGAGGCGCAGUGUGACGGAAUCGUUGCUGUUGGUCACGAUGCUGUACUUUGUGAUGCCUAACGUUUGACGUGAGGGGCCGCCGUAGCGGCGAAGCCGCGAAGGGAACCCGCAAGCGCAGCUUGUGGGCGGUCCCUCUCGACGGAAUGGUUAGAUGCGACCGUUUUAGUGAACACUUGCCUUAGAUAGCAAGUUGAGCACAGCAACGCCGCUGAUAAUGAAGCCGACACCAACAAAUCCCCACAUAUCUAGUUUUUGACCAUGCAAAACCCAUGCAAUCGCAGUGACCAAGACGAUCCCGAGGCCCGACCAAACUGCGUAGGCGAUUCCAACAGGAAUCGAUUUGAGUGUCAGCGACAGGAAAUAAAAAGCAGCAGCGUAUCCCGCUACGACGAUAAAAGACGGUACUAACCUAGUAAAGCCCUCACUAGACUUGAGCGCAGAGGUUGCAAUGACCUCAAAAAUAAUGGACGUAGCCAGAAAUAACCAAUUUUUCAAAAUAUUUAUCCAUGGAGUUCCGCGAAUAAAUUUUAGGUUCGAUUUAAGAAAAAAAACAGUCUUGUUGCUGGCCGAAAUUUGUGCGCACAGCAAAGCAUCUAACGCCGAGUUCAGCGGCAGUUUUUAAGUUGUGGUUUUAUGGAAUAUUUUUGCGAAGCAAAACCAUAAAACCGCGACUUAAAAACUGUCCAGUGCGCGCAGCGCACGAUGCUGCAACGACUUGUUAGAAAUUUAGUUGCUUAGUUUUGAUGGUUUUUUACUUUCGUUUAACCCUUUAACCGCCUGCUCUAAUGUAAGUUUCAAGAGUGAUGCGUCUCCAGCUUCACUGUGACCUGGAACAACCAGUUUUGCCUUACCAUAUUUGGAUAUUAAUAAUUUAGCGGACUUUGGCCAAGCUUCUAAAUUUGCGUCACCCAAAUUACCUAGACCGUACGGUUUAAUAAAACAACCACCGAAUAAUAUUUUCCUUUCAGGCAGCCAAACUACUAGGUUAUCUGGAGUGUGUCCUGGGCCUGGAUAAAAAACUUCAAUUUUAUUUUUAACUAGCCAAUAGUUAACCCCGCCAAAUGAAUUUUUAGCUUGAACCUUACCGUCUUUUUUAAGCAGCUCAUUAGUUAAUUCAGACGCAUACGUGGGGAUGGAUUGAGAAUUAAGCCACUCUAUUCCGCCCGUGCUGUCACUAUGAAAAUGAGAGGAAAUACUGCCUUUUAUUUUAUAGCCACGUUCCACAAACCAAGUGACUAACUUUUCAGUAUCUUUAGCCGUAAAUGGAGUGUCAAUUAGAUAAGCUUCAGCAUCUACAAGAACAACCAAACCAUGUUUAGGAACAACGCCCCACCCGUUAACUUCUUCAAACGAAGUAUGAACAUAAACGCCUUCAUCAAGUUUUUCAAUUUUUAAAUCUGGCAAAGGCUCUGCUGCGGUAGCAAUGCUACAAAACAAAAAUAUAAAGAAUACAGAUAACUUGCUCAUACUUUCCCUUUUCUAACUUUGUUUUAGGGCGACUGCCCUGCUGCGUAACAUCGUUGCUGCUCCAUAACAUCAAACAUCGACCCACGGCGUAACGCGCUUGCUGCUUGGAUGCCCGAGGCAUAGACUGUACAAAAAAACAGUCAUAACAAGCCAUGAAAACCGCCACUGCGCCGUUACCACCGCUGCGUUCGGUCAAGGUUCUGGACCAGUUGCGUGAGCGCAUACGCUACUUGCAUUACAGCUUACCAACCGAACAGGCUUAUGUCAACUGGGUUCGUGCCUUCAUCCGUUUCCACGGUGUGCGUCACCCGGCAACCUUGGGCAGCAGCGAAGUCGAGGCAUUUCUGUCCUGGCUGGCGAACGAGCGCAAGGUUUCGGUCUCCACGCAUCGUCAGGCAUUGGCGGCCUUGCUGUUCUUCUACGGCAAGGUGCUGUGCACGGAUCUGCCCUGGCUUCAGGAGAUCGGAAGACCUCGGCCGUCGCGGCGCUUGCCGGUGGUGCUGACCCCGGAUGAAGUGGUUCGCAUCCUCGGUUUUCUGGAAGGCGAGCAUCGUUUGUUCGCCCAGCUUCUGUAUGGAACGGGCAUGCGGAUCAGUGAGGGUUUGCAACUGCGGGUCAAGGAUCUGGAUUUCGAUCACGGCACGAUCAUCGUGCGGGAGGGCAAGGGCUCCAAGGAUCGGGCCUUGAUGUUACCCGAGAGCUUGGCACCCAGCCUGCGCGAGCAGCUGUCGCGUGCACGGGCAUGGUGGCUGAAGGACCAGGCCGAGGGCCGCAGCGGCGUUGCGCUUCCCGACGCCCUUGAGCGGAAGUAUCCGCGCGCCGGGCAUUCCUGGCCGUGGUUCUGGGUUUUUGCGCAGCACACGCAUUCGACCGAUCCACGGAGCGGUGUCGUGCGUCGCCAUCACAUGUAUGACCAGACCUUUCAGCGCGCCUUCAAACGUGCCGUAGAACAAGCAGGCAUCACGAAGCCCGCCACACCGCACACCCUCCGCCACUCGUUCGCGACGGCCUUGCUCCGCAGCGGUUACGACAUUCGAACCGUGCAGGAUCUGCUCGGCCAUUCCGACGUCUCUACGACGAUGAUUUACACGCAUGUGCUGAAAGUUGGCGGUGCCGGAGUGCGCUCACCGCUUGAUGCGCUGCCGCCCCUCACUAGUGAGAGGUAGGGCAGCGCAAGUCAAUCCUGGCGGAUUCACUACCCCUGCGCGAAGGCCAUCGGUGCCGCAUCGAACGGCCGGUUGCGGAAAGUCCUCCCUGCGUCCGCUGAUGGCCGGCAGCAGCCCGUCGUUGCCUGAUGGAUCCAACCCCUCCGCUGCUAUAGUGCAGUCGGCUUCUGACGUUCAGUGCAGCCGUCUUCUGAAAACGACACCAUGUGCAAACGAUGUCAGAAUAGAGUUAAAUUUCCUAUUGAUUGACAUAUUCCGUCAAAGGUAAUAGAUUUCAUCCUGACACUUUUGCCUUUGGAGGCAUCUUGCAAGGUCAACGCAUCGGCUAUGUCCGCGUCAGCAGCUUCGACCAGAACCCGGAACGGCAAUUGGAGGGUGUUCAGGUGGCGCGGGUGUUCACCGACAAGGCUUCUGGCAAGGACACCCAGCGUCCCGAGCUGGAAAGGCUGCUGGCCUUCGUCCGCGAGGGCGACACCGUGGUGGUGCAUAGCAUGGACAGGCUGGCACGCAACCUUGAUGACCUGCGCCGCAUCGUCCAAGGGCUGACACAACGGGGCGUGCGCAUGGAGUUCGUCAAAGAAGGGCUGAAGUUCACCGGCGAGGACUCACCGAUGGCCAAUCUGAUGCUGUCGGUCAUGGGAGCCUUCGCUGAGUUCGAGCGCGCCCUGAUCCGCGAACGUCAGCGCGAGGGAAUCGUGCUGGCCAAGCAGCGCGGUGCCUACCGGGGACGAAAGAAAUCGCUGAACAGCGAACAAAUUGCCGAGUUGAAACGGCGAGUUGCGGCAGGCGACCAAAAAACCUUGGUGGCCCGUGACUUCGGCAUCAGCCGCGAAACCUUGUACCAGUACCUGCGGGAAGACUGACCAUGCCACGCCGCUCAAUCCUGUCCGCCACCGAGCGCGAAAGCCUGCUGGCACUGCCAGAUGCCAAAGACGAACUGAUACGGCACUACACGUUCAACGAAACCGACCUGUCGGUGAUCCGUCAGCGUCGCGGCGCCGCGAAUCGAUUGGGCUUCGCUGUGCAGCUUUGCUACUUGCGAUUCCCUGGCACCUUUUUGGGCGUCGAUGAGCCUCCGUUUCCGCCCCUGUUGCGCAUGGUGGCCGCGCAACUCAAGAUGCCAGUGGAAAGUUGGAGCGAGUACGGCCAGCGCGAACAGACACGGCGGGAGCACUUGGUCGAGCUGCAAACGGUUUUUGGGUUCAAGCCCUUCACCAUGAGCCACUAUCGGCAAGCCGUGCAUACAUUGACCGAGCUGGCCUUGCAGACCGACAAAGGCAUCGUGCUGGCGAGCGCACUUGUCGAGAAUCUGCGGCGGCAGAGCAUUAUCCUGCCCGCCAUGAAUGCCAUCGAGCGCGCAAGCGCCGAGGCCAUCACCCGUGCCAACCGACGCAUUUACGCGGCGCUGACCGAUUCUUUGUUAUCACCCCACCGUCAGCGCCUGGACGAACUUCUCAAGCGCAAGGACGGCAGUAAAGUGACGUGGCUGGCAUGGCUGCGCCAGUCGCCUGCCAAACCGAACUCUCGCCACAUGCUCGAACAUAUUGAGCGCCUGAAAUCCUGGCAAGCACUUGAUCUGCCCGCAGGCAUCGAGCGGCAGGUUCACCAGAACCGCCUGCUCAAAAUCGCUCGUGAAGGUGGCCAGAUGACGCCUGCUGAUCUGGCAAAGUUCGAGGUGCAACGACGCUAUGCCACGCUGGUAGCGCUGGCCAUCGAAGGCAUGGCCACCGUCACCGAUGAAAUCAUCGACCUUCACGAUCGCAUCAUCGGCAAGCUGUUCAACGCGGCCAAGAACAAGCAUCAGCAGCAGUUCCAGGCUUCCGGCAAGGCGAUCAACGACAAGGUGCGGAUGUAUGGGCGCAUCGGUCAAGCGUUGAUUGAGGCCAAGCAAAGCGGCAGCGAUCCGUUCGCCGCCAUCGAGGCCGUUAUGCCCUGGGACACCUUCGCCGCCAGCGUCACCGAAGCGCAAACAUUGGCGCGGCCUGCCGACUUUGAUUUCCUGCACCACAUCGGUGAAAGCUAUGCCACGCUACGCCGCUACGCGCCGCAGUUCCUGGGCGUGCUCAAAUUGCGGGCUGCGCCCGCCGCCAAGGGUGUGCUCGAUGCCAUCGACAUGCUGCGCGGCAUGAACAGCGACAGCGCGCGCAAGGUGCCCGCCGAUGCGCCAACCGCAUUCAUCAAGCCGCGCUGGGCAAAGCUGGUUCUGACCGACGACGGCAUCGACCGGCGUUACUACGAGUUAUGCGCCCUGUCGGAGCUGAAGAACGCGCUGCGCUCCGGUGAUGUCUGGGUGCAGGGUUCUCGCCAGUUCAAGGACUUCGACGAAUACCUGGUGCCGGUCGAGAAGUUCGCCACUUUGAAGCUGGCCAGCGAAUUGCCGCUGGCAGUGGCCACCGACUGCGACCAAUACCUGCAUGACCGGUUGGAAUUGUUGGAGGCGCAACUCGCCACAGUCAACCGCAUGGCUGCGGCCAACGACUUACCGGAUGCCAUCAUCACCACCGCGUCAGGCCUGAAGAUCACGCCGCUGGACGCGGCAGUACCAGACGCCGCGCAAGCCAUGAUCGACCAGACAGCUAUGCUGCUGCCGCACCUCAAAAUCACCGAGUUGCUGAUGGAGGUCGAUGAAUGGACGGGCUUCACCCGCCACUUCACACACCUGAAGACCAGCGACACGGCCAAGGACAAAACCUUGCUGUUGACGACGAUCCUGGCCGACGCGAUCAACCUGGGUCUGACCAAAAUGGCCGAGUCCUGCCCUGGCACCACCUACGCCAAGCUGUCUUGGCUGCAAGCCUGGCACAUCCGCGAUGAAACCUAUUCGACGGCGCUGGCCGAGCUGGUGAAUGCGCAGUUUCGGCAACCCUUCGCCGGCAACUGGGGUGACGGCACCACGUCAUCGUCGGACGGCCAGAACUUCAGAACCGGCAGCAAAGCAGAAAGCACUGGUCAUAUCAACCCGAAGUAUGGAAGCAGUCCAGGACGGACUUUCUACACCCAUAUCUCCGACCAGUACGCGCCCUUCAGUGCCAAGGUGGUCAACGUGGGCAUUCGUGAUUCAACUUACGUGCUUGAUGGCCUGCUGUACCACGAGUCGGACUUGCGCAUCGAGGAACACUACACCGACACGGCAGGCUUCACCGAUCACGUGUUUGGCUUGAUGCAUUUGCUGGGAUUUCGCUUCGCGCCGCGUAUCCGUGACUUGGGCGAAACCAAGCUAUUCAUCCCCAAGGGCGAUGCCGCCUAUGACGCGCUCAAGCCGAUGAUUAGCAGCGACAGGCUGAACAUCAAGCAAAUACGCGCCCAUUGGGAUGAAAUUCUGCGGCUGGCCACCUCCAUCAAGCAAGGCACGGUAACGGCUUCGCUGAUGCUGCGCAAACUCGGCAGCUACCCGCGCCAGAACGGCUUGGCCGUGGCGUUGCGCGAGCUGGGGCGCAUCGAGCGCACGCUGUUCAUUUUGGAUUGGCUGCAAAGCGUGGAGCUGCGCCGCCGCGUCCAUGCGGGGCUGAAUAAGGGCGAGGCGCGCAACGCGCUGGCCAGGGCGGUCUUCUUCUACCGAUUGGGUGAAAUCCGCGACCGCAGUUUUGAGCAGCAGCGCUACCGGGCCAGCGGCCUCAAUCUGGUGACGGCGGCCAUCGUGUUGUGGAACACGGUAUAUCUGGAGCGUGCCACCAGUGCUUUGCGUGGCAACGGCACGGCGCUGGACGACACAUUGUUGCAAUAUCUGUCGCCGCUGGGGUGGGAGCACAUCAACCUGACCGGCGAUUACCUAUGGCGCAGCAGCGCCAAGGUCGGUGCGGGGAAGUUUAGGCCAUUGCGACCGCUGCCACCGGCUUAGCGUGCUUUAUUUAAUGAGAUGGUCACUCCCUCCUUCCCAGUACUAUGCUGAGGACAGGCUUUCAUUCGGAGAACCAUCAUGGAAAACAUUGCGCUUAUUGGUAUCGAUCUGGGUAAGAACUCUUUCCAUAUUCAUUGUCAGGAUCAUCGUGGGAAGGCCGUUUACCGUAAAAAAUUCACCCGACCAAAGCUAAUCGAAUUUCUGGCGACAUGCCCGGCAACAACCAUCGCGAUGGAAGCCUGUGGCGGUUCUCACUUUAUGGCACGCAAGCUGGCAGAGUUAGGGCAUUUUCCAAAGCUGAUAUCACCGCAAUUUGUCCGCCCAUUCGUUAAAAGCAACAAAAAUGACUUCGUUGAUGCUGAAGCUAUCUGUGAAGCAGCAUCACGUCCAUCUAUGCGUUUCGUGCAGCCCAGAACCGAAUCUCAGCAGGCAAUGCGAGCUCUGCAUCGUGUCCGUGAAUCCCUGGUUCAGGAUAAGGUGAAAACAACUAAUCAGAUGCAUGCUUUUCUGCUGGAAUUUGGUAUCAGCGUUCCGCGAGGUGCUGCCGUUAUUAGUCGACUGAGUACCCUUCUUGAGGACAGUAGUUUGCCUCUUUAUCUCAGCCAGUUACUGCUGAAAUUACAACAGCAUUAUCACUAUCUUGUUGAGCAGAUUAAAGAUCUGGAAUCUCAGUUGAAACGAAAGUUGGACGAAGAUGAGGUUGGACAGCGCUUGCUGAGUAUUCCCUGCGUUGGAACGCUGACUGCCAGUACUAUUUCAACUGAGAUUGGCGACGGGAAGCAGUACGCCAGCAGCCGUGACUUUGCGGCGGCAACAGGGCUGGUACCCCGACAGUACAGCACGGGAGGUCGGACGACAUUGUUAGGGAUUAGCAAGCGGGGCAACAAAAAGAUCCGAACUUUGUUGGUUCAGUGUGCCAGGGUAUUCAUACAAAAACUGGAACACCAGUCUGGCAAGUUGGCCGACUGGGUCAGGGAGUUGUUGUGUCGGAAAAGCAACUUUGUCGUCACCUGUGCUCUGGCAAACAAGCUGGCCAGAAUAGCCUGGGCACUGACGGCGCGACAGCAAACUUACGAAGCAUAAAGGCAGAAAUACACCAGUUUAAACAAUCAUUCAUCUGGUUUUGCGAAUACUAAUAUUGAUGAUACUAACGGCCCACCGGCCUGUUGAGGAACCUGUAAAACGGAAAGGCUCAUUGAAGCCGUAUAUUUUCUGGAGGUUCAUCAGGCGCGGAACUCAUCGAGGCGCGGGAAUAAAAUCCCAUUCAGACGCCGGAUAGAUUCAAGCAAGCCAACUUGUCGUCAAAAUCGGUGUUGCAAAAACGGGAGUGACCAUAGAUUCCGUUUUCUGAGACGACCCCUUUCAGCACAAUCGGAAAAAGAGAAGCGUGAGAACAGCCGGGUAUUCACAUUCAGAGAGACCGGAUUUCUGAAAAUUUAUCCAUGGUUCGUUUUUUAUCGAUACGUGCCUGCCGCCACGCCUGAAAGUCCGGGCGUGUUUCAGCCAUCCUGACGACCUCGACAGAGAAAACCUUAUAUUUGCCCUGCUGCUGGGGCGAGCCAAGCCAGCGGCGAAUGGCGGCGUCUGUCCACAGACAGGAGUUCUUAAGCCUGUAGACGGUGAUCCAUUUUUCUGACCAUGCAUCAAAUCUCUGGCAACGCAGCUGAUACCGUCGCUCUUCUUCCCGUCUUUUCCAGUCGCUGUCUGCAGCAAACUUUCGGUGACCAACAAAAAUCCCCUGGACUUUGCCCAUGUCCUGCCUCCCCCGGAAUGUUGUCAUUAUCAACGGUAUCAGGUCAGAGCCGUAACGGCCAGCAGUGCCAGGCAGAAUACACCGGACGGCAUCUUACCCGGAGAGGUGUCUACUGUAUGCGACAAAGUGGUCAACCCCGGAGAUGGCCAUCUCCACAAUUUCUGAAUGUCAGCAUGACCAUCAGUGAUAAUACAGCAAACGUAAGACAACAUACCUCCCGCCCUGCAAAGCAUUUGCUCCGCAGCGCCACGCUCUGCGUGGGUCACGACUGUGCACAUUAUCGACAUAUUCUUUUUUUCUUUUUUUUUAUUUUUUCUCUUUUUUUCACCCGCGCGGGGAGGGCGGCCUGGCACCGUAAAGGGCCUAAGGCCUAGAGGCAUGUUGUCUUACGAUUGGGUGCGGUUGUCGGCCACUCCCUUUUCGAUGAUUGUUUCGCCUGAACUCACGCUUUAACAUCCAUCGCUGGUGGCCCGCCGUCACGGCGAAAUUUCUAACUGAGCGAGGUUUGUGUGAGCAACAGAGGCAGAGAAGACAGCGUUACCGAUGUGUUUAAAUCUCAGGUGCGGAAUGCAUGCCGUGAACACGGAAUGAGUGAUCUCAUUGCCUCACUGAACGGCCGCGACCGGGAUUUUAAUGCCGAUACCCUGUUCGGAGUAUGCGACCGGUUCUUCCUGGUCGAGAUGAAAUCGUACAACCGUAAUGUUCGUGAUGAGGCCAAAAAACCUGCUGUCUGCCUUCUCUGCAAUGGAUUACAGAGAAACUCUCAGGUCCGUCGCUGGCACAAAGCAUGUCACUUCAUCAUGUGGGGGCGUGUUGUUAAGGAUUCGCUUGAAACCCGUUUCACCAUCUACCAGGACAGUGUAUGUCGGGAUUCUGUCCUUCCGAACUGCAGUGGUCUCGGGGAGCCUCCUGAACCAACCAUCUAUCGGGGGGAAGACCUGGCAAGGGGAGCAGCUUUAGGUACAGCAGGCUUAUCAAAACCAGAUUUUUUCCAUUACCUGUGGUGGCUGUUAAAUGGCAGGGCUGUAGAUGUAGACGAAUUUAAAAUCGCGCCCGGUAGCAGGUUAGGUUUCAGUUUGUUUGGUACAUCGGAUACAACUGGUUCGGUAAUCAGUAAAACGUUCAGCACUUACGGUGAACUUGAAAUGUGGGCUGACGAGGCAUUAAGACGAUUACUCAGCACCAGGAGAUAACCAUCUGAAGAUAUUGCGCCGGUGUGAUCCACGUUUUUGCUGUCGGAUACAGUAGACCUUAUCCGUGCUUCAGCCAGCUCACGCGAUUUAGCGUCAGAUUCAUUAAACCCGGGUCUGCGGUACCACCGGUUAUUUUGCGUCUGAUGCCACAACAGCGUCUCCUUUGGUCCUGGACAUUAUACCUGCUUCACCCUCCCCCCCAUUUUCAGUCAGCAUGAUAUCUGCAGACUGUACUUCUCUACCGGCGAUGCGUGGUUUAAACAUUUCUGCGAUCCCCUGAUUAUUUUGGAGUUAUCCACCGGAUAGAAUAAUUAAUUAAGAUUAAUGAGGUUUAUACAAAGAACAACAAAGGAUAAAAAAGAUUAGCGAUCGGCUUAGCCCUUUAUUCAUGCGGCUUUCAGGGGUUCUGUAUCAUCGCUGGCGGGUAGCUCAUCAACGCUGGAGGGCAAAUGCUCAACGCUGGAGGGUCAGUAAUCAACGCUGGCGGGUUGUUUAUCAACGCUGGCGGGUUGUAACUAUCAACGCUAGCGGGUAUUCUCCAUAAGUAUCCACAAGCGGGGCUUUUCUCACA
rnacentral:autocatalytically_spliced_intron from 1 species